rnacentral:lncRNA from 1 species
UAAGAAGCUUGUUACCGAAAUUUGAGUGCAUGCUGGAAAGAAGUUUGAGUUCAAAUUGUUCGAAGGCAUGGUCAAAGCCCCGGUACAAAGAAACCUUAAGAAGUCUUUCCUACCUCAUCCGUGAUGCGUAUGAUGUGUUGCAUUGCCAAUGGACUUGUAUUACUAAAAAUCUUAUGCAUUGUAUCGACUAUAUUUGUUGGCCGUGUGUGUCCACUAUGUUCUAUGCUAGCCAUGUGAGGUCUUUAUAAAUAGACUUGCUAAAAUAACCCUAAACCCAAUCUUUUUUUAUCAUUAAUUUCCUAGUGGUAACUGGAUGUAGUUGAUAACUAAUUUUAGUGAAGCCUUGUGCGUGCGCUGGUUUAUCUGGCUCCAUGGUCGCGGGCUGUUAGUCCAGUAGUGAAACAUUACUGCUUGUAUCUUGCUCUCGUAGUCAGGGCAUCUUCAAAGUCCACCCUUAGAUCACUUUCCUACGUCUGGACCUUCGAAGCCAUUCAACAUAGGCAUGGGCCGCCAUUCAAUAUGAGCAUGUAUUGGUUUGCUUGACGGUUUAGACCCUCAAAUCACGCGUUGUUCGUUCAGUAGUGAAACAUUAUUGCUCGUAUCUUGCUCUUGUAGUCAGGGCAUCUCCAAAGUCGGCCCUCAAAUCACUUGCAUAUGUCUUUGUUCAGUAGUGAAACAUUAUUGCUCGUAUCUUCUCGUAGUCAGGGCAUCUCUAAAGUCGGCCCUCAAAUCACUUGCAUACGUCUGGACCUUUGAAGCCAUCCAACAUAGGCAUGAGCUGCCAUCUAACAUGAGCAUGUAUUGAUCCGCUUGACGGUUUAGACCCUCAAAUCACUUGCAUACGUUCGGACCUUCGAAGCCAUCCAACAUAGGCAUAGGCCGCCAUCCAACAUGAGCCUGUAUUAGUUCGUUUGACGGUCUAGACGUGUUUUUUUUCUGCAGACAAAGUGAUGAACUUUUCAAAAAAAAACAUUGAUUAUUUUUUCAAAUUUGCUGAACUUUUUUUCAAAUUCGGUGUACUUUUUUCAAAAUCAAUGAACUCCAGAAUCGAUUUUUUCAAAUUCAAUGAACUUUUUCCAAAAUCGAUGAACUUAUUUUCAAAUUCGGUGAACUUUUUCCCAAAUUUGAUGAUUUUUUCAAAUUCAAUGAAGUUUUUCAAAUCGAUGAUUUUUUUUCUUCAAAUUCUAUGAUUUAUUGAAACUCGGUGAACUUUUUCAAAACAUUUAUUUUUCCAAAUUUGAUGAACUUUUCAUAAUCUGUGAACAUUUUGAAUUCAUAAUAUUUUUUUUGAUUUUUGCGAACUAAAAUCAUGGUUUUUCUUGGUUCAAAUGGUGAACUGUUGACCUUUUCUUUUUAGCGAAGUGAACCGUUGACCAGACAACCGUAAAACGAGCGUACAACGAGCGGGCGACCACCCAACUCGUGUAACUGGGUCGGCCCAUACCAAGCUGCUGCGUGCGCCAGCUCCUGGAUGAGACGCCUACAACGCCCUGUUUGAUCAGUAAUCCGUGCGUUGAGUAAACCUAGUUCCUCUUUAUUCGACAACAAUCGUGGGGGUACAUCAAGCCACACAUAUGUACCAAGAUCUAGUAAGGAAAGCUUUGCUAAACUACGAGCUUCAAAGUUUCUACGUCUACUGUAAAAAAUAAAGUUGCAAGAAGGAUUUAUGAAAAUAACACUUUGUUUUUUGGGUUAUAUUGGGCUGAUGGGCCAUAUUAUCCCCGUUCUUUCUUGUCGACCCUUCUUUUUUCACAAAGGUCCCUAGGAGCUCCUAGUCAGCGCCAAAGGCGCCAACUAGGAGUUUCGGCGCCCACGGCAGGCGCACUCUUGGGCCCGGCCCAAGCAAGUGUGCUCGCGUGGUCACGUCCCUUCGGUGUUGCUUGCUUUUGCUGCUGACUGGUCACGGUUGAUCUUUCAACAAUUGACUGGUUGGCUUUAGAAAAAAAAUCUGUGAUUAAAAACUGUACAGGAAAUUUUAAAAAAGUUCAUAAAAUUUGGAAAGUUCACCGAAUUAAAAAAAAUCAUUCAAUUCAAAAAAGUUCAUCAAAUUUGAAAAAAGUUCAUUGAUUUAAAAAAAGCAUCUGAAUUUAAAAGUUCAUCAAAUUUGAAAAAAAUCAUCGAAUUUAAAAAACAUUCAUAGUUUUUUUAAAACACGAUUUGUUUAAAAAAUAAAUAAAAAGAAAACUGGAAUAAAACCACCCCCGAAAUGACCAGCGAAUCGGUAAAAAGCUGGUUUGGGAAGCUUGUGUAAGCUUCCCAAUACCGGUGGAUUCUCGCGAUUGAAGAGAGAAAUAAAAUAAAGGAAAAAAAAACUUAGAAAGCACUAGUCCUUCGAUGGCCUAGGGUUACCGUCAUUUUCUUCGAAGAAGCUGGUCGCGAGUUUGAAGUCCGGUUUUGCAUUAUUUUUUUGAACGUUUAAAAUAGAAGCAAAAAAUGGAAAUGGGCGGAGCCCAACUAACGCGCCCGUAGGCGCCCUUUGCAGAAACAAUAAGAAUAGGGGGCGGGGCCUUUGUGGGCUACCACACCCUUGUCUGACUGCCCUGUCCCACCAAAAUAACCACCGCCUCUCCCGUGCUUUUUAUCGAACGCGAGCGCCGCAUUCAUGCUGACCUAGAGCAUGCAGCGGGUGACAUUGAUGCCCCCAAUUUGAUCGUAUGGGAGGGCGAAGCUGACGAACGUGACCUCUCGGGCGUCGCCGCUUCAAUGCAGACAACGCACCCUGAGAAACCAACUCCGGCCAGCGUCCCCGCUCCAGCGGGUCAAGGACGAGUCGGCAUCACCCAAGCGCAACCAUGGCGUCCAGAUCGGACACUGUGUCAAGGAUGAGACGGCGUCGCCCCCGCACUACCAUGGCGUCAAGAUCGGACGCCGGGCCAAGGACGAGUCGGCGUCGUAUGACAUCGUUUGCGAGCGGAGAACUAACCUACCCAUACCAAUGAUCUUGACUAGGCGGCACCAUUUGCGGCCUUCCGGGCCGAUUACUCCCCCGCCAAAGCCUUCCAGCAUUUCUUCGCCAUUGGCGGAGGCUCCACCAUUUCAUCCCCCUUCGGGGCCUCCUCGUUGGCCACGCGGUCAAGCUCCUCCUCACCUUUGGAGUCUUUGGAACUAGCAUCGCUCGGGAUCACCUGAAAGGCGAAUGGGUUUGGGUGCUCCACGCCCUCCAUACCCUCUGGGAUGACCCCCCACCGACCGCACGCUGUCAUCAUCCCGAGGAUUUCUUCGUGCUAUCUUCAUGAUAGAAUGGCCAGGUGGUCUCCGAAAGAGCGUCAAUGGCUGUCACACCCUGAUUUUUGGCCCUUUCUUUUCUUUUGAUUUUCCGAGAUUUUUGCUUGAGUUUUUUUCCCGUGGCUAUGUGGUCUGGAAACUGAAGAAGAUGACCUCUUCUUUCUUUCCAUAGUGGCUUUUCAUCCUCAAAUACAUCCCAAGACCUUGCCAUUUUCAUCCUAGCCCAACCCCAAUAUUCUUUUCCUUGGAAAUAUUCCUUUUUCUAUUAAAGGAAUAACCCAAUUUGCCCUAGGUUGUGAAGCAACCUAUAUUUCCAUCACUCCUAAAAUUCCCAAAUAAUUCUCAUAAAUUGCUUGGGUCAUAUCUUCCUCAAAUAUGGCGAAAUAUUUCAAUUGCCAUGUUCCUCAUCAUGCUCAAUCAAUUCCUUUUCUAUUCUGUCCUGAAUGGCAGUUUGUGAAGCAAGUGCCAUUUACCUUUGCCCAAUUGACCCCAAAUUUUUUGGACACCUUUUCAUGUCCAAAUAAUUGCCUCAUGCCAAAAUUCAACUUAAUUUGCCUAGUGAAUAUUCCUGAGCAAAUUUUCAAAGUUCCCGUUUGAGGGAAUUGUUUGUGAAGGAAGUACUAGCUAGGAUGAUCCAAAUGAGUUGAAAUUUUGCAUGGUCCUUCGUAUCAUCAAAUCAAAGCUCCACACAAUAUUUGAGCUCAUGCAAUGUAUAUAUGUGAGCCCAGCCCCAAAUCUUAGUUUCUGGUCAGAUUUUCAGUUUGUGAAGCAACCAUAUUUUAUCUUGCUUCAUUUAAGCUGAAAAUUUUCCAGGGCAUUCUACUAUCCAUAUCAACUCUCUCCACCAAGUUUUGGCUCAAUUCAUCAAACAAUUUGCCCUGUGUAAUUUUUCCAAGUUUCUGGUCAGAAUAAAGCAUCGUGAAGCAACUGCUAGUUUGGUUCAUCCAAAUGGCCUGAAACUUUUUGAGCAUCUUCAUAUCUUCAAAUAAUUGGGCCAUGCCCAAUUUUAGCCAACUCGCCUCUUCAUGUGAGUGCAACUUCAUCAUCUCUAAUUCUGGCCAUUAUGGUGGUUUCUACAGCAAGUACCAUAAAUAUUCAUCCUAAUGAGCUGAAAAUUUACAGAGGUGAUCAUCUUAGUGUUUGAUCACGCCAUGACAAAGCCCCGAGUCUACCCCCUCCCUUUUAUCCUCCUCACCUGAGCACAAACACCUUGCUGUUGCAAUGUUUUGGAGCUAGGUGCAAAUCUCUUCUUUGCCCCUGGACCAAUUUGUUUCUUCAUAUAUACAAAGGGCACUAAGGUCUACCCACUAGAUAUGGUUGGCCUGUCUAGAACACGCCGCUUGAGCCAGCUCACGCGGUGACCACGGGUCGUGCCAGCCAAAACUCGUGCUCUGGCAAGACCUCGGCGCUGUUCCCGUCGUCUCCCUCAAACCUUAUCCAGGAGCUUCCCCGUGCUCGACUUCGUCACCCCGUGCUCGGGCCCCCUCCUGUUUCGCCAUAAAUGCGUCGCUAGAGGCGUGCCCGUGCCAUGCCCAGCCACUGUCCACCAUUAGAGACCUGUUGAAGCUUGCUUGUGACGCUCCAGAACCUUCCCCGCGGAUAUAUAAGGCGUGCCCGACCUCUCCCGCACCUAACCCAUCUCUCCCUCGCCUCAUUUGGUCACCAGGAUCGCCACAUCUCGCCGGAGUUCGCCUCUGUCCUCCAUGGCCGCCUCGGCCUCGGCUUGGUUCCGACCAAACCGAGCCUCCUAUCCUCCUCCUACCACGUCCACCUAGUUCUCCUCGUUCCAUUCAGCCUCCCCACCCCCUUGCCCCCUCGCCGGAGUCGCCCGUUUCGCCGGAACACCACCACGGCCGCCGCCCCUGGCCUCCUCUGGCUCCGCCUCUCCCCUCCACCUCACUCAUCCCCGGCGGCCGAUGUCUCCCCUGAACGGAGGCGCCUCGGUCUCGCGCACCCGCCGGUGGCCUCGGCUCGGCCGGAGGUGGCCUGCGCCGGCCGGCCCCUUGGCCGCUUCCUCCCCUGUCCCCUGCUCUGUUCCACGAGAGGAACAGAGGCACGGGGGAAGAAGACGACCGAGGCCAGCGCCCCCCCUGCCGCUGGGCCCCUCCUGUAAGUGUCUCCCCCCUGGGUCCACGUGUUUAAGUGGGAACGGGCUUUCCCCGAACACGUUUUCCGUCAGUGAAAGCGUAUUCCAUUCUUCUCCAGCCAAGAAUACGUUUUCCUAUUCAGAAAGCGUAAUCCCUAAUAUAUGCCUCUGUCUUAUUCACUCAGGGACCCGUUGGUGAUGAAAAUAUUCACAGAUUGGUCCCUGAUGUUCUACACCUCAUAACUUCGCGACCGUAACUCCGAUUGAGGUGAAACCAACGCUCACUUCUUCGUCUCGUCGAGAUAUUUCGGUUGGUAACAUUUUCACUAGGUGGUCCCACAGUUAAAAUGACCAUUUUGCCCUUGCCUCUAAUCAUCCCCCUCCGAGAGAGAAUCGUCCGCGUUUCGUUCCGUGGCUUCACCGCACUUCUUCCUGGAGUCUCCGUCACCCCCAGGCAAGCCAAAACAACCACUUGCAUGAUUGUUUUCAACUUGAAUAUUUAAUAAAUGUCUGCUUGUUUUGAUACGAUUAUCGUUGUUUCCGUGAUGCUUAUGGAUUUGUGUUCACUGUCAUGCUAUGAUUUCUUGCACUUUGUUAUCAUGAACUACUUGCUAGUAUUACUUUCAUAUUGUCAUGCUUGAUAGUAGUACAUAUUGGGUUGGUCAUGUUCUGCGGUGCAUGACUAAUGUCGGUUACCGAGAACCGUUGCUAUGCAUGUUUCCGUUGCAUCUAUUUGUUUACAUGCUUACUUGGUAGUAUUAUUGCUAUGUUUUUGCUUGGUAUUUAUCGUUGAUGCUAGUGAUCAUGUUAUGCUAUGAGUAGUGUUAUGCUUGUGAUAUUCAUGCUCGUCCGUAUGCCCUGCUCAUUCGGAUAUAUGAUUUAAUGUUGUGGAUAUGCUCGAUGAUUAUGUUGCACCUCCAUGCUUAUGUUGAUAUCAUGCUCAUGCAUUAUGGUUGCAUCAUGUUAUUUUUAAUAUGGCUCAGCAUCAUUUGCAUUCAAGUUUAACCAGACUUAAAUGAACUUGAACAACUGUUGGCUGAGUCAUGGUGCCACCAUAUCGAGCUGACCAGUGCAGCCACAUUUGCCUUUUAUGGGAAGGUCCUAACUGGGUCUAUUGUCAUGCCUCUCGCCGGUGCCUCCAACAAGGGAAGGUUAUGCGCGGGCGCUACCUUGGCCGGGUAGGACGGCACAAGCCUUGUGAGCCCGAGUUUGGUUAUGUGCACAUUGUUGGGGAACGUAGUAAUUUCAAAAAAAUUCCUACGCACAUGCAAGAUCAUGGUGAUGUAUAGUAACGAGAGGGGAGAGUGUUGUCCAUGUACCCUCGUAGACCGAAAGCGGAAGCGUUAGCACAACGCAGUUGAUGUAGUCGUACGUCUUCACGAUCCGACCGAUCCAAGUACCAAACGUACGGCACCUCCGAGUUCAGCACACGUUCAACUCGAUAACGUCCCGCGAAAUUCGAUCCAGCAGAGCUUCACGGGAAAGUUCCGUCAGCAAGACGGCGUGAUGACGGUGAUGAUGUUGCUACUGACGCAAGGCUUCGCCUAAGCACCGCUACGAUAUGACCUAGGUGAAAUAUGGUGGAGGGGGGGGGGCACUGCACACGGCUAAGAGAGAUCAACAGACCAACUUGUGUCUAUGGGGUGCCCCCCUGGCCACGUAUAUAAAGGAUUGGAGGAGGGGGAGAGGGCCGACCCCUAUGGCGUGCCCUGGAGGAGUCCUACUCCCACCGGGAGUAGGAUUCCCCCCCUUCCAAGCAGUAGGAGUAGAAGUCAAGGAAAGGGAAGAGAGAAGAGAAGGAAGGAGGGGGCGCAGCCCUUCGGACUAGGCCUUGGGGGGCGCGCAUCCUCCCUUCUCUCUUUCCCCUAAAGCCCAAUAAGGCCCAUAUACUCCCCGGCGAAGUCCCGUAACUCUCCGGUACUCCGAUGAAUACCCGAACCACUCGGAACCUUUCCGAUGUCCGAAUAUAGUCGUCCAAUAUAUCGAUCUUUACGUCUCGACCAUUUUGAGACUCCUCGUCAUGUCCCCGAUCUCAUCCGGGACUCCGAACUACCUUCGGUACAUCAUAUCACAUAAACUCAUAAUACCGAUCGUCACCGAACGUUAAGCGUGCGGACCCUACGGGUUCGAGAACUAUGUAGACAUGACCGAGACACGUCUCCGGUCAAUAACCAAUAGCGGAACUUGGAUGCUCAUAUUGGCUCCCACAUAUUCUACGAAGAUAUUUAUCGGUCAAACCGCAUAACAACAUACAUUGUUCCAUUUGUCAUCGGUAUGUUACUUGCCCGAGAUUCGAUCGUCGGUAUCUCAAUACCUAGUUCAAUCUCGUUACCGACAAGUCUCUUUACUCGUUCCGUAAUGCAUCAUCCCGCAACUAACUCAUUAGUCACAUUGCUUGCAAGGCUUAUAGUGAUGUGCAUUACCGAGAGGGCCCAGAGAUACCUCUCCGACAAUCGGAGUGACAAAUCCUAAUCUCGAUCUAUGCCAACCCAACAAACACCAUCGGAGACACCUGUAGAGCACCUAUAUAAUCACCCAGUUACGUUGUGACGUUUGGUAGCACACAAAGUGUUCCUCCGGUAUCCGGGAGUUGCAUAAUCUCAUAUUCAUAGGAACAUGUAUAAGUCAUGAAGAAAGCAAUAGCAACAUACUAAACGAUCAAGUGCUAAGCUAACGGAAUAGGUCAAGUCAAUCACAUCAUUCUUUAAUGAUGUGAUCCCGUUAAUCAAAUGACAACUCAUGUCUAUGGCUAGGAAACUUAACCAUCUUUGAUUCAACGAGCUAGUCAAGUAGAGGCAUACUAGUGACAUUCUGUUUGUCUAUGUAUUCACACAUGUAUCAAGUUUCCGGUUAAUACAAUUCUAGCAUGAAUAAUAAACAUUUAUCAUGAAAUAAGGAAAUAAAUAAUAACUUUAGUAUUGCCUCUAGGGCAUAUUUCCUUCACUCUCCCACUUGCACUAGAGUCAAUAAUCUAGUUCACAUCGCCAUGUGAUUUAACACCAAUAGUUCACAUCACCAUGUGAUUAACACCCAUAGUUCACAUCGUCAUGUGACCAACACCCAAAGGGUUUACUAGGGUCAAUAAUCUAGUUCACAUCGCUAUGUGAUUAACACCCAAAGAGUACUAAGGUGUCAUCAUGUUUUGCUUGUGAGAGAAGUUUAGUCAACGGGUCUGCCACAUUCAGAUCCGUAUGUAUUUUGCAAAUUUCUAUGUCAACCACUACUAGGAAAAGUCCUGCUAGUGGCGCACCUGUUUUGCCUACUAACGGCGCACUACAGGUGCGCCACUAGCAUCACGCCAUUAGAAUUUUUUACUAAUGGCGCACCACAGGUGCGCCAUUAGUAUCUGGUAUACUAAUGGCGCACCAGGCAGUGCACCAUUAGUACAUCACACGGUGCGACAUUACUAUCUGACUUAGCAAUGGCGCACCACAUAGAAGUGCGCCAUUACUAACAAUAUUUUUUCAAAUUUUUUUCAGAAAUAUUUUUUUCAAUUUUUUUUCAAUUUUUUUUCAAAAUUUUCUUUUCGUUUUUUUCUUAAUCUAUGGCUUAAUCUCAAGUCAAAUCGCAUUCCAUGGUCAAACUUCCCGAAAGGUCACCCAUCCUCACACUACUCCAACCCAAGCAUGCUUAACUUCAGAGUUCUAUCCAACCCCAGCACCAGCUGACUUCACAGGCACUUGUUGAUAUAUCUAUCAUAUCAAUUCUAUUAAACAUUGUUGAUGUCUAGGACUUUGUUCAUGUUCAUGUUCAUGAGUGUGAUGAAAUUUUGAAAAAAUAUUUCAAACUUCCCGGUCAUAUUACGUAUCAUAUUUUGAAAAAAAAAUCCAAAAAAAGUUUUUUUGAAACCAAUUUUUUUCUGUUACUAGUGGCGCACCUAGCAAAUGGUGCGCCACUAGUAAGUUUGAUUUUUUUUCAUUUUCCCCCCUCUAGAUCUUAAAAGCCCCGUAUCUUUCGUUCUGUUAGGUUUUUGGGGAUUUUGAAGAUGUUGAACAUGGUUCCCCUGGUUCAAUCGUAUGUAACUUUUCGAGUAGAUGAUUUUUCAUAUAUAAAACUUUUUAAUCCGAGUUCGUAUGCAAAAGUUAUGCCCAUUUUACAAAUUUCAGAGAGAUUUUGCAAAUAAAGUCGAAAUUCAUAUUUGUAAAUUUUCCCAACAACUAGACCACAUAUCACAUGGGAAACUUAUUUUAUUUUAUUUUUUUGACAUUUCCAUCAUUUUCUUUUAAUUUUUUAAAACUGAAAAGGCAGUCCACAGGGGGGUGCAUUCGGUGGAAUUUUUGGGCAUAGUUAGUAAUGGCGCACCAUGGGUGUGGUGCGCCAUUACUAGCUAAACUAGUAAUGGUGCACCACACCCACUAGUAAUGGCGCACCACACCCACGGUGCGCCAUUACUAACUUUGAAAAAAAAAUUGUUAGUAGUGGCGCACCGAGGGUGUGGUGUGCCAUUACUAGUUAAAAUUAGUAAUGGCGCACUGUCCCCUGGUGCGCCAUUACUAGUUUUGAAAAAAAAUAAAAAAAAUUGUUAGUAGUGGCGCACCGAGGGUGUGGUGCGCCAUUACUAGUUUUGAAAAAAAUAAAAAAAAUGUUAGUAGUGGCGCACCGUGGAUGUGGUGCACCAUUAGUAUUUGGACACUAAUGGCGUACCAACACAUGGUGCGCCAUUAGUAUAUAGUAGUGGCGCACCACAUGUGUGGUGCGCCAUUAGUGUCCAUAUUAUCUAUAGCCCUUUUCCUAGUAGUGAACCCACUUUCAAUAUGCAUCAAGAAAGCUUUCCCCUUACUUACCAAUCAAAAAAAGGAAAUUUAACCACUUAAUUUGGGUGAAUCUAUGGUGCAAAUGAGGUGAGGAGGAGGAGGCAGCCGAGACCAAGCUUGGAGGAGGAGGUGGAGAGAAUGAAGUGGGGAAAGUGAGUGUGGUAGGUGGCUGUCAAAAAUAUCUAGCUGCUCUCAGGUUACCAAGGGCACACCUCCUAAGAGUGCGCCAUUAGUAACCCUGGUUACUAAUGGCGCACCUGGUGUGUGGUGCGCCAUUACUAGUUUUGAAAAAAAAUUGUUAGUAGUGGCGCACCGUGGUUGUGGUGCGCCAUUACUAGUUAAAACUAGUAAUGGCACACUAUCCCCAGGUGCACCAUUACUAGUUUUGAAAAAAGAGAGUAAAAAAACAAUUGUUAGUAGUGGCGCACAGAGUGUGUGGUGCGCCAUUACAUGUUAAAACUAGUAAUGGCACACUAUCCCCUAGUGCACCAUUACUAGUUUUGAAAAAAAAUUGUUAGUAGUGGCGCACCGUGGUUGUGGUGCGCCAUUAGUGAUAUGGACACUAAUGACGUACCUAUAUAUGGUGUGCCACUGCUAUAUAGCAGUGGUGCACCACAUACUUGGUGCGCCAUUAAUGUCCAUAUUAGCUAUAGCCUUUUUUCUAGUAGUGGUCGGAUCGUGAAGACGUGCGACUAUAUCAACCGCGUUGUCAUAACGCUUGUGUUUUCGGUCUACGAGGGUACGUGGACAACACUCUCCCCUCUCGUUGCUAUGCAUCACUUAGAUGGAUCUUGCGUGUGCGUAGGAUUUUUUUUGAAAUUACUGCGUUCCACAAUAGUGGUAUCAGAGCCAGGUCUAUGAGUAGAUGUUAUAUCCACGAGUAGAACACAAAGAGUUGCGGGCGAUAAUAGUCAUACUGCUUACCAGCAUGUCAUACUUUGAUUCUGCGGUAUUGUUGGGUGAAGCGGCCCAGACCGACAUUACACGUACGCUUACGCGAGACUGGUUCUACCGACGUGCUUUGCACACAGGUGGCUGGCGGGUGUCAGUUUCUCCAACUUUAGUUGAAUCUAGUGUGACUACGCCCGGUCCUUGUUGAAGGUUAAAACAACACACUUGACGAAAAUUGUUGUGGUUUUGAUGCAUAGGUAAGAACGGUUCUUGCUUAGCCCGUAGCAGCCACGUAAAACUUGCAACAACAAAGUAGAGGACGUCUAACUUGUGUUUGUAGGGCAUGUUGUGAUGUGAUAUGGUCAAGACAUGAUGCUAAAUUUUAUUGUAUGAGAUGAUCAUGUUUUGUAACACAGUUAUCGGUAACUGGCAGGAGCCAUAUGGUUGUCGCUUUAUUGUAUGAAAUGCAAUCGCCAUGUAAUUGCUUUACUUUAUCACUAAGCGGUAGCGAUAGUCGUAGAAGCAAUAGUUGGCAAGACAACAACGAUGCUACGAUGGAGAUCAAGGUGUCGCGCCGGCGACGAUGGUGAUCAUGACGGUGCUUUGGAGAUGGAGAUCAAAGGCACAAGAUGAUGAUGGCCAUAUCAUAUCACCUAUAUUGAUUGCAUGUGAUGUUUAUCCUUUAUGCAUCUUAUUUUGCUUAGUUCGACGGUAGCAUUAUAAGAUGAUCUCUCACUAAAUUUCAAGGUACAAGUGUUCUCCCUGAGUAUGCAUCGUCGCGAAAGUUCGUCGUGCCGAGACACCAGAUGAUGAUCGGGUGUGAUAAGCUCUACGUUCACAUACAACGGGUGCAAGCCAGUUUGGCACACACAUAAUACUCGGGUUAAACUUGACGAGCCUAGCAUAUGCAGAUAUGGCCUCGGAACACUGAGACCGAAAGGUCGAGCGUGAAUCAUAUAGUAGAUAUGAUCAACAUAGUGAUAUUCACCAUUGAAAACUACUCCAUCUCACGUGAUGAUCGGACAUGGUUUAGUUGAUUUGGAUCACGUGAUCGCUUAGAUGAUUAGAGGGGUGUCUAUCUAAGUGGGAGUUCUUAAGUAAUAUGAUUAAUUGAACUUUAAUUUAUAAGGAACUUAGUACCUGAUAGUAUUUUGCAUGUCUAUGUUGUUGUAGAUCAAUGGCCCGUGCUACUGUUCCUUUGAAUUUUAAUGCGUUCCUGGAGAAAGCUAAGUUGAAAGAUGAUGGUAGCAACUACACGGACUGGGUCCCCAACUUGAGGAUUAUCCUCAUUGCUGCACAGAAGAAUUACGUCCUGGAAGUACCGCUAGGUGCAAGACCCGCUGCAGGAGCAGCGCCGGACGUUGUAAACGCCUGGCAGAGCAAAGCUGAUGACUACUCGAUAGUUUAGUGUGCCAUGCUUUACGGCUUAGAACCGGGACUUCAACGACGUUUCGAACGUCAUGGAGCAUAUGAGAUGUUCCAGGAGUUGAAGUUAACAUUUCAGGCAAAUGCCCGGAUUGAGAGAUAUGAAGUCUCCAAUAAGUUCUAUAGCUGCAAGAUGGAGGAGAAUAGUUCUGUCUGUGAGCAUAUACUCAAAAUGUCUGGGUAUCAUAAUCACUUGACUCAGCUGGGAGUUAAUCUUCCGGUUGAUAGUGUCAUUGACAGAGUUCUUCAAUCACUGCCACCAAGCUACAAAAGCUUCGUGAUGAACUAUAACAUGCAAGGGAUGGAUAAGAUGAUUCCCGAGCUCUUCGCAAUGCUAAAGGCUGCGGAGGUAGAAAUCAAGAAGGAGCAUCAAGUGUUGAUGUUCAACAAGACCACCAGUUUCAAGAAAAAGGGUAAAGGGAAGAAGGGGAACUUCAAGAAGAACGGCAAGCAAGUUGCUGCUCAAGUGAAGAAGCCCAAGUCUGGACCUAAGCCUAAGACUGAGUGCUUCUAACGCAAAGGGACUAGUCACUGGAAGCGGAACUGCCCCAAGUAUUUGGCGGAUAAGAAGGAUGGCAAUGUGAACAAAGGUAUAUGUGAUAUACAUGUUAUUGAUGUGUACCUUACUAAAACUCGCAGUAGUCCCUGGGUAUUUGAUACUGGUUCUGUUGCUAAUAUUUGCAACUCGAAACAGGGACUAUAGAUUAAGCGAAGAUUGGCUAAGGACGAGGUGACGAUGCGCAUGGGAAAUGGUUCCAAAGUCGAUGUGAUCGCCGUCGGCACGGUACCUCUACAUCUACCUUCGGGAUUAGUUUUAGACCUGAAUAAUUGUUAUUUGGUGCCAGCGUUAAGCAUGAACAUUAUAUUUGGAUCUUGUUUGAUGUGAGACGGUUAUUCAUUUAAAUCCGAGAAUAAUGGUUGUUCUAUUUAUAUGAGUAAUAUCUUUUAUGGUCAUGCACCCUUGAAGAGUGGUCUAUUGAAUCUCGAUAGUAGUGACACACAUAUUCAUAAUAUUGAAGCCAAAAGAUGCAGAGUUGAUAAUGAUAGUGCAACUUAUUUGUGGCACUGCCGUUUGGGUCAUAUUGGUGUAAAGCGCAUGAAGAAACUCCAUGGACUUUUGGAAUCACUUGAUUAUGAAUCACUUGGUACUUGCGAACCAUGCCUUAUGGGCAAGAUGACUAAAACUCUGUUCUCCGGAACAAUGGAGUGAGCAACAGAUUUGUUGGAAAUCAUACAUACUGAUGUAUGUGGUCCAAUGAAUAUUGACGCUCGCGGCGGGUAUCGUUAUCUUCUGACCUUCACAGAUGAUUUGAGCAGAUAUGGAUAUAUCUACUUGAUGAAACAUAAGUCUGAAACAUUUGAAAAGUUCAAAGAAUUUCAGAGUGAAGUGAAAAAUUAUCGUAACAAGAAAAUCAAGUUUCUACGAUAUGAUCGUGGAGGAGAAUAUUUGAGUUACGAGUUUGGUCUUCAUUUGAAACAAUGCGGAAUAGUUUCGCAACUCACGCCACCCGGACACCACAGUGUAAUGUUGUGUCCGAACGUUGUAACCGCACUUUAUUAGAUAUGGUGCGAUCUAUGAUGUCUCUUACUGAUUUACCGCUAUCAUUUGGGGGUUACGCUUUUGUAAGGGCAUUUUUAUCCCUUAGUUGGUUUUGGUGAUUGAUGACAAUGCUUUUGUGGACUAAUCAUGUGCAUCAAAUAUUUCAGAUAUAUUGACUAGGCACAAGAUGAUUGGGUUCCCCUCAAAGGCUAUAGAAGACGGCGUUUCUCUUCGGUUCUUUUCGGUGGUAUUGAGUCAUAGGGAAGCCGUACUAUUAAGAGGGGGUCCGCUUUGGAAAGGUUGGGUGGAUUCAUCACGUACACAUCGCCCCUUGCACCUCCUUUCCUCUUGCCUUUGGAGCAUCCUAAGUUUUCCUUGUCUAUGCAAUUAUAGCUCUUGUCUGCCGAACUAGGAAGUGCGGUAGUACUGCUCGUCAGAGCGGUAGUACCGCAGGACCUUGCGGUAGUACCGCCCGCUGGUGCGGUAGUACCGCAAGGCCCCACGGUUGUACCGCUUCUGGUAAGCGGUAGUACCGUGGUCCCUGCUUAGUUCCGCAACUACGCGGCUGUAAGGGGCGGAUGUAAUUUUUUACAUCCGCACCUCGCGCGGUAGUACCGCGGCUGGCUUACGGUACUACCGCGUUGGGUUUUUGCAUCGACUCCAACUCUGCGAAAGUAGCCACGGAUGUAAUUUUUUAUAUCCGUGCCUUCCCAUCCGUGGACAGCCCCUGCCUUGUGGUAGUACCACAAGGGGGAGCGGUAGUACCGCGCCAGCAGUACUACCGCCCUCUGCCUUAGUGCAUGUGUGGCUGUUCUGGUCUCUGCUGCGUGGGCGGUAGUACCGCGGGGCUCUGCGGUAGUACCGCGUGCCCCUGCGGUAGUACCGCGCCUCAGGUGCGGUAGUACCGCGUGCCCCUGCGGUAGUACCGCGCCUCAGGUGCGGUAGUACCGCGCUGCGCAGGCUGAGUUGGUGGAUAACGGUUGGAUUUGUUCUUCCACUAUAUAAGGGGUGUCUUCCUCCUCUAGUUGACUACCUCUUCCACCUCCAAGCUCCAUUGUUGCUCCAAGCUCCAUUCUCGCCCGAUCUCCUUCCCUAGCCAAUCAAACUUGUUGAUUCUCUAGGGAUUGGCUGAGGAGGCCCCGAUCUACACUUCCACCAAGAGAUAUUUGAAUUCCCCCACUAAUCCCUUGUGGAUCUUGUUACUCUUGGGUGUUUGAGCACCCUAGACGGUUGAGGUCACCGUGGAGCCAUAGUCCAUUGUGGUGAAGCUUCGUGGUGUCGUUGGGAGCCUCGAAUUAAGUUGUGGAGAUUGCCCCAACCCUGUUUUUAAAGGUUCGGUCGCCGCCUCCAAGGGCACCAAUAGUGGAAUCACGGCAUCUCGCAUUGUGUGAGGGCGUGAGAAGAAUAUGGUGGUCCUAGUGGCUUCUUGGGGAGCAUUGUGCCUCCACACCGCUCCAACGGAGACGUACUUCCUCUCAAAGGGAAGGAACUUCGGUAACACAUCCUCGUCUUCACCGGCUCCACGCUUGGUUAUCUCGUGCCUUUACUUGUGCAAGCUUAUUUGUGCCUUAUCUCUUGCUUGCGUGUAUGCUUAUUGUUGUUGCAUCAUAUAGGUUGCUCACCUAGUUGCAUAUCUAGAAAACCUACUUUGAUGCAAAGUUUAAAUUGGUAAAGAAAAGUUAAAAUUUGUUAGUUGCCUAUUCACCCCCCCUCUAGUCAACUAUAUCGAUCCUUUCAAUUGGUAUCAGAGCCUCGUCUCUUUAUUAAGGACUUUACCAUUCGAAGAGUAUGGUUGACGUCGUAGACGGUGUGGAGGAGCACUCCGGUGUGAAUCCGGUCUCAUCUACGGGAGAUGGGGGAACCGCGGUCUCUCGUGAGGAAUUAAAUGUGGCGUUGGACACAUUGAAAACCUCCAUGACUACCGAGGUCGAAAGCAUGUUUAAUAAAUACUUAGAAGGGCUUAAACUUUCCACCGCACCAUUGAAAGUGGGUGGUCCCGCCAACAAGGUGACGGAUGCUACCUCCGACAAAGGGGAAGCUACUAGCGAGAAAGCUCCUUCUUCUAGUGGUAAAAAUGGCACUGUCAUCUUUGCCCAUGUGGAACCUCCACCUGUCUAUGGUGGACCGCUCCCUUCCACUCAUUUGAAUCAUGUCGGCCCGGCCCCUAAGAUUGAGAAGAAUGUAGAUUUUGAUUCUUGGGUCUAUCGUUUUAAGCGUCAUUUAAAUCAUGUGAACACUAACCUUUGAGAAUCAUUGAAGAAGGUUUUUAUCCGCAUGACCGAAGUAACUUCACUCCUAGAGAAGUUGUGGAUCAUCAAUUCAAUGAGAAUGCUCUCUUCAUCAUCCAAGAAGCAAUCCCACCCGAAGAUCUUCCUCAUCUUCGGCCUUACACCGUGGCCAAAGAUGCUUGGCUCCAAGUUGUUUCCCUCUAUCGGGGAAGCGCAAGCAUUCAACGCUCCAACUAUGAAGUGGUGCAAGAUGAAGCCGACGAGUUUGCAAUGAAAGAAGAUGAAGAACCUCGUGAGCUUUUUCGGAGAGUAACCAAACUCGCGGUCUCUCUCCGAGAUCAUGGUAGUAAGGACACAGAUGACAAUUGGAUCAAGCGCAAAUUCCUCAAGGCAAUGAUGACCUACCACAAAGCCAUGUCCUCCGUCAUGCGUCAAAGGCCGGACUUCCACACCUUGUCCUCAAGUGAAGUGUUGGAUGAGUUCGUUGCUAUGAGCAUCUUGGACAAGACCGCCGACAAUGCGGUUCUUCGCUCUCAAAGAGUAAAGAAGGCCAACCUUCGCUAAAGGCCAAGGUGAGUAUGGAGGAAGAGGAUGAAGAGGAAGAAGAGGAGAGCAACCUCGAAGAUACGAAGUAUGCCUAUCAUGAACACAUGGCUCUUGCUUCAAGGCAAUUUUGGAGCAAGAAGAACUCAAGGCCAAACUUCAACAAGAACUAUUCAAGUGGCGCAAAGGGAAAGCAAUGAGUGAGGACUUGCUUCAAUUGUGGCAAUGUGAGCCACUUUGUUGCGGAAUGCCCUUACGAGAAGAGGGAAGACAAUGGUGGCAAGCUCAUCCGAAAGGACAAGGGCAAGUCAUUCCCCAACAAGAGCAACUUCACCAAGAAGACUCCUCCCAAGGCAUUGGUGGUACAAGAAGAGUACAAUGAGGAUGAUGACGAUGAUGAAGAUGGUGAGUCGGUUGCCAUGGCCUCCGUUGCCAUUGCAAUGACUCCACGGAUGUCUCUCUUCAACUCACCCAAUGAGAACAUCAUCGCCAAAUGCCUCAUGGCUAAAGCCACCAACAAGGUAACCCCCAACAUCAAAACUACCAUCAUUAAUCAUCCUUCUUCGACGGAUAGCAUUGAUGAAUAUGAGGGGACAAAUGUGGAGGAAAAUGAGUUUGAGACCUUUAUGAGUAAACUCAAGGGUAAAUCCAAGAAGCACUUCGUUGCUCUCUUGGAACAACUUGGUGAAGCCAAUGACAUGAUCGAGGCUCACGAAGAUACCAUCUCUAAGAUGGAGGGGCAUAGUCGUGACUAUGCCGAUGAGAUUUCGGAUCUUUCCAAUGCUCUUGACGAAGAGCGUGGUCUUCGUUUGGCUCUUGAGGAGUCAUACAACGAUGAUCAUGCUAAGUUAAAGAAAGAUCUUGAUCAUGCUCUUGUUGUGUCUCGUGUGCUAAACUCCGAGAAGCCAAAGCUUGGGGUUGAUCUUGCUAGACUCAAAGAGGAGUUUGACAUUCUUGACAAGGCUCACAAAGUCUUGAAGGGUGUUCAUGCUAGCCUCAAGGAGUCUCAUGAUCAACUCCAAGUGAAGCUAACUAAGGAGAAAGCCACCUUUCCUCAUAUGGUGUUAAUUGAUAAUGCAAAUGCUACUAACCCUUGUUGUGAGCAUGUGCAUCUUGUUGAGGAGAAUGCUAAGUUGAAGGAGCAACUUGAGAAAGGCAUUGUGUCAUGCAUACAAGGUGAGAAGAACCUCAAUGACCUUUUGAGCAAUCAAAAGGAAGUUAUGGCCAAGGAGGGGAUUGGGUUCACACCCAAGCCCAAGAACAAGAAGAAGAAUGACAAGACCAAACGACCUCCUCCUCUCAAGCAAACUUUUGUGAAGGAGGGAGAGGGUGCUUCCAAGGAUAAGAAGAACAAUGCGAAGGGUGGCGGUGUCAAGAAGGGCAAUGGCACCCCUUCCAACAAAGCCGGCGACUUUAAUCCUUCUUAUGUGCUAUGCCGUGCUAGUGAUGGGCAUGUUUAUGCCAAAUUUGUUGGUUCUCCUUAUGAGUAUAUUGAAUGGUCUAUUUGGGUUCCUAAGACCCUAAUUACUAACAUCAAAGGACCCAUUACAAAAUGGGUACCUAAAACCAAGCAUUGAUCUCUUGUAGGUGUUUGCUUCUGGUGGGGGAUCAUGGUUGCUUGAUAGUGGAGCUACAAAUCAUAUGACCGGAAGCAAGGACUUGGUGGUGGACGUGCACAAGAUUCCAUCUAUGCCCACCAAUGUCGAGUGGGGUGAUGCCUCGUCUUCUAAGGUAUUGGGACUCGGCAAAGUUGUCAUUUCUCAUGAUCUCACGAUCGAGAAGGUCAUGCUUGUUGAGUCCCUUGCAUACAAUUUACUUUCCGUUCGUCAACUUGCAAUCAUGGGCUUUGCCACUUUCUUUGAUAUUGAUACCGUGGCCCUCUUGUGGAGCAAGACUCUUAAAGUAGCCUUUGUUGGGCAUGUCGAGAACGGUCUCUAUGUGAUUAACUUUUUGGAGCGACCCACUAAGACCGCGACAUGCCUAAUGGCUAAAGUUGACGUGGGAUGGCUUUGGCAUCGCCGGUUAGCGCAUGUCAAUAUGAGAUCUUUGCAAAGUCUUCUCAAGGGGGACCAUGUCCGUGGACUAACGAAUGUUAGUUUUGCUAAAGAUCGUGCCUGCAGUGCUUGUAUCGAAGGAAAGCUACAUGAGACGGCUCACCCUCCCACAACUAUCAUUUACUCGAAGAGGCCUUUGGAGCUCCUUCAUUUGGAUCUCUUUGGGCCUCCAUCCUUUGAUAGUCUUGGGGGUAGGAAGUAUUGCUUGGUGAUUGUGGAUGACUAUUCAAGAUACACUUGGGUGUAUUUCUUCAAGAGGAAGAGCGAGACCCAACAAACCGUCAUUGACUUUGCGAAUGAAGCCCAACGUCAACACAAUACAAAGAUCUUGACAAUAAGAAGUGACAACGGCACCGAGUUUAAGAACUACACUUUGGAUGAGUUUCUUAGUGAUGAGGGGAUCAAGCAUCAAUAUUCCGCACCUUACACCCCUCAACAAAACGGUGUUGCGGAGAGGAAGAACCGGACGUUGAUGGAUGCGGCAAGGACCAUGAUGGCGGAGUUCAAGUCUCCAUACAACUUUUGGGCCGAAGCCAUCAACACCGCGUGUCAUGCAUCCAAUCGGCUCUACCUCCGCAAGGGCUUGAACAAGACUCCAUAUGAGAUUUUCACCGGUAACAAGCCCAACCUCAAGUACUUUCGGGUGUUCGGGUGUAAGUGUUUCAUUCUCAAGAAAGGUGUUCGGUUGUCUAAAUUUGAGGCUAGAGCUUAUGAGGGCAUAUUUGUUGGUUAUGUGACAAACUCUCAUGCUUACCGUGUCCUCAAUAAAUCUACGGGGCUUAUUGAGGAGACGUGUAACAUGGCGUUUGAUGAGAAUAACGGCUCCCAAGUGGAGCAAAGUGGCACUUGUGAUGUGGUGAUGAAAUUCCUCCUCAAGCCAUAAGAAUAAUGGGUGUUGGUUUUAUUCUACCCAUUGAGGAACCCCUUGUGGCCGAAGGAGAAGGACAAUGCUCCACUCAAGUGGAGCCAUCACCAACCCAAGGCCCACACGCUUCCGAAGAACAAAGUGAAGACCCUCAACCUCAUGAACAAGACCAAGGGCAAGAUCAUGCUCAAGACGGUGGUGACACACCAAGUGAUGCCCAAGGUCAAGUUCUCUCCUCCAAUCAAGUUCAAGAUCAAGAACAAGCUCAAGACGGCGCUCAAGAUGAUCAAGUGACCGCUCCUCGACUCACCACCGAGGAGGAAUUGGAGCAUUGUGCCGCCAAGAUUGCAUCCAAGCUCUCCACCAAGGGUCAUCUCAUGAAGAAUGUGCUUGGAAGCAUUCAAAAGGGGGUAAGCACUCGUAGACAAUUGGCAAACUAUUGUGAACAUCACGCGUUUGUCUCUUGUGUUGAACCCCAUAAGGUAUAUGAAGCACUCGAAGAUCCGGAUUGGCUUAAUGCCAUGCAUGAAGAACUCAACAACUUUGAGUACAACAAGGUGUGGAGAUUAGUGCCGAGGCCAACGGGGAACCACAAAGUCAUUGGAACCAAGUGGAUAUUCAAGAACAAGCAAGAUGCUCAUGGGACCAUCAUUCGCAACAAGGCACGAUUGGUGGCACAAGGCUACUCCCAAGUCGAGGGUAUCGACUAUGGUGAAACCUUUGCUCCCGUUGCUCGCCUUGAAUCUAUUCGUUUGUUGAUUGCUUAUGCUUCUCAUCACAACUUUAAUUUGCAACAAAUGGAUGUGAAGAGUGCUUUUCUUAAUCGUCCCAUUAAUGAGUUGGUUUAUGUCAAGCAACCCCCCCGGUUCGAGGAUCCCUACUUUCCCGAUCAUGUGUAUCAACUCGAUAAGGCACUCUAUGGCCUUAAACAAGCCCCACGUGCGUGGUAUGACCACCUUACCGAGUUGUUACAAGAUCGUGGGUUUGAAGUUGGGCUAAUCGACCCCACUCUUUUUACUAAGAAGGUCAAAGGGGAGUUGUUUGUAUGCCAACUAUAUGUUGAUGAUAUUAUAUUUGGUUCCUGUCGUGGAAUUGUCACGGCAGAUGUCCUCGAGCUAGGACUUAGUCGUGGAGCCAUCGCAGCUAGGAAGCUUGAAGGGGUUAAACGGGACAAGGAACACGAGGGUUAUACUAGUUCGGCCCCUUACGGUGAAGGUAAAAGCCUACGUCCAGUUGAGGUGGUAUUGAUUAGGGUUUCGAUGACCAGGGAGCUUAACUGCUAGGCCUGGCUCUCGACGAGAUCUUCCUUCUCCUUGACCCGCCGCCGGGUCGUCCCUUUAUAUAGAGAGGUUGACGCCCAGCAGCUCUCAGAGUCCCGGCCGGCUCAUAAGAGUGUCCGGCUCGGACUCUCAACUAUUCUUGCCUUACACUACAAGUUCUACCAUAAUAGCGGUUGCAACUAUGGGCCUUAAGCCAUCUCCGGGUCUUAAGCCCAUAUCUGGCCCGCCGUCUUCAAGCUUGGCGCCGGGCUUCAGGCGAUGACCAUUAUGAGUAACCCGGCCCCUCCGGGUGGGUGACUGUAAGGGUUAUAUCCUCAACAUUAGGCCCCAGAUUGAUUUGAGCCGGCUCAUGUCAAUCUUCAAUCCUUUUGACAGAAAAUCUCCGGCUUACAAUUGUGUGAAGGCUAUAACCCGUCGUGAUGUCAUCUUCUGGAUUCCAGGUAACCCGCCGUGACGUCAUCUUCCAUUAAGUCCAUUUUUUACUCCACCAUAUCCGCAACGGAUCUUAUCUUUAACUGCCGUCCCAAAAAUCGAGGCGUUUUUGUGGUGAGAUUACCGCGCCGUGGCCUCCUCGUUUCUCGCUCCCACUUAUGAGCCUCACCUUAUAAAUAGUCCGGCCCGAUGAGCCUCCAGCCACUCGUCUUCCUCCUCUCGCCACUGUUCUCUCGCUCGAGCUCCAUCGCCGCCGCCGCCGCGGGUCUUCCUGUCUUCUCCGACUCAGGCCGCUGCACCAACCUGACGUGACCAGAUAAACGGCGGCGACCUCCGCAACUCUCCAGUACCUGUAAGCCCUUGUUACUCCGUAGAAUAGACCUGCAUUAGGGUUCUUGCUAUUCUUCCCGUGUUCGUCGCCGUUCAUCGCGAGCUCUUGGUAGAUUUCAUUAUUACCACCCCUUCUUGAUCUGUAGACUGUAGAGGACUGUUGCGGUAGUUGUUUCACACCCGUUUCCAAUGUAUAUAGAUCCCUUUUCCCUGCAUAAAGGCUCCGUUCGAACCUAUGAACUUCUUCUGCGUCUGUUUUAGGUCUAGAAACUUUUCCUUUUAGUCAACCAUUUUGAUCCAAAAUAUUCACUGCGAUCGGUGAAACUUGUUUUCACCACACUUAGUAAAAAACUGCAUCUGCUGAGCUAUGGCGGCUUAUAUUUCCGGCUCAGAGAAGCCACGCGCCGUAAAAUUUGCCGGCUCAUUUAUGAUAAAGCUGUAGACAAUUUGAAUUACUCUCGCUACCUGCAGCGGCUUAGAUAACCCGAUGCACUUAGCCAUAUGUCAUUAGGCCCCUUCAUAAGCCGCCAUUUUAAACAUUGAACUGUAAACUUCCUCUGGCUUAUAAUUGAACCGGACAUUUCCUUUUAUCAUAGGCUUCCGACUUUCACCAUGCCUCCCAAAGCUCCCAAAGCACCCAUCACGUGCAACUGGCUGAGGUCCAACAUCACUGAGGAAACCUUAGCGGACUUUGUGAAGACGGGCUACCUGCCCAAAAAGGAUGUCAUGUCUUACCGUGCCCCUGACCCGUCAGAGGAGAGACCGCAACCCAAGGAUGGUGAAGUGGUAAUAUUUGCGGAUCACAUGAGCCGGGGCUUCGCACCGCCCGGCUCAAGGUUCUUUAGAGAUGUGCUGAAUUUCUUUGAUCUGCGGCCACAAGACAUAGGACCCAAUUCUGUGUCGAAUAUAUGCAAUUUCCAAGUGUUCUGCGAAGUCUACCUUGGAGAAGAGCCCAGCCUUCUGCUCUUUAGAGAGCUAUUCUAUUUGAACCGCCAAAAUGAGUGCGCCAACGGACCAAGCCUGGAACUUGGUGGAAUCUCCAUUCAACGCCGGAGAGACUGCCUCUUUCCUUACGCUGAGCCGCCCAGCCAUCCAAAGGACUGGAACCGGACGUGGUUCUACUGCUAGGACACUUCGCCGGCUGACGAGAGCCCGCUGCCCGGCUUUCGUCCCUCGCGUCUGGAACCAACUCACCCUCUGUCAGACAAGCUAUCUCAGGCGGAGCGCCAACCUCUGAUCCCCACCAUCAACAAAAUCAAGGCUCUACUGGGAAAUGGCCUCAAUGGCAUUGAUCUGGUCCGGGCCUGGAUCUCGUGGCGGGUGAUUCCCUUGAGCCGCCGCCCCAGCUUAAUGUGUGAUUACACGGGCCGGAAAGAUGACCCCCUGCGACACAGCCGCAACGAUCUUCCUGAAGACGCUGCUGAAGACAUGACCAAGGCCCUCUUGAACGAGAGCUUGGCAGACUGCGGCAGGACCAGCUUAAGCCCCUUCUGUAAGACCAACCCGGCCCCAGCGGUAAGCCGCUGAUCUGAAUAUCAUAUUUUCUCCUUUAGAUAGUUUCCAUCUGAACCUUAAGAAAUCUUCAUUGUAUUUUUCAGGCUGAUGAUAAAUUCUGGAAGGUCAAGUAUGACCAUGAGGCGGCCAAGAAGGCCAGGAAGGCUAAGAAAGCCGCCAGGAGAGCCUCUCCCCGCAAGAAGGGAAGCAGGCCUACUGCCUCAGAGCUGCUUCAAUUAAGUGAUAGCUCCGAGUCAGAGGUAACCCCUGAACCUGUAAGCUCUUGUUGCAUUCCUUGUUUAUUCCUGUCCACCUUAUUGAUACUGAUCAUUAGCAGGACGACACCGGAGCAAGUAACCCGGUGGUUGAAGAGGUAAUGACACUUUCCUCCGACUCGGAGCCCUUGCCAAGGCUGAAAGUCCGAAGAGUAACCCGGAAAGUAAGAUUUUCACAUCCUUUAGCUUAUCAAGAUCCUCAAUUUCUUUUGAAGCGACAGAUUCAUGAGAGCCGGCGGCACACCCGGACCAACAAAGACGCAGACCUCUCCUCUGGCUUACCUGAAGCGUCGAGGAAGCACCGGACCGAGGUCACCUCCAACUUAUAUCCUUUUCAUCCUUUGGCGGGUGUUAUACGUCAACCGCUCAAUUCUUCUGAUUCAAAUUAUCAGGAAACUUCACCCUCCUCUGGCGACUCUAUGCAAUCGAACCUGCCGGCUUUCAAGACCGUACCCGGGUAAAUGAUGAUCAUCUCUUGUUAUGCUUAUCUUUACUCAUACUUUUGUACUAACCUUAUGUCCUUUCAGUGCUCAAGCAAAGCUCAGUAAAAGAGCAAAAAAUAACAAGCCGGUCGAAGAACCGGUCUUGCUUGAGCCGGAGGUUGCAGCUCAAGAGCCGCCAGUUGCCUCUGCCCCUGAAGCCACCACUCCAACCGAUGAGCCAGCCACGGAGACUUCCACCAACCCGGACAUCUCCAGCCCGGCUCAACCGGCCGAUGACCCGGACGUGGUAAUCACCCGGACGGAGUUUGUCGAGCCGGGGAGACCCACUGCGCUGGCUAAGUGCUCUGCGAAGGAAGAGUUGCUAGAGCGCCGCCGGGCCAAGCUGGACAUCACCAACUAUCCUAACUUGAGCAUCGGAGAGAUCGUCUCCGGCUAUGUCAGUCAGGUGCACAACAGCCGGGAUUUGGAGAUCAACAUGGUGAAUCAGAUACAGCAGAAGUCUGAGGUACCACUCUAUUGCUUACUGCAUAGUUAUCUUUACCAUACUCUAGCCCCCAAGCCUACUACUUAUGAUAGAAUAUGUUGUAGACUUAUCUUCCGGCUUACUCUCAGGAACCGGUAAUUUUGUAGAUAGAAAACUUUCGACAUGCAUUAGCCCCCAAGUGCCAAGUGUCUUUGCUUGGAAAGUGCUUGGGACUUUAAAGUUGCAUAAUAACUGUUCAUACUAUAACCCGGAAAUUGUGCAGGCUAUUUGCAAGAAAUUUGAGGCUGAUAUCUCAGAGCUGAAGAACCGCCUGACGACUCAGGAAACUGAGACCCGGACGGCCAACGCCAAAUUCGAAUCCAGCAUUGCCGCUCAAGAGAAGCUGAAGAAGACGUUUGAAGCUGAAAGGAAAACUUGGGCCGAAGAGAAGGCUGCUCUGGUCAGCCGGGCCGAAUAGGCGGAGAAGGCUCUGACGGAGAGAACCGCCGAACUCUCCGGCUUAAAACGCCAUGUGUCACAAAUGGUCACCGCAAUCUUCGGUAAGUCCUUCUGCAGGCUUUGAACAAGUUUACAGUCUUUAUGUCCCAUAACUCCCAUCAUUGAGAACGAAUUACCUUACUUUGUUAAACAGGUCCCAGAAGCGCCAACCUCAAUCAGAACGUGUUGACCAAGCUGAAGGCCGUGUACACCCUGGUGGAGCAACUCUACACCGGGUCACAGCGCGCUUUGGCCGUGGUGGCCCUAUCCAACGAGGUUCCGACUCACCUGGCGGAAGUUCUUCACCGGCUUGCCGUUCUUCCUCAGCGUGUCCAAGAGCUGCGACGGGCCUCUGCAAGAGCCGGAGCCAUAGCUGCUAUGAGCCGGGCCAAGGCUUUCCUUCCAGAGCUAGACCCGGCAGACAUCGCACUUGGUUACCCCAGCUUGAAGGAAGACGGCACCCCUUUCGACCAAAAGGACUUUGCUGCCUGUGUGAAGAUCGUGCGCCCGGUGGCCACCCUGAUUGGGAAUGACACUGAUCUGACCAAGUAUCAACCGAGCUACGAUGCAGAGAAUCAGAGGAUCCCCACUCCGCGUUACGAAGCCAUCAGCUUAGUCCCGCCGACUCGUAAGCACACCUUUGCCCCGGAAAUUGACCCGGCCGGGUUAAUUGACGAGGAAGCUCAAUUUGAAGCUUUGAGCGGCAUUGACUGGAAAUCGUCAACCUUCCAGGUCUUGGGAACAGCCGGAGGAGCGGAGAGGGAUGAGCCGAAAGCUUCGUCCCGGCAAGCAUCUUGACUCUUUAGGCGGCUUGUUAAACAAUGCUUCACCCUUUUGGACUCGGGGAGUCUUGUAAUAGCAUAGGACCAACAUUUUAACUUUGUCAUGCCAUCGUGCACGUGCUGAAUGCUUAAUUCCAUUGAAGUUGCUUCCUUAUAUUCCUCCGGGUCAUAAUUGAUCAUUCAUUUUCCUUAAGCUCAAAUAGUUGUCUUUAACUAUCCUGCAUAGAAAAACAAAUCACAAGUCUCUAGGCGGCUUACCGCACUGAGAGUCAUAGUCUCAUACAUAUAACCCGGAAUAUAAAUCUAAGUCACGAAAGACUGGUCCUCAAUUAUGUCUUUGACAUAACCGUAAUAACACACUUACCGGCCUUCAAGUACACUUCCAGAUUAUAUAACCCGGAUAAUAAGGUUGGUACCUCAACUCCGGUUUACCAGUCUUGACAAUGCUGAUUGUGCAUGACUAGCAUCGUGAGUCAAACUUAAGCCGGCGGAACAAAAACCGCCGUGUACACUGUUGAUACCACCAGAAGAACUUGUUGUAAAUCAGAAAAUCAAAACUCAGGGGCUUCCGGUUCAAAUACGACCAGAGACCCGUCCCAAAGGGGUUAAGCUAAGAUUCGAAUGCGAUCAUAUAGCCCCCAGUGGGUUUGGCGAUGCCGAUCAAGAGGGUACCGACAGCUAUGUUCUCUUUGGUUCGAAUACGACCCAUGUUUGAACAUGAAGCCCCCAAAUGACCUUAAGAGUUGUUUAACGACGCUGAUUCGAAUACGAUCCACGUCGGUUCCCAAAGGGGGUUGAGCUAUGAUUCAAAUAUGAUCAAAGAAGACUCCCCAAUGAGCUCGGCACUUUGCCAAUCAAAUGGGUAUCGACAGCUAUGUUCUCUUUGGUUCGAAUACGACCUAUGUUUGAACAGGAAGCCCCCAAGUGAUUAUAUUGCGUAUGGCUAGAUUCGAAUACGAUCAUAAGCCGGAUCCAUCUCCAAGUUACCAUGUGAUCUUGUAAUGGAAACAACACCUUUACCUUUGGAGGAGAAAAAAGGACAGAGGUCUUGCUUUAUUGCUUAUCAUAAUAUAUACAUGGCUUAUAGAAAUAUGUACAUUAUGAGAGCCGGUGGCUCAAGUGUAAUAAGGCCGGAGCUGAGCUACGUUCCACGGCCGACGGGUCUCUUCCUCCGACUUAUGUAAAUCUUUAUGCUCGCGAACGUCAAUAAGGUAGUAUGACCCGUUGUGCAAGUUCUUGCUGACCACAAAGGGUCCUUCCCAAGGCGGGGAUAGCUUGUGCGCAUCUGUUUGAUCUUGGAUGAGCCGGAGCACCAGAUCACCUUCCUGGAAGACCCGGGAUUUAACCCGGCGACUGUGAUAACGGCGCAGGUCUUGUUGGUAAAUCACUGAGCGAGCUGCUGCCACAUCACGCUGUUCGUCCAACAAGUCAAGAGCAUCUUGGCGCGCCUGUUCAUUAUCCGCCUCAACAUAAGCCGCCACUCGAGGCGAGUCAUGACGGAUGUCACUGGGGAGGACUGCUUCCGCUCCAUAAACCAUGAAGAAGGGCGUGUAACCCGUAGACCUGUUAGGAGUAGUAUUGAUGCUCCAUAACACGGAGGGUAACUCCUCCACCCAACAACCCGGCGUCCGUUGCAAAGGGACCAAGAGCUGGGGCUUGAUGCCUUUCAGAAUCUCCUAAUUAGCUCUCUCAGCUUGACCAUUAGAUUGAGGGUGAGCCACUGAUGAAACAUCAAGUCGAAUAUGCUCUCGUUGACAAAACUCCUCCAUGGCGCCCUUGGACAGAUUGGUACCAUUGUCAGUUAUAAUGCUAUGUGGAAAGCCAAAGCGAAAGAUCACCUUUUUCAUGAACUGAACCGCCGUGGCUGCGUCACACUUGCUAACUGGCUCUGCUUCCACCCAUUUUGUGAAUUUGUCAACUGCCACCAAGAGGUGGGUCUUCUUGUCCUUAGACCUUUUAAAAGGCCCAACCAUAUCGAGCCCCCAGACCGCAAAUGGCCAAGUGAUUGGUAUCAUCCGCAGCUCUUGAGCCGGCACAUGAGCCCGUCGUGAGAACCUCUAGCAACCGUCACAUUUACUGACCAAGUCCUCCGCAUCAGCAUGAGCCGUCAACCAAUAAAAACCAUGACGAAAAGCCUUUGCAACAAGGGAUUUUGAGCCGGCAUGAUGGCCACAAUCCCCUUCGUGAAUCUCACGCAAGAUUUCUUGACCUUCCUCAGGGGAGACACAACGCUGGAACGCUCCUGUAACACUGCGGCGAUGCAGCUCACCAUUGAUAACAACCAUUGACUUAGACCGCCGGGUUAUUUGUCUGGCCAACGUUUCAUCCUCAGGCAAAUCUCCCCGGGUCAUGGAAGCCAAAUAAGGCACCGUCCAGUCCGGGGUGAUGUGGAGAGCCGCCACCAACUGUGCCUCCGGGUCAGGGACAGCCAAGUCUUCCUCUGUAGGAAACUUAACAGAAGGGUUAUGCAAGACGUCCAAAAAAGUAUUAGGCGGCACCGGUUUUUGCUGAGAGCCCAGCCGGCUUAAAGCAUCAGCCGCCUCGUUCUUCCUGCGAUCGAUGUGCUCUACUUGGUAACCCUGAAAGUGUCCAGCAAUAGCAUCAACUUCACGGCGAUAAGCCGCCAUGAGAGGGUCCUUGGAAUCCCACUUGCCUGAUACUUGUUGAGCUACUAAGUCUGAGUCGCCGAAGCACCUUACCCGGCUCAAGCUCAUCUCCUUAGCCAUCCGAAGACCAUGGAGCAAGGCCUCGUACUCAGCCGCAUUGUUAGUACAAGGAAACAUCAACCGUAGCACAUAAUGGAACUUGUCACCUUUAGGGGAAGCCAAUACAACUCCAGCCCCCGAGGCCUCCAAUUGCCUGGACCCAUCGAAGUGAAUAGUCCAAUAUGUGUUAUCCGGCUUUUCUUCGGGCACUUGUAGCUCUGUCCAAUCGUUGAUGAAAUCCACCAAGGCUUGAGAUUUAACAGCAGUGCGUGGUAUGUAUUUCAGACGAUGAGGUCCGAGCUCUAUAGCCCACUUAGCCACUCUCCUUGUGGCCUCUCUGUUUUGAAUGAUAUCUCCAAGGGGGGCAGAACUGACCACAGUGAUAGGGUGACCCUGGAAAUAAUGCUUAAGCUUCCGGCUUGCCAUGAACACACCAUAAACAAGCUUCUGCCAAUGUGGAUACCGCUGUUUGGACUCGAUGAGCACUUCACUGACGUAAUAAACCGGCCGCUGAACCGGGUGCUCCUUACCCUCUUCCUUGCGCUCCACCACCACAGCCACACUGACGGCCCGUGUGUUAGCAGCUACAUACAACAAUAAAGGCUCCUUGUCAACCGGAGCAGCAAGGACUGGGGGCUCUGCCAGCUGUCUCUUCAAAUCCUCAAAAGCAGUAUUAGCAGCAUCAUUCCAGACAAAGUUAUCAGUUUUCUUCAUCAACUGGUACAAUGGCAUGGCCUUCUCACCCAAACGGCUUAUAAACCGGCUUAAAGCAGCGAUACGACCCACCAGGCGCUGGACGUCAUUUAUACACGCCGGCUUAGCCAGAGAGGUGAUUGCCUUGAUCUUCUCCGGGUUAGCUUCAAUGCCUCUGUUAGAAACCAAGAAACCCAAGAGUUUGCCUGCAGGAACACCAAAAACACACUUGGCCGGGUUAAGCAUCAUCUUGUAGACCCGGAGAUUAUCAAAGGUUUCCCUCAGAUCAUCUAUCAAGGUUUCCUUCUCCCUGGACUUAACCACAAUAUCAUCCACAUAGGCAUGAACAUUGCGCCCAAUCUGGUUAUGAAGACAGUUCUGCACGCAACGCUGAUAAGUCGCCUGUGCACUCUUGAGCCCAAAGGGCAUAGACACAUAGCAGAAGGCUCCAAAGGGAGUGAUGAACGCCGUCUUCUCCUGGUCCUUAACUGCCAUUUUAAUCUGAUGGUAUCCAGAAUAAGCAUCCAAGAAACUUAAGCGCUCGCAACCCGCCGUAGCAUCAGUGAUUUGAUCAAUACGGGGAAGAGCAAAAGGAUCAGCCGGACAUGCCUUAUUUAAGUCCGUGUAGUCCACACACAUCCGCCAGGUGCCAUUCUUUUUGAGCACGAGCACCGGGUUAGCUAGCCACUCCGGGUGAAAGACUUCAACAAUAAACCCGGCUGCCAAGAGCCGGGCCACCUCUUCACCAAUGGCUUUCCGCCUCUCUUCAUUAAACCGCCGAAGGAAUUGCCUGACCGGCUUAAAUUUUGGAUCAACAUUGAGAGUGUGCUCAGCGAGUUCUCUAGGUACACCCGGCAUGUCAGAAGGCUUCCAUGCAAAGAUGUCCCUAUUCUCACGGAUGAACUCGAUGAGCGUGCUUUCCUAUUUUGGAUCCAGAUUGGCACUGAUGCUGAACUGCUGAGAUGAAUCACCUGGAACGAAAUCAACAAGUUUAGUCUUAUCAGCCGACUUAAAUUUCAUUGCCGGCUCAUGCUCCGUAGUCGGCUUUUUCAGAGAGGUCAUAUCUGUUGGGUCAACAUUGUCCUUGUAAAAUUUCAACUCCUCUGUUGCACAAACAGAUUCUGCAUAAGUUGCAUCACCUUCCUCACACUCCAAGGCCACCUUCCGGCUGCCAUGAACCAUAAUGGUCCCAUUGUGACCCGGCAUCUUGAGCUGUAAAUACACGUAACACGGCCGUGCCAUGAACUUGGCGUAAGCCGGCCGCCCAAAUAUGGCAUGAUAUGGACUUCUUAUCUUGACCACUUCAAAGGUCAAUUUUUCCACCCUGUAGUUGUACUCGUCUCCAAAGGCCACUUCCAACUCGAUCUUACCAACUGGAUAAGCCGACUUACCAGGCACCACACCAUGGAAAAUAGUAUUGGACUGGCUGAGGUUCUUAUCAAUCAACCCCAUACGACGGAAAGUCUCAUAAUAGAGGAUGUUGAUGCUGCUGCCUCCAUCCAUGAGUACCUUAGUGAAUUUAUAUCCUCCCACCUGAGGAGCCACCACCAGGGCCAAGUGACCCAGAUUAUCAACCCGAGGAGGGUGAUCCUCCCUACUCCACACAAUAGGCUGCUCAGACCAUCUUAAGUAGCGUGGAGUUGCCGGCUCAACAGCAUUCACAGCCCUCUUAUGAAGCUUCUGAUCUCGCUUACACAGACUGGUGGUAAAUACGUGAUACUGUCCCCCGUUGAGCUGCUUUGGGUUGGUCUGAUAACCCCCCUGUUGCUGUUGAUGACCCUGGCCAGACUGCUGAUUAAAGCCCCCUUGACCGUUCUGAGGAUUAGAAUUUGAGCCGCCGCCCGGGCCAUGAAAACCGCCAGUGCCUGAACCGCCGCCCGGGCCAUGGUUGUCAUUAAAGGCAUUGGAAUUCUUAAAGGCUUUCAUGAUUGCGCAAUCCUUCCAUAGAUGAGUAGCUGGCUUCUCCCUAGAGCCAUGCCUUGGACAAGGCUCAUUCAACAGCUGUUCCAGCGUCGGGCCUGACCCGCCGGCUCGGGGAGGUGGCCUCCCCUUGCGUCGCUGGUUAUUCCCCUGUGAGCUGGCGUUGGCCACGAACUCUAGGCUGCCGUCGGCCUUACGCUUGCCACCUCCUUGGUUCCCCGGGUUAUGCUGAGGACCCUUGCCAUUGCCGUUCUUCUUUCCCUUCCCUGUCCUUUCAUCAUCUGAAGCGGGGUCCUUGGUACUAUCAGAAUCGGCAUACUUGACGAGAGCCGCCAUCAGCGUACCCAUAUCAUUGCAGUUACGUUUAAGCCGCCCGAGUUUCAUCUUCAAGGGCAGGAAACGACAAUUCUGUUCCAACAUUAAGACUGCAGAGCCGGCAUCCAUCUUAUCAGAUGAAUGUAUUAUCUCCUUGACCCGGCGAACCCAAUGUGUCGUAGACUCACCCUCCUGCUGUUUACAGUUAGUCAAAUCCACAAUUGACAUAGACUGCCUACAGGUAUCUUUGAAGUUUUGGAUGAACCGGGCCUUCAACUCAGCCCAAGACCCGAUGGAGUUCGGUGGUAGCCCUUUCAACCAAGUGCGGGCAGUCCCAUCUAACAUCAUGGUGAAGUACUUGGCCAUCGCUGCUUCACUGACCUCCAGCAAUUCCAUGGCCAUCUCAUAACUCUCGAUCCAGGCUCCGGGUUGUAAGUCAGCCGUGUAAUUAGGCACCUUCCUAGGCCCUUUGAAAUCCUUGGGCAGACGCUCAUUGCGGAGAGCCAGCACUAAACAAGGGACACCUCCAGUCCUCGUAGGGAUACCCACAUCGACGGAAGUCAUCGGAUAAGCCGGGGGAGUCUGGUAAGCCGUCAACUGAGGCACCUGCUCCACCUCCUGUCGCGCUCUGUCUUGGUCUGUUGCGUGAAAGGCUCCGUUAUGAGCCGGGCCAUGGCCAGGGGGCGGGUCAUGGCGUCGGACAUUACUUGAGCCGGUCGCUGAGACCAUGUGUCUGCUAUAACUCGGGCUCCGGCCUGGACGAGGGGUUGAGUGGAUCCUGUCCUGGCUGUAAGAAUACGCUUCUUGCUGCGCCAGUGCUGUCUGAAGGAGUUCUCUGACCCGGCGGGUUCCAAUAGCCGUUGGAGAGUCGCCGUCAAUCGGGAGAGCCGCCAGCCGUGCUGCUGCGGCGACCAUAUUCUCCAGCGGGUUAGCAUAAUGACCCGGUGGUAUUGGCACAUACUGAGGCGGGGCGGGGUUCACCCGGGGAGGCCCCAUCACUUGUGGCUGAACAGGGGUCCCAGACCCGGGCACUAUGAUCCCCGGCGGGUUACUAGACCCUGCACCUGGCGUAUUGAAGAGGUUUCGAGGAUCGUAGACCGGAGGGAGUCGAGAUUGGGCCUUUUGAUGCCUCCUUCUCAUGACCUCAUUGGACGUGUUCUGAUCCAUCGUGAGCCGGAAGGACUGCGCCUGAAUCAACUGAGUCUGGGCGUCGAGAGCCGCCCUCUCCGCAGCCAUCCUGAUCCCUUCCGCCGCCAGAUCCUCCUUGGCUUUCACUAGAUCUAACUUUAACUGCGCCACCUCCGCGUCAUGCUGAGCUUGAUCCGCCGGGUCAACCGUGGCGGUCAACAGGGCUGUCAUCUUGUCCGUGAGAUCCCUCAGCACCUGAGCCGGCGAGGGUACCGGGUUUCCUGACCCAGCGGCGGGGUUUUGAACAGGUUGCGCACCGGCCAUGAAGAUCCCAACCCGGCUCGGCGGCUCAAAAGGAUCCGGAAUACUGUCACCAUCGGAACAACCCCUGAGCCUGCCAUCUUGAAGUUGAUACAACGAGUUUGACUCAUCUGUGGAUGACUCGCCGUCAGAGCCGGCGGCCGUCUCAUCACCAGAUCCAGACCCUUCGGAGAGUCCUCCAUGAACACAUCCCACAAAAGCAUGCCUCAAGGCAGGUAGAGCCCGGGCAGGUCGUGCACGCUGAGCCAUCUCGAUGAGGUCGGCGCAGAGAUCCGGCUCAGGGCCCGGCUCAUCAAUCUUGCCAAUGAAGACAUGAAUUCCGCCGAAGGGGACCCGGUACCCGUACUCAAUUGAGCCGGCGUCGGGGCCCCAGUUUGCAUCGUCGAUGUAGAGCUUGCCGCGACGACUCUUGGUCAUCCGGCUCACAGCGUAUCCCUUGAGCCCUUCGAAGCUGCCCUUCAAGAACUCAAAUCCACCGUGCGCUGGCCCCACGGUGGGCGCCAACUGUCGUGGAAUUGUCACGGCAGAUGUCCUCGAGCUAGGACUUAGUCGUGGAGCCAUUGCAGCUAGGAAGCUUGAAGGGGUUAAAUGGGACAAGGAACACGAGGGUUAUACUGGUUCGGCCCCUUACGGUGAAGGUAAAAGCCUACAUCCAGUUGAGGUGGUAUUGAUUAGGGUUUUGAUGACCAGGAAGCUUAACUGCUAGGCCUGGCUCUCGACGAGAUCUUCCUUCUCCUUGACCCGCCGCCGGGUCAUCCCUUUAUAUAGAGAGGUUGACACCCAGCAGCUCUCAGAGUCCCGGCCGGCUCAUAAGAGUGUCCGGCUCGGACUCUCAACUAUUCUUGCCUUACACUACAAGUUCUACCAUAAUAGCGGUUGCAACUAUGGGCCUUAAGCCAUCUCCGGGUCUUAAGCCCAUCUCUGGCCCGCCGUCUUCAAGCUUGGCGCCGGGCUUCAGGCGAUGACCAUUAUGAGUAACACGGCCCCUCCGGGCGGGUGACUCUAAGGGUUAUAUCCUCAACAGUUCCCCUAACAAAACUUUCAAUGAGGAAUUUGCCGCACUCAUGACCUCAAAGUUCAAGAUGUAUUCCAUGGGAGAGUUGAAGUUCUUUCUCGGUUUUGAAGUAAAGCAAAGAAGAGAAGGAACCUUCAUCAACCAAGCCAAAUACACUCAAGACAUGCUCAAGAGAUUCAAACUAAGUGAUGUCAAGCCGGCGUCCACUCCAAUGCCCACCAAGUGCCAACUUGACAUCGAUCCCAAUGGUAAAGCGGUGGAUCAAAAGGUAUAUCGCUCCAUGAUUGGUUCCUUGCUUUAUCUUUGUGCAUCUAGACCGGAUAUCAUGUUGAGUGUGGGAAUUUGUGCACGGUUUCAAGCCGCACCUAAGGAAAGCCACUUUGUGGCGGUCAAGCGGAUCUUUCGAUAUUUGGCUCAUACCCCAAACUUUGGCUUAUGGUACCCAAGAGGAGCAAACUUCAAGCUUGUAGGAUAUUCGGACUCCGAUUGGGCGGGAGACAAAGUGGAUAGGAAGUCCACUUCCGGAGAGUGCCAAUUCCUUGGUUGCUCUUUGGUAAGUUGGUCUUCUAAAAAGCAAAGUCUCAUCCACCGAAGCGGAGUAUGUGGCGGCUGGGAGUUGUUGUGCACAACUCUUAUGGAUGAGGCAAACUUUAAAGGAUUACGGUAUCAUUUGUGACAAAGUGCCUCUUUGGUGUGAUAAUGAAAGUGCCAUCAAGAUUUCUCUUAACCCCGUGCAACACUUCAAGACGAAGCAUAUUGAGAUUCGAUAUCACUUCAUCCGAGAUCACAUUAGGCGAAGGGAGAUCGAGCUCAACUACGUCAACACCCAUGAUAACCUUACAGAUAUUUUCAUGAAGCCUUUGGAUGAAGCAAGAUUUCGCGAGUUAAGGCAUGAGCUAAAUAUCAUUGAUUCGAGCAAUGUUGCUUGACCCCUUGCACACCCCACCACACUCAACUUGUUGUCUAAUCUAGGUGUAGGCAUGGACAUAGGGGGAGUAUUGUUCUCUCAAUGAACUCUCCCUCCCCCCAUUAUGCAUAAAGUGAUCAACUCUUUCACAUUAUCCAUUUUUGAUGGUACUUGUGCUUCAAAGACGAGUUUUGGUCAUGGGCCCAAGGAUAAUUCUUCGCGGUGCCAUACCAAUUGACUCAAACAUAGGUGGCUCCGGCCACCGCCCUCUUCUUGGAGAGGUUGUGUCUCGUUUUUGGUCAGUGUUGGUUCUUGCCUCUCUUACUUCAUGGCGAGCUCGUGCUUGUGGUGUCCAGUGUGUUAGUUCCUUGUUGUGGUCUCUCGCUUGAAGGUUCCGUUCUUAGUUGUUAUCUUUGGUUGAAACUGUUGUUUUUGAGCCCACGGUACUACCGCGGCCUACCACGGUACUACCGCAAGGAGGGCGCGCGGUACUUCCGCACCCAGUGCGGCAGUAAUUUUUUACUGCCGCCUGGGGGAGCGGUACUACGGCCUCGGUGCGGUACUUCCGCCCGGGCGGUAGUACCGCGAUGACGUGCGGUACUACCGCGAGAGGAGUGAGCAGUACUUCCGCACCCAGCGCGGCAGUAAUUUUUUACUGCCGCCUGGGGGAGCGGUACUACGGCCUCGGUGCGGUACUUCCGCCCGGGCGGUAGUACCGCGAUGACGUGCAGUACUUCCGUGCGGUCAAGGGCGCGUGGGGGUUAAACACGGGCAGGGGGAGUUCUAACUCCCCCAUACCCAUUCGUCUCUCUCCCCACUUCGUCUCUCUCUCCCUCUCUCUCUCGCUCAAGAACAGCGUCGGAGGUCCUCGCCGGAUCUCCGUCUCCGGCCGCUCUCCUCGGAUUCCGACCGGUGGGAUCGUUCCCCACCACUCCCUCUUGCCAAGGAACAAGGUUUCUUCCCAAUCCCUCUCUUUUUCUUUUUCGUCUUGUUGCUUUUAGGUUUUGGGAGAUGCAAGUUGUUCUUGAGAUUUUAGGCCAAAUCUAUGCAAGAGUAGGAUGUAGGAGAGUAGUUUUGUGUAGUGUUGGUACUUGCUAUAGUUGUCCCGUGAUGGAUUUGAUUGACCGUAGUACCGUGUGUUGACAUGGUUGUGCUCAGAUCUCCAUGGCUAUUUUGGAUCUGCAACCGUGCGGUACUACCUCACGUCCGGUACUACCGCCCUGCGGGUGCGGUACUACCGCACGUCCGGUACUACCGCUCCUUGGAGCGGUACUACCGCACGUGGCACAACACGCGUUACUACCGUUAUCUCAAAUCCCUCUUGUGGCACUUCUCACGUGCCAAGUCUAUUUGUUUCUCCUGCUUUGCUGUGGUCUUUGCAUUGAUCCUUCUCGCGUUUUGUGCGUGUUUGUUUUGUGGUGUGUGUUUAGGUGGUGGCUCAGGUGCUCCGGCUCGCCGCUCCAAUCCAAGCCGUGACACGGGAUCCAAGCGUAUGCGCAACACAGAGGAAGCAGAGGGCUCCAAUGCCCCCCAACGCAGAACCAAGACCUCUGCCACCAAAGAGAAGGAACCCGCCAAGGGUAUGGAUGAGAUACCGCUUGAUGAGUUCAUCGCUCAAAGAAAGAUCAAUCCGUAUGGAAACCCUCGUGCUAACUUUCGAGGGAAUGACCUAUUCUAGACCAAGCAGCAGAACCUCAUUUAUCUGGAUGUCAUCAAGGCCAAGCAAAAUACCCAUGUGGAGGUGAAGUGGAUCAACAUGCAUCACAUGCGCAAAGAGGCGCACCGGGAAUACUUUGGUGAGGCUUUGGACCUCGUAGAGCAAUUUGGCAUUGAGCAUAUCAUCUCAUUCCACAAAGACUAUGAUCCUGAGAUCCUUGCUCGGUUUUUUGCCUCCGUGCAUUUUCAUCCCAAUGAGGAAAGGACCAUGACUUGGAUGACCAAUGGCCGACAGCUGACUGCUACUUGGAAGGAAUUCAUGACCCUGCUUGGGGUUCCGGAUGAGGGGCUCGCCACACCCCAAGGUGUUCGCCCUCAUGCCAAUCCCGAGUCUGCCAACAAGAACAAGCUCAUGCCCUACCUUGUGGAGAAGAAGCUCUCCAAUGGCAAGUCAACUUGGGUACUCAACUCCUUUCUUGACAUCAUGCACCGGAUCUUCCGCAACACUCUCUUCCCACGCAUUGGGGACAAGGACAAGGUGCAUGCCUAUCUGGUGGAUAUGAUGCUCCUGUGUGAAGAUGCUCGCAACUCUCAGACACAACCACUUGAUGUCUCACAUAUCAUGUGGAUUGAGCUUCGGUUUGCGGUCUACAACCGCAAGGUCCCCAUCUAUGGACCUUAUUUGUUUCUGUUGAUCUCGGCUACUUGGGAGCGGGUCUACCCUCAGGAUGAGUUUGAGGCCCCUGGUUGGAUCCGGCAUGAGCCCAUCAACCUCCGUAUCAAGCCUUAGUAGGCCAACACUACCUCUCGUGCCGAUACUGCGGCUGCCAUGGACGUAGAUGCAGAUGAGGAUGAGGAAGAGGCAGCAGACAAGGACAGCUCUGAGGGUUACAUCCCUCCCACCUCUGAGCCUUCUCGGGCUAAGCGACUGAAGAACAAGAUGAAGAUGCUAUUCUGUAUGCAAGCAAAGGGGCAGUACCAGACCCAUGUGGCUUCCAAGGAGACUCGCCGCCGCGACAAGCGGAUUUUCAGGACCUUUGGCGAGAACAUAUCUAGCGGGUCAGAGGUGAACAUCACCCCAGAGGCAGAAUGGCUGCACAAGCAGAGCUAUCGGUGGACCGAGUCUGAGGAGGAGUCCGUCCCAGCUGCAGAGUCCGACGAGGAGUGUGCCAGUGACUACUCCGCUUGAGCCACCACUAUUGCUGUAGGUGUCCUCUCUACCUUUUUGGCGUCUCGAUGCCAAAGGGGGAGAGAGUGUAGGAUUUGCUGCGAGUUGUGUCGUGUUUGGGUCAGUUGAACUUCGUUUAUUUCGUUUGCUUUGGUUUGCUUUGGUUUGUGCUCGUGAGACCUUCUAUCAUAUGGUGUAAGACAUAUGCACUCUAUCGUACCGUAGUGAGCUUAUUCUAUCUUGUUCUUAUUACAUUUUGCUCCUGUCUAUCUUGCUUAGCUUUAGCCUAAUUGCAAGAUUUGCCAUGUCUAUAAAAUAUAGGGGGGGGGGUGUUGAUCCUAGUAUGUGUGCCGUGCAGUCCAAAGCACUCAUCGAGAUAGCACACAUCUAGGGGGAGCCCGUCUAUAUUUUAGAGACUUGGGGUUUGCCCUUGCUCUUUGCGUUAUACCCUCGUGCAAAUCCCGUGUUGUCAUCAAUCCACCAAAAAGGGGGAGAUUGUAAGGGCAUUUUUAUCCCUUAGUUGGUUUUGGUGAUUGAUGACAAUGCUUUUGCGGACUAAUCAUGUGCAUCAAAUAUUUCAGAUAUAUUGACUAGGCACAAGAUGAUUGGGUUCCCCUCAAAGGCUAUAGAAGACGGCGUUUCUCUUCGGUUCUUUUCGGUGGUAUUGAGUCGUAGGGAAGCCGUACUAUUAAGAGGGGGUCUGUUUUGUAAAGGUUGGGUGGAUUCAUCACGUACACAUCGUCCCUUGCACCUCCUUUCCUCUUCCCUUUGGAGCAUCCUAAGUUUUCCUUGUCUAUGCAAUUAUAGCUCUUGUCUGCCGAACUAGGAAGUGCGGUAGUACUGCUCGUCAGAGCGGUAGUACCGCAGGACCUUGCGGUAGUACCGCCCGCUGGUGCGGUAGUACCGCAAGGCCCCACGGUAGUACCGCUUCUGGUAAGCGGUAGUACCAUGGUCCCAUCUUAGUUCCGCAACUACGCGGCUGUAAGGGGCGGAUGUAAUUUUUUACAUCCGCACCUCGCGCGGUAGUACCGCGGCUGGCUUACGGUACUACCGCGUCGGGUUUUUGCAUCGACUCCAACUCUGCGGAAGUAGCCACGGAUGUAAUUUUUUAUAUCUGUGCCUUCCCAUCCCUGGACAGCCCCUGCCUUGCGGUAGUACCGCAAGGGGGAGUGGUAGUACCGCGCCAGCAGUACUACCGCCCUCUGCCUUAGUGCAUGUGUGGCUGUUCUGGUCUCUGCUGCGUGGGCGGUAGUACCGCGGGGCUCUGCGGUAGUACCGCGCCUCAGGUGCGGUAGUACCAUGUGCCCCUACAGUAGUACCGCGCCUCAGGUGCGGUAGUACCGCGCUGCACAGGCUGAGUUGGUGGAUAAUGGUUGGAUUUGUUCUUCCACUAUAUAAGGGGUGUCUUCCUCCUCUAGUUGACUACCUCUUCCACCUCCAAGCUCCAUUGUUGCUCCAAGCUCCAUUCUUGCCCGAUCUCCUUCCCUAGCCAAUCAAACUUGUUGAUUCUCUAGGGAUUGGUUGAGGAGGCCCCGAUCUACACUUCCACCAAGAGAUAUUUGAAUUCCCCCACUAAUCCCUUGUGGAUCUUGUUACUCUUGGGUGUUUGAGCACCCUAGACGGUUGAGGUUACCGUGGAGCCAUAGUCCAUUGUGGUGAAGCUUCGUGGUGUCGUUGGGAGCCUCCAAUUAAGUUGUGGAGAUUUCCCCAACCUUGUUUGUAAAGGUUCGGUCGCCGCCUCCAAGGGCACCAAUAGUGGAAUCACGGCAUCUCGCAUUGUGAGAGGGCGUGAGGAGAAUACGGUGGUCCUAGUGGCUUCUUGGGGAGCAUUGUGCCUCCACACAGCUCCAACGAAGACGUACUUCCUCUCAAAGGGAAGGAACUUCGGUAACACAUCCUCGUCUUCACCGACUCCACUCUUGGUUAUCUCGUGCCUUUACUUGUGCAAGCUUAUUUGUGCCUUAUCUCUUGCUUCCGUGUGUGCUUAUUGUUGUUGUAUCAUAUAGGUUUCUCACCUAGUUGCAUAUCUAGACAACCUACUUUGAUGCAAAUUUUAAAUUGGUAAAGAAAAGUUUAAAUUUGUUAGUUGCCUAUUCACCCCCCCUCUAGUCAACUAUAUCGAUCCUUUCAGCUUUAGAGACGGCUGUAUUUACGUUAAAUAGGGCACCAUCUAAAUCUGUUGAGACGACACCUUAUGAACUGUGGUUUGGCAAGAAACCCAAAUUGUCGUUUCUUAAAGUUUGGGGCUGCGAUGCUUAUGUGAAAAAGCUUCAACCUGAUAAGCUGGAACCCAAAUCGGAGAAAUGUGUCUUCAUAGGAUACCCAAAGGAGAUUGUUGGGUAGACCUUCUAUCACAGAUCCGAAGGCAAGACAUUUGUUGCUAAAAAUGGAUCCUUUCUAGAGAAGGAGUUUCUCUCGAAAGAAGUGAGUGGGAGGAAAGUAGAACUUGAUGAGGUAACUGUACCUGCUCCCUUAUUGGAAAGUAGUUCAUCACAGAAAUCAGUUCCUGUGACUACUACACCAAUUAGUGAGGAAGCUAAUGAUGAUGAUCAUGUAACUUCAGAUCAAGUUACUACUGAACCUCGUAGGUCAACCAGAGUAAGAUCCGCACCAGAGUGGUACGGUAAUCCGGUUCUGGAGGUCAUGUUACUUGACCAUGACGAACCUACGAACUAUGAGGAAGCGCUGAUGAGCCCACAUUCCGCGAAAUGGCUUGAGGCCAUGAAAUCUGAGAUGGGAUCCAUGUAUGGGAACAAAGUGUGGACUUUGGUUGACUUGCCCGAUGAUCGGCAAGCCAUCGGGAAUAAAUGGAUCUUCAAGAAGAAGACUCACGCUGAUGGUAAUGUUACUGUCUACAAAGCUCGACUUGUUGCGAAAGGUUUUCGACAAGUUCAAGGAGUUGACUACGAUGAGACUUUCUCACCUGUAGGGAUGUUUAAGUCCGUCCGAAUCAUGUUAGCAAUUGCUGCAUUUUAUGAUUAUGAAAUUUGGCAAAUGGAUGUAAAGACUGCAUUCCUGAAUGGAUUUCUGGAAGAAGAGUUGUAUAUGAUGCAACCCGAAGGUUUUAUCAAUCCAAAGGAUGCUAACAAAGUGUGAAAGCUCUAGCGAUCCAUUUAUGGACUGGUGCAAGCAUCUCGGAGUUGGAAUAAACGUUUUGAUAGUGUGAUCAAAGCAUAUGGUUUUAUACAGACUUUUGGAGAAGCCUGUAUUUACAAGAAAGUGAGUGGGAGCUCUGUAGCAUUUCUAAUAUUAUAUGUGGAUGACAUAUUGUUUAUUGGAAAUGAUAUAUAAUUUCUAGAUAGCAUAAAAGGAUACUUGAAUAAGAGUUUUUCAAUGAAAGACCUCGGUGAAGCUGCUUAUAUAUUGGGCAUCAAGAUCUAUAGAGAUAGAUCAAGAUGCUUAAUUGGACUUUCACAAAGCACAUACCUUGAUAAAGUUUUGAAGAAGUUGAAAAUGGAUCAAGCAAAGAAAGGGUUCUUGCCUGUGUUACAAGGUGUGAAGUUGAGUCAGACUCAAUGCCCGACCACUGCAGAAGAUAGGGAGAAAAUGAAAGUCAUUCCCUAUGCUUCAGCCAUAGGUUCUAUCAUGUAUGCAAUGUUGUGUACCAGACCUGAUGUGUGCCUUGCUAUUAGUUUAGCAGGGAGGUACCAAAGUAAUCCAUGAGUGGAUCACUGGACAACGGUCAAGAACAUCCUGAAAUACCUGAAAAGGACUAAGGAUAUGUUUCUCGUUUAUGGAGGUGACGAAGAGCUCGUUGUAAAUGGUUACGUUGAUGCAAGCAUUGACACUGAUCCGGAUGACUCUAAGUCACAAACCGGAUAUGUAUUUAUACUGAACGAUGGAGCUGUCAGUUGGUGCAGUUCUAAGUAAAGCGUCGUGGCGGGAUCUACGUGUGAAGCGGAGUACAUGGCUGCUUCGGAAGCAGCAAAUGAAGGAGUCUGGAUGAAGGAGUUCACAUCCGAUCUGGAUGUCAUACCUAGUGCAUCGGGUCCAAUGAAAAUCUUUUGUGACAAUACUGGUGCAAUUGCCUUGGCAAAGGAAUCCAGAUUUCACAAGAGAACCAAGCACAUCAAGAGACGCUUCAAUUCCAUCCGCGAUCAAGUCAAGGAGGGAGACAUAGAGAUUUGCAAGAUACAUACGGAUCUGAAUGUUGCAGACCCGUUGACUAAGCCUCUCUCACGAGCAAAACAUGAUUAGCACCAAGACUCCAUGGGUGUUAGAAUCAUUACUGUGUAAUCUAGAUUAUUGACUCUAGUGCAAGUGGGAGACUGAAGGAAAUAUGCCCUAGAGGCAAUAAUAAAGUUGUUAUUUAUAUUUCCUUAUAUCAUGAUAAAUGUUUCUUAUUCAUGCUAGAAUUGUAUUAACCAGAAACUUAGUACAUGUGUGAAUACAUAGAAAAACAGAGUGUCACUAGUAUGCCUCUACUUGACUAGCUCGUUGAAUCAAAGAUGGUUAAGUUUCCUAGCCAUAGACAUGAGUUUUCAUUUGAUUAACGGGAUCACAUCAUUAGAGAAUGAUGUGAUUGACUUGACCCAUUCCUUUAGCUUAGCACUUGAUCGUUUAGUUUGUUGCUAGUGCUUUCUUCAUGACUUAUACAUGUUCCUAUGACUAUGAGAUUAUGCAACUCCCGAAUACCGGAGGAACACUUAGUGUGCUAUCAAACGUCACAAUGUAACUGGGUGAUUAUAAAGACGCUCUACAAGUGUCUCCGAUGGUGUUUGUUGGGUUGGCAUAGAUCGAGAUUAGGAUUUGUCACUCCGUGUUUCGGAGAGGUAUCUCUGGGCCCUCUCGAUAAUGCACAUCACUAUAAGCCUUGCAAGCAAUGUGACUAAUGAGUUAGUCACCGGAUGAUACAUUACAGAACGAGUAAAGAGACUUGCCAGUAACAAGAUUAAACUAGGUAUUGAGAUACCGACGAUCAAAUCUCGGGCAAGUAACAUACCGAUGACAAAGGGAACAACGUAUAUUGUUAUGCGGUUUGACCGAUAAAGAUCUUCGUAGAAUAUGUAGGAACCAAUAUGAGCAUCCAGGUUCUGCUAUUGGUUAUUGACCGGAGAUGAGUCUCGGUCAUGUCUACAUAGUUCUCAAACUCGUAGGGUCCGCACGCUUAACGUUCGGUGACGAUCGGUAUUAUGGUUUUUGUGUUUUGAUGAACCGAAGGUAGUUCGGAGUCCCAGAUGUGAUCACGGACAUGACGAGGAGUCUUGAAAUGGUCGAGACAUAAAGAUUGAUAUAUUGGAUGACUAUAUUCGGACACCAGAUUAGUUCCGAGGGUCACUGGAUAAUUGUCGGAGUGCCGGGGGGUUAUCGGAACCCCCGGGGGAACUAAUGGGCCAACAUGGGCCUUGUGUGAGAGAGAGAGGAGGGGGCCUUAGGGCUGGCCGCCCCCCCUUGAGGAGUCUUAAUUGGACAAGGAGGGGGGCGGUGCCCCCUCUUUCCCUCCCUCUCUCCCUCUCCUUCCUUCCCCCUCCUAGUAGGACUAGGAAAGGAGGAAUCCCUACUCCUACUAGGAGGAGGAUUGCUCCCCUCCUUGGCGCGCCUAUAGGGCCGGCCGGCCUUCCCCUUGCUCCUUUAUAUACAGGGGCAGGGGGGCACCCUAGAACAUAUAAGUUGACAGUUGUCUUAGCCGUGUGCGGUGCCCCCCUCCACAGAUUUCCACCUCGGUCAUAUCGUUGUAGUGCUUAGGCGAAGCCCUGCGUCGGUAACUUCAUCAUCACCGUCAUCACGCCAUCAUGUUGACGAAGCUCCCCCUCGAUAUUCAGCUGGAUCUAGAGUUCGUGGGACGUCACCGAGCAGAAUGUGUGCAGAUCGCGGAGGGGCUGUACUUUUGGUGCUAGGAUUGGUCUGAUCGUGAAGACGUACGACUACAUCAACCGUGUUGUCAUAACACUUCCGCUUUUGGUCUACGAGGGUACGUGGACAACACUCUCCCCUCUCGUUGCUAUGCAUCACCUAGAUGGAUCUUGCGUGUGCGUAGGAAUUUUUUUUAAAUUACUGCGUUCCCCAACACAUGCCCCGUCCAAAAAGUCUGAAUCCUUCCUCAGUACGCCUCGGGCCUCCUUUUAUAUGUCAAAGGGGUUGCCACAACAGCACACAUGAGAUGGAAAGUAUGUACAGUCUACUAGUCUAUCGCCUGGCACCAUAGGACAAACGCAUUUAAUGCGCUGCCGAUGUGCCCUCUUGCUUUAUCGGGGGCGGGUAAGAAGCUCGUCCCGUCCGUCGCCGCCUCGCCUCACUCCGAUGCACGUCCAAGCUGACGAGGCAUGCAGCGCCACGCUGGCUGGCUGGUUGCUGAGAUUGCGGUGCCAGGGUCUUCACGAAGAUAUGUAUGCCACCACGUAGGUGCUUGGCUAGUUGGCCUAGAAGCUGCAUGCUGCCAUGCAGGCACUCACCUAGUUGGCAGGCUGGCCGCCAUGUCGGAAUGGGCGCGGGGCAGCGAAACCUUGGUAGGUGUGGGCCUGACUGCGGCUCUGCAGAUGUCCCCGGCAAGGGUCUUGCCGGGGUCUCGUGGGCGUCCCCGUCAAGAGUCUUGCCGGGGGUCUUCGUCUUCUGGUUCUUAUCUAGUCUUGCAGGCCUUUGGUCUUCACAAAGAUCUGCAUACCACCACGCAGGCGCCCCCGAGCCUUGGUCCUGACGUUGUCAAUGGUGUCAGAACUCUCAGGCUCAAGGCUGGCGGUCUUGCUGGUGUUGGGCAAGUUGCCCCGGCAAGGCUUUUUCCGGGGCCGCAUAGGCCGCCCCGGCAACUUGCCGGGAGAAGCCCAUCUUGCCCCUUUGCUCUUCGCGCCUUUGGCUUGAGCGCUGCUUUGGUAGUCUUGUAUCUUUGCUUCUUCUGCCUCGCCAAGCCCGGCCGCAGGUGCGGCUACAACUGACCGUGCACAAGUAAAGGGGUACAGAAGGCCCCUACUUUUGAACACUGACAGGAGCCCCCGGGCCUGGGCCACACAUAAGCGCGGAGCGUUGUUGGGCCAGGCCCAGAACGGUGCGCGGGCACGCGUGGCAGAGCUUUAACUGCGGUAACUCCUUCGCUAGUUGCGCUUCCCCACGACCCGCAUUGAGUACAUGACGUGGGGGUCGUGCAUGGGACGGUUUGUAGGGGACGCUUUCGGAGGUUAGGGCUUGUGAGGAGACCCUGAACAAGGCCCUGGAGGACGAGAAGUGGCUGCGGAGCGAUGACGCCGCCGCCCACAAGGAUUACGUGAAGAGCGUAAACCUCUAGAUCGGCCGCCUCGUCGUCGUCGCGGAGAAGCUCACCACCCAGCUAGCCGACAUAGGCAUGCCGGACGUCAGGUUCUCCCAGGAGACGAAUGUGAGCCCCAACGCCAGGCUGACCUUGUUCUUUGAGCGCAUCCUCGAUGCCCUGGAGCAGCUGCGCUCCAACCGAGCAGCUUAUCUCGCCAAUGAGGCUCGGAAGCUCUGCUGGGGCGCCCUGACCAAGGUGCUCACCAAGGUGGCAUUCUGGAACCCCAGCGUCGACUUCGCCAACGCAUUGGAGAGCUUGCCGGAGGAUGCGGACCUCACGGCGCUCGAGGAGCGUAUCGAGCCCAUCAUCAGCUGCGUCGAUGGAGUCAAGAGGGUGGAGGGCCAGCGCCGGGACUAGGCACCCCGUUUCUCAUCGCCGCUGCGAGUUCAUGACCAAGACAAUUUUAUCUUAAGUUAGAACUGCAGCAACUUAUUGAUGUAAUAUAACUCUGUAGUACUUUGAAACGAAGCAUGCUAUCUUCCUGUUCGAUCUUUCCUUGUAUGUACACAUCCUACGCCUAGUUGGAUAGGUUUGCCGACGCGUAAACCCAUGUUGUGGCGCUUUGAGGAAGGAUCCUUAGCAGCCUGCCGGGGGGCGCUUGCUGCCGGGCAAGCCACCUUGCCAUUCUCAGCGCGGCCGCAUGAACUGUUGAGCGGACUCGAAACAGAACAAGGGUGUUGCCAAUAGCGGAAGGGUUCCAUUGCGUACAGGUUUUCCAUACAAGGAGCAAGAUCUUUUGAGGAAAAUAACCGUACAAAAAGGAAAUUACUCAAGGUUUUGCGUGACUUAGCUUUUCCGUCGUCACGUGGAUGAUCGUCGCGGCUGCGGACGGUACCGGAGUGUGGCUGAUCGACGUCGCCUUCUCCUCUCGAUCCAUCCCGAUGAGGGAAUCGAUGUGUUGGCUUCAAAACCGGAUUAUCACAGCUUCAGCGCUCCCCCUACCUGGCGCGCCAAAGAUUUCGGGGGAAACGACACCUAUGGGAUCACAGGGAAUCCCUACUACGGUCGGUGGGGCGUGGGGCUGUGCAAAGAGCGGGUCUAGAAGAUCAACAUGGGGGAAUUUUUACCCAGGUUCGGGCCGCAAACGAUGCGUAAAACCCUAGUCCUGCUUUGUGUGUAUUUAGUGUUCUUGAGCUCUUGAACUAGCUGCGGUGCAUGCCCAGUCCAAAAAUUCUGAAUCCUGCCUCAGUACGCCUUGGGCCUCCUUUUAUAUGUCAAAGGGGUUGCCACAUCGGCACACAGGAGGUGGAAAGUAUGUACAGUGUACAAGUCUAUCGCCUGGCACCAUAGGACAAAUGCAUUUAAUGCGCUGCCAACGUGCCCUCUUGCUUUAUCGGGGGCGGCAAAGAAGCUCGUCCCGUCCGUCGCCGCCUCGCAUCGCUCCGGCGCACGUCCAAGCUGACGAGGCAUGUAGCGCCACGCUGGCUGGCUGCUGAGCUGGUGCGGUGGCAGGGUCUUCACGAGGAUCUGUAUGCCACCACGCAGGUGCUUGGCUAGUUGGCCUAGAAGAUGCAUGCUGCCACACAGGCGCUCGCCUAGUUGGCGGGCUGGCCGCUACGUCGGAACGGGCGCGGGGCAGCGAAACCUUGGGAGGUGUGGGCCUGACUGCAGCUCUGCAGAUGUCCCCGGCAAGGUGAUACGUCUGCAACGUAUCUAUAAUUUUUUAUCGUUCCAUGCUAUUAUAUUACCUGUUUUGGAUGUUUAUGGGCUUUACUUUACACUUUUAUAUCAUUAUUGGGACUAACCUACUAACCGGAGGCCCAGCCCGAAUUGCUAUUUUUUUUUGCCUAUUUCAGUGUUUCGAAGGAAAGGAAUAUCAAACAGAGUCCAAACGGAAUGAAACCUUCGGGAGCGAUCUUUUUGGAACAAACGCGAUCCAGGGGACUUGGAGUGGACGUCAAGCAACAGAGGAGGCGGCCACGAGGGUGCCCGGUGCGCCCCCUAUAGGUGGGCGCUCCCCCCACCCUCGUGGGCCCCUCGAGCGUCCACCGACCUACUUCUUCCUCCUAUAUAUACCCACGUACCCUGAAACCUUCGGGGAGCACCACGAAAAAUUAUUUCCACCGCCGUAACCUUCUGUAUCCGCGAGAUCCCAUCUUGGAGCCUUCGCCGGCGCUCCGCCGGAGGGGGAAUCAACCAUGGAGGGCCUCUACAUCUUCUCCAAGGCCUCUCUGAUGAGUCGUGAGUAGUUUACCACAGACCUUCGGGUCCAUAGUUAUUAGCUAGAUGGCUUCUUCUCUCUAUUUGAAUCUCAAUACAAAGUUCUCCUCGAUCUUCUUGGAGAUCUAUUCGAUGUAACUCUUUUUGCGGUGUGUUUGUCGAGAUCUGAUGAAUUGUGGGUUUAUGAUCAAGUUUAUCUAUGAGAAAUAUUUGAAUCCCUCUGAAUUCUUUUAUGUAUGAUUAAGUUAUCUAUGCAAGUCUCUUCGAAUUAUCAGUUUGGUUUGGCCUACUAGAUUGAUCUUUCUUGCAAUGGGAGAAGUGCUUAGCUUUGGGUUCAAUCUUGCGGUGUCCUUUCCCAGUGACAGCAGGGGCAACAAGGCACGAAUUGUAUUGUUGCCAUCGAGGAUAAAAAGAUGGGGUUUAUAUCAUAUUGCAUGAGUUUAUCCCUCUACAUCAUGUCAUCUUUCUUAAUGCGUUACUCUGUUCUUAUGAACUUAAUACUCUAGAUGCAUGCUGGAUAGCGGUCGGUGUGUGGAGUAAUAGUAGUAGAUGUAGAAUCGUUUCGGUCUACUUGUCACGGACGUGAUUCCUAUAUACAUGAUCAUGCCUAGAUAUUCUCAUAAUUAUUCGCUUUUCUAUCAAUUGCUCGACAGUAAUUUGUGUUGGAAAUAUGCCCUAGAGGCAAUAAUAAAAUGGUUAUUAUUAUAUUUCCUUGUUCAUGAUAAUUGUCUAUUGUUCAUGCUAUAAUUGUGUUAUCCGGAAAUCGUAAUACAUGUGUGAAUACAUAGACCACAACGUGUCCCUAGUAAGCCUCUAGUUGACUAGCUCGUUGAUCAACAGACAGUCAUGGUUUCCUGACUAUGGACAUUGGAUGUCAUUGAUAACGGGAUCACAUCAUUAGAAGAAUGAUGUGAUGGACAAGACCCAAUCCUAAGCAUAGCAUAAAGAUCGUGUAGUUCGUUUGCUAGAGCUUUUCCAAUGUCAAGUAUCUUUCCUUAGACCAUGAGAUCGUGUAACUCCCGGAUGCCAUAAGAGUGCUUUGGGUGUACCAAACGUCACAACAUAACUGGGUGACUAUAAAGGUGCACUACGGGUAUCUCCAAAAGUGUCUGUUGGGUUGGCACGGAUCGAGACUGGGAUUUGUCACUCCGUAUGACGGAGAGGUAUCUCUGGGCCCACUCGGUAAUGCAUCAUCAUAAUGAGCUCAAUGUGACUAAGGAGUUAGCCACGGGAUCAUGCAUUACGGUACGAGUAAAGUGACUUGCCGGUAACGAGAUUGAACAAGGUAUUGGGAUACCGACGAUCGAAUCUCGGGCAAGUAACGUAUCGAUUGACAAAGGGAAUUGUAUACGGGAUUGAUUGAAUCCUCGACAUCGUGGUUCAUCCGAUGAGAUCAUCGUGGAACAUGUAGGAGCCAACAUGGGUAUCCAGAUCCCGCUGUUGGUUAUUGACCGGAGAGGCGUCUCGGUCAUGUCUGCAUGUCUGCCGAACCCGUAGGGUCUACACACUUAAGGUUCGGUGACGCUAGGGUUGUAGAGAUAUUAGUAUGCGGAAACCCGAAAGUUUUUCGGAGUCCCGGAUGAGAUCCCAGACGUCACGAGGAGUUCCGGAAUGGUCCGGAGGUGAAGAAUUAUAUAUAGGAAGUCCAGUUUCGGCCACCGGGAAAGUUUCGGGGGUUAUCGGUAUUGUACCGGGACCACCGGAAGGGUCCCGUGGGUCCACCGGGUGGGGCCACCUGUCCCGAAGGGCCCCAUGGGCUGAAGUGGGAGGGGAACCAGCCCCUAGUGGGCUGGGGCGCCCCCCUUGGGCCUCCCCCUGCGCCUAGGGUUGGAAACCCUAGGGGUGGGGGCGCCCCACUUGGCUUGGGGGGCAAGCCACCCCCCUUGGCCGCCGCCCCCCCUCAGAUGGGAUCUCCAGGGGGCCGGCGCCCCCCAGGGCCCCUAUAAAUAGUGGGGGGGGGGGAGGGCAGCAGCACCACAGCCCCUGGUGCCUCCCUCCCCCUGCAACACCUCUCCCUCCCGUUUGUGCUUGGCGAAGCCCUGCCGGGAUCCCCGCUACUUCCACCACCACGCCGUCGUGCUGCUGGAUCUCCAUCAACCUCUCCUUCCCCCUUGCUGGAUCAAGAAGGNNNNNNNNNNNNNNNNNNNNNNNNNNNNNNNNNNNNNNNNNNNNNNNNNNNNNNNNNNNNNNNNNNNNNNNNNNNNNNNNNNNNNNNNNNNNNNNNNNNNNNNNNNNNNNNNNNNNNNNNNNNNNNNNNNNNNNNNNNNNNNNNNNNNNNNNNNNNNNNNNNNNNNNNNNNNNNNNNNNNNNNNNNNNNNNNNNNNNNNNNNNNNNNNNNNNNNNNNNNNNNNNNNNNNNNNNNNNNNNNNNNGCUUGCGCUUGGCGAAGCCCUGCCGGGAUCCCCGCUACUUCCACCACCACGCCGUCGUGCUGCUGGAUCUCCAUCAACCUCUCCUUCCCCCUUGCUGGAUCAAGAAGGAGGAGACGUCACUGCUCCGUACGUGUGUUGAACGCGGAGGUGCCGUCCGUUCGGCGCUCGGUCAUCGGUGAUUUGGAUCACGACGAGUACGACUCCAUCAACCCCGUUCACUUGAACGCUUCCGCUCGCGAUCUACAAGGGUAUGUAGAUGCACUCCUUUCCCCUCGUUGCUAGUAAACUCCAUAGAUGGAUCUUGGUGAUGCGUAGAAAAUUUUAAAAUUCUGCUACGUUUCCCAACAGUGGCAUCAUGAGCCAGGCCUAUGCGUAGUUACUAUGCACGAGUAGAACACAAAGCAGUUGUGGGCGUAGAUGUUGUCAAUUUUUCUUGCCGCUACUAGUCUUAUCUUGUUUCGGCGGUAUUGUGGGAUGAAGCGGUCCGGACCGACCUUACACGUACGCUUACGUGAGACAGGUUCCACCGACUGACAUGCACUAGUUGCAUAAGGUGGCUAGCGGGUGUCUGUCUCUCCCACUUUAGUCGGAACGGAUUCGAUGAAAAGGGUCCUUAUGAAGGGUAAAUAGAAAUUGGCAUAUCACGUUGUGGUUUUAAGUAGGUAAGAAACGUUCUUGCUAGAAACCUAUAGAAGCCACGUAAAAACUUGCAACAACAAUUAGAGGACGUCUAACUUGUUUUUGCAGCAUAUGCUUAGUGAUGUGAUAUGGCCAGAAGAUGUGAUGAAUGAUAUAUGUGAUGUAUGAAAUUGAUCAUUUUCUUGUAAUAGGAAUCACGACUUGCAUGUCGAUGAGUAUGACAACCGGCAGGAGCCAUAGGAGUUGUCUUUAUUUUUUGUAUGACCUGCGUGUCAUUGAAUAACGCCAUGUAAAUUACUUUACUUUAUUGCUAAACGCGUUAGCCAUAGAAGUAGAAGUAAUUGUUGGCGUGACGACUUCAUGAAGACACGAUGAUGGAGAUCAUGAUUAUGGAGAUCAUGGUGUCAUGCCGGUGACGAAGAUGAUCAUGGCGCCCCGAAGAUGGAGAUCAAAGGAGCAAAAUGAUAUUGGCCAUAUCAUGUCACUAUUUGAUUACAUGUGAUGUUUAUCAUAUUUUGCAUCUUAUUUUCUUAGAACGACGGUAGUAAGUAAGAUGAUCCCUUAUAAUGAUUUCAAGAAAGUGUUCCCCCUAACUGUGCACCGUUGCGAAGGUUCGUUGUUUCGAAGCACCACGUGAUGAUCGGGUGUGAUAGAUUCUAACGUUCGCAUACAAUGGGUGUUGACGAGCCUAGCAUGUACAGACAUCGCCUCGGAACACACGCAAUACACUUAGGUUGACUUGACGAGCCUAGCAUGUACAGACAUGGCCUCGGAACACGGAAGACCGAAAGGUCGAGCAUGAGUCGUAUAGAAGAUACGAUCAACAUGGAGAUGUUCACCGAUCUUGACUAGUCCGUCUCACGUGAUGAUCGGACACGGCCUAGUUAACUCGGAUCAUGUUUCACUUAGAUGACUGGAGGGAUGUCUAUCUGAGUGGGAGUUCAUUGAAUAAUUUGAUUAGAUGAACUUAAUUAUCAUGAACUUAGUCUAAAAUCUUUAAAAUAUGUCUUGUAGAUCAAAUGGCCCAUGUUGCCCUCAACUUCAACGCGUUCCUAGAGAAAACCAAGCUGAAAGAUGAUGGCAGCAACUAUACGGACUGGGUCCGGAACCUGAGGAUCAUCCUCAUAGCUGCCAAGAAAGAUUAUGUCCUAGAAGCACCGCUAGGUGACGCACCCAUCCCAGAGAACCAAGACGUUAUGAACGCUUGGAAAUCACGUGCUGAUGAUUACUCCCUCGUUCAGUGCGGCAUGCUUUACAGCUUAGAACCGGGGCUCCAAAAGCGUUUUGAGAAACAUGGAGCAUAUGAGAUGUUCGAAGAGCUGAAAAUGGUUUUCCAGGCUCAUGCCCGGGUCGAGAGAUAUGAAGUCUCCGACAAGUUCUUCAGUUGUAAAAUGGAGGAAAAUAGUUCUUUCAGUGAGCACAUACUCAGAAUGUCUGGGUUACACAACCGCUUGUCUCAGCUGGGUUAAUCUCCCGGAUGACGCGGUCAUUGACAGAAUCCUUCAGUCGCUUCCACCAAGCUACAAGAGCUUUGUGAUGAACUUCAAUAUGCAGGGGAUGGAAAAGACCAUUCCUGAGGUAUAUUCAAUGCUGAAAUCAGCGGAGGUGGAGAUCAAAAAGGAACAUCAAGUGUUGAUGGUGAAUAAAACCACUAAGUUCAAGAAAGGCAAGGGUAAGAAGAACUUCAAGAAAGACGGCAAGGGAGUUGCCGCGCCCGGUAAGCCAGUUGCCGGGAAGAAGCCAAGGAAUGGACCCAAGCCUGAGACUGAGUGCUUUUAUUGCAAGGGAAGUGGUCACUGGAAGCGGAACUGCCCCAAAUACUUAGCGGACAAGAAGGCCGACAACACCAAAGGUAUAUGUGAUAUACAUGUAAUUGAUGUGUACCUUACCAGUACUCGUAGUAGCUCCUGGGUAUUUGAUACCGGUGCGGUUGCUCAUAUUUGUAACUCAAAACAGGAGCUGCGGAAUAAGCGGAGACUGGCGAAGGACGAGGUGACGAUGCGCGUCGGGAAUGGUUCCAAGGUCGAUGUGAUCGCCGUCGGCACGCUACCUCUGCAUUUACCUACGGGAUUAGUUUUAAACCUCAAUAAUUGUUAUUUAGUGCCAGCUUUGAGCCUGAACAUUGUAUCUGGAUCUCGUUUAAUUCGAGAUGGCUACUCAUUUAAUCCUAGAAUAAUUGGUUGUUCUAUUUAUAUGAGAGAUAUGUUUUAUGGUCAUGCCCCACUGGUCAAUGGUUUAUUCUUGAUGAAUCUCGAACGUGAUGUUACACAUAUUCAUAGUGUGAAUACCAAAAAAAUGUAAAGUUGAUAACGAUAGUCCCACAUACUUGUGGCACUGCCGCCUUGGUCACAUUGGUGUCAAACGCAUGAAGAAGCUCCAUGCAGAUGGACUUUUGGAGUCUCUUGAUUACGAAUCAUUUGACACGUGCGAACCAUGCCUCAUGGGUAAGAUGACCAAGACUCCGUUCUCCGGAACAAUGGAGCGAGCAACCAACUUAUUGGAAAUCAUACAUACUGAUGUGUGCGGUCCAAUGAGUGUUGAGGCUCGCGGUGGCUAUCGUUAUGUUCUCACUCUCACUGAUGAUUUAAGUAGAUAUGGGUAUGUCUACCUAAUGAAACACAAGUCUGAAACCUUUGAAAAGUUCAAGGAAUUUCAGAGUGAGGUUGAGAAUCAACGUGACAGGAAAAUAAAGUUCCUGCGAUCAGAUCGUGGAGGGGAAUAUUUAAGUCACGAAUUUGGCACACACUUAAGGAAAUGUGGAAUCGUUUCACAACUGACGCCGCCUGGAACACCUCAACGAAAUGGUGUGUCCGAACAUCGUAAUCGCACUCUAUUGGAUAUGGUGCGAUCUAUGAUGUCUCUUACCGAUCUACCGCUCUCAUUUUGGGGCUAUGCUUUAGAGACUGCCGCAUUCACUUUAAAUAGGGCUCCGUCGAAAUCCGUUGAGACGACACCGCAUGAAUUAUGGUUUGGGAAGAAACCUAAGCUGUCGUUUCUAAAAGUUUGGGGAUGCGACGCUUAUGUCAAGAAACUUCAACCUGAAAAGCUCGAACCCAAGUCGGAAAAAUGCGUCUUCAUAGGAUACCCUAAGGAAACCAUUGGGUAUACCUUCUACCUCAGAUCUGAAGGCAAGAUCUUUGUUGCCAAGAACGGGUCCUUUCUGGAGAAAGAGUUUCUCUCGAAAUAAUUGAGUGGGAGGAAAGUGGAACUUGAUGAGGUGAUAGUCACCCCUUCCGAACCGGAAAGUAGCGCAGCGCGGGAAGAUGUUCCUGUGGUGCCUGCACCGACUAGGGAGGAAGUUAAUGAUGAUGAUCAUGAAGCUUCGGAUCAAGUUACUGCUGAACUUCGUAGGUCCACAAGGACACGUUCCGCACCAGAGUGGUACGGCAACCCUGUCCUGGAAAUCAUGUUGUUAGACAACGGUGAACCUUGUAACUAUGAAGAAGCGAUAGCGGGCCCGGAUUCCAACAAAUGGCUUGAAGCCAUGCAAUCCGAGAUAGGAUCCAUGUAUGAAAACGAAGUAUGGACUUUGACUGACUUGCCCGAUGAUCGGCGAGCCAUAGAAAAUAAAUGGAUCUUUAAGAAGAAGACAGACGCGGAUGGUAAUGUGACCAUCUAUAAGGCUCGACUUGUCGCUAAGGGUUAUCGACAAGUUCAAGGGGCUGACUACGAUGAGACUUUCUCACCCGUAGCGAAGCUGAAGUCUGUCCGAAUCAUGUUAGCAAUUGCCGCAUUCUAUGAUUAUGAGAUAUGGCAAAUGGACGUCAAAACGGCAUUCCUUAACGGCUUUCUUAAGGAAGAAUUGUAUAUGAUGUAGCCGGAAGGUUUUGUCGAUCCUAAGAAUGCUAACAAGGUAUGCAAGCUCCAGUGCUCCAUCUAUGGGCUGGUGCAAGCAUCUCGGAGUUGGAACAUUCGAUUUGAUGAGAUGAUCAAAGCAUUUGGGUUUACACAGACUUAUGGAGAAGCCUGGGUUUACAAGAAAGUGAGUGGGAGCUCUGUAGCAUCUCUCAUAUUAUAUGUGGAUGACAUACUAUUGAUGGGAAAUGAUAUAGAAUUCUUGGAAAGUAUAAAGGCCUACUUGAAUAAGUGUUUUUCAAUGAAGGACCUUGGAGAAGCUGCUUAUAUAUUAGGCAUCAAGAUCUAUAGAGAUAGAUCAAGACGCCUCAUUGGUCUUUCAUAGAGUAAGUACCUUGACAAGAUAUUGAAGAAGUUCAAUAUGGAUCAGUCCAAGAAGGGGUUCUUGCCUAUAUUGCAAGGUGUGCAAUUGAGCACGGCUCAAUGCCCGACCACGGCAGAAGAUAGAGAAAAGAUGAGGGUCAUCCCCUAUGCCUCGGCCAUAGGGUCUAUUAUGUAUGCCAUGCUGUGUACCAGACCUGAUGUAAACCUUGCCGUAAGUUUGGUAGGAAGGUACCAAAGUAAUCCCGGCAUGGAACACUGGACAGCGGUCAAGAAUAUCCUGAAGUACCUGAAAAUGACUAAGGAUAUGUUUCUCGUAUAUGGAGGUGACGAAGAGCUCGUCGUAAAGGGUUACGUCGACGCUAGCUUCGACACAGAUCUGGAUGACUCUAAGUCACAAACCGGAUACGUGUAUAUUUUGAAUGGAGGGGCAGUAAGCUGGUGCAGUUGCAAGCAAAGAGUCGUGGCGGGAUCUACAUGUGAAACGGAGUACAUGGCGGCCUCAGAGGCAGCACAGGAAGCAAUCUGGAUAAAGGAGUUCAUUACCGACCUAGGGGUGAUUCCCAAUGCGUCGGGCCCGAUGACUCUCUUCUGUGACAACACUGGAGCUAUUGCCCUUGCCAAGGAGCCCAGGUUUCACAGGAAGACCAGGCAUAUCAAGCGUCGCUUCAACUCCAUUCGUGAAAGUAUUCACAAUGGAGACAUAGAUAUUUGUAAAGUACAUACGGACCUGAAUGUAGCAGAUCCAUUGACUAAACCUCUCCCUAGUUGUCACAUCCCUAGCCUUGCUAUGCACUAGGCUAGCUAGUCAUGCUUGCAUCAUGUCUAAAUUUAUUGAAAGCUGAAAUGGGGAUGACAGAACCCCCAGCACCCCCUGAAACCAACUAGGGUUUACCAAAAUUGGUUUCAAUGAACCCAAAAUGCCCUUCAUAAAAUGUUCAUCAUUUCUGGAUUGGGCUAAAACCCCUGGCAAAAAUGGUGCACACUUUUUAUAGGACAUUCUGGAUUUUUGAAUUAAAUCAUAAGUAUUUGAAUUUGGACAUUUAAAUUCUAUAAAAUAUUUAAACUGUCCAAAUAAUCUUGAAAGCAUUUGAGGGCUGUUGGAAAUAAUUCAAAAGGUGCCCACAAAUAUUUUCAGGAGUUUUGGAAGUGAUUUAGUUUUUUUACUAAAUCAAAACAUAAUAGCAAAAAUAGAAAACAGAAACAAUUAAAGAAAAGAGAGAGAAAGGAGUCUUACCUGGCGCUUACCUGGCCUGGCCCAGCAUGGCCCAGCCCACUGGCCUGGUGCCAGUCAUCGCCUACCUCUGCCAGUAGGCAGAGGAGGGACACCGCGACGCCGCCGCGCGCGCCACGGCGUCACCUGCUUGCCACCUCCUGCCUCCCCCUCGCGUCUGGCGACGCCACGAACCCCCUCGGCCUCUCCCUCGAGCUCUCCCCCUCUCCCCUGGCUCUCUCCCUCGCCGUUCCCCCACCUCACCGAACGCUCCUGCCGCCGCCGACUAGCACCACCGCGGCCAUCGCCUCUCCCUCGUCCCCUUGAGCAGUCCAGAGGCUCCACCUUGACGCCCUCGCCCUCUCCAGCGAACUACACCCCGCCGGGAGGCCUGCUCUGCCGUCACUGCCAUCGGUUUCAACCUCGGGCAUCCGAGAUGCCGCCGGCCGAUUCGUCUGCCCCAGUUCAUCCACGAGCAAGCCGAACCCCUCCUCGUGAUCACUGUGAGCUCCUCCAUCGACUAUCCCUCUUCCCCGACGUCUCCACGCUCCCUAGCCACGGCUCCACCUCCGGCCGAAGCUCUGCUCCGCCAUGGCUGCAGCCCGCGUGCUCCCCGUGCCCCGCUCGUUGCCCCCUGCAACAGGCGUGCUCUGGAGCACCUCCCCUCGUAGCUGCCUUGCUCAGACCCCUCGCCCGUGAGCUCUAGCCGCAACGCUGCACCUCACCGAGCCCCGCCGCCGCUAAAGCUCGUCGCCGGCCAUUUUCCGGCCACCCCGCGCCUCCAACUUCUUCGGUUGGAUGCGGUCGAGCACGGGCUCCCUCCUGGUGCCCUCAGCGCAACCAGCCGCUGCCCCUAGCGCCACCCAGCGAGUCGCCUCCGCACUGGAUGGUCGCCGGCGACCUAACUCCGGCUGUGCCGACGUGGCACGGCCAUUAGGCGCUAACCCCGCUCCUUAAACUGCCCACAACCACUGACAGUGGGCCCCAGGCCUGGUCAAACCCCAGUCAGCGCUGGGUUUGACCGGGAUUAGCCCUGUGUCGCUGACGUGUGGCCCCCACACAUCAGGUUUGACCUGGGUCAACCCAGUUGACUGCUGACACAGGCAUGACGCAGUGCUGACGCAAUUAAUCCUUUUCUGGAUUUAAAAUAAUUCAGGAAAUUCGAGAAAAUGCCCUAAACUUCUAAAAAUCAUAGAAAAUCAACCGUAACUCAGAAUGAAAUAAAUUAUAUAUGAAAAAUGAUCAGAAAAAUCCAGAGAAUCUGAAUAUGGCAUUUUCAUGCAUGUUAGAACAACUUACAGCUGCUGUUUAGGACAAAUCAUGUAAAUGGCAUUUGAAUUCCCACAUAUGAAGUUUGAAUUUGAACCUAAGGUUCAAACCAACUCCAUUUAAUAUGUUGCUAGCUGCAUUAGCUCAAUUCACAGCAUAUUGUCAUGUCACAUUCAUGCAUCAUAUUGUUGCAUUGCAUUGAUUGUGUUUCCCCUCUGUUGCCGGUAUUUGUCCCCUCUCGGUAGACGAUGUUCCGGCGUUGUGAUCGUUGACACUGAUGAAGACUCAAUGCUAUCUUCAGAAGUGCCAGGCAAGCAAAACCCCCUUGCUCAUUCCGAUACAAUCCCAAUCUCUCGCUCCUGCUCUCUUUUACUGCAUUAGGACAACAACGAUUCAUCUGUUACUUGCUGCGGUAGCUGAACCCCUUUAUCCUCUGCAUGACCUGUCAUUGCCAUAGUAAAUAGAUGAAACCCACUAGCAUGAUUAGGAGUUGUUUGAGCCCUGAUGUGCCUACUCAUUCUUGCUUGUUUGUCAUGCCUGCUAUUGCCUAGAGUUGUGUCAGGUCUGAUUCAUCGGGAAUGAAUUAGAAAGUUGUGAACAUGUCCUACUGUUGAGAGCUAAUUGUGUGAACACGAUUUGGUAAAGGUAGCGGUGAGAGGCCAUGUAGGAGUACAUGGUGGGUUGUCUCAUUGAAACCGUCCUCAGGAACUGAGUUCUGUGUUUGUGAUCCAUGAACAGUUACUACCACACAUUGGGUUCCAGUAACUCGACCCCUCUCGGCUUAUUAACCGCCUCGAUCUCUGUCCAGGAGUUGCAACUAGUCUCUGGUGUUUGUAGGUAGUGUUAGUAGUCUACCAAGUGGCACCCGGUACAGGUGGGCUUGGGACAGACUAGGCACACGUGGCCCGGUGUACCGAGUGGCACCCGGAUGGUGGGCUCGGGAACCCUGCACACAUCGUUUGGGGCCGUGAGCGACACCCCGGCCGGAUCUCCUUGCGGAUGGAACCCGAAUAGGCGAUAAACCUGGACUAGAGACUUGUGUGGUUAGUCAGGUCGUGGCCGACUCCCUCGCCAGGCUUCCGCUUGAAGGUUGCCAAGGUACACGACGUGUACAUGGUGGUAAGUGGCGAGAGCGUGUGUGACGAAGUACACCCUUGCAGGGUUAAUAUGAUCUAUUCGAAUAGCCGUGUCCGCGGAAAAGGACUUCUGGGUUGCCUGUACAGUUCAUAGACAAGUGAAAGUGGAUACUCUAAAAUGCGCAAGAUAAGCGUGAGUGCUAUGGAUGGCGUUCUCGUAGGGAGACGGGAGCGGAUCCAUAGUGGAAUAUUGAUAUGGUGAAUAUGUGGACUCGUGUGCGCCACCUCAAAAGAGUUACUUGCAGUAGUAGUUCAGGAUAGCCACCGAGUCAAAGCUGGCUUGCUGCAGUUAAACUCCACCACCCCCUUUGUUGACACCGAUGCAUAUGUAGAUAGUUCUGAUGUAAGUCUUGCUGGGUACAUUUGUACUCACGUUUGCUUAUUUUAUGUUUUGCAGAGAGACGACAGUCUCGCUAGUAGUUCCGUGUGGACUUCGACGUUUAGCUUGUUACCUCAGCUACGAUCUUGUGCCCUCGGCAGGAUCUAGUAAAUAGUCAGGCUUCUCAGCCUUUUUCAUUUGUAGAUGUCUGUACUCAGACAUGAUAAGCUUCCGCAUGUGCUUUGACUUGUAUGCUCUGAAUGUUGGGUCAUGAGACCCAUGUUUGUAAUAUCUGGCUCUUCGGAGCCUAAUGAAUAAAUACUCUGAGUCGUAGAGUCUUGUUGUGAUGCCAUGUUGUAUUUGCACAUAUCGAGCAUAUUGUGUGUAUGAUUGAAAUGCUUGGUAUGUGUGGGAUCCGACAAUCUAGUUGUCUAUCCUUAGCAGCCUCUCUUAUGGGGAAAUGUAGUCUAGUGCCUCCUUGAGCCAUAGUAGUCCGCUACAGCCCGGUUCACCGGAGUCCUGCUAGCCCAGCACUACUGCUCUGGACACUUGACUGGCCGGCAUGUGUUUCAUAUCGUUCCUGUGUCUGUCCCUUCGGGGAAAUGUCACGCGGUGACAUCCGGAGUCCUGCCUAGCCUGCUACAGCCCGGGUUCCCGGAGUCCUGUUAGCCCAGUGCUACAGCCCGGAUUCGCACGCUGCUGACCGACACGUUCGAUGUUGAUUCAUGUAUGCCUGUCCCCAUACGUUAGUGCCGCUUUGGGUUCACGACUAGCCAUGUCGGACCGGGUUCUCUGUCAUAUGGAUGCUAGCGACAUUGUCAUAUACGUGAGCCAAAAGGCGCAAACGGUCCCGGGCCAUGGUAAGGCGACACCCGUGGGAGUACCGUGCGUGAGGCCGCAAAGUGAUAUGAGGUGUUACAGGCUAGAUCGGUGUGACUUGGAAUCGGGGUCCCGACAUCCCUAGAGCAAAACAUGAUCAACACCAGAACUCUAUGGGUGUUCGAUUCAUCACAAUGUAACUAGAUUAUUGAAUCUAGUGCAAGUGGGAGACUAUUGGAAAUAUGCCCUAGAGGCAAUAAUAAAAUGGUUAUUAUUAUAUUUCCUUGUUCAUGAUAAUCUUCUAUUAUUCAUGCUAUAAUUGUAUUGUCCGGAAAUCGUAAUACAUGUGUGAAUACAUAGACCACAACGUGUCCCUAGUAAGCCUCUAGUUGACUAGCUCGUUGAUCAACAGAUAGUCAUGGUUUCCUGACUAUGGACAUUGGAUGUCAUUGAUAACGGGAUCACAUCAUUAGGAGAAUGAUGUGAUGGACAAGACCCAAUCAUAAGCAUAGCAUAAAAGAUCGGGUAGUUUCGUUUGCUAUAGCUUUUCCAAUGUCAAGUAUCUUUUCCUUAGACCAUGAGAUCGUGUAACUCCCGGAUGCCGUAAGAGUGCUUUGGGUGUACCAAACGUCACAACGUAACUGGGUGACUACAAAGGUGCACUACGGGUACCUCCGAAAGUGUCUGUUGGGUUGGCACGGAUCGAGACUGGGAUUUGUCACUCCGUAUGACGGAGAGGUAUCUCUGGGCCCACUCGGUAAUGCAUCAUCAUAAUGAUCUCAAUGUGACUAAGGAGUUAGCCACGGGAUCAUGCAUUACGGUACGAGUAAAGUGACUUGCCGGUAACGAGAUUGAACAAGGUAUUGGGAUACCGACGAUCGAAUCUCGGGCAAGUAACGUACCGAUUGACAAAGGGAAUUGUAUACGGGAUUGAUUGAAUCCUCGACAUUGUGGUUCAUACGAUGAGAUCAUCGUGGAACAUGUAGGAGCCAACAUGGGUAUCCAGAUCCCGCUGUUGGUUAUUGACCGGAGAGGCAUCUCGGUCAUGUCUGCAUGUCUCCCGAACCCGUAGGGUCUACACACUUAAGGUUCGGUGACGCUAGGGUUGUAGAGAUAUUAGUAUUCGGAAACCCGAAAGUCCCGGAUGAGAUCCCGGACGUCACGAGGAGUUCCGGAAUGGUCCGGAGGUGAAGAAUAAUAUAUAGGAAGUCCAGUUUCGGCCACCGGGAAAGUUUUGGGGGUUAUCGGUAUCGUACCGGGACCACCGGAAGGGUCCCGGGGGUCCACCGGGUGGGGACACCUAUCCCGGAGGGCCCCAUGGGCUGAAGUGGGAGGGGAACCAGCCCCUAGUGGGCUGGGGCGCCCCCCCUGGGCCUCCCCCUACGCCUAGGGUUGGAAACCCUAGGGGUGGGGGGCGCCCCACUUGGCUUGGGGGGCAAGCCACCCCCUUGGCCGCCCCCCCUCAGAUGGGAUCUCCAGGGGGCCGGCGCCCCCCAGGGCCCCUAUAAAUAGUGGGGGGAGGGAGGGCAGCAGCACCACAGCCCCUGGCGCCUCCCUCCCCCCUGCAACACCUCUCCCUCCCGCUUGCGCUUGGCGAAGCCCUGCCGGGAUCCCCGCUACUUCCACCACCACGCCGUCGUGCUGCUGGAUCUCCAUCAACCUCUCCUUCCCCCUUGCUAGAUCAAGAAGGAGGAGACGUUGCUGCUCCGUACGUGUGUUGAACGCGGAGGUGCCGUCCGUUCGGCGCUCGGUCAUCGGUGAUUUGGAUCACGACGAGUACGACUCCAUCAACCCCGUUCACUUGAACGCUUCCGCCUCGCGAUCUACAAGGGUAUGUAGAUGCACUACUUUCCCCUCGUUGCUAGUAAACUCCAUAGAUGGAUCUUGGUGAUGCGUAGAAAAUUUUAAAAUUCUGCUACGUUUCCCAACAAUUUGUUCACCCACCGUAAUACUUAUGCUAUCUUGAGAGAAGCCACUAGUGAAACCUAUGGCCCCCGGGUCUAUCUUUUAUCCUAUAAGCUUUCAAUCUACUUUUAUUUGCAUCUUUUACAUUUCCAAUCUAUAUCAUAAAAAUACCAAAAAUAUUUAUCUUAUCAUAUUAUCUCUAUCAGAUCUCACUUUCGCAAGUGGUCGUGAAGGGAUUGACAACCCCUUUAUUGCGUUGUUUGUGAGUUCUUGUUUGUUUGUGUAGGUGCGUGGGACUUUUGAGGAGCCUCCUACUGGAUUGAUACCUUGGUUCUCAAAAACUGAGGGAAAUACUUACGCUACUUUGCUGCAUCACCCUUUCCUCUUCAAGGAAAACCAACGCAAGCUCAAGACGUAGCACAAGGGUCUUGCUGGGGUCUCGUGGGCGUCCCCGACAAGAGUCUUGCCGGGGGUCUUCGUCUUCUGGUUCUUAUCUAGUCUUACAGGACUUUGGUCUUCACAAAGAUCUGCAUGCCACCACGCAGGCGCCCCUAAGCCUUGGUCCUGACAUUCUCAAUGGUGUUAGAACUCUCAGGCUCAAGGGUGGCGGUCUUGCUGGUGUUGGGCAAUUUGCCCCAGCAAGGCUUUUGCCGGGGCCACAUAGGCCGCCCCAGCAAGGCUCUUGCCGGGGGAAGCCCAUCUUGCCCCUUUGCUCUUCGCGCCUCUGGCUUGAGCGCUGCUCUGGUAGUCUUGUAUCUUUGCUUCUUCUGCCUCGCCAAGCCUGGCCGCAGGUGCGGCUACGACUGCCUGUGCACAAGUAAAGGGGUACAGAAGGCCCCUACUUUUGUACACCGACACAGGCCCCCCAAUCUUGCCUCGGUUGGGAGAUGCAAAAUCAAGUGCUACAUUUCAUUAAUGAAGCCCGGCGGAAAGAUCUUCUCUAACUUGCAGAUCAACUCCGACGCCAACUCUUCCAUUUCUUCUAGCAGGCCAGGCGAUAGUUCUUUCGCACAAAGAACACGGAAGAAAUAGCUCAGCUCUGCCAGUACUAGCCAUUCAUCCUCAGGGAUGAAUCCAUGCAACAUCACCGGCAUUACCCACUCAAUCCAUAUAUGCCAAUCAUGACUCUUGAGACCAAAUAUCUUCAAUUUAUCAAGACUCGCUCCCCUCUUUAGAUUCGCUGCAUACCCAUCAAGGAACAUCAACUGCUGUUGCACCCACAAGAUAAUUUCCCUCAUAGCUGGCCUUCCAAGAUUAAAACAUGCCUUUGGCUUCGUCCAGUUCUGCUUUCCUUUCGGUUCUUUCAUGUUUUGUAACAGACUAUCACAUAGCGCCUCCAGAUCGACUCUAGCCUUAGUAUUAUCCUUUGACUUCCCAUCUAUGCCGAAACAAUGUACCAAAAAGUGCCUUGGCGAUAUUCUUCUCAGUGUGCAUCACGUCGAUGUUGUGUGGGCAAAGGAGGUCUUUGAAGUAAGGCAGAUCCCACAAGUAUGUCUUGUGAGUCCAGGCGUGUUUCAAAUUAUACCCCUUGAAAUACCCUGGACGCUCUGGAUCUGGCUCGAGAGCGUUUAACUGAUCCAGGGUCUCUUGGCCUGUCAACGGAGGUGGUGCAGGGUUUUUGACAACUCUACCUCUGAUGAAGUUCUUCUUGUCUUUCCUGAACUUAUGGCGAGGAUCCAGGAACUGCCUAUGCAUGUCGAAGCAAGAAAACUUGUGACCGGCCUAAAGCCAACGAAACUCAAGAGCUCCCUUGCAUGUGGGGCACGGGAACCUUCCAUGCACACACCAACCAACGAAUAGCGCAUACGCUGGCAAGUCAUGCGUCGAGUACAUGUACCAGACACGCAUUAUGAAGUUCCGUUUGCUAAAGGCGUCGUAAGUCUUGAACCCAUUAUCCCAGGCUUCUUGCAAUUCGUCCUUCAGCGGCUGCAUGUACACAUUCAUAUUCUUCCCCGGAUAGUUGGGCCCUGUAAUUAUCAACGUCAGGAAAAUGAUCUUUCUUUGCAUAAUCUGUCCGGGGGGGAGAUUGAGUGGAAAGACAAAUACGGGCCAACAACUGUAUUGGGCUGCCGUCAGACCAAACACACUGAACCCAUCCGUGCUGAUGCCGACUCGAGGAUGCCUCGGAUCUGCCGCUUUGUCAUCAUGUAAUGCAUCGAAGCUCUUCCAUGCUUGACCGUCCGAUGUGUGCACCAUCAUCAGCUUCCCAUCUGCAUCUAGUUGGGUUCUUUUGCCCGUUUUGUGCCAUUUCAUCUAUCUGGCCGUCUCUUCGACCAUGAAAAGACAUUGAAGUUUUGGUACGAUUGGCAUAACCGAAGAACAUUAACGGGGAUUUUGGUCUGCGUCUUCUCACCCAUACCAUUGUCUACCACAACAUACUUGGAUGACUUGCAAAUGGGACAAUAGUUCAAGUCCGCAUACUGAAGCCUAAAUAAAGCACAUCCUUUCUCACAGGCAUGUAUCUUCCCAUAGGGCAUCUUAAGAGCAUGGAGGAUUUUGCCUUACUGGUACAGGUUUGCAGGUAGUGCAUGGCCUUUGGGUAGAAAACAUCCAAAUAUUGUCAUCAUUGUGUCAUAGCAUUCUCUGCCCAAGUUGAAUUGAGCCUUCAGAGCCAUUAUUUGUGAGAUGGCAUCCAGCUGAUAAAACUCGGUGUGCUUGUGAAGAGGACGUUUUGAAGACUCCAACAUUUCAUUGAAGGCCUUUGCAGAUUCCUCCAUCUCAUCGUUCGAGUCCUGAGCAUCAUCAAAGUCUUGCACCAUGUCUUGCAUCCCGGUACCAUGCUCGUCGGUGCGACGAUGAAGCACCUCAGCUCUGGCAUGUUGGGAAGACUCGCCAUGAAAUGUCCACACUGUAUAAUCUGGCGUAAAACCCCACUUCUGCAGGUGUUUUCCCAUUUCAUCCUCUGUCCUCUUGUGCCAAUUGUUGCACCCGGCACAGCGGCACCAUGUUGUCCUCUGGCCAUUUGCAAAUGCGGCUCUCAGAAACCCCUUGGUUUUUGUUAACCAUUCAAUGAUCAUGUCUUUCUGACUAGUGUGACCGGUGUACAUCCACGCACGAUCAGUCAUCUUGCCUAGCUACUGGACACAUAAGAAAUAUAUAUAUAUAUAUAUAUAAAUCAACAUGUAUAUAUUCAUCAGUUAAUGGAGUUUGUCACUUUUAUUAUGUCCAUGCAACCUAGACGCUAAUAGGUAAAGAUAGGUCCUAAUCCCACCCGAGUAUCUGUAGAUUGGGUUUGUUUUCCCAUGCUCUACUCUGGAUCCGACGCAAAAUUUAGGCAGCACCUCCCCACUGUUCUCCUGAUACACGUCUCGGCAAUAAGCAGAGAGGAUGUGUACCCAGAGAACAACAAGGAGGCACUGACGAAAUUCUGCAUCGGAUCCGGAGCAGAGCAUAUGGGAAAACGAACCCAAUCUACACAUACUCGGGCUGUCCAUAGAUAAAGUGGGACAAUUCAAAAGAAUCACGGUUAUAAUAUGCAAAUGCAUGCAUAUUUAUAGAUGUAACCCUUUCGAACGGGAGACGCAUAGUGGUCACGCAUACUGAUGAUUGAAGACCUAUAGCUAGAAAGUUUCAUCGGCACAAAGACCAGAAUAGAGCAAAUCAAGGGGGAGGAGAUGCCAUUUGUGCUAACCCACAAACGCAGGGGCGGAGCUCGUCGAACACUAGACCCUCGCAGCGACGAAAAAACUGCACAUUUAAAUCGAAAGAUGAGUUUCAUAGCAAUAUUGUUUUUUCCGUCAACCUAAGUAAAUAUUUACAACAGGGCGAGCGGGUUAGGGGUUCCUCGGCGUCGAUAGAACCCUAAAUAGCAAGUAUCAUCGGUGCAAGAUACAUGAGGCGCUCGGUGUUGAACACUAGAUCCACGUCCCACAAGUGACGACGGCGCCCGGCGUCCUGCAACAAUAGUUCUGGUGGCCGAUGACGGUCGAACACCUUGGCAAAUUUGUCUGGCAGCCUCUGCGAUGAGGAUUAAUGCCAAGUAUUGAAAUUUCAAACAACCAAACCGACUUGAGUCAGUUUGGGUGUUUCAAGUUUCAACACUUAGCUUUCAAUCGUCAUCUCAGAGGCUGCCAGACAAAUUCGCAAUGGUAUUCGACCGCCAUCGACGCCGAGAACUGUUGAUGCAGGAUGCAGGACCCCUGUGUCACUUGUGGGACGUGGAUGUAGUAUUCGACACUGACGACCACAUGUAUCUCGCACUGACGAUACCUGCUAUUUAGGGUACCAUCGACACCGAGGAACCCCCUAACCCGCUCGUCCCCGGGUAAACUAAAUUAGCAUGCAUUCAAUAAUAAAAACUACAUCAUCUCUUGCAUCCGUACAUCAUAGAAUAUUAUCACUAAUACAACUCAAAUAGUAUCAUACAUAUAGCAUCGCCAAUACAGCUAGAACCGUAGCGAACGACGGGUAUCGGCGCGGGCGAUGGAUACCCAAAGAGAAGGAACCAUCACAGGAUCAUAGCUCCAGUGAGAUCCCUGAAGAACCUGCCAGGUAUUGUCGAACCUGCCCUCCAACGCAACCAUGUAGCGACGGACGUGCUCGUCCUCCUCGCUGACACGGUGACGUACCACCUCCGCAGUGUCUGAAAGCCUCGGCACCGUCACUGGCCCAGGCGACCGCCACCAAACAAGGUUCGGGUCAACAACGGGGUGGCUGCUCACCAAGCUGCGCCCCCCGGAAGGUAGAACCCCCAGUACCAGCCCGGCGGAGCCCAGUCUCGGACAUGGCCCCUCUGAUCAAGCAGGCCUCCUCCGCCGAGUCGACGACGAGGAUGCGGCAUAGGCAUCGUCGACGUCGAUGCGGGAAUAAAUGCUUGAACUAAAAAAUAAUAACAUAUUUCACAUAUUCAAAAUAAACCAGAAACUUAACCUAACCUAAACUAAACUAAACCUAAACUAACUAAACUAAACUAAACCUAAACUAAACCAGAAACUUAACCUAACCUAAACUAAACUAAAUCUAAAGUAAACUAACUAAACUAAACAAAACCUAAACUAAAUUAUACUAAACCUAAUUAAACUAAAUCUAAAAAAACAGAAAAAAGAAGAAAAGGUCUCACCUUGNNNNNNNNNNNNNNNNNNNNNNNNNNNNNNNNNNNNNNNNNNNNNNNNNNNNNNNNNNNNNNNNNNNNNNNNNNNNNNNNNNNNNNNNNNNNNNNNNNNNNNNNNNNNNNNNNNNNNNNNNNNNNNNNNNNNNNNNNNNNNNNNNNNNNNNNNNNNNNNNNNNNNNNNNNNNNNNNNNNNNNNNNNNNNNNNNNNNNNNNNNNNNNNNNNNNNNNNNNNNNNNNNNNNNNNNNNNNNNNNNNNNNNNNNNNNNNNNNNNNNNNNNNNNNNNNNNNNNNNNNNNNNNNNNNNNNNNNNNNNNNNNNNNNNNNNNNNNNNNNNNNNNNNNNNNNNNNNNNNNNNNNNNNNNNNNNNNNNNNNNNNNNNNNNNNNNNNNNNNNNNNNNNGGGACGGCGUGGACAGGGUGGCGCGGAUGGGAUGGGGCGGCGAGGCCGGCCGGAGCGGCACCGUGGGGCGGAGUGGCCCGGUGCGGCAACGCGGGCCGGGGCGGCAACGGGGGCCAGGGCGGUGAGGCGAGGCGUGGUGGGGUGGCGGUGUGGGGUUGGGAUGAGGGAAGCAAGGGAGAGAGAGGGGUAGGGCGAGGGCUUUUUGUUAGAUAGGGCACAACUCUUUGCCGUCCGCUAGCAGACGGCAAAGAGCCUAGCUAACGGAUGCUCUGAGCCGAUUUCAACAUCACGAAGAGCUCGGGAAUCAUUUUCGUUAUCCCUUGCAUAUUAUAGUUCAUCACGAAGUUCUAGUAGCUUGGUGAUAGUGACUAGCGAACUUUGUCAAUCACUAUCUUAUCUGGAAGAUUAAUUUCCACUUGAUUCAAGCGAUUGUAGUACCUAGACAUUCUGAGCACAUGCUCAAUGGUUGAGCUAUUCUCCUCCAUAUCGUAGGCAAAGUACUUGUCAGAGGUCUCAUACCUCUCGACACGGGCAUGAGUCUGAAAUACCAAUUUAAGCUCUUGGAACAUCUCAUAUGCUCCGUGGCGUUCAAAACAUUUUUGAAGUCCCGGUUCUAAGUCGUAAAGCAUGUCGCACUAAACUAUUAAGUAGUCAUCAUAUCGAGCUUGUCAAACAUUCAUAAUGUCUGCAUCUGCUCUUGCAAUAGGUCUGUCACCUAGCAGUGCAUCAAGGACAUAAUUCUUCUGUGCAGCAAUAAGGAUAAUCCUCAGAUCACGGACCCAGUCCCCAUCAUUGCUACUAUCAUCUUUCAACUUAUUUUUUCUCUAGGAUCAUAUCAAAAAAUAAGGGAGCUAUAUCGCGAGCUAUUGAUCUACAGUAUAGAUAUGCAAAACUAGAAGACUAAGUUCAUGAUAAAUUAAGUUCAAUUAAUCAAAUUACUAAUGAACUCCCACUUAAAUCAACAUCCCUCAAGUUGUCUAAGUGAUACAUGAUCUAAAUAAACUAACGCAUGUCUGAUCAUCACAUGAGAUGGGGUAGUCAUCAAUGGUGAACAUCUCUAUGUUGAUCAUAUCUACUAUAUGACUCACGUUUGACCUUUCAGUCUCUAGUGUUCCGAGACCAUGUCUGUACAUGCUAGGCUCGUCAAGUUACAUGUACAAAACUAUCUUACACCCGUUGUAUGUGAAUGUAGAGUGUAUCACACCCGAUCAUCACGUGGUGUCUCGAAACGACGAACUUUCGCAACGGUGCAUACUCGGGGAGAAAACUUAUAUCUUGAAAUUUAGUGAAGGGAUCAUCUUAUAAUGCUACUGUUGUUCGAAGAAAAAUAAGAUGCAUAAAAGAUAAACAUCACAUCCAGUCAAAAUAUGUGACAUGAUAUGGCCAUCAUCAUCUCGUGCUUUUGAUCUCCAUCUCCAAAGCAUCGUCAUGAUAUCAAUCGUCACCGGCUCGACACAUUGAUCUCCAUCGUUGCAUCGUGGUCGUCUCGCCAACUAUUGCUAAUGCAUAGCGAUAAAGUAAAGCAAUUACAUGGCGUUUGCAACUUAUACAAUAAAGAGACAACCAUAAGGCUCCUACCGGUUGCCGAUAAAUUACAAAACAUGAUCAUAUCAUACAAUAACGUAUAUCAUAUCAUGUCUUAACCAUAUCACAUCACAACAUACCCUGGAAAAACAAGUUAGACGUCCUCUACUUUGUUGUUGCAAGUUUUACGUGUCUGCUACGGGCUUCUAGCAAGAAUCGUUCUUACCUACGCAAAAACAACCACAAAGGUGAUUUAUCAAGUUUGUUUUCUAAUCUACUUCAAGGACCAGCCGUAGUCAAAUUUGAUUCAACUAAAGUAGGAGAAACAGACACCCGCCAGCCACCUUUAUGCAAAACAAGUUGCAUGUCAGUCGGUGGAACCGGUCUCAUGUGCGUGGACAUGUAAGGUUGGUCCGGGCCGCUUCAUCCCACAAUACCGCCGAAUCAAAAUAUGACGUUGGUGGUAAGCAGUAUGACUAUCACCGCCCACAACUCUUUGUGUUCUACUCAUGCAUAUCAUCUACACAUAGACCUGGCUCUCAUACCAUUGUUGGGAAUCGUUGCAUGGAAAACAAAAAAAUUCUACGCACUAGCAAUGAUCUAUCCAUGGAGAUGCAUAGCAACGAAGGUAAGAGUAUGUCUACGUACCCUCGUAGACCGUCAGCGGAAGCGUUUCACAACGCGGUUGAUGUAGUCGAACUUUCUUUGCGAUCCAACCGAUCGAGUACCGAACGUACGACACCUCCGUGUUCAGCACACAUUCAGCUCAGUGACGUCCACGCCUUCUUGAUCCAGCAAGACGGCGAGGUAGUGGAUAAGUUUCGACAGCACGACGGCGUGGUGACGGUUAUGGUGAAGUGAUCUCUGCAGUGCUUCGCCUAAGCACUACGAAAAUAUGACCGGGGGUGUAAACGGUGGAGGGGGGCGCCACACACGGCUAGGCAAUUGUCUGUUGUGUGCUAGGCGCCCCCUCCCACAUAUAUAUAGGUGGGAGCGAGGGAGGAGCAGCCAAAGAAGGCGCCCAAGUAGGAGGAAUCCUACUUGGGGUCUCUCCCAAGCCACGCCCCCUUUCCUUAUUUGGAGCGCGAGGAAAGGCAGGGGAGGGUGGCGCCCCCCUUUCCUUUCUCCCAUGAGAGGGAAAGGCAGGAGGGGCUAGCUCUCCCCCUUUUCCUUCCCUAGGCCUGGCCAACCAAGGGAGGAGGCGCACCAGCCCCCUUGUGGGCUGGUCUGUCUCCUCCUUUGGCCCAUAAGGCCCAUAACUUGCCGGGGGGUGCCCGGAACCCGUUUCGGUGACCCGAUUCAUUCCUGGUACGUCCCGAAACACUUCAGGUGUCAAAAUACGAUCGUCCUAUAUAUCAAUCUUUACCUCUUGACCAUUUCGAGACUCCUCGUCAUGUCCGGCAUCUCAUCCGGGACUCCGAACAACAUUCGGUCACCAAAACAUAUAACUCAUAUAACACUAUAUCAUCAACGAAUGUUAAGCGUGCGGACCCUACGGGUUCGAGAACUAUGUAGAAAUGACCGAGACACCUCUCCAGUCAAUAACUAAUAGCGAAACCUGGAUGCCCAUAUUGGCUCCUACAUAUUCUACGAAGAUCUUUAUCGGUCGAACCGUUAUGACAACAUACGUAAUUCCCUUUGUCCAUCGGUAUGUUACUUGCCCGAGAUUCGAUCGUCGGUAUCUCUAUACCUAGUUCAAUAUCGUUACCGACAAGUCUCUUUACUCGUUCCGUAAUACAUUGAAGGAAAUAUACCCUAGAGGCAAUAAUAAAGUAUUAUUUAUUUCCUUAUAUCAUGAUAAAUGUUUAUUAUUGAUGCUAGAAUUGUGUUAACCGGAAACAUAAUACAUGUGUGAAUACAUAGACAAACAGAGUGUCACUAGUAUGCCUCUACUUGACUAGCUCGUUAAUCAAAGAUGGUUAUGUUUCCUAGCCAUAGACAUGAGUUGUCAUUUGAUUAACGGGGUCACCUCAUUAGGAGAAUGACGUGAUUGACUUGACCCAUUCCGUUAGCUUAGUACUCGAUGUUUAGUAUGUUGCUAUUGCUUUCUUCAUGACUUAUACAUGUUCCUAUGACUAUGAGAUUAUGCAACUCCCGUUUACCGAAGGAACACUUUGUGUGUUACCAAACGUCACAACGUAACUGGGUGAUUAUAAAGGUGCUCUACAGGUGUCUCCAAAGGUACUUGUUGGGUUGGCGUAUUUCGAGAUUAGGAUUUGUCACUCCGAGUGUCGGAGAGGUAUCUCUGGGCCCACUCAGUAAUGCACAUCACUAUAAGCCUUGCAAGCAUUGUAAUUAAUGAGUUAGUUGCGGGAUGAUGUAUUACGGAACGAGUAAAGAGACUUGCCGGUAACGAGAUUGAACUAGGUAUCGAGAUACCGACGAUCGAAUCUCGGGCAAGUAACAUACCGAUGACAAAGGGAACAACGUAUGUUGUUAUGCGGUCUGACCGAUAAAGAUCUUCGUAGAAUAUGUGGGAACCAAUAUGAGCAUCCAGGUUCCGCUAUUGGUUAUUUACUGGAGAGGUGUCUCGGUCAUGUCUACAUAGUUCUCGAACCCGUAGGGUCCGCACGCUUAACGUUACGAUGACAGUUUUACUAUGAGUUUACGUAUGUUGAUGUACCGAAGGAGUUCGGAGUCCCGGAUGAGAUCGGGGACAUGACGAGGAGUCUCGAAAUGUCCGAGACGUAAAGAUUGAUAUAUUGGACGACUAUAUUCGGACUUCGGAAAGGUUCCGAGUGAUUCGGGUACUUUUCGGAGUACCGGAGAGUUACGGGAAUUCGUAUUGGGCCUUAAUGGGCCAUACGGGAAAGGAGAGAAAGGCCCCAAAGGGAGGCCGCACCCCUCCCCAUGGACUAGUCCGAAUUGUACUAGGGAGGGGGGGCGCCCCCUUCCUUCUUUCUCCUUCUCCCUUCCCUUUUCCUACUCCAACAAGGAAAGGAGGAGUCCUACUCCCGGUGGGAGUAGGACUCCCCCCUUGGCGUGCCUCCUCCUAGGCCGGCCGCCUCCCCCCUUGCUCCUUUAUAUACGGGGGCAGGGGGCACCUCUAGACACACACAAUUGAUCAACGAUCUUUUAGCCGUGUGCGGUGCCCCCCUCCACCAUAUUACACCUCGAUAAUAUCGUGGCGGAGCUUAGGUGAAGCCUUGCGUCGGUAGAACAUCAUCAUGGUCACCACGCCGUCGUGCUGACGAAACUCUCCCUCAACACUCGGCUGGAUCGGAGUUCGAGGGACGUCAUCGAGCUGAACGUGUGCUGAACUCGGAGGUGCCGUGCGUUCGGUACUUGAUCGGUCGGAUCGUGAAGACGUACGACUACAUCAACCGCGUUGUGUUAACGCUUCCGCUAUCGGUCUACGAGGGUACGUGGACAACACUCUCCUGUCACAACCGGUUUUCCAAUAAAAAUAUUUAUUGAGAGACCGAUCCCUUUUAUGGACCAGUAAAGAAGAAUUCCUUCUCACUGGUAGACAAUAUCUUGGUCACAGAAGAAAAAUACCAGGAGUACUGAAUAUAAUACAAGGUUGAGCGGAGACUGCUCAACAAUUUAUUACAAGCGCGCCAAUAAUACAUAAAGGCGGAUAGGGUGGCAUAACUACUAACUCACGAUAAAAGCGGUGGUGGAAAAUAUCACAGCGGAGUGGGUGAUAUGACUCCUGAAAACUAACAGCUCUUCGAGCGUCGGAGUGAGGCUCGAGGAGACUUAUUGAGGGUGGCGGAAGCGUAUACGAUACAAGUGACCAAUAUCCAGGAUCGCACGGGGCUGACUGGGAUUCCUCUAGGCGUCGAACUCACUAUCAAACUCUUCAUCCAUGAGAUCGCCUUCGUCAACAUCUGGCCAAAUCAACAAGCCAGGUGAGUACUAUGAAAGUACUCGCAAGACAGUUCGGACAUAAGAUAUAACAAAUGUAAACAUGAUGCAUAUGAACAGAUUAACAAGAGCACUCAGACAGAGGGAUAAUGAUGCGUGGGAAAUAAAAGAGAAGUCGGGCGGUAGUCCUCCCGAAAUCGCAAAGUAAAUACUGAGGGCCAAACGAGUGUCUGAAUGACUCCUCGAGAGGAAAAUACAAGAAUAAUAAUGCCGCAGUCGGGCGUCAAGGCGACACCACAUAAAGGGCUUAUAAUAGAAUAUAAAAGACAGUGCGUGCCACAGUCGGACGUCUGAGCGACAUCACAUAAAGGGCUUUAAUAGAUUAUAAAAGACAGUGCGUGCCACAGUCGGACGUCUGAGCGACAUCACAUAAAGGGAUUUAAUAGAAUAUAAAAGACAGUGCGUGCCACAGUCGGACGUCUGAGCGACAUCACAUAAAGGGCUUAUAUCAAAAGUAAAUAACGAGAGUGCCACAGUCGGACGUCUGAAGCGACAUCACAUAAAGGGCUUAUAUUGAAAGAAUAAAUAACAGUGCAUGCCACAGUCGGACGUCUGGGCGACAUCACAUAAAGGGCUUCAUAACUUAAUAUCUCAGUAGCUCAAGAAUUUAAUUCAUAUCAAGGGAAUAAUCAGGUAUGAGAUAAACAACCGGGGUUAGUCCAUCCACAGGAAUAACGUUCAACCAAGUUUACCACUCAAGUUUGUUCACCGGGGAUUUACCACGAAGAUUGACAUAGAUAUGGAUUUACUGGCCAUGGUCCUUGACCAUGGAUACGAUGACUCGGAAGGAUUUUGACUCUGCAGAGUUUCUACUUUAACCACAGCCAACGGAUUUCAGUAGUCACGGGGACUAGUUCCGUUUACGGUGUUUUGGAAGAAACACAUCUAACCAGUACACACCCAUUCAACAUUUCGAAGCCAGGAAUCACCCUCGGCAACGUUCAAGAAAAACCUUGAGACGGGGAGGCUACAACCUCGCGUAGCAUGGGAUCAAAUUUAUAUACGCGCGCUCUAAGGGGUGCCCCCCUCUCGGUCCCAACCGGAAACACCCAUGCCCCCUGACCGGAUGACUGGCUUUAAUCCAGGGCCAUGGAACCCUCAUCCCGGCCCCUCUAUUUGGUGUGUACAUGGAAAGAGGUUACCAACUUACUAAACCGUAUUCUUGGCAGAAAACAUGUGGCGGCACGGAAGGGGGAAGAACGAUAACGUGACUCCGUCCACGUUAACGUCAGAAUUUAUCGGACCUCGUAAGGCUGGCAUGCUACAACAAUACCACCUUAUUGCCUUUCAUGUCACCACAUGACUAGGCCAUCUCCCAUCAGAGAUCACAGUAACUUCGGAACUCACGGAUAGUUGCCUCACAUGCAACGAGAUACUCACCGAUGCUCAUAUGCCAUGCACAACCAUUCAAGCAAACAUGCAAAACACCUAUCAUAUCAAAGGUUCAAACAUGCUUGCCUGGUUCGGAGAAGUCGGAGUCUAGCUCGGCGAAGUUCGCGGCUCCGUCACCUCUUCCGGAACCUACGGUAUAGCGAAAACGUAUACUAACGUGAAAAUCAUCGCGUGCAUAAAAGUUGUUCCAAAAAAUUUCCAAAUAAAUACUAUAAAAAACUAGACAAAAAUAUAAGACUGUCAGAAAAAGAAUCACUUUUCAUUAAAAAGUUAUAAGGGUUUUUGUUCAGGGACUAAUCUAUGAUGAAACAGAAAAGAACCAGGGACUUAACUGAGAAAACAGAAAACGGUUCGAAGAGAAACGCGCCAGCCCACAGAGAAAAUGUACUCGCCCGAAGGCGCCAACAGAAAACGCUUCGGGGAGAGAAAGAAGAGAGGCUGACGUGGGGGUCCCACAUGUCAGGUUUAAAUCCUCGCCGGCGCCCGAAGGCUGCGGUGGUCGCCAGCGUCGAACCACGGCGAGUCAGGGAGAUCGGAGUGUACCAAGAGGUUCAGCGUGUUCUUCCGCGUCGGUGGGUGGUGGACUUGGUCGUCGGAGAGCACCACGUCGACGGCGACACUUUCUCCGGCGGACGGCGGCUCGGGCGAUGGUGGAGAACUCCGGUGGGUGCUGCAAACUCCGAAUUGAAGCGCGGGUCAGGAGAGUGGAUGCAUAAGAGAGCUACUGGCAAGAGUUGGGGGUUAGAGGUGCACGCACGGGAGCGAAUCGAGCUGGAUCCCGUGGCGGGUCGCGGCGGCCGGAGUUGGGGAAGAAGGCUCCCUCGGGGCUCUUCCAGUGGCUAGGCGUGGUGUUGGAGGUGUGUAGAGGUGGUGUGGGUUCUAGUUGGAGCUCGGGGCCUCUAUUUAUAGGCGGUUCGAGGGGGUGGCCGUGAACGGGAUCGCUCCGGCGAGCAAUUACGGCGAGGUAAUGGCUUGGCAGGGAGCUUAAGUGGCCAGGCAGCAUCAGGGAGGUGUAUUGGUACCGUUCCCCCGCUAAUCCAGGUCGGGCUUGGCGUAAUGGCGCCGGUCCUCGACGGGGUGGCCGUACGGGCACGGCGGCGGCAGAGAGCGCGCUCCGCGCCUAGCGGUUCACGACGAGGGUGGUAGCGCGCACUGGGGAGUGGAUGGCCACGCGGCGACCUCCGGUGGCUUGGGCGGUGCUGGGUGGCGCCGUCUGCGCUGCGCCUCUCUCUGGUGGCCGCAAAGCCGCCGCUGCCGUCGGUCACGGGGCGGCGCACCUCCUCCUGCUCGUCGCCGACGCUCGCAACCCUCCAGGUGCUCGUGCGGUGCAGAGGACAAGGGGAGGGGACAGGAAGCACGGCGACGCCGGGGCACUGGCGAGAUCGACAACGGACACUGAAGAAACGACAGUAGUUUCAGACACUGUUAACUGAACUUGACUGAACAUUAGAGAAACAGUGUCCAGCAGGUGUUCGAUGAAAUGAUUUGGCAAGAAGAAAAAUUUUCCUGGAGCUGGGAUUUGGUGAGGUGACCUCUCAAUGCACCCAGAGGCUGCCUGAUUUUUCUCAGAUUUUUAGGAGAAGGAUUUGAAUGAAUUUCAUCAAAUUUGGCAAAUCUGGUCGAAACUUGCAGCAAGUAUAGUUUGAAAAUUUUGAACUGGAGACCAAUGGAUCUUCAUGGAUCCUGGUUGAGGGUUCAAAGGACUAGCUAGGGAAAUUGGUUUGGAGACAAAAUUCAAAGCAGAAAGAGUAGCUCCUUUGUAAACCUCCAAGGAUCAAGAUAGAAGGCAGAAAUUGUUUUUGAUAAGAAAUAAAUGGAAAUAAAUAUAUGGAGAGGUUCAACUUGCUGGAUUUGAGGUAUAUUAUGAUCCAAAGGUGGGGAAAGGUUUAUGGGAGUGGAUUUGCACUAAGGUCAUGGCAAGAGAGAUUUUUGAAAGUGGACAAGGAUCAUUCCAAAAGCCAUAGGGCCUUUUUAAAGGAAUUUUCAAAAGACAUUUUUUUCCAAGUGAAAAGCAUUUUGGUUUGAGUCCAAAUAAAAAGGGCAAACCUCCAAGACCAAAAUCAAGUCUUGGGUGAAUCCAAAUGAAACACUUGCCAUAAAGGAAAGUUUUUGAGAGGGAGAGUUCUUUAGAAGAAAAUUUAAAUACCCUCCUCAAAUAAAAGUUUGAAAAAUCCAAUUAAAAAUUUUGGGUGUCACAUCUCCCCUCUCGUUGCUAUGCAUCACCAUGAUCUUGCGUGUUCGUAGGAAAUUUUUUGAAAUUACUACGUUCCCCAACAGUGGCAUCCGAGCCUGGUUUUAUGCGUUGACGCUAUGCACGAGUAGAACACAAGUGAGUUGUGGGCGAUAUAAGUCAUACUGCUUACCAGCAUGUCAUACUUUGGUUCGGCGGUAUUGUGAGAUGAAGCGGCCCAGACCGACAUUACGCGUAUGCUUACACGAGACUGGUUUCACCGUUGCGAGCACUCGUUGCUUAAAGGUGACUGGCGGGUGUCUGUCCCUCUCACUUUAGUUGAACCGAGUGUGGCUACGCCCGGUCCUUGCGAAGGUUAAAACAGCACCAACUUGACAAACUAUCGUUGUGGUUUUGAUGCGUAGGUAAGAACGGUUCUUGCUAAGCCCUUAGCAGCCACGUAAAACUUGCAACAACAAAAUAGAGGACGUCUAACUUGUUUUUGCAGGGCAUGUUGUGAUGUGAUAUGGUCAAGACAUGGUGCUAUAUUUUAUUGUAUGAGAUGAUCAUGUUUUGUAACCGAGUUAUCGGCAACUGGCAGGAGCCAUAUGGUUGUCGCUUUAUUGUAUGCAAUGCAAUCGCCAUGUAAUUGUUUUACUUUAUCACUAAGCGGUAGCGAUAGUCGUAAAAGCAAUAAGUUGGCGAGACGACAACGAUACUACGAUAGAGAUCAAGGUGUCGCGCCGGUGACGAUGGUGAUCAUGACGGUGCUUCGGAGAUGGAGAUCACAAGCACAAGAUGAUGAUGGCCAUAUCAUAUCACUUAUAUUGAUUGCAUGUGAUGUUAAUCUUUUAUGCAUCUUAUCUUGCUUUGAUUGACGGUAGCAUUAUAAGAUGAUCUCUCACUAAAAUUUCAAGAUAAAAGUGUUCUCCCUGAGUAUGCAACGUUGCGAAAGUUCUUCGUGCUAAGACACCACGUGAUGAUCGGGUGUGAUAGGCUCUACGUUCAAAUACAACGGGUGCAAAACAGUUGCGCACGCGGAAUACUCAGGUUAAACUUGACGAGCCUAGCAUAUGCAGAUAUGGCCUCGGAACAUGGAGACCGAAAGGUCGAGCGUGAAUCAUAUAGUAGAUAUGAUCAACAUAGUGAUGUUCACCAUUGAAACUACUCCAUCUCACGUGAUGAUCGGACAUGGUUUAGUUGAUAUGGAUCACGUGAUCACUUAGAGGAUUAGAGGGAUGUCUAUCUAAGUGGGAGUUCUUAAGUAAUAUGAUUAAUUGAACUUGAAUUUAUCAUGAACUUAGUACCUGAUAGUAUUUUGCAAAUUAUGUUGUAGAUCAAUAGCUCGCGUUGUUGCUUCCCUGUAUUUUUGAUAUGUUCCUAGAGAAAAAUUAUGUUGAAAGAUGUUAGUAGCAAAGAUGCGGAUUGGAUCCGUGAUAUGAGGAUUAUCCUCAUUGCCGAACAGAAGAAUUAUGUCCUUGAUGUACCGCUAGGUGACAGACCUAUUGCAGGAGCAGAUGCAGACGUUAUGAACGUUUGGCUAGCUCAAUAUGAUGACUACUUGAUAGUUUAGUGCACCAUGCUUAACAGCUUAGAAUCGGGACUUCAAAGACGUUUUGAACGUCAUGGACCAUAUCAGAUGUUCCAGGAGUUGAAGUUAAUAUUUCAAGCAAAUACCCGAGUUGAGAGAUAUGAAGUCUCCAACAAGUUCUAUAGCUAAAAGAUGGAGGAGAAUAGCUCAAGCAGUGAGCAUGUGCUCAGAUUGUCUGGGUACUACAAUCGCUUGAAUCAAGUGGGAGUUAAUCUUCCAGAUAAAAUAGUGAUUGACAGAAUUCUCUAGUCACCAUCACCAAGUUAGUAGAACUUCGUGAUGAACUAUAGUAUGCAAGGGAUGACGAAAGUAAUUCCAGAGCUCUUCGUGAUGCUGAAAUCGACGAAGGUAGAAAUCAAGAAAAACAUCAAGUGUUGAUGGUUGACGAGACCACUAGUUUCAAGAAAAGGGCAAAGGGAAGAAGGGGAACUUCAAAAAGAACGGCAAGCAAGUUGCUACUCAAGUGAAGAAGCCCAAGUCUGUACCUAAGCCUGAGACUAAGUGCUUCUACUGCAAAGGGACUGGUCAUUGGAAGCGGAACUACGCCAACUAUUUGGUGGAUAAGAAGGAUGGCAAAGUGAACAAAGGUAUAUUGGAUAUACAUGUUAUUGAUGUGUACUUUACUAGUGUUUAUAGCAACCCCUCAACAUUUGAUACUGGUUCAGUUGCUAAGAGUAGUAACUCGAAACGGGAGUUGCAGAAUAAACAGAGACUAGUAAAAGGCGAGGUGACGAUGUGUGUUGGAAGUAGUUCCAAGAUUGAUAUGAUCAUCAUCGCACACUCCCUGUACUUUCGGGAUUACUGUUGAAACUAAAUAAGUGUUAUUUGGGGUUUGCGUUGAGCAUGAAUAUGAUUUGAUCAUGUUUGUUGCAAUACGGCUAUUCAUUUAAAUUAGAGAAUAAUUGUUGUUCUGUUUACAUGAAUAAAACCUUCUAUGGUCAUACACCCAAUAAAAUGGUUUGUUCGAUCUCGAUCGUAGUGAUACACAUAUUCAUAAUAAUGAAGCCAAAAGAUGCAAAGUUAAUAAUGAUAGUGCAACUUAUUUGUGGCACUGUCGUUUAGGUCAUAUUGGUUUAAAGCGCAUGAAGAAACUCCAUACUGAUGGGAUUUUGGAAUCACUUGAUUAUGAAUCACUUGAUGCUUGCGAACCGUGCCUCAUGGGCAAGAUGACUAAAACGCCGUUCUCCGGAACUAUGGAGAGAGCAACAGAUUUGUUGGAAAUCAUACAUACAGAUGUAUGUGGUCCUAUGAAUAUUGAGGCUCGUAGCAGGUAUCAUUAUUUUAUGACCUUCACAGAUGAUUUGAGCAGAUAUGGGUAUAUCUACUUAAUGAAACAGAAGUCUGAAACAUUUGAAAAGUUCAUAUAAUUUCAGAGUGAAGCGGAAAAUCAUCGUAACAAGAAAAUAAAGUUUCUACGAUCUGAUCGUGGAGAAGAGUAUUUGAGUUACGAGUUUGGCCUUCAGUUAAAACAAUGUGAAAUAGUUUCACUACUCACGCCACCUGGAACACCACGGUGUAAUGGUGUGUCCCAACAUCGUAACCGUACUUUAUUAGAUAUGGUGCGAUAUAUGAUGUCUCUUACCGAUCUACCACUAUCGUUUUGGGGUUAUGCAUUAGAGACAGCUGCAUUCACGUUAAAUAAGGUACCAUCUAAAUCCGUUGAGACGACAUCUUAUGAACUGUGGUUUGGCAAGAAACCAAAGUUGUCGUUUCUUAAAGUUUGGGGUUGCGAUGCUUAUGUGAAAAGGUUUCAUCCUGAUAAGCUCAAACCCAAAUCGGGGAAAUGUGUCUUCAUAGGAUACCCAAAGGAGACAGUUGGGUACACCUUCUAUCACAGAUCUGAAGGCAAGACAUUCGUUGCUAAGAAUGGAUCCUUUCUAGAGAAGGAGUUUCUCUCGAAAGAAGUGAGUGGGAGGAAAGUAGAACUUGAUGAGGUAACUGUACCUCAUCGCUUAUUGGAAAGUAGUUCAUCACAGAAAACCGGUUCCUGUGACACCUACACCAAUUAGUGAGGAAGUUAAUGAUGAUGAUCAUGAAACUUCAGAUCAAGUUGUUACUGAACCUCGUAGGUCAACCAGAGUAAGAUCCGCACCAGAGUGGUACGGUAAUCCUGUUCUGGAGGUUAUGUUACUAGACCAUGACGAACCUACGAACUAUGAAGAAGCGAUGGUGAGCCCAGAUUCCGCAAAAUGGCUUGAGGCCAUGAAAUCUGAGAUGGGAUCCAUGUAUGAGAACAAAGUAUGGACUUUGGAUGACUUGCCCGAUGAUCGGCAAGCCAUAGAAAAUAAAUGGAUCUUCAAGAGGAAGACAGACGCUGAUAGUAGUGUUACUAUCUACAAAGCUAGAAUUGUCGCAAAAGGUUUUCGACAAGUUUAAGGUGUUGACUACGAUGAGAGUUUCUCACUCGUAUCUAUGCUUAAGUCUGUCUGAAUCAUGUUAGCAAUUGCCGCAUUUUAUGAAAUAUGGCAAAUGGAUAAACAAAACUGCAUUCCUUAAUGGAUUUAUUAAAGAAGAGUUGUAUAUGAUGCAACCAGGAGGUUUUGUCAAUCCUAAAAGUGCUAACAAAAUAUGCAAACUCCAGCGAUCCAUCUAUGGACUGGUGCAAGCAUCUCGGAGUUGGAAUAUACGCUUUGAUAAGUUGAUCAAAGCAUAUAGUUUUAUACAGACUUGCGGUGAAGCCUGUAUUCACAAGAAAGUGAGUGGGAGCACUACAGCAUUUCUGAUAAGUAUAUGUGAAUGACAUAUUGUUGAUCGGAAAUAAUGUAGAAUUAUUCUGCAAAGCAUAAAGGAGUGUUUGAAAGGAGUUUUUCAAAGAAAGACCUCGGUGAAGCUGCUUACAUAUUGAGCAUCAAGAUCUAUAAAGAUAGAUCAAGACGCUUGAUAAGUUUUUUCAAUGAGUACAUACCUUAACAAGAUUUUGAAGUAGUUCAAAAUGGAACAGUCAAAGAAAGAGUUUCUUGCCUGUGUUACAAGGUGUGAAAUUGAGUAAGACUCAAAGCCCGACCACGGCAGAAGAUAGAAAAAGAAUGAAAGUCAUUCCCUAUGCCUCGGCCAUAGGUUCUAUAAAGUAUGCCAUGAUGUGUACCAGAUCUAUUGUAUACCCUACACUGAUUUUGGCAAGGGAGUACAAUAGUGAUCUAGGAGUAGAUCACUAGAUAGCGGUCAAAAUUAUCCUUACUGGAAUAAGGAUAUGUUUCUCGAUUAUGGAAGUGACAAAAGGUUCGUCGUAAAGGGUUACGUCGAUGCAAGUUUUGACAUUAAUCUAGAUGACUCUAAGUCUCGGUCUAGAUACAUAUUGAAAGUGGGAGCAAUUAGCUAAGAGUAGCUCCGUGCAGAGCAUUGUAGACAUAGAAAUUUGCAAAAUACUUACGGAUCUGAAUGUGACAGACCCGUUGACUAAAAUUAUCUCACAAUCAAAACAUGAUCACACCUUAGUACUCUUUGGGUGUUAAUCACAUAGCGAUGUCAACUAGAUUAUUGACUCUAGUAAACCCUUUGAGUGUUGGUCACAUGACAAUGUGAACUAUGGGUGUUAAUCACAUGGUGAUGUGAAUUAUUGAUGUUAAAUCACAUGGCGAUGUGAACUAGAUUAUUGACUCUAGUGCAAGUGGGAGACUGAAGGAAAUAUACCCUAGAGGCAAUAAUAAAGUAUUAUUUAUUUCCUUAUAUCAUGAUAAAUGUUUAUUAUUCAUGUUAGAAUUGUAUUAACCGGAAACAUAAUACAUGUGUGAAUACAUAGACAAACAGAGUGUCACUAGUAUGCCUCUACUUGACUAGCUCGUUAAUCAAAGAUGGUUAUGUUUCCUAGCCAUAUACAUGAGUUGUCAUUUGAUUAACGGGGUCACCUCAUUAGGAGAAUGACGUGAUUGACUUGACCCAUUCCGUUAGCUUAGCACUCGAUCGUUUAGUAUGUUGCUAUUGCUUUCUUCAUGACUUAUACAUGUUCCUAUGACUAUGAGAUUAUGCAACUCCCAUUUACCGGAGGAACACUUUGUGUGCUACCAAACGUCACAACGUAACUGGGUGAUUAUAAAGGUGCUCUACAGGUGUCUUCAAAGGUACUUGUUGGGUUGGCGUAUUUCGAGAUUAGGAUUUGUCACUCCGAGUGUCGGAGAGGUAUCUCUGGGCCCACUCAGUAAUGCACAUCACUAUAGGCCUUGCAAGCAUUGUAACUAAUGAGUUAGUUGCGGGAUGAUGUAUUACGGAACGAGUAAAGAGACUUGCCGGUAACGAGAUUGAACUAGGUAUCGAGAUACUGACGAUCGAAUCUCGGGCAAGUAACAUACCGAUGACAAAGGGAACAACGUAUGUUGUUAUGCGGUCUGACCGAUAAAGAUCUUCGUAGAAUAUGUGGGAACCAAUAUGAGCAUCCAGGUUCCGCUAUUGGUUAUUGACUGGAGAGGUGUCUCGGUCAUGUCUACAUAGUUCUCGAACCCGUAGGGUCCGCACGCUUAACGUUACGAUGACAGUUUUAUUAUGAGUUUAUGUAUGUUGAUGUACCGAAGGAGUUCGGAGUCCCGGAUGAGAUCGGGGAUGUAACGCCCACGAUGCGGCUAUAUCUCCCACGUGUCGAGGCAAGACUUAGAGGCAUAACCGCAUAGUGGUUUUGUCGCAAGAAGGGUCAUCUUCACACAAUCCCAUGUAAUGAACAAGAAUGGGAUAAAGAGUUGGCUUACAAUCGCCACUUCACACAAUACAUGAAUAUAAUUCAUACAUCAUCCAAAAUACAAACAUAUAGACCGACUACGGUCAAAAUCCAAAUGAAAAUAAGAUAACCCCAAAUGCUAGAUCCCUGAUCGUCCCAACUGGGCUCCACUACUGAUCAUCAGGAAAAGACACAUAGUAACGGCCACGUUCCUCAUCGAACUCCCACUUGAGAUCGAUCCCAUCAACUGCACUGGCAUCGUCGGCACCUGCAACUGUUUUGGUAGAAUCUGUGAGCCACGGGGACUCAGCAAUCUCACACCCGCGAGAUCAAGACUAUUUAAGCUUAAGGCAAAGGAUGGUGUAAUGAGGUGGAGCUGCAGCGGCAAAAGCAUAUAUGGUGGCUAACAUACGCAAAUGAGAGCGAGGAGAGAAGCAACGGAACGGUCGUCAUCUAGCAAUGACCAAGAAGUGAUCCUGAACUCCUACUUACGUCAUUCAUAACUCAAACCGUGUUCACUUCCCGGACUCCACCGAGAAGAGACCAUCACGGCUACACGCACAGUUGAUGUAUUUUAAUUGGGUCAAGUGACAAGUUCUCUACAACCGGACAUUAACAAAUUCCCAUCUGCCUCAUAACCGCGGGCACGGCUUUCGAAAGAUAAUACCCUGCAGGGGUGUCCCAACUUAGCCCAUCAUAAGCUCUCACGGUCAACAAAGGAUAAACCUUCUCCCGGAAAGACCCGAUCAGUCUCGGAAUCCCGGUUUACAAGACAUUUCGACAAUGGUAAAACAAGACCAGCAAAGCCACCCGAAUGUGCUGACAAAUCCCGAUAGGAGCUGCACAUAUCUCGUUCUCAGGGCACACCGGAUUGUCCAAGCUUCCGAUAGGCCAGACCAGAAUUGCCCCUGGUGGCCACCGGCGACUGACAGUUUGGACCAAUACUCAGAGGAGCACUGGCCCGGGGGUUUAAAUAAAGAUGACCCUCGGGCUCUAGAAAACCCGGGGGAAAAAGGCUUAGGUGGCAAAUGGUAAAACCAAGGUUGGGUCUUGCUGGAGGAGUUUUAUUCAAGGCAAACUGUCAAGGGGGUCCCAUAAAUCACCCGACCGCGUAAGGAACGCAAACUCAAGGAACAUAAUCCCGGUAUAUCAGUAACUAGGGCAGCAAGAGUGGAACAAAACACCAGGCAUAAGGCCGAGCCUUCCACCAUUUACCAAGUAUAUAUAUAGAUGCAUUAAUUAAAUAAGAGAUAUUGUGAUAUCCCAACAUAUCCAUGUUCCAACAUGGAACAACUUCAACUUCACCUGCAACUAGCAACGCUAUAAGAAGGGCUGAGCAAAAGCGGUAACUUAGCCAAACAACGGUUUGCUAGGAAAGGAUGGUUAGAGGCUGACAUGGCAAAAUGGGAGACAUGAUAUAGCAAGUGAUAGGUAGCGUAGCAUGGCAAUAGAGCGAACAACUAGCAAAGCAAAGAUAGAAGUGAUUUCGAGGGGUGGUCAUCUUGCCUGCAAGGUUCUCAGAGUUGUCGAAAGCUUGAUCCUCGUAAGCGUACUCAACAGGUUCCUCGUUCACGAACUCGUCUCCCGGCUCUACCCAAGACAAAAACACAAGCAACGGAACCACAAUCAAUCACGAGAAAUGCACAAGCAACAUGAUGCAAAACAUGUAUGCUAUGCAAGAUAUGAUAUGCGAUGCGUAUGCGUGCUCCGGAAGGAAAAUGAUGAACAAGGCAGUAACUUGGCAAACCAAGCAUGCCACUGGAAAUAUGAGAUGAUUUCGGUCGAAAUCGAUAUAAAGAUCACCGGAAACGGAUGCACGGUUUGCAAAUGGCAAGCAAAACAAGAAUGACACGAAUCUGCGAUAAACAGCAUGAUAGCACUUAAAAUGCAACAAGUAACAAUGCUACAACACUCCAACAUAGCAACAAAGCAUAUGACAGUAAUCUACAGGAGAUGCUUGACAAAAGAUGAACACUGAGCUAUGGCUAGAUCACAACAUAUCAAGCUCAAACAAGCAUGGCAAAAGUGCAAAAGAUAACAGGUUCUCAGACUUGGUGAAAUUACUGGACAUGGCAGAAAACAGCAUCAGGUAGCAAUGUUCAGAGCCCGAAAUCAACAUGCUACAGGAACUUAACAUGGAAAAACAAGGCAUGGCAGUGUUCUACUAAAUGCAUAUGACAAAAGUCCCUUACUGACCAUAAGCCAAAAAGGACCAGAAGAUAUGAUGGCAAGCAUGUAAACAUAGCAAGUUUCGUUAACAGGUUUUAGACUUUGCAGAAAACAGAGCAUGGCAGAAUCAAUAAUAUGAAGGCCUCUUUGUGAGCUUGAUGCACUCACCACAAGGCAAUGCAUGACAAAACAAGCAUACCUACAUCAAUAUGGCAUGUUUAUGAAGCCAACCAUGGCAAGAACAAAAGGAGAGCAUGUAUGGAUCAACUACAAUAAGCUUGGCAAAAGUGCAUAUCAUGUUAAGAAUCUGCCAGAAAUAUUUUAUAGCAAAAGUAGAGCAAGAUUGAGUCAUGCUAUGACACUCCAUAAUUGCAAACAAGGGAAGGAAUGGAUCAAUUACAACUAUAGCUACAAAACAUCCUUACUGAACAUCUCCAAAAUAUGCAUGGAUCUCUCUGUAGCAUCAAGUUUAUAUGGCAACAAAAUAACAGCAGACAAAGACAGAAAUCACUAAGUCCGUGAAAUCAGAAACAUUACGGAGCCUACUUUGCAUGCUUCUGAUAGUCACCACAGAGAUCACAAAAAUACAUGGCAUACACCCUUGGAAAGAUGGCAUGGCAUACACCCUUGGAAAGAUGGCAUGGCAUGGUAUUCACACAUGUAUUUAAGUUUCUGAUCAAUACAAUUCUAGCAUGAAUAAUAAACCUUUAUCAUGAAUAAGGAAAUAUAAAAUAACAACUUUAUUAUUGCCUCUAGGGCAUAUUUCCUUCAUUAUGGUUUACCGAACCUACAGGGUCACAUGCUUAAGGUAAUCAUGAUCUGCUGAGUGUUAGUAGGACGAGAGUAUCAAGGAUUUAUUUGUGAAAUAGUUUCGUUAAUAUUCAUAAUAGUUGCUAGAGGAUCCGAAAGCAUUUCAGGAUCACCGGAAGGGUUUCAAAGAGUAUUGGGUAAUACCGGGUAAUACCAAUAAUUUAAUAUAUAGGUGGAAAUUUUUUUGGGGCUCUUAAAUUAUACAUAAUAUGCUCUAGUAAUUUUUAGAGGGCUUUUAUAUCUAAUUUAAUAUCAACGAGCCUAAAAAGGCCAAACGGUGGAAGGCAACUUGGGUCACCAAGGCCCAAGUGGGGAGGCGCCCCCCUUUCCCCUUUAGGGGAGGCCGAAUUGGGGAAGGGGAGGGACUCCCCUUCCUUCCUUGGCCGUCGCAAGGGGAGGGGAGUCCUUCCCCUCCUCUUGGAUGCCCCUCUCCCCUAUAACCUAUAUAUAGUGGAGGUCUUGGCCCCUUUUCUACACACAAGUUUUAUGUGCCUCCUAUAGCCCAAUACUACUAGUUCUAAUUGAGAUAAUUAGAGCUAGUUCUAGUUCCUCUAAUCCUCAUAAUUAGAAGCCCAGUGUGGCUCUAUGCUCCUCCUCUAAUUCUCUGGCGGUGAUUAGUUCUGGACGGCCCGCGCUGCUGGAUCGUGAAGACCGUACGCUUGCAAACUGUAGAGAGUCCAUGCAUUCAGUCUUCAGUUUGGGAUCGUUCAAGGGCGGUUCGUAGGACCGUUCAUCAAUGGUUCGAGAGACUCCAAGUACGAUUAACACCGACUCUUCUGCUUCGACUACAUACUCAGAGUUGGUAACGAUCAUGAUCCCGGGUGUUUGUAGGGCGAUUUUUUUUUGUUUUCUACUAUGUUUCCCAACACUUUGAUCUCCACCUGUACAACUCCAAGACAAAGACAUGGGGUGCCAAGCUGAUCCAUCUUGAUUCGCCGCAGGAUUUCGAGUUCCACUCUCCGAACAAAGGGAUCACCAUUAGAGGGGAGCUCGGUUCAGUGGGUUGGGUUGACCUCAGGUGGGGCAUUGUCAUCUAUGCCCUUCUCCUCCUUGACAUCCACCAGAGCCUUCGCUACAUCCUACUGCCUUCACCGCCGUCGCCCAGUCCACUCAAGCGUUAUCCGUUGUAUGUUCGGAACAUCAUUGUCCUGCAGCGUUACAUCAAGUAUUUCCACGAUAACGACAGACCUGGCUCAAACAAUGGAAGCUCCCCGAUCUGCCAAGGUUGGAUUGCCGCAACAAAAAAGUUUUUCAAGCAUUAUUGGUUCUACUUCUAGUAGCAACUGGGAGGAGGACCGCACGAUCAGAUGCUCUGAUGAUGUACCAUUGGAUAGCCCCGUGUAUGCCCGAAUGCUAGUACCUAAUCUGCAGGAGGGUGAUGAUACCAAGCCAAACCUCAAGAGAAUUUGUUUAGUCUAUCCUGCUCCUAGCUUGCAUGACGGUUGACGGUGAUGUUGUUUACGUCAUGCACCUCAUGCACACACGUGAUCCCCGUGAGGACAAGUGAUAUAGACCAAACCUCGAUGGUGAGAUCCGAUCUGUUAAUGCGGCCCGACCUUUCACGACACUCCAUCUUCAGCAGCAGUACCUCUCGCCCGCGCAUGCGAUGUACACGAAAUAGAGGGUUUGAACCUUGCGGCUCAGCACGAAAAAACCAAUCUCAAGAUGGUACUCACGCGCAAAAACAAUUUCAUAAAGAAAUCGCAACACAGAGGUUUUCUAAAGAUCCCUCUAAAACUUAUACGGGUGUCUAUCCUUCAAAACACAUCGUGUCUCUUUUAUAAAAAAUAACCUCCUUUUUACAUGGACGCACUUGGCUUUAUAUAUAGCCUGCAAAACAUCUACGGAACAUGGUCUCAAAGAAAAAUAAGCAACCGACUAACAAGUUACGUACGUAACCAGGACAAACUAGCACACGUAAUAAAACUCUUCUCCAAUUAGAGGGUGCUUGGAUUCAAGAGACUUAUUUUAGUCUGACUAAAAAUAGUCUCUUUAAGAGGCUAAAGUUCCAAGCAGCCCUGACUAAAGAGGGGUUAAAACUAGUCUUGAGACUAAAUUUUUUUAGUCAGGGGUACCCCUACUACAAUGUGGAUUAGUCCUCUCUCUUCUCAUUUAACUCCUCUCCUUUAACACAGACGAGUUUUGGAUUGGAGGGUUUGAAGGAUAAUAAAUGCUCAUUAACUUGAUUUUAGUCUCUUUAGUAUUUGGAUCCAAACAUGGGUGAGGCUAGCAAGUUUUAGUUCCGCUACUUUUAGUCAUGGGACUAAAACGUAUCCAAGCACCCUCUUAAACUACCUUUUAAAUCUUGAUGGAUCCUAAACUUACAACUAAAUAAUAUUGGAGGUGGACCCCAGCCCGUGUCCUUUAAUGACAAGAAAUCACGUACGAGUCUCCAACUCUCGACACAUUGAGAAACUUCCUUCUUACGUGGAGGUGGCAAAAACAGAAAUAAAUCCCUGUCAUUUAUAUUGUUGGCCGAACCAAAUAAAUGACACCCCGCAUGCUCCCUUCCAUUAACGUAGGUUUCCAUCUCUCUAUAAAUGGACACUGAAUUUUCCUUGCCAAAACGAGCCUGAUUAAUCUUGCAUGCAUAUCUCUGAGUUAAUACAUUACCUUGCAUGCAAGUAUUCCCCUUUCCCUUUGAAUCAUGCACGUCCCUUCCUUCUCAUUGGCACAAAGCAAAGCAACGUCUUGUUUUACUGUAACUGAAAGUAAUUCAUCGUCGCUUGGCACCUAGAUAUCCUUAACCUUUAAUCCACUGACAUGCGGCAUUAUUUUGCGAUCAUCAACAAUACUAAGAUUAGUCUUGGCCGUAUCAACAAGGCAUGUGUGAUUGCUCUUGAUACGAGGAACAAGAGUACAAGACUAUAAAAGGCGUGGCUAAUUUUGCCUCUGGAAACCCCUCGGUCAUUGUUUCACCUACCUUGAGAGUGUGAUCUCCAAGCAUCUGGACAUUUAAAUUCCAUGGUUUCUGUUUGAGGAGAUAUAUAAAAAGGCUUGAUUUAAAAAAUGCGGGCAAGUGGCCAUCACCGACCAUGUGGGCAAGAGGCCGGACAGACAAGACCCUCCGCAUUUGAAGUAGUGCCCCUAUGAGACACCUAAUGAAGGCAACACCCUCCCCCGGUUGGCUGCAUGCCAAUUGGGUCCACCUGACGCAUGCAAAUGCUGACAGCCAAACCCGUCUCAACCGUCGCGUGCGAAGCAGCGCGUGAGAGAGUGCACACAAGCGCGAUCGGAAACACCGCAGGAGGGUGGCCCUGGCCGCACCCGCGGGCCACGUGUUAUGGACCUCGAGGAAAAUUGUCCAAGUGUGAGGCAGCCUUUGAGAUCGAAACACGCGAAACGCACCAAGCAGCCAAUCGUGCGAGGCCCAGGAGCAACAAACGGCGUGGUUGGCACUCUCGCGUCGCGAGGCCCCUAGGAGGCGGGUACUUCAACAUCAUUUAUAGGACUAAUGUAUAUGCUAGUAACCUCACCAUUAGAAUAAUAGGUUACCACACUACACUUCAGGCAACACAUAACCAAACAACGACACAUUGCAUAUGAGGAGCACAUACCCACAACCAAAUGUCGUGCUUGCGUUUGUGCUGCCAUGUAGUGUGGGGAUUUGUGGGCAAUCAAACAAAGUGUAGAACCUGGUUUAGAGCAUGUAUGUAGGAGGUCCGAAAUUGAUCCAGGGAACAAAACCAAUUACACCCAACAUUGUUUUUAGGGACAUUUACAUUUGUGCCCCUAACUCAAACCCACUACACAGAUUACCCCUAAUUUCAAAGCAUUCUCAAAUUUGCCCCUGUGUCGUUAUGUGCCCUUACAGAAAUGCCCUCCGUGCCAUAUCCGCCCGGUCAAAGUCCUUUGACCAUCAAUGGGGCGUUUCCUGGACAUAUUUGCCCCUCUAUUCACUUGUCACUUACAUGCGGGUCCUACCCUAGGAAAAAGAGAAAAAAAAAUUGUCUUAUUCACUCUCACUCACUUAUAACAUAAAAAACUCUCCCUCUCUCAUAACCUCUCUCUCCUUGACAUGUGUGCCAAGGACCCACUUGCAGUGUCCACACCAGUCCACGCGCUCCAAAGCAAGGCAAGGCUCGCCAGGUGGCCGUCGCCGAUGAGGGGCGGCGCGCCUACAUGUGAAGACCAAGGGGACAGGUUCGGGGUGGUUUGUCGAAGGAUUUGCAGGUGGUGGUCGAGGCGGGUGGCGGCGGACUGCGACGCCAUGCACGGGGAGCGCAUGAGACAUUCCGCGGAGGACGUCGAUGCUAGCUGUCUCGGUCGAAGGCUAGAUCGAGACCAAAGAGCAUGGCCAUGUGCCCCUCUGGCCGCCUCAAUUGGGCCUGGGGCCGCCUGUAGACAACGGACGGGACUCUGAUCUCCGCCAUGGAUGUGCUUUUGAGCUCCUAAAUUCGUCCGCCCCGAGCCACCGUUGACCUCCUCGACCUCAAUGCCUCGUCGCUGAAAUCUUGUGGACCUACUCCCCUCUUCCACUGCCCGACCCCGUUCCCGGAGCGCCCUGCCCGAAGCUGGCCGCCAUGAUUAACCUCGGCUGGCUCGGUCAUCUGCGCGUGCCCACCUACCUACGAGUGAUGUGCCCGUGAAGAUGAAUUGGUGUGCAAGGAGUGCCUCACACAGCUAUACUGCCCGCCUCACACUCUCCUCCCGCGACCGUCUAUAGUCACGUACGGCGAGCCGUCGGCGAGCGCAGCCGGCCGGACAUGCGUUUGGGGACGUGUGGACCGUUGUUGACCCUCGCAGUGGGUCCCAUGGUCCACAUGUCAGAGAGAGAGUGUGUUUUAUUUUUAUUUUUUAUGCUUGUUGGGGUCCAUCUAUAAGUUAGAGAGAGGGGAUGAGAUAGUGAGUUUUUUUAACUUUGGGCAGGUCCAUGUGUAAGUUAUCUAUGCAUCGAAGGGCAAAUAUGUCUAGAAAACGUCCUAUUGAUGGUCAAAGGCCUUUGACCAGACGGAAAUGGCACAGAAGGACAUUUUUAUAAAGGCACCUAACGGGAGAGGGAAAAAUUUGAACACGCUUCAAAAUUAUGGGUAAAUCUUAGUAGUGGGUUCGAGUUAAGGGCUGAAAUAUAAAUGACCCUUGUUUUUUAUAAUAGCAGAGAUAAAUGGUGUUUCCUAUUUGACUAACAUGCCUCAAAUAGUCGCCUAUUGGCACAUGAGCGACCGAGUUGGGCCGACCAAUUUAACGCUAGAUAAAUUGAAUGUUAGUUCCGAUUUUGGAAACCUUCUACAAGGUCCCUGGAUCGGUGUGUGUCCCUUUUUUGUUUCUUUUUUAUUUUCUAUGUUUUCAAAAAGUUGCCUUUUUUAAAAAAAUGUUUGGAAUUUUUAGAAAAUGCUUUUAGAUUAAAAAAGCAUUUUUGGGUGUGUUUUCAAAUAUUAUUUGGAAUUUAAGAAAUCCGCAUUUUCAGAAUUUGUUCACAGUAAAAAAAGCAUUUAAAAAAUUGUUUUUUAAAUGAUUCCAUUUUUUAGAAAACUGUAACUUCAUUUUUCAGAAAUUUGAAAAGUUGUUCGCAUUUUCAGUAAAUAUUUUCUUUUACAAUAAAAUAUAUUCAUAUUUCGAGAAAAGUUAGAUUCGUUUAAAAAAGGUUGCUACAAUUGACCUUUUUUAGAGAAUGCAACAAUGAGCUUUUUGUUUUUGAGAAUGAUGCAACAAUGAGCUGAUUGCUACAGUACCGAGCGCUACAGAGUCGGGCCGGCCCAGUCGUUGCCUCCUCUGUGUGUCGGAGUCCCCGAGAUAAAUAUCGACUCGUUCAGUGUGUGCCAGCGAGCCCAUCCAUAGAUUCAUCUCUCCUCCCUGCGUUAGGGUUCCACUCCCGUUCCUCCUCCGGCCGCCACCUCCGCAUCGACCUCCUCGGUUGCCAUGGUGAUGGAUGACAACCAACUCCGGGUGCUCCAGAUCCCUCCGCCUAUCCACCCCGACGAUCCGGAUUCUCCUCUCCCGGAGACCAUCCUCAUCGACUCGUUCGGCUACCUCAGCGACCGCACCAACGCCACCACCGCCAGGGGCCGCAGGAGCAGGACCAAGAAGAAGGGCAAGCGCAUCCUGGUCACCUUCUGGCCGGUUGCCCCGCCGCGCGUCUCCUGCUUCACCGUCCACUGCCCAGAUCUGAAGCCCGAUGUAUUCGCUGACAUCCCCAAGAUCUCCUAUACGGAGGACGACCUCGUCCUGCUCAGCAUCACCAUCUGCCCCGAGCGCCAGCACGUGUACGGCCAGAACAUCCGCUACUUCGUCUACCAGGCCGGCACCAAUAAGACGCCGCCGUCGGUCAAGCUCGUCCACUGUCCCGCCUACUUCAGGAUCUACGACCAAGAGGUUGCCUUACUGCACUGCCACCACCAAGAGAUGUUCUUCAUCGCCGUGCUCCGCUGGGCCUUCAUUGAUCGGGAUUACACCGACGGGCACUUUAAUCUCCACCUGUACAACUCCAAGACAAAGGCAUGGAACAUCAAGUUGAUGCUUCUUGAUUCGCCCAAGGAUUUUGAGUUCCGCUCUUUCAACAAGGGGAUCACCAUUGGAGGGGAGCUUGGUUCAGUGGGUUGGGUCGACCUUAGGCGGGGCAUUAUCAUCUGUGACCUUCUCCUUGACAACCACAGUCUUCGCUACAUCCCACUACCUUCGCCGCUGUCGCCCGAUCCAGUCAGGGGUUAUAUGUUGUAUGUUCGGAACAUCACUGUUCUCCAAGGUUACAUCAAGUAUUUUGAGAUGCACAGUAACGUCAGACCGGGCUCAGACACUGGAAGCUCCCUGAUAUGUGAAGGUUGGAUGGCUGCAACAAAAAAAAUAAAAAUUUCAAGCAUUGGCUCUACUUCUGGUAGUAGCAACUGGGAGGAGGACUGUACUAUCAGAUGCUCAGAUGAUGUACCCUUGGAUAGCCCUGUGUAUGCCCAAAUGCUACCUAAUCCGCAGGAGGGAGAUGAUGCCAAGCCAAGCCUGAAGAAAAUUCGUGUAGGCUAUCCUGCUCUUAGCUUACAUGACGGUGAUGUUGUUUACCUUAUGCACAUGCCUGAUCCCCGUGGGGAUAAGGCCUGUGUGAUUGCUCUUGAUAUGAGGAACAAGGCUGUAAAAGGCGUGGCUAAUUUUGGCGGCUCUGGAAGACCCCUGGGUCCUUCUUACACCUACCUUCCGAGUGGGAUCUCCAAGCAUCUGGGCAUUUUCUCAUCAACCAGGUAAUUUCGUUAAGAGCUUUCAUAUCCUUUCGUAGCAAAAUGAUUUACAAACUGAAGUAUCAAAGGUAAACCAACUUGUACUGGCAGCAGAGAGUACUUUGGGUACUUUUACUGAGUGGAUGUGGAUUUGUUACAUCAAUGUUUUUAUUAUGUUGUGCAAGUUAAUAUCACAAAAGAAUGGGUUCCAUCCAUUACAAUUCUGGUCAUUAUUUAUUAUUUCAUUUGAUCAUGUGCAGCUACCAGCUAGUAUUCUUUAGAUCUACCUGAUUUGUUGUUUCAAAAUAACUACUGUAUUUGUUUGAGGACGGUGAACAUUGUGCCUGCAUUUAUCUCGCUAGCAUUUACGUUUCUGUCCAUAAAUUCAGCACUUACUGCUCCCCUGUCACCGCAUUUAAAUUCCGUGGUUUCUGUUUGAUUAGAUGUAUAAAAAAGGCUUCAUUCAACAGACAAAAUAACAAAAGUAAAGACAGUGUCCAGCUUAACUUCACCGCAUUGUUCCCUAACCAAAGUUUCUGCUUGCUUAUGGUGUGUUGCACAUGAAUGAUUUCAUGAGUGCGCCAUGUGCUGUAUCUUGCACGCCAUGUAGUGUAACUAACCCCUAUUGAAAAUAAUUCCACAGCCAUUGUUCAAACGGUGCAAAUGUGCACCAAGGAAAUAAAAUAAUCCUAUAGUUGGCUUAUUUGAGGGGAAAAUAUUGCACACCAUUGGUAGGUUAUCUCAUACCCAGGAUUCAGCUUUCAUGCAUUGCGUCUUUCGUGCCAUACUAUUUCCUGGGCCAUUGUCAAAACGAUAAGAUGCACUAUCUGCACGAAUUAAGCAAUGUUUUCUUUUGUUGUGUGCAGCUGUUUGGUAGAUAAUCUUGCUUUUGUAUUAAAUGUUUAUUUCUUUUGUGGGAACCGAAAAGUUUCCAUCGCACACAAAAUAAGCAAAGUGUAAGCCUAACCCAGCUGUUUUUCACCGGACAAAAUGGGCAAUUCCUAUGGUUGGCUUAUUUGAGGGGAAAUGUUGCAGUGGCUCCAUGGCUCCUGUAAAAAUGGCAAUACAUUUAGGUCCCUGUACCUCAUAUUAGUUGUAAUUCUAGUUUUGUUCAAAGACAAACCUUUCUUUCUAUCUGUAACUACCGAUUUCUAGAAAUGCGCAUAGUUUAGUCUUUAGUGUAACUCCAUUUUUCACCCCCUAGUUUAACAAUUGGCCCAUUUAGCAGAAAUUCUUCCCACUUGCCCCAUUUAGUAAAAGUUGUGCCAGCUUUCACCUCCUUUUAAACAUUAUCCAUUCUGUAAGGUGGGCCGAGUCAUCAGGUCUACGUGGCUUGCCAUAUCAGAAGCAUAUUUAAUCUCCGACUACCUUCUCAGGUCCUCGUCCGCACCGUUGUGCGGCAACUGUUGCAGCCACAAUGUUCCCACCAUUUGCUAGCCAGACACAGCUAAAUGCCAGAGCUAGCUAGCGCAUAAUAGUGCACUAGUAGUAGUACACUUGUAUCAUCUUCAGCAAACUACUCCCUAUUCCCAAGAAAUUGCACGUAUAGGGAGAGUUGAGGCAAAAAACCUGCUUCAGCAGUCUCCCUAAACCCAAAAAAUUAUCUCCUCAAAUAGUGGAGAGUUGCAACCCUCCCCAUAAAUUUUCAAUGCUUGCCAUGUCAGUGCGCCGCCUCCAUUGACCGCCGCGCCACUGGACCACUGCCGCCUGCUGGAACACCACCGCUGCCGCCGGACUUCUGUGCUGCCGUUGCUGGACAUCCGCGCCGCCGCCACCUGCCACCGCAGCCUUGACGAAAAGAUGCAAAUGAGAGAGAGGAAAAAAAAUGACCCACUGGCAGGCGUGGCCCAUUUGUUAGGGAGAGUAUUUCUGUGUGCCCUACUAGCAAUGGACUUGUAUAGGGCACUAGUAGUAUUUGUAGCCAGAAGAAUGUUCUCACCUUCUGUGAUGCGUAUGAUGUGUUGCAUUGCCAAUGGACUUGUAUUACUAAAAAUCUUAUGCAUUGUAUCGACUAUAUUUGUUGGCCGUGUGUGUCCACUAUGUUCUAUGCUAGCCAUGUGAGGUCUAUAUAUAGACUUGCUAAAAUAAGCCUAAACCCAAUCUUUUUUUUAUCAUUAAUUUCCUAGUGGUAACUGGAUGUAGUUGAUAACUAAUUUUAGUGAAGCCUUGUGCGUGCGCUGGUUUAUCUGGCUCCAUGGUCGCGGGCUGUUAGUCCAGUAGUGAAACAUUACUGCUCGUAUCUUGCUCUCGUAGUCAGGGCAUCUUCAAAGUCCACCCUUAAAUCACUUUCCUACGUCUGGACCUUCGAAGCCAUUCAACACAGGCAUGGGCCGCCAUUCAAUAUGAGCAUGUAUUGGUUUGCUUGACGGUUUAGACCCUCAAAUCACGCGUUGUUCGUUCAGUAGUGAAACAUUAUUGCUCGUAUCUUGCUCUUGUAGUCAGGGCAUCUCCAAAGUCGGCCCUCAAAUCACUUGCAUACGUCUUCGUUCAGUAGUGAAACAUUAUUGCUCGUAUCUUCUCGUAGCAUCUCUAAAGUCGGCCCUCAAAUCACUUGCAUACGUCUGGACCUUUGAAGCCAUCCAACAUAGGCAUGAGCUGCCAUCUAACAUGAGCAUGUAUUGAUCCGCUUGACGGUUUAGACCCUCAAAUCACUUGCAUACGUUCGGACCUUCGAAGCCAUCCAACAUAGGCAUAGGCCGCCAUCCAACAUGAGCCUGUAUUAGUUCGUUUGACGGUCUAGACGUGUUUUUUUUUUCCGCAGACAAAGUGAUGAACUUUUAAAAAAAAAACGUUGAUUAUUUUUUCAGAUUUGCUGAACUUUUUUUCAAAUUCGAUGUACUUUUUUUCAAAAUCAAUGAACUCCAGAAUCGAUUUUUUCAAAUUCAAUGAACUUUUUCCAAAAUCGAUGAACUUAUUUUCAAAUUCGGUGAACUUUUUCCCAAAUUUGAUGAUUUUUUUCAAAUUCAAUGAAGUUUUUCAAAUCGAUGAUUUUUUUUCAAAUUCUAUGAUUUAUUGAAACUCGGUGAACUUUUUCAAAACAUUUAUUUUUCCAAAUUUGAUGAACUUUUCAUAAUCUGUGAACAUUUUGAAUUCAUCAUUUUUUUUUGAUUUUUGCGAACUAAAAUCAUGGUUUUUCUUGGUUCAAAUGGUGAACUGUUGACCUUUUCUUUUUAGCAAAGUGAACCGUUGACCAGAAAACCGUAAAACGAGCGUACAACGAGCGGGCGACCACCCAACUCGUGUAACUGGGUCGGCCCAUACCAAGCUGCUGCGUGGGCCAGCUCCUGGAUGAGACGCCUACAAUGCCCUGUUUGAUCAGUAAUCCGUGCGUUGAGUAAACCUAGUUCCUCUUUAUUCGACAACAAUCGUGGGGGUACAUCAAGCCACACAUAUCUACCAAGAUCUAGUAAGGAAAGCUUUGCUAAACUACGAGCUUCAAAGUUUCUACGUCUACUCUAAAAAAUAAAGUUGCAAGAAUGAUUUAUGAAAAUAACACUUUGUUUUUUGGGUUAUAUUGGGCUGAUGGGCCAUAUUAUCCCCGUUCUUUCUUGUCGACCCUUCUUUUUUCACAAAGGUCCCUAGGAGCUCCUAGUCAGCGCCUUUGGCGCCAACUAGGAGUUUCGGCGCCCACGGCAGGCGCACUCUUGGGCCCGGCCCAAGCAAGUGUGCUCGCGUGGUCACGUCCCUUCGGUGUUGCUUGCUUUUGCUGCUGACUGGUCACGGUUGAUCUUUCAACAAUUGACUGGUUGGCUUUAGAAAAAAAAUCUGUGAUUAAAAACUGUACAGGAAAUUUUAAAAAAGUUCAUAAAAUUUGAAAAGUUCACCGAAUUCAAAAAAAUCAUUCAAUUCAAAAAAGUUCAUCAAAUUUGAAAAAAGUUCAUUGAUUUAAAAAAAUCAUUUGAAUUUAAAAGUUCAUCAAAUUUGAAAAAAAUCAUCAAAUUUGAAAAACAUUCAUAGUUUUUUUAAAACACGAUUUGUUUAAAAAAUAAAUAAAAAGAAAACUGGAAUAAAACCACCCCCGAAAUGACCAGCGAAUCGGUAAAAAGCUGGUUUGGGAAGCUUGUGUAAGCUUCCCAAUACCGGUGGAUUCUCGCGAUUGAAGAGAGAAAUAAAAUAAAGGAAAAAAAACCUUAGAAAGCACUAGUCCUUCGAUGGCCUAGGGUUACCGUCAUUUUCUUCGAAGAAGCUGGUCGCGAGUUUGAAGUCCGGUGUUGCAUUAUUUUUUUGAACGUUUAAAAUAGAAGCAAAAAAUGGAAAUGGGCGGAGCCCAACUAACGCGUCCGUAGGCGCCCUUUGCAGAAACAAUAAGAAUAGGGGGCGGGGCCUUUGUGGGCUACCACACCCUUGUCUGACUGCCCUGUCCCACCAAAAUAACCACCACCUCUCCCGUGCUUUUUAUCGAACGCGAGCGCCGCAUUCAUGCUGACCUAGAGCAUGCAGCGGGUGACAUUGAUGCCCCCAAUUUGAUCGUAUGAGAGGGCGAAGCUGACGAACGUGACCUCUCGGGCGUCGCCGCUUCAAUGCAGACAACGCACCCUGAGAAACCAACUCCGGCCAGCGUCCCCGCUCCAGCGGGUCAAGGACGAGUCGGCAUCACCCAAGCGCAACCAUGGCGUCCAGAUCGGACACUGUGUCAAGGAUGAGACGGCGUCGCCCCCGCACUACCAUGGCGUCAAGAUCGGACGCCGGGCCAAGGACGAGCCGACGUCGCAUGACAUCGUUUGCGAGCGGAGAACUAACCUACCCAUACCAAUGAUCUUGACUAGGCGGCACCAUUUGCUGCCUUCCGGGCCGAUUACUCCCCCGCCAAAGCCUUCCAGCAUUUCUUCGCCAUUGGCGGAGGCUCCACCAUUUCAUCCCCCUUCGGGGCCUCCUCGUUGGCCACGCCGUCAAGCUCCUCCUCACCUUUGGAGUCUUUGGAACUAGCAUCGCUCGGGAUCACCUGAAAGGCGAAUGGGUUUGGGUGCUCCACGCCCUCCAUACCCUCUGGGAUGACCCCCACCGACCGCACGCUGUCAUCAUCCCGAGGAUUUCUUCGUGCCAUCUUCGUGAUAGAAUGGCCAGGUGGUCUCCGAAAGAGCGUCAAUGGCUGUCACACCCUGAUUUUUGGCCCUUUCUUUUCUUUUGAUUUUCGAGAUUUUUGCUUGAGUUUUUUUUCCCGUGGCUAUGUGGUCUGGAAACUGAAGAAGAUGACCUCUUCUUUCUUUCCAUAGUGGCUUUUCAUCCUCAAAUACAUCCCAAGACCUUGCCAUUUUCAUCCUAGCCCAACCCCAAUAUUCUUUUCCUUGGAAAGAUUCCUUUUUCUAUUAAAGGAAUAACCCAAUUUGCCCUAGGUUGUGAAGCAACCUAUAUUUCCAUCACUCCUAAAAUUCCCAAAUAAUUCUCAUAAAUUGCUUGGGUCAUAUCUUCCUCAAAUAUGGCGAAAUAUUUCAAUUGCCAUGUUCCUCAUCAUGCUCAAUCAAUUCCUUUUCUAUUUUGUCCUGAAUGGCAGUUUGUGAAGCAAGUGCCAUUUACCUUUGCCCAAUUGACCCCAAAUUUUUUGGACACCUUUUCAUGUCCAAAUAAUCGCCUCAUGCCAAAAUUCAACUUAAUUUGCCUGGUGAAUAUUCCUGAGCAAAUUUUCAAAGUUCCCGUUUGAGGGAAUUGUUUGUGAAGGAAGUACUAGCUAGGAUGAUCCAAAUGAGUUGAAAUUUUGCAUGGUCCUUCAUAUCAUCAAAUCAAAGCUCUACACAAGAUUUGAGCUCAUGCAAUGUAUAUAUGUGAGCCCAGCCCCAAAUCUUAGUUUCUGGUCAGAUUUUCAGUUUGUGAAGCAACCAUAUUUUAUCUUGCUUCAUUUAAGCUGAAAAUUUUCCAGGGCAUUCUACUAUCCAUAUCAACUCUCUCCACCAAGUCUUGGCUCAAUUCAUCAAACAAUUUGCCCUGUGCAAUUUUUCCAAGUUUCUGGUCAGAAUAAAGCAUCGUGAAGCAACUGCUAGUUUGGUUCAUCCAAAUGGCCUGAAACUUUUUGAGCAUCUUCAUAUCUUCAAAUAAUUGGGCCAUGCCCAAUUUUAGCCAACUUGCCUCUUCAUGUGAGUGCAACUUCAUCAUCUCUAAUUCUGGCCAUUAUGGUGGUUUCUACAGCAAGUACCAUAAAUAUUCAUCCUAAUGAGCUGAAAAUUUACAGAGGUGAUCAUCUUAGUGUUUGAUCACGCCAUGACAAAGCCCCGAGUCUACCCCCUCCCUUUUAUCCUCCUCACCUCAGCACAAACACCUUGCUGUUGCAAUGUUUUGGAGCUAGGUGCAAAUCUCUUCUUUGCCCCUGGACCAAUUUGUUUCUUCAUAUAUACAAAGGGCACUAAGGUCUACCCACUAGAUAUGGUUGGCCUGUCUAGAACAUGCCGCUUGAGCCAGCUCACGCGGUGACCACGGGUCAUGCCAGCCAAAACUCGUGCUCUGGCAAGACCUCGGCGCUGUUCCCGUCGUCUCCCUCAAACCUUAUCCAGGAGCUUCCCCGUGCUCGACUUCGUCACCCCGUGCUCGGGCCCCCUCCUGUUUCUCCAUAAAUGCGUCGCUAGAGGCAUGCCCGUGCCAUGCCCAGCCACUGUCCACCAUUAGAGACCUGUUGAAGCUUGCUUGUGACGCUCCAGAACCUUCCCCGCGGAUAUAUAAGGCGUGCCCGACCUCUCCCGCACCUAACCCAUCUCUCUCUCGCCUCAUUUGGUCACCAGGAUCGCCACAUCUCGCCGAAGUUCGCCUUUGUCCUCCAUGGCCGCCUCGGCCUUGGCUUGGUUCCGACCAAAUCGAGCCUCCUAUCCUCCUCCUACCAUGUCCACCUAGUUCUCCUCGUUCCACUCAGCCUCCCCACCCCCUUGCCCCCUCGCCGGAGUCGCCCGUUUCUCCGGAACACCACCACGGCCGCCGCCCCUGGCCUCCUCUGGCUCCGCCUCUCCCGUCCACCUCACUCAUCCCCGGCGGCCGAUGUCUCCCCUGAACGGAGGCGCCUCGGUCUCGCGCACCCGCCGGUGGCCCCGGCUCGACCGGAGGUGGCCUGCGCCGGCCGGCCCCUUGGCCGCUUCCUCCCCUGUCCCCUGCUCUGUUCCAUGAGAGGAACAGAGGCAUGGGGGAAGAAGACGACCGAGGCCAGCGCCCCCCCUGCCGCUGGGCCCCUCCUGUAAGUGUCUCCCCCCUGGGUCCACGUGUUUAAGUGGGAACGGGUUUUCCCCAAACGCGUUUUCCGUCAGUGAAAGCGUAUUCCAUUCUUCUCCAGCCAAGAAUACGUUUUCCUAUUCAGAAAGCGUAAUCCCUAAUAUAUGCCUCUGUCUUAUUCACUCAGGGACCCGUUGGUGAUGAAAAUAUUCACAGAUUGGUCCCUGAUCUUCUACACCUCAUAACUUCGCGACCGUAACUCUGAUUGAGGUGAAACCAACGCUCACUUCUUCGUCUCGUCGAGAUAUUUCGGUUGGUAAAAUUUUCACUAGGUGGUCCCAUAGUGAAAAUGACCAUUUUGCCCUUGCCUCUAAUCAUCCCCCUCCGAGAGAGAACCGUCCGCGUUUCGUUCCGCGGCUUCACCGCACUUCUUCCUGGAGUCUCCGUCACCCCCAGGCAAGCCAAAACACCCACUUGCAUGAUUGUUUUCAACUUGAAUAUUUAAUAAAUGUCUGCUUGUUUUGAUACGAUUAUCGUUGUUUCCGUGAUGCUUAUGGAUUUGUGUUCACUGUCAUGCUAUGAUUUCUUGCACUUUGUUAUCAUGAACUACUUGCUAGUAUUACUUUCAUAUUGUCAUGCUUGAUAGUAGUACAUAUUGGGUUGGUCAUGUUCUGCGGUGCAUGACUAAUGUCGGUUACCGAGAACCGUUGCUAUGCAUGUUUCCGUUGCAUCUAUUUGUUUACAUGCUUACUUGGUAGUAUUAUUGCUAUGUUUUUGCUUGGUAUUUAUCGUUGAUGCUAGUGAUCAUGUUAUGCUAUGAGUAGUGUUAUGCUUGUGAUAUUCAUGCUCGUCCGUAUGCCCUGCUCAUUCGGAUAUAUGAUUUAAUGUUGUGGAUAUGCUCGAUGAUUAUGUUGCACCUCCAUGCUUAUGUUGAUAUCGUGCUCAUGCAUUAUGGUUGCAUCAUGUCAUUUUUAAUAUGGCUCAGCAUCAUUUGCAUUCAAGUUUAACCAGACUUAAAUGAACUUGAACAACUGUUGGUUGAGUCAUGGUGCCACCAUAUCGAGCUGACCAGUGCAGCCACAUUUGCCUUUCGCCGGUGCCUCCAACAAGGGUGCCAACAUGGUCCUAACUGGGUCUAUUGUCAUGCCUCUCGCCGGUGCCUCCAACAAGGGAAGGUUAUGCGCGGGCGCUACCUUGGCCGGGUAGGACGGCACAAGCCUUGUGAGCCCGAGUUUGGUUAUGUGCACAUUGUUGGGGAACGUAGUAAUUUCAAAAAAAUUCCUACGCACAUGCAAGAUCAUGGUGAUGUAUAGUAACAAGAGGGGAGAGUGUUGUCCACGUACCCUCGUAGACCGAAAGCGGAAGCGUUAGCACAACACAGUUGAUGUAGUCGUACGUCUUCACGAUCCGACCGAUCCAAGUACCAAACGUACGGCACCUCCGAGUUCAGCACACGUUCAGCUCGACGACGUCCCGCGAAAUUCGAUCCAGCAGAGCUUCACGGGAGAGUUCCGUCAGCACGACGGCGUGAUGACGGUGAUGAUGUUGCUGCUGACGCAAGGCUUCGCCUAAGCACCGCUACGAUAUGACCGAGGUGGAAUAUGGUGGAGGGGGGGGGGCACCGCACACGGCUAAGAGAGAUCAACAGACCAACUUGUGUCUAUGGGGUGCCCCCUGGCCACGUAUAUAAAGGAUUGGAGGAGGGGGAGAGGGCCGGCCCCUAUGGCGCGCCCUGGAGGAGUCCUACUCCCACCGGGAGUAGGAUUCCCCCCCCCUCCAAGCAGUAGGAGUAGAAGUCAAGGAAAGGGAAGAGAGAAGAGAAGGAAGGAGGGGGUGCAGCCCUUCGGACUAGGCCUUGGGGGGCGCGCAUCCUCCCUUCUCUCUUUCCCCUAAAGCCCAAUAAGGCCCAUAUACUCCCCGACGAAGUCCCAUAACUCUCCGGUACUCCGAUGAAUACCCGAACCACUCGGAACCUUUCCGAUGUCCGAAUCUAGUCGUCCAAUAUAUCGAUCUUUACGUCUCGACCAUUUCGAGACUCCUCGUCAUGUCCCCGAUCUCAUCCGGGACUCCGAACUACCUUCGGUACAUCAAAUCACAUAAACUCAUAAUACCGAUCGUCACCGAACGUUAAGCGUGCGGACCCUACGGGUUCGAGAACUAUGUAGACAUGACCGAGACACGUCUCCGGUCAAUAACCAAUAGCGGAACCUGGAUGCUCAUAUUGGCUCCCACAUAUUCUACGAAGAUAUUUAUCGGUCAAACCGCAUAACAACAUACAUUGUUCCAUUUGUCAUCGGUAUGUUACUUGCCCGAGAUUCGAUCGUCGGUAUCUCAAUACCUAGUUCAAUCUCGUUACCGACAAGUCUCUUUACUCGUUCCGUAAUGCAUCAUCCCGCAACUAACUCAUUAGUCACAUUGCUUGCAAGGCUUAUAGUGAUGUGCAUUACCGAGAGGGCCCAGAGAUACCUCCCCGACAAUCGGAGUGACAAAUCCUAAUCUCGAUCUAUGCCAACCCAACAAACGCCAUCGGAGACACCUGUAGAGCACCUAUAUAAUCACGCAGUUACGUUGUGACGUUUGGUAGCACACAAAGUGUUCAUGCGGUAUCCGAGAGUUGCAUAAUCUCAUAGUCAUAGGAACAUGUAUAAGCCAUGAAGAAAGCAAUAGCAACAUACUAAACGAUCAAGUGCUAAGCUAACGGAAUGGGUCAAGUCAAUCACAUCAUUAUUUAAUGAUGUGAUCCCGUUAAUCAAAUGACAACUCAUGUCUAUGGCUAGGAAACUUAACCAUCUUUGAUUCAACGAGCUAGUCAAGUAGAGGCAUACUAGUGACAUUCUGUUUGUCUAUGUAUUCACACAUGUAUCAAGUUUCCGGUUAAUACAAUUCUAGCAUGAAUAAUAAACAUUUAUCAUGAUAUAAGGAAAUAUAAAUAACAACUUUAUUAUUGCCUCUAGGGCAUAUUUCCUUCAGUCUCCCACUUGCACUAGAGUCAAUAAUCUAGUUCACAUCGCCAUGUGAUUUAACACCAAUAGUUCACAUCACCAUGUGAUUAACACCCAUAGUUAACAUCGUCAUGUGACCAACACCCAAAGGGUUUACUAGGGUCAAUAAUCUAGUUCACAUCGCUAUGUGAUUAACACCCAAAGAGUACUAAGGUGUCAUCAUGUUUUGCUUGUGAGAGAAGUUUAGUCAACGGGUCUGCCACAUUCAGAUCCGUAUGUAUUUUGCAAAUUUCUAUGUCAACCACUACUAGGAAAAGUCCUGCUAGUGGCGCACCUGUUUUGCCUACUAACGACGCACUACAGGUGCGCCACUAGCAUCACGCCAUUAGAUUUUUUUACUAAUGGCACACCACAGGUGCGCCAUUAGUAUCUGGUAUACUAAUGGCGCACCAGGCAGGUCACCCAUCCUCACACUACUCCAGCCCAAGCACGCUUAACUUCAGAGUUCUAUCCAACCCCAGCACCAGCUGACUUCACAGGCACUUGUUGAUAUAUCUAUCAUAUCAAUUCUAUUAAACAUUGUUGAUGUCUAGGACUUUGUUCAUGUUCAUGUUCAUGAGUGUGAUGAAAUUUUGAAAAAAUAUUUCAAACUUCCCGGUCAUAUUACGUAUCAUAUUUUGAAAAAAAAUUCCAAAAAAAGAUUUUUUGAAACCAAUUUUUUUUCUGUUACUAGUGGCGCUGCGCCACUAGUAAGUUUGAUUUUUUUUUUCAUUUUUCCCCCUCUAGAUCUUAAAAGCCCCGUAUCUUUCGUUCUGUUAGGUUUUUGGGGAUUUUGAAGAUGUUGAACAGGGUUCCCCCGAUUCAAUUCGUAUGUAACUUUUCGAGUAGAUGAUUUUUCAUAUAUAAAACUUUUUAAUCCGAGUUCGUAUGCAAAAGUUAUGCCCAUUUUACAAAUUCCAGAGAGAUUUUGCAAAUAAAGUUGAAAUUCAUAUUUGUAAAUUUUCCCAACAACUAGACCACAUAUCACAUGGUAAACUUAUUUUAUUUUAUUUUUUUGACAUUUCCAUCAUUUUCUUUUAUUUUUUUAAAACUGAAAAGGCGGUCCACAGGGGGGGUGCAUUCGGUGGAAUUUUUGGGCAUAGUUAGUAAUGGCGCACCGUGGGUAUGGUGCGCCAUUACUAGUUUAACUAGUAAUGGCGCACCACACCCACUAGUAAUGGCGCACCACACCCACGGUGCGCCAUUACUAACUUUGAAAAAAAUAAAAAAAAUUGUUAGUAGUGGCGCACCGAGGGUGUGGUGCGCCAUUACUAGUUAAAACUAGUAAUGGCGCACUGUCCCCUGGUGCGCCAUUACUAGUUUUGAAAAAAAUAAAAAAAAUUAUUAGUAGUGGCACACCGAGGGUGUGAUGCGCCAUUACUAGUUAAACUAGUAAUGGCACACUAUCCCCUGGUGCGCCAUUACUAGUUUUGAAAAAAAAUAAAAAAAUUGUUAGUAGUGGCGCACCGUGGAUGUGGUGCACCAUUAGUAUUUGGACACUAAUGGCGUACCAACACAUGGUGCGCCAUUAAUAUAUAGUAGUGGCGCACCACAUGUGUGGUUCGCCAUUAGUGUCCAUAUUAUCUAUAGCCCUUUUCCUAGUAGUGAACCCACUUUCAAUAUGCAUCAAGAAAGCUUUCCCCUUACUUACCAAUCAAAAAAAGGAAAUUUAACCACUUAAUUUGGGUGAAUCUAUGGUGCAAAUGAGGUGAGGAGGAGGAGGCAGCCGAGACCAAGCUUGGAGGAGGAGGUGGAGAGAAUGAAGUGGGGAAAGUGAGUGUGGUAGGUGGCUGUCAAAAAUAUCUAGCUGCUCUCAGGUUACCAAGGGCACACCUCCUAAGAGUGCGCCAUUAGUAACCCUGGUUACUAAUGGCGCACCUGGUGUGUGGUGCGCCAUUACUAGUUUUGAAAAAAAAUUGUUAGUAGUGGCGCACCGUGGUUGUGGUGCGCCAUUACUAGUUUUGAAAAAAAAGAGUAAAAAAAAUUGUUAGUAGUGGCGCACAGAGUGUGUGGUGCGCCAUUACAUGUUAAAACUAGUAAUGGCUCACUAUCCCCUAGUGCACCAUUACUAGUUUUGAAAAAAAAAUUGUUAGUAGUGGCGCACCGUGGUUGUGGUGCGCCAUUAGUGAUAUGGACACUAAUGGCGUACCUAUAUAUGGUGUGCCACUGCUAUAUAGCAGUGGUGCACCACAUACUUGGUGCGCCAUUAAUGUCCAUAUUAGCUAUAGCCUUUUUUCUAGUAGUGGUCGGAUCAUGAAGACGUGCGACUACAUAAACCGCGUUGUCAUAACGCUUGCGUUUUCGGUCUACGAGGGUACGUGGACAACACUCUUCCCUCUCGUUGCUAUGCAUCACUUAGAUGGAUCUUGCGUGUGCGUAGGAUUUUUUUAAAAUUACUGCGUUCCCCAAUAGUGGUAUCAGAGCCAGGUCUAUGAGUAGAUGUUAUAUCCACGAGUAGAACACAAAGAGUUGUGGGCGAUAAUAGUCAUACUGCUUACCAGCAUGUCAUACUUUGAUUCUGCGGUAUUGUUGGGUGAAGCGGCCCAGACCGACAUUACACGUACGCUUACGCGAGACUGGUUCUACCGACGUGCUUUGCACACAGGUGGCUGGCGGGUGUCAGUUUCUCAAACUUUAGUUGAAUCUAGUGUGACUACGCCCGGUCCUUGUUGAAGGUUAAAACAACACACUUGACGAAAAUCGUUGUGGUUUUGAUGCAUAGGUAAGAACGGUUCUUGCUCAGCCCGUAGCAGCCACAUAAAACUUGCAACAACAAAGUAGAGGACGUCUAACUUGUGUUUGCAGGGCAUGUUGUGAUGUGAUAUGGUCAAGACAUGAUGCUAAAUUUUAUUGUAUGAGAUGAUCAUGUUUUGUAACAUAGUUAUCGGUAACUGGCAGGAGCCAUAUGGUUGUCGCUUUAUUGUAUGAAAUGCAAUCGCCAUGUAAUUGCUUUACUUUAUCACUAAGCGGUAGCGAUAGUCGUAGAAGCAAUAGUUGGCAAGACGACAACGAUGCUACGAUGGAGAUCAAGGUGUCGCGCCAGCGACAAUGGUGAUCAUGACGGUGCUUUGGAGAUGGAGAUCAAAGGCACAAGAUGAUGAUGGCCAUAUCAUAUCACCUAUAUUGAUUGCAUGUGAUGUUUAUCCUUUAUGCAUCUUAUUUUGCUUAGUUCGACGGUAGCAUUAUAAGAUGACCUCUCACUAAAUUUCAAGGUACAAGUGUUCUCCCUGAGUAUGCAUCGUCGCGAAAGUUCGUCGUGCCGAGACACCAGAUGAUGAUCGGGUGUGAUAAGCUCUACGUUCACAUACAACGGGUGCAAGCCAGUUUGGCACACACAUAAUACUCGGGUUAAACUUGACGAGCCUAGCAUAUGCAGAUAUGGCCUCGGAACACUGAGACCGAAAGGUCGAGCGUGAAUCAUAUAGUAGAUAUGAUCAACAUAGUGAUAUUCACCAUUGAAAACUACUCCAUCUCACGUGAUGAUCGGACAUGGUUUAGUUGAUUUGGAUCACGUGAUCACUUAGAUGAUUAGAGGGAUGUCUAUCUAAGUGGGAGUUCUUAAGUAAUAUGAUUAAUUGAACUUUAAUUUAUAAUGAACUUAGUACCUGAUAGUAUUUUGCAUGUCUAUGUUGUUGUAGAUCAAUGGCCCGUGCUACUGUUCCCUUGAAUUUUAAUGCGUUCCUGGAGAAAGCUAAGUUGAAAGAUGAUGGUAGCAACUACACGGACUGGGUCCUCAACUUGAGGAUUAUCCUCAUUGCUGCACAGAAGAAUUACGUCCUGGAAGUACCGCUAGGUGCAAGACCCGCUGCAGGAGCAGCGCCGGACGUUGUAAACGCCUGGCAUGGCAAAGCUGAUGACUACUCGAUAGUUCAGUGUGCCAUGCUUUACGGCUUAGAACCGGGACUUCAACGACGUUUCGAACGUCAUGGAGCAUAUGAGAUGUUCCAGGAGUUGAAGUUAACAUUUCAGGCAAAUGCCCGGAUUGAGAGAUAUGAAGUCUCCAAUAAGUUCUAUAGCUGCAAGAUGGAGGAGAAUAGUUCUGUCAGUGAGCAUAUACUCAAAAUGUCUGGGUAUCAUAAUCACUUGACUCAGCUGGGAGUUAAUCUUCCGGUUGAUAGUGUCAUUGACAGAGUUCUUCAAUCACUGCCACCAAGCUACAAAAGCUUCAUGAUGAACUAUAACAUGCAAGGGAUGGAUAAGAUGAUUCCCGAGCUCUUCGUAAUGCUAAAGGCUGCGGAGGUAGAAAUCAAGAAGGAGCAUCAAGUGUUGAUGGUCAACAAGACCACCAGUUUCAAGAAAAAGGGUAAAGGGAAGAAGGGGAACUUCAAGAAGAACGGCAAGCAAGUUGCUGCUCAAGUGAAGAAGCCCAAGUCUGGACCUAAGCCUGAGACUGAGUGCUUCUAACGCAAAGGGACUGGUCACUGGAAGCGGAACUGCCCCAAGUAUUUGGCGGAUAAGAAGGAUGGCAAGGUGAACAAAGGUAUAUGUGAUAUACAUGUUAUUGAUGUGUACCUUAUUAAAACUCGCAGUAGUCCCUGGGUAUUUGAUACUGGUUCUGUUGCUAAUAUUUGCAACUCGAAACAGGGACUACAGAUUAAGGGAAGAUUGGCUAAGGACGAGGUGACGAUGCGCAUGGGAAAUGGUUCCAAAGUCGAUGUGAUCGCCGUCGGCACGCUACCUCUACAUCUAACUUCAGGAUUAGUUUUAGACCUGAAUAAUUGUUAUUUGGUGCCAGCGUUAAGCAUGAACAUUAUAUCUGGAUCUUGUUUGACGUGAGACGGUUAUUCAUUUAAAUCCGAGAAUAAUGGUUGUUCUAUUUAUAUGAGUAAUAUCUUUUAUGGUCAUGCACCCUUGAAGAGUGGUCUAUUGAAUCUCGAUAGUAGUGACACACAUAUUCAUAAUAUUGAAGCCAAAAGAUGCAGAGUUGAUAAUGAUAGUGCAACUUAUUUGUGGCACUGCCGUUUGGGUCAUAUUGGUGUAAAGCGCAUGAAGAAACUCCAUGGACUUUUGGAAUCACUUGGUACUUGCGAACCAUGCCUUAUGGGCAAGAUGACUAAAACUCUGUUCUCCGGAACAAUGGAGUGAGCAACAGAUUUGUUGGAAAUCAUACAUACUGAUGUAUGUGGUCCAAUGAAUAUUGAGGCUCGCGGCGGGUAUCGUUAUCUUCUGACCUUCACAGAUGAUUUGAGGAGAUAUGGAUAUAUCUACUUGAUGAAACAUAAGUCUGAAACAUUUGAAAAGUUCAAAGAAUUUCAGAGUGAAGUGAAAAAUUAUCGUAACAAGAAAAUCAAGUUUCUACGAUAUGAUCGUGGAGGAGAAUAUUUGAGUUACGAGUUUGGUCUUCAUUUGAAACAAUGCGGAAUAGUUUCGCAACUCACGCCACCCAGAACACCACAGCGUAAUGUUGUGUCCGAACGUUGUAACCGCACUUUAUUAGCUAUGGUGCGAUCUAUGAUGUCUCUUACUGAUUUACCGCUAUCAUUUGGGGGUUACGCUUUUGUAAGGGCAUUUUUAUCCCUUAGUUGGUUUUGGUGAUUGAUGACAAUGCUUUUGCGGACUAAUCAUGUGCAUCAAAUAUUUCAGAUAUAUUGACUAGGCACAAGAUGAUUGGGUUCCCCUCAAAGGCUAUAGAAGACGGCAUUUUCUUCGGUUCUUUUCGGUGGUAUGGAGUCAUAGGGAAGCCGUACUAUUAAGAGGGGGUCCGCUUUGGAAAGGUUGGGUGGAUUCAUCACGUACACAUCGCCCCUUGCACCUCCUUUCCUCUUGCCUUUGGAGCAUCCUAAGUUUUCCUUGUCUAUGCAAUUAUAGCUCUUGUCUGCCGAACUAGGAAGUGCGGUAGUACUGCUCGUCAGAGCGGUAGUACCGCAGGACCUUGCGGUAGUACCGCCCGCUGGUGCGGUAGUACCGCAAGGCCCCACGGUAGUACCGCUUCUGGUAAGCGGUAGUACCAUGGUCCCUGCUUAGUUCCGCAACUACGCGGCUGUAAGGGGCGGAUGUAAUUUUUUACAUCCACACCUCGCGCGGUAGUACCGCGGCUGGCUUACGGUACUACCGCGUCGGGUUUUUGCACCGACUCCAACUCUGUGAAAGUAGCCACGGAUGUAAUUUUUUAUAUCCGUGCCUUCCCAUCCGUGGACAGCCCCUGCCUUGUGGUAGUACCACAAGGGGGAGCGGUAGUACCGCGCCAGCAGUACUACCACCCUCUGCCUUAGUGCAUGUGUGGCUGUUCUGGUCUCUGCUGCGUGGGCGGUAGUACCGCGUGCCCCUGCGGUAGUACCGCGCCUCAGGUGCGGUAGUACCGCGUGCCCCUGCGGUAGACAAUGGUGGCAAGCUCAUCCGAAAGGACAAGGGCAAGUCAUUCCCCAACAAGAGCAACUUCACCAAGAAGACUCCUCCCAAGGCAUUGGUGGUACAAGAAGAGUACAAUGAGGAUGAUGACGAUGAUGAAGAUGGUGAGUCGGUUGCCAUGGCCUCCGUUGCCAUUGCAAUGACUCCACAGAUGUCUCUCUUCAACUCACCCAAUGAGAACAUCAUCGCCAAAUGCCUCAUGGCUAAAGCCACCAACAAGGUAACCCCCAACAUCAAAACUACCAUCAUUAAUCAUCCUUCUUCGACGAAUAGCAUUGAUGAAUAUGAGGGGACAAAUGUGGAGGAAAAUGAGUUUGAGACCUUUAUGAGUAAACUCAAGGGUAAAUCCAAGAAGCACUUCGUUGCUCUCUUGGAACAACUUGGUGAAGCCAAUGACAUGAUCGAGGCUCACGAAGAUACCAUCUCUAAGAUGGAGGGGCAUAGUCGUGACUAUGCCGAUGAGAUUUCGGAUCUUUCCAAUGCUCUUGACGAAGAGCGUGGUCUUCGUUUGGCUCUUGAGGAGUCAUACAACGAUGAUCAUGCUAAGUUAAAGAAAGAUCUUGAUCAUGCUCUUGUUGUGUCUCGUGUGCUAAACUCCGAGAAGCCAAAGCUUGGGGUUGAUCUUGCUAGACUCAAAGAGGAGUUUGACAUUCUUGACAAGGCUCACAAAGUCUUGAAGGGUGUUCAUGCUAGCCUCAAGGAGUCUCGUGAUCAACUCCAAGUGAAGCUAACGAAGGAGAAAGCCACCUUUCCUCAUAUGGUGUUAAUUGAUAAUGCAAAUGCUACUAACCCUUGUUGUGAGCAUGUGCAUCUUGUUGAGGAGAAUGCUAAGUUGAAGGAGCAACUUGAGAAAGGCAUUGUGUCAUGCAUACAAGGUGAGAAGAACCUCAACGACCUUUUGAGCAAUCAAAAGGAAGUUAUGGCCAAGGAGGGGAUUGGGUUCACACCCAAGCCCAAGAACAAGAAGAAGAAUGACAAGACCAAACGACCUCCUCCUCUCAAGCAAACUUUUGUGAAGGAGGGAGAGGGUGCUUCCAAGGAUAAGAAGAACAAUGCGAAGGGUGGCGGUGUCAAGAAGGGCAAUGGCACCCCUUCCAACAAAGCCGGCGACUUUAAUCCUUCUUAUGUGCUAUGCCGUGCUAGUGAUGGGCAUGUUUAUGCCAAAUUUGUUGGUUCUCCUUAUGAGUAUAUUGAAUGGUCUAUUUGGGUUCCUAAGACCCUAAUUACUAACAUCAAAGGACCCAUUACAAAAUGGGUACCUAAAACCAAGCAUUGAUCUCUUGUAGGUGUUUGCUUCCGGUGGGGGAUCAUGGUUGCUUGAUAGUGGAGCUACAAAUCAUAUGACCGGAAGCAAGGACUUGGUGGUGGAUGUGCACAAUAUUCCAUCUAUGCCCACCAAUGUCGAGUGGGGUGAUGCCUCGUCUUCUAAGGUAUUGGGACUCGGCAAAGUUGUCAUUUCUCAUGAUCUCACGAUCGAGAAGGUCAUGCUUGUUGAGUCCCUUGCAUACAAUUUACUUUCCGUUCGUCAACUUGCAAUCAUGGGCUUUGCCACUUUCUUCGAUAUUGAUACCGUGGCCCUCUUGUGGAGCAAGACUCUUAAAGUAGCCUUUGUUGGGCAUGUCGAGAACGGUCUCUAUGUGAUUAACUUUUCGGAGCGACCCACUAAGACCGCGACAUGCCUAAUGGCUAAAGUUGACGUGGGAUGGCUUUGGCAUCGCCGGUUAGCCCAUGUCAAUAUGAGAUCUUUGCAAAGUCUUCUCAAGGGGGACCAUGUCCGUGGACUAACGAAUGUUAGUUUUGCUAAAGAUCGUGCCUGCAGUGCUUGUAUCCAAGGAAAGCUACAUGAGACGGCUCACCCUCCCACAACUAUCAUUUACUCGAAGAGGCCUUUGGAGCUCCUUCAUUUGGAUCUCUUUGGGCCUCCAUCCUUUGAUAGUCUUGGGGGUAGGAAGUAUUGCUUGGUGAUUGUGGAUGACUAUUCAAGAUACACUUGGGUGUAUUUCUUCAAGAGGAAGAGCGAGACCCAACAAACCGUCAUUGACUUUGCGAAUGAAGCCCAACGUCAACACAAUACAAAGAUCUUGACAAUAAGAAGUGACAACGGCACCGAGUUUAAGAACUACACUUUGGAUGAGUUUCUUAGUGAUGAGGGGAUCAAGCAUCAAUAUUCCGCACCUUACACCCCUCAACAAAAUGGUGUUGCGGAGAGGAAGAACCGGACGUUGAUGGAUGCGGCAAGGACCAUGAUGGCGGAGUUCAAGUCUCCAUACAACUUUUGGGCCGAAGCCAUCAACACCGUGUGUCAUGCAUCCAAUCGACUCUACCUCCGCAAGGGCUUGAACAAGACUCCAUAUGAGAUUUUCACCGGUAACAAGCCCAACCUCAAGUACUUUCGGGUGUUCAGUUGUAAGUGUUUCAUUCUCAAGAAAGGUGUUCGGUUGUCUAAAUUUGAGGCUAGAGCUUAUGAGGGCAUAUUCGUUGGUUAUGCGACAAACUCUCAUGCUUACCGUGUCCUCAAUAAAUCUACGGGGCUUAUUGAGGAGACGUGUAACGUGGAGUCUGAUGAGAAUAACGGCUCCCAAGUGGAGCAAAGUGGAACUUGUGAUGUAGGUGAUGAAAUUCCUCCUCAAGCCAUAAGAAGAAUGGGUGUUGGUUUUAUUCUACCCAUUGAGGAACCCCUUGUGGCCGAAGGAGAAGGACAAUGCUCCACUCAAGUGGAGCCAUCACCAACCCAAGGCCCACACGCUUCCGAAGAACAAAGUGAAGACCCUCAACCUCAUGAACAAGACCAAGGGCAAGAUCAUGCUCAAGACGGUGGUGACACACCAAGUGAUGCCCAAGGUCAAGUUCUCUCCUCCGAUCAAGUUCAAGAUCAAGAACAAGCUCAAGAUGGCGCUCAAGAUGAUCAAGUGACCGCUCCUCGACUCACCACCGAGGAGGAAUUGGAGCAUCGUGCCGCCAAGAUUGCAUCCAAGCUCUCCACCAAGGGUCAUCUCAUGAAGAAUGUGCUUGGAAGCAUUCAAAAGGGGGUAAGCACUCGUAGACAAUUGGCAAACUAUUGUGAACAUCACGCGUUUUUCUCUUGUGUUGAACCCCAUAAGGUAUAUGAAGCACUCGAAGAUCCGGAUUGGCUUAAUGCCAUGCAUGAAGAACUCAACAACUUCGAGUACAACAAGGUGUGGAGAUUAGUGCCGAGGCCAACGGGGAACCACAAUGUCAUUGGAACCAAGUGGAUAUUCAAGAACAAGCAAGAUGCUCAUGGGACCAUCAUUCGCAACAAGGCACGAUUGGUGGCACAAGGCUACUCCCAAGUCGAGGGUAUCGACUAUGGUGAAACCUUUGCUCCCGUUGCUCGCCUUGAAUCUAUUCGUUUGUUGAUUGCUUAUGCUUCUCAUCACAACUUUAAGUUGCAACAAAUGGAUGUGAAGAGUGCUUUUCUUAAUCGUCCCAUUAAUGAGUUGGUUUAUGUCAAGCAACCCCCCGGGUUCGAGGAUCCCUACUUUCCCGAUCAUGUGUAUCAACUCGAUAAGGCACUCUAUGGCCUUAAACAAGCCCCACGUGCGUGGUAUGACCACCUUACCGAGUUGUUACAAGAUCGUGGGUUUGAAGUUGGGCUAAUCGACCCCACUCUUUUUACUAAGAAGGUCAAAGGGGAGUUGUUUGUAUGCCAACUAUAUGUUGAUGAUAUUAUAUUUGGUUCCUGUCAUGGAAUUGUCACGGCAGAUAUCCUCGAGCUAGGACUUAGUCGUGGAGCCAUCGCAGCUAGGAAGCUUGAAGGGGUUAAACGGGACAAGGAACACGAGGGUUAUACUGGUUCGGCCCCUUACGGUGAAGGUAAAAGCCUACGUCCAGUUGAGGUGGUAUUGAUUAGGGUUUCGAUGACCAGGGAGCUUAACUGCUAGGCCUGGCUCUCGACGAGAUCUUCCUUCUCCUUGACCCAUCGCCGGGUCGUCCCUUUAUAUAGAGAGGUUGACGCCCAGCAGCUCUCAGAGUCCCGGCCGGCUCAUAAGAGUGUCCGGCUCGGACUCUCAACUAUUCUUGCCUUACACUACAAGUUCUACCAUAAUAGCGGUUGCAACUAUGGGCCUUAAGCCAUCUCCGGGUCUUAAGCCCAUCUCUAGCCCGCCGUCUUCAAGCUUGGCGCCAGGCUUCAGGCGAUGACCAUUAUGAGUAACCCGGCCCCUCCGAGCGGGUGACUCUAAGGGUUAUAUCCUCAACAUUAGGCCCCAGAUUGAUUUGAGCCGGCUCAUGUCAAUCUUCAAUCCUUUUGACAGAAAAUCUCCGGCUUACAAUUGUGUGAAGGCUAUAACCCGUCGUGACGUCAUCUUCUGGAUUCCGGGUAACCCGCCGUGACGUCAUCUUCCAUUAAGUCCAUUUUUUACUCCACCAUAUCCGCAACGGAUCUUAUCUUUAAGUGCCGUCCCGAAAAUCGAGGCAUUUUUGUGGUGAGAUUACCGCGCCGUGGCCUCCUCGUUUCUCGCGCCCACUUAUGAGCCUCACCUUAUAAAUAGUCCGGCCCGAUGAGCCUCCAGCCACUCGUCUUCCUCCUCUCGCCACUGUUCUCUCGCUCGAGCUCCAUCGCCGCCGCCGCCGCGGGUCUUCCUGUCUUCUCCGACUCAGGCCGCUGCACCAACCUGACGUGACCGGAUAAACGGCGGCGACCUCCGCAACUCUCCAGUACCUGUAAGCCCUUGUUACUCCAUAGAAUAGACCUGCAUUAGGGUUCUUGCUGUUCUUCCCGUGUUCGUCGCCGUUCAUCGCGAGCUCUUGGUAGAUUUCAUUAUUACCACCCCUUCUUGAUCUGUAGACUGUAGAGGACUGUUGCGGUAGUUGUUUCACACCUGUUUCCAAUGUAUAUAGAUCCCUUUUCCCUGCAUAAAGGCUCUGUUCGAACCUAUGAACUUCUUCUGCGUCUGUUUUAGGUGUAGAAACUUUUCCUUUUAGUCAACCAUUUUGAUCCAAAAUAUUCACUGCGAUCGGUGAAACUUGUAUUCACCACACUUAGUAAAAAACUGCAUCUGCUGAGCUAUGGCGGCUUAUAUUUCCGGCUCAGAGAAGCCACGCGCCGUAAAAUUUGCCGGCUCAUUUAUGAUAAAGCUGUAGACAAUUUGAAUUACUCUCGCUACCUGCAGCGGCUUAGAUAACCCGAUGCACUUAGCCAUAUGUCAUUAGGCUCCUUCAUAAGCCGCCAUUUUAAACAUUGAAAUGUAAACUUCCUCCGGCUUAUAAUUGAACCGGACAUUUCCUUUUAUCAUAGGCUUCCGACUUUCACCAUGCCUCCCAAAGCUCCCAAAGCGACCAUCACGUGCAACUGGCUGAGGUCCAACGUCACUGAGGAAACCUUAGCGGACUUUGUGAAGACGGGCUACCUGCCCAAAAAGGAUGUCAUGUCUUACCGUGCCCCUGACUCGUCAGAGGAGAGACCGCAACCCAAGGAUGGUGAAGUGGUAAUAUUUGCGGAUCACAUGAGCCGGGGCUUCGCACCGCCCGGCUCAAGGUUCUUUAUAGAUGUGCUGAAUUUCUUUGAUCUGCGGCCACAAGACAUAGGACCUAAUUCUGUGUCGAAUAUAUGCAAUUUCCAAGUGUUCUGCGAAGUCUACCUUGGAGAAGAGCCCAGCCUUCUGCUCUUUAGAGAGCUAUUCUAUUUGAACCGCCAAAAUGAGUGCGCCAACGGACCAAGCCUGGAACUUGGUGGAAUCUCCAUUCAACGCCGGAGAGACUGCCUCUUUCCUUACGCUGAGCCGCCCAACCAUCCAAAGGACUGGAACCAGACGUGGUUCUACUGCCAGGACACUUCGCCGGCUGACGAGAGCCCGCUGCCUGGCUUUCGUCCCUCGCGUCUGGAACCAACUCACCCUCUGUCAGACAAGCUAUCUCAGGCGGAGCACCAACCUCUGAUCCCCACCAUCAACAAAAUCAAGGCUCUCCUGGGAAAUGGCCUCAAUGGCAUUGAUCUGGUCCGGGUCUGGAUCUCGUGGCGGGUGAUUCCCUUGAGCCGCCGCCCCGGCUUAAUGUGUGAUUACACGGGCCGGAAAGAUGACCCCCUGCGACACAGCCGCAACGAUCUUCCUGAAGACGUUGCUGAAGACAUGACCAAGGCCCUCUUGAACGAGAGCUUGGCAGACUGCGGCAGGACCGGCUUAAGCCCCUUCUGCAAGACCAACCCGGCCCCAGCGGUAAGCCGCUGAUCUGAAUAUCAUAUUUUCUCCUUUAGAUAGUUUCCAUCUGAACCUUAAGAAAUCUUCAUUGUAUUUUUCAGGCUGAUGAUAAAUUCUGGAAGGUCAAGUAUGACCAUGAGGCGGCCAAGAAGGCCAGGAGAGCCGCUCCCCGCAAGAAGGGAAGCAGGCCUACUGCCUCAGAGCUGCUUCAAUUAAGUGACAGCUCCGAGUCAGAGGUAACCCCUGAACCUGUAAGCUCUUGUUGCAUUCCUUGUUUAUUCCUGUCCACCUUAUUGAUACUGAUCAUCAGCAGGACGACACCGGAGCAAGUAACCCGGUGGUUGAAGAGGUAAUGACACUUUCCUCCGACUCGGAGCCCUUGCCAAGGCUGAAAGUCCGAAGAGUAACCCGGAAAGUAAGAUUUUCACAUCCUUUAGCUUAUCAAGAUCCUCAAUUUCUUUUGAAGCGACAGAUUCAUGAGAGCCGGCGGCACACCCGGACCAACAAAGACGCAGACCUCUCCUCCGGCUUACCUGAAGCGUCGAGGAAGCGCCGGACCGAGGUCACCUCCAACUUAUAUCCUUUUCAUCCUUUGGCGGGUGUUAUACGUCAACCGCUCAAUUCUUCUGAUUCAAAUUAUCAGGAAACUUCACCCUCCUCUGGCGACUCUAUGCAAUCGAACCUGCCGGCUUUCAAGACCGUACCCGGGUAAAUGAUGAUCAUCUCUUGUUAUGCUUAUCUUUACUCAUACUUUUGUACUAACCUUAUGUCCUUUCAGUGCUCAAGCAAAGCUCAGUAAAAGAGCAAAAAAGAACAAGCCGGUCGAAGAACCGGUCUUGCCUGAGCCGGAGGUUGCAGCUCAAGAGCCGCCAGCUGCCUCUGCCCCUGAAGCCACCACUCCAACCGAUGAGCCAGCCACGGAGACUUCCACCAACCCGGACAUCUCCAGCCCAGCUCAGCCGGCCGAUGACCCGGACGUGGUAAUCACCCGGACGGAGUUUGUCGAGCCGGGGAGACCCACUGCGCUGGCUAAGUGCUCUGCGAAGGAAGAGUUGCUAGAGCGCCGCCGGGCCAAGCUGGACAUCACCAACUAUGCUAACUUGAGCAUCGGAGAGAUCGUCUCCGGCUAUGUCAGUCAGGUGCACAACAGCCGGGAUUUGGAGAUCAACAUGGUGAAUCAGAUACAGCAGAAGUCUGAGGUACCACUCUAUUGCUUACUGCAUAGUUAUCUUUACCAUACUCUAGCCCCCAAGCCUACUACUUAUUAUAGAAUAUGUUGUAGACUUAUCUUCCGGCUUACUCUCAUGAACCGGUAAUUUUGUAGAUAGAAAACUUUCGACAUGCAUUAGCCCCCAAGUGCCAAGUGUCUUUGCUUGGAAAGUGCUUGGGACUUUAAAGUUGCAUAAUAACUGUUCAUACUAUAACCCGGAAAUUGUGCAGGCUAUUUGCAAGAAAUUUGAGGCUGAUAUCUCAGAGCUGAAGAACCGCCUGACGACUCAGGAAACUGAGACCCGGACGGCCAACGCCAAAUUCGAAUCCAGCAUUGCCGCUCAAGAGAAGCUGAAGAAGACGUUUGAAGCUGAAAGGAAAACUUGGGCCGAAGAGAAGGCUGCUCUGGUGAGCCGGGCCGAACAGGCGGAGAAGGCUCUAAUGGAGAGAACCGCCGAACUCUCCGGCUUAAAACGCCAUGUGUCACAAAUGGUCACCGCAAUCUUCGGUAAGUCCUUCUGCAGGCUUUGAACAAGUUUACAGUCUUUAUGUCCCAUAACUCCCAUCAUUGAGAACAGCUUAUCUUACUUUGUUAAAGAGGUCCCAGAAGCGCCAACCUCAAUCAGAACGUGCUGACCAAGCUGAAGGCCGUGUACACCCUGGUGGAGCAACUCUACACCGGGUCACAGCGCGCUUUGGCCAUGGUGGCCCUAUCCAACGAGGUUCCGACUCACCUGGCGGAAGUUCUUCGCCGGCUUGCCGUUCUUCCUCAGCGUGUCCAAGAGCUGUGACGGGCCUCUGCAAGAGCCGGAGCCAUAGCUGCUCUGAGCCGGGCCAAGGCUUUCCUUCCAGAGCUAGACCCGGCGGACAUCGCACUUGGUUACCCCAGCUUGAAGGAAGACGGCACCCCUUUCGACCAAAAGGACUUUGCUGCCUGUGUGAAGAUCGUGCGCCCGGUGGCCACCCUGAUUGGGAAUGACACUGAUCUGACCAAGUAUCAACCGGGCUACGAUGCAGAGAAUCAGAGGAUCCCCACUCCGCGUUACGAAGCCAUCAGCUUAGUCCCGCCGACUCGUAAGCACACCUUUGCCCCGGAAAUUGACCCGGCCGGGUUAAUUGACGAGGAAGCUCAAUUUGAAGCUUUGAGCGGCAUUGACUGGAAAUCGUCAACCUUCCAGGUCUUGGGAACAGCCGGAGGAGCGGAGAGGGAUGAGCCGGAAGCUUCGUCCCGGCAAGCAUCUUGACUCUUUAGGCGGCUUGUUAAACAAUGCUUCACCCUUUUGGACUCGGGGAGUCUUGUAAUAGAAUAGGACCAACAUUUUAACUUUGUCGUGCCAUGGUGCACGUGCUGAAUGCUUAAUUCCAUUGAAGUUGCUUCCUUAUAUUCCUCCGGGUCAUAAUUGAUCAUUCAUUUUCCUUAAGCUCAAAUAGUUGUCUUUAACUAUCCUGCAUAGAAAAACAAAUCACAAGUCUCUAGGCGGCUUACCGCACUGAGAGUCAUAGUCUCAUACAUAUAACCCGGAAUAUAAAUCUAAGUCAUGAAAGACUGGUCCUCAAUUACGUCUUUGACAUAACCGUAAUAACACACUUACCGGCCUUCAAGUACACUUCCAGAUUAUAUAACCCGGAUAAUAAGGUUGGUACCUCAACUCCGGUUUACCAGUCUUGACAAUGUUGAUUGUGCAUGACUAGCAUCGUGAGUCAAACUUAAGCCGGCGGAACAAAAACCGCCGUGUACACUGUUGAUACCACCAGAAGAACUUGUUGUAAAUCAGAAAAUCAAAACUCAGGGGCUUCCGGUUCGAAUACGACCAGAGACCCGUCCCAAAGGGGUUAAGCUAAGAUUCGAAUGCGAUCAUAUAGCCCCCAGUGGGUUUGGCGAUGCCGAUCAAGAGGGUACCGACAGCUAUGUUCUCUUUGGUUCGAAUACGACCCAUGUUUGAACAGGAAGCCCCCAAAUGACCUUAAGAGUUGUUUAACGACGCUGAUUCGAAUACGAUCCACGUCGGUUCCCAAAGGGGGUUGAGCUAUGAUUCAAAUAUGAUCAAAGAAGACUCCCCAAUGAGCUCGGCACUUUGCCAAUCAAAUGGGUAUCGACAGCUAUGUUCUCUUUGGUUCGAAUACGACCUAUGUUUGAACAGGAAGCCCCCAAGUGAUUAUAUUGCGUACGGCUAGAUUCGAAUACGAUCAUAAGCCGGAUCCAUCUCCAAGUUACCAUGUGAUCUUGUAAUGGAAACAACACCUUUACCUUUGGAGGAGAAAAAAGGACAGAGGUCCUGCUUUAUUGCUUAUCAUAAUAUAUACACGGCUUAUAGAAAUAUGUACAUUAUGAGAGCCGGUGGCUCAAGUGUAAUAAGGCCGGAGCUGAGCUACGUUCCACGGCCGACGGGUCUCUUCCUCCGACUUACGUGAAUCUUUAUGCUCGCGAACGUCAAUAAGGUAGUAUGACCCGUUGUGCAAGUUCUUGCUGACCACAAAGGGUCCUUCCCAAGGCGGGGAUAGCUUGUGCGCAUCUGUUUGAUCUUGGAUGAGCCGGAGCACCAGAUCACCUUCCUGGAAGACCCGGGAUUUAACCCGAUGACUGUGAUAACGGCGCAGGUCUUGUUGGUAAAUCGCUGAGCGAGCUGCUGCCACAUCACGCUGUUCGUCCAACAAGUCAAGAGCAUCUUGGCGCGCCUGUUCAUUAUCCGCCUCAACAUAAGCCGCCACUCGAGGCGAGUCAUGACGGAUGUCACUGGGGAGGACUGCUUCCGCUCCAUAAACCAUGAAGAAGGGCGUGUAACCCAUAGACCUUUUAGGAGUAGUAUUGAUGCUCCAUAACACGGAGGGUAACUCCUCCACCCAACAACCCGGCGUCCGUUGCAAAGGGACCAAGAGCCGGGGCUUGAUGCCUUUCAGAAUCUCCUGAUUAGCUCUCUCAGCUUGACCAUUAGAUUGAGGGUGAGCCACUGAUGAAACAUCAAGUCGAAUAUGCUCUCAUUGACAAAACUCCUCCAUGGCGCCCUUGGACAGAUUGGUACCAUUGUCAGUUAUAAUGCUGUGUGGAAAGCCAAAGCGAAAGAUCACCUUUUUCAUGAACUGAACCGCCAUGGCUGCGUCACACUUGCUAACUGGCUCUGCUUCCACCCAUUUUGUGAAUUUGUCAACUACCACCAAGAGGUGGGUCUUCUUGUCCUUAGACCUUUUAAAAGGCCCAACCAUAUCGAGCCCCCAGACCGCAAAUGGCCAAGUGAUUGGUAUCAUCCGCAGCUCUUGAGCCGGCACAUGAGCCCGUCGUGAGAACCUCUGGCAACCGUCACAUUUACUGACCAAGUCUUCCGCAUCAGCAUGAGCCGUCAACCAACAAAAACCAUGACGAAAAGCCUUUGCAACAAGGGAUUUUGAGCCGGCAUGAUGGCCACAAUCCCCUUCGUGAAUCUCACGCAAGAUUUCUUGACCUUCCUCAAGGGAGACACAACGCUGGAACGCUCCUGUAACACUGCGGCGAUGCAGCUCACCAUUGAUAACAACCAUUGACUUAGACCGCCGGGUUAUUUGUCUGGCCAAUGUUUCAUCCUCAGGCAAAUCUCCCCGGGUCAUGUAAGCCAAGUAAGGCACCGUCCAGUCCGGGGUGAUGUGGAGAGCCGCCACCAACUGUGUCUCCGGGUCAGGGACAGCCAAGUCUUCCUCUGUAGGCAACUUAACAGAAGGGUUAUGCAAGACGUCCAGAAAAGUAUUAGGCGGCACCGGUUUUCGCUGAGAGCCCAGCCGGCUUAAAGCAUCAGCCGCCUCGUUCUUCAUGCGAUCGAUGUGCUCUACUUGGUAACCCUGAAAGUGUCCAGCAAUAGCAUCAACUUCACGGCGAUAAGCCGCCAUGAGAGGGUCCUUGGAAUCCCACUUGCCUGAUACUUGUUGAGCUACUAAGUCAGAGUCGCCGAAGCACCUUACCCGGCUCAAGCUCAUCUCCUUAGCCAUCCGAAGACCAUGGAGCAAGGCCUCGUACUCAGUCACAUUGUUAGUACAAGGAAACAUCAACCGUAGCACAUAAUGGAACUUGUCACCUUUAGGGGAAGCCAAUACAACUCCAGCCCCCGAGCCCUCCAAUUGCCUGGACCCAUCGAAGUGAAUAGUCCAAUAUGUGUUAUCCGGCUUUUCUUCGGGCACUUGUAGCUCUGUCCAAUCGUUGAUGAAAUCCACCAAGGCUUGAGAUUUAACAGCAGUGCGUAGUACGUAUUUCAGACCAUGAGGUCCGAGCUCUAUAGCCCACUUAGCCACUCUCCCUGUGGCCUCUCUGUUUUGAAUGAUAUCUCCAAGGGGGGCAGAACUGACCACAGUGAUAGGGUGACCCUGGAUAUAAUGCUUAAGCUUCCGGCUUGCCAUGAACACACCAUAAACAAGCUUCUGCCAAUGUGGAUACCGCUGUUUGGACUCGAUGAGCACUUCACUGACGUAAUAAACCGGCCGCUGAACCGGGUGCUCCUUACCCUCUUCCUUGCGCUCCACCACCACAGCCACACUGACGGCCCAUGUGUUAGCAGCUACAUACAGCAAUAAAGGCUCCUUGUCAACCGUAGCAGCAAGGACUGGGGGCUCUGCCAGCUGUCUCUUCAAAUCCUCAAAAGCAGUAUUAGCAGCAUCAUUCCAGACAAAGUUAUCAGUUUUCUUCAUCAACUGGUACAAUGGCAUGGCCUUCUCACCCAAACGGCUUAUAAACCGGCUUAAAGCAGCGAUACGACCCGCCAGGCGCUGGACGUCGUUUAUACACGCCGGCUUAGCCAGAGAGGUGAUUGCCUUGAUCUUCUCCGGGUUAGCUUCAAUGCCUCUGUUAGAAACCAAGAAACCCAAGAGUUUGCCUGCAGGAACACCAAAAACACACUUGGCCGGGUUAAGCAUCAUCUUGUAGACCCGGAGAUUAUCAAAGGUUUCCCUCAGAUCAUCUAUCAAGGUUUCCUUCUCCCUGGACUUAACCACAAUAUCAUCCACAUAGGCAUGAACAUUGCGCCCAAUCUGGUUAUGAAGACAGUUCUGCACGCAACGCUGAUAAGUCACCUGUGCACUCUUGAGCCCAAAGGGCAUAGACACAUAGCAGAAGGCUCCAAAGGGAGUGAUGAACGCCGUCUUCUCCUGGUCCUUAACUGCCAUUUUAAUCUGAUGGUAUCCAGAAUAAGCAUCCAAGAAACUUAAGCACUCGCAACCCGCCGUAGCAUCAGUGAUUUGAUCAAUACGGGGAAGAGCAAAAGGAUCAGCCGGACAUGCCUUAUUUAAGUCCGUGUAGUCCACACACAUCCGCCAGGUGCCAUUCUUUUUGAGCACGAGCACCGGGUUAGCUAGCCACUCCGGGUGAAAGACUUCAACAAUAAACCCGGCCGCCAAGAGCCGGGCCACCUCUUCACUAAUGGCUUUCCGCCUCUCUUCAUUAAACCGCCGAAGGAAUUGCCUGACCGGCUUAAAUUUCGGAUCAACAUUGAGAGUGUGCUCAGCGAGUUCUCUAGGUACACCCGGCAUGUCAGAAGGCUUCCAUGCAAAGAUGUCCCUAUUCUCACGGAUGAACUCGAUGAGCGUGCUUUCCUAUUUUGGAUCCAGAUUGGCACUGAUGCUGAACUGCUGAGAUAAAUCACCUGGAACGAAAUCAACAAGUUUAGUCUUAUCAGCCGACUUAAAUUUCAUUGCCGGCUCAUGCUCCGUAGUCGGCUUUUUCAGAGAGGUCAUAUCUGUUGGGUCAACAUUGUCCUUGUAAAAUUUCAACUCCUCUGUUGCACAAACAGAUUCUGCAUAAGCUGCAUCACCUUCCUCACACUCCAAGGCCACCUUCCGGCUGCCAUGAACCGUAAUGCUCCCAUUGUGACCCGGCAUCUUGAGCUGUAAAUACACGUAACACGGCCGUGCCAUGAACUUGGCGUAAGCCGGCCGCCCAAAUAUGGCAUGAUAUGGACUUCUUAUCUUGACCACUUCAAAGGUCAAUUUUUCCACCCUGUAGUUGUACUCGUCUCCAAAGGCCACUUCCAACUCGAUCUUACCAACUGGAUAAGCCGACUUACCAGGCACCACACCAUGGAAAAUAGUAUUGGACUGGCUGAGGUUCUUAUCAAUCAACCCCAUACGACGGAAAGUCUCAUAAUAGAGGAUGUUGAUGCUGCUGCCUCCAUCCAUGAGUACCUUAGUGAAUUUAUAUCCUCCCACCUGAGGAGCCACCACCAGGGCCAAGUGACCCGGAUUAUCAACCCGAGGAGGGUGAUCCUCCCUACUCCACACAAUAGGCUGCUCAGACCAUCUUAAGUAGCGUGGAGUCGCCGGCUCAACAGCAUUCACAGCCCUCUUAUGAAGCUUCUGAUCUCGCUUACACAGACUGGUGGUAAAUACGUGAUACUGUCCCCCGUUGAGCUGCUUUGGGUUGGUCUGAUAACCCCCCUGCUGCUGUUGAUGACCCUGGCCAGACUGCUGAUUAAAGCCCCCUUGACCGUUCUGAGGAUUAGAAUUUGAGCCGCCGCCCGGGCCAUGAAAACCGCCAGUGCCUGAACCGCCGCCCGGGCCAUGGUUGUCAUUAAAGGCAUUGGAAUUCUUAAAGGAUUUCAUGAUUGCGCAAUCCUUCCAUAGAUGAGUAGCUGGCUUCUCCCUAGAGCCAUGCCUUGGACAAGGCUCAUUCAACAGCUGUUCCAGCAUCGGGCCUGACCCGCCGGCUCGGGGAGGUGGCCUCCCCUUGCGUCGCUGGUUAUUCCCCUGUGAGCUGGCGUUGGCCACGAACUCUAGGCUGCCGUCGGCCUUAUGCUUGCCACCUCCUUGGUUCCCCGGGUUAUGCUGAGGACCCUUGCCAUUGCCGUUCAUCUUUCCCUUCCCUGUACUUUCAUCAUCUGAAGCGGGGUCCUUGGUACUAUCAGAAUCGGCGUACUUGACGGGAGCCGCCAUCAGCGUACCCAUAUCAUUGCAGUUACGUUUAAGCCGCCCGAGUUUCAUCUUCAAGGGCAGGAAACGACAAUUUUGUUCCAACAUUAAGACUGCAGAGCCGGCAUCCAUCUUAUCAGAUGAAUGUAUUAUCUCCUUGACCCGGCGAACCCAAUGUGUCGUAGACUCACCCUCCUGCUGUUUACAGUUAGUCAAAUCCACAAUUGACAUAGACUGCCUACAGGUAUCUUUGAAGUUUUGGAUGAACCGGGCCUUCAACUCAGCCCAAGACCCGAUGGAGUUCGGUGGUAGCCCUUUCAACCAAGUGCGGGCAGUCCCAUCUAACAUCAUGGUGAAGUACUUGGCCAUCGCUGCUUCACUGACCUCCAGCAAUUCCAUGGCCAUCUCGUAACUCUCGAUCCAGGCUCCGGGUUGUAAGUCAGCUGUGUAAUUAGGCACCUUCCUAGGCCCUUUGAAAUCCUUGGGCAGACGCUCAUUGCGGAGAGCCGGCACUAAACAAGGGGCACCUCCAGUCCUCGUAGGGAUACCCACAUCGACGGAAGUCGUCGGAUAAGCCGGGGGAGUCUAGUAAGCCGUCAACUGAGGCACCUGCUCCGCCUCCUGCCGCGCUCUGUCUUGGUCUAUUGCGUGAAAGGCUCCGUUAUGAGCCGGGCCAUGGCCAGGGGGCGGGUCAUGGCGUCGGACAUUACUUGAGCCGGUCGCUGAGACCAUGUGUCUGCUAUAACUCGGGCUCCGGCCUGGACGAGGGGUUGAGUGGAUCCUGUCCCGGCUGUAAGAAUACGCCUCUUGCUGCGCCGGUGCUGUCUGAAGGAGUUCUCUGACCCGGCGGGUUUCAAUAGCCGUUGGAGAGUCGCCGUCAAUCGGGAGAGCCGCCAGCCGUGCUGCUGCGGCGACCAUAUUCUCCAGCGGGUUAGCAUAAUGACCCGGUGGUAUUGCCACAUACUGAGGCGGGGCGGGGUUCACCCGGGGAGGCCCCAUCACUUGUGGCUGAACAGGGGUCCCAGACCCGGGCACUAUGAUCCCCGGCGGGUUACUAGACCCUGCACCUGGCGUACUGAAGAGGUUUCGAGGAUCGUAGACCGGAGGGAGUCGAGAUUGGGCCUUUUGAUGCCUCCUUCUCAUGACCUCAUUGGACGCGUUUUGAUCCAUCGUGAGCCGGAAGGACUGCGCCUGAAUCAACUGAGUCUGGGCGUCGAGAGCCGCCCUCUCCGUAGCCAUCCUGAUCCCUUCUGCCGCCAGAUCCUCCUUGGCUUUCACUAGAUCUAACUUUAACUACGCCACCUCCGCGUCAUGCUGAGCUUGAUCCGCCGGGUCAACCGUGGCGGUCAACAGGGCCGUCAUCUUGUCCGUGAGAUCCAUCAGCACCUGAGCCGGCGAGGGUACCGGGUUUCCUGACCCAGCGGCGGGGUUUUGAACAGGUUGCGCACCGGCCAUGAAGAUCCCAACCCGGCUCGGCGGCUCAAAAGGAUCCGGAAUACUGUCACCAUCGGAACAACCCCUGAGCCUGCCAUCUUGAAGUUGAUACAACGAGUUUGACUCAUCUGUGGACGACUCGCCGUCAGAGCCGGCGGCCGUCUCAUCACCAGAUCCAGACCCUUCGGAGAGUCCUCCAUGAACACAUCCCACAAAAGCAUGCCUCAAGGCAGGUAGAGCCCGGGCAGGUCGUGCACGCUGAGCCGUCUCGAUGAGGUCGGCGCAGAGAUCCGGCUCAGGGCCCGGCUCACCAAUCUUGCCAAUGAAGACAUGAAUUACGCCGAAGGGGACCCGGUACCCGUACUCAAUUGAGCCGGCGUCGGGGCCCCAGUUUGCAUCGUCGAUGUAGAGCUUGCCGCGACGACUCUUGGUCAUCCGGCCCACAGCGUAUCCCUUGAGCCCUUCGAAGCUGCCCUUCAAGAACUCAAAUCCACCGUGCGCUGGCCCCACGGUGGGCGCCAACUGUCGUGGAAUUGUCACGGCAGAUGUCCUCGAGCUAGGACUUAGUCGUGGAGCCAUCGCAGCUAGGAAGCUUGAAGGGGUUAAACGGGACAAGGAACACGAGGGUUAUACUGGUUCGGCCCAUUACGGUGAAGGUAAAAGCCUACGUCCAGUUGAGGUGGUAUUGAUUAGGGUUUCGAUGACCAGGGAGCUUAACUGCUAGGCCUGGCUCUCGACGAGAUCUUCCUUCUCCUUGACCCGCCGUCGGGUCGUCCCUUUAUAUAGAGAGGUUGACGCCCAGCAGCUCUCAGAGUCCCGGCCGGCUCAUAAGAGUGUCCGGCUCAGACUCUCAACUAUUCUUGCCUUACACUACAAGUUCUACCAUAAUAGCGGUUGCAACUAUGGGCCUUAAGCCAUCUUCGGGUCUUAAGCCCAUCUCUGGCCCGCCGUCUUCAAGCUUGGCGCCGGGCUUCAGGCGAUGACCAUUAUGAGUAACCCGGCCCCUCCGGGCGGGUGACUCUAAGGGUUAUAUCCUCAACAGUUCCCCUAACAAAACUUUCAAUGAGGAAUUUGCCGCAGUCAUGACCUCAAAGUUCAAGAUGUCUUCCAUGGGAGAGUUGAAGUUCUUUCUCGGUUUCGAAGUAAAGCAAAGAAGAGAAGGAACCUUCAUCAACCAAGCCAAAUACACUCAAGACAUGCUCAAGAGAUUCAAACUAAGUGAUGUCAAGCCGGCGUCCACUCCAAUGCCCACCAAGUGCCAACUUGACAUCGAUCCCAAUGGUAAAGCGGUGGAUCAAAAGGUAUAUCGCUCCAUGAUUGGUUCCUUGCUUUAUCUUUGUGCAUCUAGACCGGAUAUCAUGUUGAGUGUGGGAAUUUGUGCACGGUUUCAAGCCGCACCUAAGGAAAGCCACUUUGUGGCGGUCAAGCGAAUCUUUCGAUAUUUGGCUCAUACCCCAAACUUUGGCUUAUGGUACCCAAGAGGAGCAAACUUCAAGCUUGUAGGAUAUUCGGACUCCGAUUGGGCGGGAGACAAAGUGGAUAGGAAGUCCACUUCCGGAGGGUGCCAAUUCCUUGGUUGCUCUUUGGUAAGUUGGUCUUCUAAAAAGCAAAGUCUCGUCCACCGAAGCGGAGUAUGUGGCGGCUGGGAGUUGUUGUGCACAACUCUUAUGGAUGAGGCAAACUUUAAAGGAUUACGGUAUCAUUUGUGACAAAGUGCCUCUUUGGUGUGAUAAUGAAAGUGCCAUCAAGAUUUCUCUUAACCCCGUGCAACACUUCAAGACGAAGCAUAUUGAGAUUCGAUAUCACUUCAUCCGAGAUCACAUUAGGCGAAGGGAGAUCGAGCUCAACUACGUCAACACCCAUGAUAACCUUACAGAUAUUUUCAUGAAGCCUUUGGAUGAAGCAAGAUUUCGCGAGUUAAGGCAUGAGCUAAAUAUCAUUGAUUCGAGCAAUGUUGCUUGACCCCUUGCACACCCCACCACACUCAACUUGUUGUCUAAUCUAGGUGUAGGCAUGGACAUAGGGGGAGUAUUGUUCUCUCAAUGAACUCUCCCUCCCCCCAUUAUGCAUAAAGUGAUCAACUCUUUCACAUUAGCCAUUUUUGAUGGUACUUGUGCUUCAAAGACGAGUUUUGGUCAUGGGCCCAAGGAUAAUUCUUCGCGGUGCCAUACCAAUUGACUCAAACAUAGGUGGCUCCGGCCACCGCCCUCUUCUUGGAGAGGUUGUGUCUCGUUUUUGGUCUGUGUUGGUUCUUGCCUCUCUUACUUCGUGGCGAGCUCGUGCUUGUGGUGUCCAGUGUGUUAGUUCCUUGUUGUGGUCUCUCGCUUGAAGGUUCCGUUCUUAGUUGUUAUCUUUGGUUGAAACUGUUGUUUUUGAGCCCACGGUACUACCGCGGCCUACCCGGUACUACCGCAAGGAGGGCACGCGGUACUUCCGCACCCAGUGCGGCAGUAAUUUCUUACUGCCGCCUGGGGGAGCGGUACUACGGCCUCGGUGCGGUACUUCCGCCCGGGCGGUAGUACCGCGAUGACGUGCGGUACUACCGCAAGAGGAGUGAGCAGUACUUCCGCACCCAGCGCGGCAGUAAUUUUUUACUGCCGCCUGGGGGAGCGGUACUACGGCCUCGGUGCGGUACUUCCGCCCGGGCGGUAGUACCGCGAUGACGUGCAGUACUUCCGUGCGGUCAAGGGCGCGUGGGGGUUAAACACGGGCAGGGGGAGUUCUAACUCCCCCAUACCCAUUCGUCUCUCUCCCCACUUCGUCUCUCUCUCCCUCUCUCUCUCGCUCAAGAACAGCGCCGGAGGUCCUCGCCGGAUCUCCGUCUCCGGCCGCUCUCCUCGGAUUCCGACCGGUGGGAUCGUUCCCCACCACUCCCUCUUGCCAUGGAACAAGGUUUCUUCCCAAUCCCUCUCUUUUUCUUUUUUGUCUUGUUGCUUUUAGGUUUUGGGAGAUGCAAGUUGUUCUUGAGAUUUUAGGCCAAAUCUAUGCAAGAGUAGGAUGUAGGAGAGUAGUUUUGUGUAGUGUUGGUACUUGCUAUAGUUGUCCCGUGAUGGAUUUGAUUGACCGUAGUACCGCGUGUUGACACGGUUAUGCUCAGAUCUCCAUGGCUAUUUCGGAUCUGCAACCGUGCGGUACUACCGCACGUCCGGUACUACCGCCCUGCUGGUGCGGUACUACCGCACGUCCGGUACUACCGCCCUGCGGGUGCGGUACUACCGCUCCUUGGAGCGGUACUACCGCAUGUGGCACAACACGCGUUACUACCGUUAUCUCAAAUCCCUCUUGUGGCACUUCUCACGUGCCAAGUCUAUUUGUUUCUCCUGCUUUGCUGUGGUCUUUGCAUUGAUCCUUCUCGCGUUUCGUGCGUGUUUGUUUUGUGGUGUGUGUUUAGGUGGUGGCUCAGGUGCUCCGGCUCACCGCUCCAAUCCAAGUCGUGACACGGGAUCCAAGCGUAUGCACAACACAGAGGAAGCAGAGGGCUCCAAUGCCCCCCAACGCAGAACCAAGACCUCUGCCACCAAAGAGAAGGAACCCGCCAAGGGUAUGGAUGAGAUACCGCUUGCUGAGUUCAUCGCUCAGAGAAAGAUCAAUCCGUAUGGAAACCCUCGUGCUAACUUUCGAGGGAAUGACCUAUUCUGGACCAAGCAGCAGAAUCUCAUUUAUCUGGAUGUCAUCAAGGCCAAGCAAAAUACCCAUGUGGAGGUGAAGUGGAUCAACAUGCAUCACAUGCGCAAAGAGGCGCACCGGGAAUACUUUGGUGAGGCUUUGGACCUCGUAGAGCAAUUUGGCAUUGAGCAUAUCAUCUCAUUCCACAAAGACUAUGAUCCUGAGAUCCUUGCUCGGUUUUUUGCCUCCGUGCAUUUUCAUCCCAAUGAGGAAAGGACCAUGACUUGGAUGACCAAUGGCCGACAGCUGACUGCUGCUUGGAAGGAAUUCAUGACCCUGCUUGGGGUUCCGGAUGAGGGGCUCGCCACACCCCAAGGUGUUCGCCCUCAUGCCAAUCCCGAGUCUGCCAACAAGAACAAGCUCAUGCCCUACCUUGUGGAGAAGAAGCUCUCCAAUGGCAAGUCAACUUGGGUACUCAACUCCUUUCUUGACAUCAUGCACCGGAUCUUCCGCAACACUCUCUUCCCACGCAUUGGGGACAAGGACAAGGUGCAUGCCUAUCUGGUGGAUAUGAUGCUCCUGUGUGAAGAUGCUCGCAACUCUCAGACACAGCCACUUGAUGUCUCACAUAUCAUGUGGAUUGAGCUUCGGUUUGCGGUCUACAAUCGCAAGGUCCCCAUCUAUGGACCUUAUUUGUUUCUGUUGAUCUCGGCUACUUGGGAGCGGGUCUACCCUCAGGAUGAGUUUGAGGCCCCUGGUUGGAUCCGGCAUGAGCCCAUCAACCUCCGUAUCAAGCCUCAGUGGGCCAACACUACCUCUCGUGCCGCUACUGCGGCUGCCAUGGAUGUAGAUGCAGAUGAGGAUGAGGAGGAGGCAGCAGACGAGGACAGCUCUGAGGGUUACAUCCCUCCCACCUCUGAGCCUUCUUGCGCUAAGCGACUGAAGAACAAGAUGAAGAUGAUGUUCUGUAUGCAAGCAAAGGGGCAGUACCAGACCCAUGUGGCUUCCAAGGAGACUUGCCACCGCGGUAAGCGGAUUUUCAGGACCUUUGGCGAGAACAUAUCUAGCGGGUCAGAGGUGAACAUCACCCCAGAGGCAGAAUGGCUGCACAAGCAGGGCUAUCGGUGGACCGAGUCUGAGGAGGAGUCCGUCCCAGCUGCAGAGUCCAACGAGGAGCGUGCCAGUGACUACUCCGCUUGAGCCACCACUAUUGCUGUAGGUGUCCUAUCUACCUUUUUGGCAUCUCGAUGCCAAAGGGGGAGAGAGUGUAGGAUUUGCUGCGAGUUGUGUCGUGUUUGGGUCAGUUGAACUUCGUUUAUUUCGUUUGCUUUGGUUUGAUUUGGUUUGUGCUCGUGAGACCUUCUAUCAUAUGGUGUAAGACAUAUGCACUCUAUCGCACCGUAGUGAGCUUAUUCUAUCUUGUGCUUAUUACAUUUUGCUCCUGUCUAUCUUGCUUAGCUUUAGCCUAAUUGCAAGAUUUGCCAUGUCUAUAAAAUAUAGGGGGAGUGUUGAUCCUAGUAUGUGUGCCGUGCAGUCCAAAGCACUCAUCGAGAUAGCACACAUCUAGGGGGAGCCCGUCUAUAUUUUAGAGACUUGGGGUUUGCCCUUUCUCUUUGCAUUAUACCCUCGUGCAAAUCCCGUGUUGUCAUCAAUCCACCAAAAAGGGGGAGAUUGUAAGGGCAUUUUUAUCCCUUAGUUGGUUUUGGUGAUUGAUGACAAUGCUUUUGCGGACUAAUCAUGUGCAUCAAAUAUUUCAGAUAUAUUGACUAGGCACAAGAUGAUUGGGUUCCCCUCAAAGGCUAUAGAAGACGGCGUUUCUCUUCGGUUCUUUUCGGUGGUAUUGAGUCGUAGGGAAGCCGUACUAUUAAGAGGGGGUCCGCUUUGUAAAGGUUGGGUGGAUUCAUCACGUACACAUCGUCCCUUGCACCUCCUUUCCUCUUCCCUUUGGAGCAUCCUAAGUUUUCCUUGUCUAUGCAAUUAUAGCUCUUGUCUGCCGAACUAGGAAGUGCGGUAGUACUGCUCGUCAGAGCGGUAGUACCGCAGGACCUUGCGGUAGUACCGCCCGCUGGUGCGGUAGUACCGCAAGGCCCCACGGUAGUACCGCUUCUGGUAAGCGGUAGUACCGUGGUCCCUGCUUAGUUCCGCAACUACGCGGCUGUAAGGGGCGGAUGUAAUUUUUUACAUCCGCACCUUGCGCGGUAGUACCGCGGCUGGCUUACGGUACUACCGCGUCGGGUUUUUGCAUCGACUCCAACUCUGCGGAAGUAGCCACGGAUGUAAUUUUUUAUAUCUGUGCCUUCCCAUCCCUGGACAGCCCCUGCCUUGCGGUAGUACCGCAAGGGGGAGUGGUAGUACCGCGCCAACAGUACUACCGCCCUCUGCCUUAGUGCAUGUGUGGUUGUUCUGGUCUCUGCUGCGUGGGCGGUAGUACCGUGUGCCCGUGUGGUAGUACCGCGCCUCAGGUGCGGUAGUACCGCGCUGCGCAGGCUGAGUUGGUGGAUAACGGUUGGAUUUGUUCUUUCCACUAUAUAAGGGGUGUCUUCCUCCUCUAGUUGACUACCUCUUCCACCUCCAAGCUCCAUUGUUGCUCCAAGCUCCAUUCUUGCCCGAUCUCCGUCCCUAGCCAAUCAAACUUGUUGAUUCUCUAGGGAUUGGUUGAGGAGGCCCCGAUCUACACUUCCACCAAGAGAUAUUUGAAUUCCCCCACUAAUCCCUUGUGGAUCUUGUUACUCUUGGGUGUUUGAGCACCCUAGAUGGUUGAGGUCACCGUGGAGCCAUAGUCCAUUGUGGUGAAGCUUCGUGGUGUCGUUGGGAGCCUCCAAUUAAGUUGUGGAGAUUGCCCCAACCUUGUUUGUAAAGGUUCGGUCGCCGCCUCCAAGGGCACCAAUAGUGGAAUCAUGACAUCUCGCAUUGUGUGAGGGCGUGAGGAGAAUACGGUGGUCCUAGUGGCUUCUUGGGGAGCAUUGUGCCUCCACACCGCUCCAACGAAGACGUACUUCCUCUCAAAGGGAAGGAACUUCGGUAACACAUCCUCGUCUUCACCGACUCCACUCUUGGUUAUCUCGUGCCUUUACUUGUGCAAGCUUAUUUGUGCCUUAUCUCUUGCUUGCGUGUGUGCUUAUUGUUGUUGUAUCAAAUAGGUUGCUCACCUAGUUGCAUAUCUAGACAACCUACUUUGAUGCAAAGUUUAAAUUGGUAAAGAAAAGUUAAAAUUUGUUAGUUGCCUAUUCACCCCCCCCCCUCUAGUCAACUAUAUCGAUCCUUUCAGCUUUAGAGACGGCUGCAUUUACGUUAAAUAGGGCACCAUCUAAAUCCGUUGAGACGACACCUUAUGAACUGUGGUUUGGCAAGAAACCCAAAUUGUCGUUUCUUAAAGUUUGGGGCUGCGAUGCUUAUGUGAAAAGCUUCAACCUGAUAAGUUGGAACCCAAAUCGGAGAAAUGUGUCUUCAUAGGAUACCCAAAGGAGAUUGUUGGGUAGACCUUCUAUCACAGAUCCGAAGGCAAGACAUUUGUUGCUAAAAAUGGAUCCUUUCUAGAGAAGGAGUUUCUCUCGAAAGAAGUGAGUGGGAGGAAAGUAGAACUUGAUGAGGUAACUGUACCUGCUCCCUUAUUGGAAAGUAGUUCAUCACAGAAAUCAGUUCCUGUGACUACUACACCAAUUAGUGAGGAAGCUAAUGAUGAUGAUCAUGUAACUUCAGAUCAAGUUACUACUGAACCUCGUAGGUCAACCAGAGUAAGAUCCGCACCAGAGUGGUACGGUAAUCCGGUUCUGGAGGUCAUGUUACUUGACCAUGACGAACCUACGAACUAUGAGGAAGCGCUGAUGAGCCCACAUUCCGCGAAAUGGCUUGAGGCCAUGAAAUCUGAGAUGGGAUCCAUGUAUGGGAACAAAGUGUGGACUUUGGUUGACUUGCCCGAUGAUCGGCAAGCCAUCGGGAAUAAAUGGAUCUUCAAGAAGAAGACUCACGCUGAUGGUAAUGUUACUGUCUACAAAGCUCGACUUGUUGCGAAAGGUUUUCGACAAGUUCAAGGAGUUGACUACGAUGAGACUUUCUCACCUGUAGGGAUGCUUAAGUCCGUCCGAAUCAUGUUAGCAAUUGCUGCAUUUUAUGAUUAUGAAAUUUGGCAAAUGGAUGUAAAGACUGCAUUCCUGAAUGGAUUUCUGGAAGAAGAGUUGUAUAUGAUGCAACCCGAAGGUUUUAUCAAUCCAAAGGAUGCUAACAAAGUGUGAAAGCUCUAGCGAUCCAUUUAUGGACUGGUGCAAGCAUCUCGGAGUUGGAAUAAACGUUUUGAUAGUGUGAUCAAAGCAUAUGGUUUUAUACAGACUUUUGGAGAAGCCUGUAUUUACAAGAAAGUGAGUGGGAGCUCUGUAGCAUUUCUAAUAUUAUAUGUGGAUGACAUAUUGUUGAUUGGAAAUGAUAUAGAAUUUCUAGAUAGCAUAAAAGGAUACUUGAAUAAGAGUUUUUCAAUGAAAGACCUCGGUGAAGCUGCUUAUAUAUUGGGCAUCAAGAUCUAUAGAGAUAGAUCAAGAUGCUUAAUUGUACUUUCACAAAGCACAUACCUUGAUAAAGUUUUGAAGAAGUUCAAAAUGGAUCAAGCAAAUAAAGGGUUCUUGCCCGUGUUACAAGGUGUGAAGUUGAGUCAGACUCAAUGCCCGACCACUGCAGAAGAUAGGGAGAAAAUGAAAGUCAUUCCCUAUGCUUCAGCCAUCGGUUCUAUCAUGUAUGCAAUGUUGUGUACCAGACUUGAUGUGUGUCUUGCUAUUAGUUUAGCAGGGAGGUACCAAAGUAAUCCAGGAGUGGAUCACUGGACAGCGGUCAAGAACAUCCUGAAAUACCUGAAAAGGACUAAGGAUAUGUUUCUCAUUUAUGGAGGUGACGAAGAGCUCGUUGUAAAUGGUUACGUUGAUGCAAGCAUUGACACUGAUCCGGAUGACUCUAAGUCACAAACCGGAUAUGUAUUUAUACUGAACGGUGGAGCUGUCAGUUGGUGCAGUUCUAAGCAAAGCGUCGUGGCGGGAUCUACGUGUGAAGCGGAGUACAUAGCUGCUUCGGAAGCAACAAAUGAAGGAGUCUGGAUGAAGGAGUUCACAUCCGAUCUGGAUGUCAUACCUAGUGCAUCGGGUCCAAUGAAAAUCUUUUGUGACAAUACUGGUGCAAUUGCCUUGGCAAAGGAAUCCAGAUUUCACAAGAGAACCAAGCACAUCAAGAGACGCUUCAAUUCCAUCCGCGAUCAAGUCAAGGAGGGAGACAUAGAGAUUUGCAAGAUACAUACGGAUCUGAAUGUUGCAGACCCGUUGACUAAGCCUCUCUCACGAGCAAAACAUGAUUAGCACCAAGACUCCAUGGGUGUUAGAAUCAUUACUGUGUAAUCUAGAUUAUUGACUCUAGUGCAAGUGGGAGACUGAAGGAAAUAUGCCCUAGAGGCAAUAAUAAAGUUGUUAUUUAUAUUUCCUUAUAUCAUGAUAAAUGUUUCUUAUUCAUGCUAGAAUUGUAUUAACCAGAAACUUAGUACAUGUGUGAAUACAUAGAAAAACAGAGUGUCACUAGUAUGCCUCUACUUGACUAGCUCGUUGAAUCAAAGAUGGUUAAGUUUCCUAGCCAUAGACAUGAGUUUUCAUUUGAUUAACGGGAUCACAUCAUUAGAGAAUGAUGUGAUUGACUUGACCCAUUCCUUUAGCUUAGCACUUGAUCGUUUAGUUUGUUGCUAGUGCUUUCUUCAUGACUUAUACAUGUUCCUAUGACUAUGAGAUUAUGCAACUCCCGAAUACCGGAGGAACACUUAGUGUGCUAUCAAACGUCACAACGUAACUGGGUGAUUAUAAAGACGCUCUACAGGUGUCUCCGAUGGUGUUUGUUGGGUUGGCAUAGAUCGAGAUUAGGAUUUGUCACUCCGUGUUUCGGAGAGGUAUCUCUGGGCCCUCUCGAUAAUGCACAUCACUAUAAGCCUUGCAAGCAAUGUGACUAAUGAGUUAGUCACCGGAUGAUACAUUACGGAACGAGUAAAGAGACUUGCCGGUAACGAGAUUAAACUAGGUAUUGAGAUACCGACGAUCAAAUCUCGGGCAAGUAACAUACCGAUGACAAAGGGAACAACGUAUAUUGUUAUGCGGUUUGACCGAUAAAGAUCUUCGUAGAAUAUGUAGGAACCAAUAUGAGCAUCCAGGUUCUGCUAUUGGUUAUUGACCGGAGAUGAGUCUCGGUCAUGUCUACAUAGUUCUCAAACUCGUAGGGUCCGCACGCUUAACGUUCGGUGACGAUCGGUAUUAUGGUUUUUGUGUUUUGAUGAACCGAAGGUAGUUCGGAGUCCCAGAUGUGAUCACAGACAUGACGAGGAGUCUUGAAAUGGUCGAGACAUAAAGAUUGAUAUAUUGGAUGACUAUAUUCGGACACCGGAUGAGUUCCGAGGGUCACUGGAUAAUUGUCGGAGUGCCGGGGGGUUAUCGGAACCCCCGGGGGAACUAAUGGGUCAACACGGGCCUUGUGAGAGAGAGAGAGAGGAGGGGGCCUUAAGGCUGGCCCCCCCCUUGAGGAGUCUUAAUUGGACAAGGAGGGGGGCGGCGCCCCCUCUUUCCCUCCCUCUCUCCCUCUCCUUCCUUCCCCCUCCUAGUAGGACUAGGAAAGGAGGAAUCCCUACUCCUACUAGGAGGAGGAUUCCUCCCCUCCUUGGCGCGCCUAUAGGGCCGGCCGGCCUUCCCCUUGCUCCUUUAUAUACAGGGGCAGGGGGACACCCUAGAACACACAAGUUGACAGUUGUCUUAGCCGUGUGCGGUGCCCCCCUCCACAGAUUUCCACCUCGGUCAUAUCGUUGUAGUGCUUAGGCGAAGCCCUGCGUCGGUAACUUCAUCAUCACCGUCAUCACGCCAUCGUGUUGACGAAGCUCCCCCUCGAUAUUCAGCUGGAUCUAGAGUUCGUGGGACGUCACCGAGCAGAAUGUGUGCAGAUCGCGGAGGUGCUGUACUUUCGGUGCUAGGAUCGGUCUGAUCGUGAAGACGUACGACUACAUCAACCGCGUUGUCAUAACGCUUCCGCUUUUGGUCUACGAGGGUACGUGGACAACACUCUCCCCUCUCGUUGCUAUGCAUCACCUAGAUGGAUCUUGCGUGUGCGUAGGAAUUUUUUUUAAAUUACUGCGUUCCCCAACACAUGCCCCGUCCAAAAAGUCUGAAUCCUUCCUCAGUACGCCUCGGGCCUCCCUUUAUAUGUCAAAGGGGUUGCCACAACAGCACACAGGAGGUGGAAAGUAUGUAUAGUCUACAAGUCUAUCGCCUGGCACCAUAGGACAAACGCAUUUAAUGCGCUGCCGACGUGCCCUCUUGCUUUAUCGGGGGCGGGAAAGAAGCUUGUCCUGUCCGUCGCCGCCUCGCCUCACUCCGAUGCACGUCCAAGCUGACAAGGCAUGCAGCGCCAUGCUGGCUGGCUGGCUGCUGAGCUUGCGGUGCCAGGGUCUUCACGAAGAUAUGUAUGCCACCACGUAGGUGCUUGGCUAGUUGGCCUAGAAGCUGCAUGCUGCCAUGCAGGCACUCGCCUAGUUGGCGGGCUAGCCGCCACGUCGGAACGGGCGCGAGGCAGCGAAACCUUGGUAGGUGUGGGCCUGACUGCGGCUCUGCAGAUGUCCCCGGCAAGGGUCUUGCCGGGGUCUCGUGGGCGUCCCCGUCAAGAGUCUUGCCGGGGGUCUUCGUCUUCUGGUUCUUAUCUAGUCUUGCAGGCCUUUGGUCUUCACAAAGAUCUGCAUACCACCACACAGGCACCCUCGAGCCUUGGUCCUGACGUUGUCAAUGGUGUCAGAACUCUCAGGCUCAAGGCUGGCGGUCUUGCUGGUGUUGGGCAAGUUGCCCCGGCAAGGCUUUUGCCGGUGCCGCAUAGGCCGCCCCGGCAAGGCUCUUGCCGGGGGAAGCCCAUCUUGCCCCUUUGCUCUUCGCGCUUUUGGCUUGAGCGCUGCUCUGGUAGUCUUGUAUCUUUGCUUCUUCUGCCUCGCCAAGCCCGGCCGCAGGUGCGGCUACAACUGCCCGUGCACAAGUAAAGGGGUACAGAAGGCCCCUACUUUUGUACACUGACAGGAGCCCCCGGGCCUGGGCCACACAUAAGUGUGGAGCGUUGUUGGGCCAGGCCCAGAACGGCGUGCGGGCACGCGUGGCAGAGCUUUAACUGUGGUAACUCCUUCGCCAGUUGCGCUUCCCCACGACCCGCAUUGAGUGCAUGACGUGGGGGUCGUGCAUGGGACGGUUUGGAGGGGACACUUUCGGAGGUUAGGGCUUGUGGAGCGAUGACGCCGCCGCCCACAAGGAUUACGUGAAGAGCGUAAACCUCUAGAUCGGCCGCCUCGUCGUCGUCGCGGAGAAGCUCACCACCCAGCUAGCCGACAUAGGCAUGCCGGACGUCAGGUUCUCCCAGGAGACGAACGUGAGCCCCAACGCCAGGCUGACCUUGUUCUUUGAGCGCAUCCUCGAUGCCCUGGAGCAGCUCCGCUCCAACCGAGUAGCUUAUCUCGCCAAUGAGGCUCGGAAGCUCUGCUGGGGCGCCCUGACCAAGGUGCUCACCAAGGUGGCAUUCUGGAACCCCAGCGUCGACUUCGCCGACGCAUUGGAGAGCUUGCCGGAGGAUGCGGACCUCACGGCGCUCGAGGAGCGUAUCGAGCCCAUCAUCAGCUGCGUCGACGGAGUCAAGAGAGUGGAGGGCCAGCGCCGGGACUAGGCACCCCGUUUCUCAUCGCCACUGCGAGUUCAUGACCAAGACAAUUUUAUCUUAAGUUAGAACUGCAGCAACUUAUUGAUGUAAUAUAACUCUGUAGUACUUUGAAAUGAAGCAUGCUAUCUUCCUGUUCGAUCUUUCCUUGUAUGUACACAUCCUACGCCUAGUUGGAUAGGUUUGCCGACGCGUAAACCCAUGUUGUGGCGCUUUGAGGAAGGAUCCUUAAAAGCCUGCCGGGGGGCGCUUGCUGCCGGGCAAGCCACCUUGCCGUUCUCAGCGCGGCCGCUUGAACUGUUGAGCGGACUCGAAACAGAACAAGGGCGUUGCCAAUAGCGGAAGGGUUCCAUUGCUUACAGGUUUUCCAUACAAGUUUCAAGAUCUUUCGAGGAAAAUAACCCUACAAAAAGGAAAUUACUCAAGGUUUUGCGUGACUUAGCUUUUCCGUCGUCACGUGGAUGAUUGUCGCGGCUGCGGACGGUACCGGAGUGUGGCUGAUCGACGUCGCCUUCUCCUCUCGAUCCAUCCCGAUGAGGGAGUCGAUGUGUUGGCUUCAAAACCGGAUUAUCAUAGCUUCAGCGCUCCCCCUACCUGGCGCGCCAAAGAUUUCGGGGGAAACGACACCUAUGGGAUCACAGGGAAUCCCUACUACGGUCGGUGGGGCGUGGGGCUGUGCAAAGAGCGGGUCUAGAAGAUCAACAUGGGGGAAUUUUUACCCAGGUUCGGGCCGCAAACGAUGCGUAAAACCCUAGUCCUGCUUUGUGUGUAUUUAGUGUUCUUGAGCUCUUGAACUAGCUGCGGUGCAUGCCCAGUCCAAAAAGUCUGCAUCCUGCCUCAGUACGCCUUGGGCCUCCUUUUAUAUGCAAAGGGGUUGCCACAUCGGCACACAGGAGGUGGAAAGUAUGUACAGUGUACAAGUCUAUCGCCUGGCACCAUAGGACAAAUGCAUUUAAUGCGCUGCCAACGUGCCCUCUUGCUUUAUCGGGGGCGGCAAAGAAGCUCGUCCCGUCCGUCGCCGCCUCGCAUCGCUCCGGCGCGCGUCCAAGAUGACGAGGCAUGUAGCUCCACGCUGGCUGGCUGGCUGCUGAGCUGGUGCAGUGGCAGGGUCUUCACGAGGAUCUGUAUGCCACCACGCAGGUGCUUGGCUAGUUGGCCUAGAAGAUGCAUGCUGCCACGUAGGCGCUCGCCUAGUUGGCGGGCUGGCCGCCACGUCGGAACGGGCGCGGGCAGCGAAACCUUGGUAGGUGUGGGCCUGACUGCAGCUCUGCAGAUGUCCCCGACAAGGGUCUUGCCGGGGCCCCGGCAAGGUGAUACGUCUCAAACGUAUCUAUAAUUUUGUAUUGUUCCAUGCUAUUAUAUUACCUGUUUUGGAUGUUUAUGGGCUUUACUUUACACUUUUAUAUCAUUUUUGGGACUAACCUACUAACCGGAGGCCCAGCCCGAAUUGCUAUUUUUUUUGCCUAUUUCAGUGUUUCGAAGGAAAGGAAUAUCAAACGGAGUCCAAACGGAAUGAAACCUUCGGGAGAGAUCUUUUUGGAACAAACGCGAUCCAGGGGACUUGGAGUGGACGUCAAGCAACAGAGGAGGCGGCCACGAGGGUGCCCGGUGCGCCCCCUAUAGGUGGACGCGCCCCCACCCUCGUGGGCCCCUCGAGCGUCCACCGACCUACUUCUUCCUCCUAUAUAUACCCACGUACCCUGAAACCUUCGGGGAGCACCACGAAAAAUUAUUUCCACCGCCGUAACCUUCUGUAUCCGCGAGAUCCCAUCUUGGAGCCUUCGCCGGCGCUCCGCCGGAGGGGGAAUCAACCACGGAGGGCCUCUACAUCUUCUCCAAGGCCUCUCUGAUGAGUCGUGAGUAGUUUACCACAGACCUUCGGGUCCAUAGUUAUUAGCUAGAUGGCUUCUUCUCUCUAUUUGAAUCUCAAUACAAAGUUCUCCUCGAUCUUCUUGGAGAUCUAUCCGAUGUAACUCUUUUUGCGGUGUGUUUGUCAAGAUCUGAUGAAUUGUGGGUUUAUGAUCAAGUUUAUCUAUGAGAAAUAUUUGAAUCUCCUCUGAAUUCUUUUAUGUAUGAUUAAGUUAUCUUUGCAAGUCUCUUCGAAUUAUCAGUUUGGUUUGGCCUACUAGAUUGAUCUUUCUUGCAAUGGGAGAAGUGCUUAGCUUUGGGUUCAAUCUUGCAGUGUCCUUUCCCAGUGACAGCAGGGGCAGCAAGGCACGUAUUGUAUUGUUGCCAUCGAGGAUAAAAAGAUGGGGUUUAUAUCAUAUAGCAUGAGUUUUUCCCUCUACAUCAUGUCAUCUUUCUUAAUGCGUUACUCUGUUCUUAUGAACUUAAUACUCUAGAUGCAUGCUGGAUAGCGGUCGGUGUGUGGAGUAAUAGUAGUAGAUGUAGAAUCAUUUCAGUCUACUUGUCACGGACGUGAUUACUAUAUACAUGAUCAUGCCUAGAUAAUCUCAUAAUUAUUCGCUUUUCUAUCAAUUGCUCGACAGUAAUUUCUGUUGGAAAUAUGCCCUAGAGGCAAUAAUAAAAUGGUUAUUAUUAUAUUUCCUUGUUCAUGAUAAUUGUCUAUUGUUCAUGUUAUAAUUGUGUUAUCCGGAAAUCGUAAUACAUGUGUGAAUACAUAGACCACAACAUGUCCCUAGUAAGCCUCUAGUUGACUAGCUCGUUGAUCAACAGAUAGUCAUGGUUUCCUGAAUAUGGACAUUGGAUGUCAUUGAUAACGGGAUCACAUCAUUAGGAGAAUGAUGUGAUGGACAAGACCCAAUCCUAAGCAUAGCAUAAAGAUCGUGUAGUUCGUUUGCUAGAGCUUUUCCAAUGUCAAGUAUCUUUUCCUUAGACCAUGAGAUCGUGUAACUCCCGGAUGCCAUCAGAGUGCUUUGUGUGUACCAAACGUCACAACGUAACUGGGUGACUAUAAAGGUGCACUAUGGGUAUCUCCGAAAGUGUCUGUUGGGUUGGCACGGAUCGAGACUGGGAUUUGUCACUCUGUAUGACGGAGAGGUAUCUCUGGGCCCACUCGGUAAUGCAUCAUCAUAAUGAGCUCAAUGUGACUAAGGAGUUAGCCACGGGAUCAUGCAUUACGGUACGAGUAAAGUGACUUGCCGGUAACGAGAUUGAACAAGGUAUUGGGAUACCGACGAUCGAAUCUCGGGCAAGUAACGUACCGAUUGACAAAGGGAAUUGUAUACGGGAUUGAUUGAAUCCUCGACAUCGUGGUUCAUCCGAUGAGAUCAUCGUGGAACAUGUAGGAGCCAACAUGGGUAUCCAGAUCCCGCUGUUGGUUAUUGACCGGAGAGGCGUCUCGGUCAUGUCUGCAUGUCUCCCGAACCCGUAGGGUCUACACACUUAAGGUUCGGUGACGCUAGGGUUGUAGAGAUAUUAGUAUGCGGAAACCCGAAAGUCCCGGAUGAGAUCCCGGACGUCACGAGGAGUUCCGGAAUGGUCCGGAGGUGAAGAAUUAUAUAUAGGAAGUCCAGUUUCGGCCACCGGGAAAGUUUCGGGGGUUAUCGGUAUUGUACCGGGACCACCGGAAGGGUCCCGGGGGUCCACCAGGUGGGGCCACCUGUCCCGGAGGGCCCCAUGGGCUGAAGUGGGAGGGGAACCAGCCCCUAGUGGGCUGGGGCGCCCCCCUUGGGCCUCCCCCUGCGCCUAGGGUUGGAAACCCUAGGGGUGGGGGCGCCCCACUUGGCUUGGGGGGCAAGCCACCCCCCUUGGCCGCCGCCCCCCUCAGAUGGGAUCUCCAGGGGGCCGGCGCCCCCCAGGGCCCCUAUAAAUAGUGGGGGGAGGGAGGGCAGCAGCACCACAGCCCCUGGUGCCUCCCUCCCCCCUGCAACACCUCUCCCUCCCGCUUGCGCUUGGCGAAGCCCUGCCGGGAUCCCCGCUACUUCCACCACCACACCGUCGUGCUGCUGGAUCUCCAUCAACCUCUCCUUCCCCCUUGCUGGAUCAAGAAGGAGGAGACGUUGCUGCUCCGUACGUGUGUUGAACGCGGAGGUGCCGUCCGUUCGGCGCUCGGUCAUCGGUGAUUUGGAUCACGACGAGUACGACUCCAUCAACCCCGUUCACUUGAACGCUUCCGCUCGCGAUCUACAAGGGUAUGUAGAUGCACUCCUUUCCCCUCGUUGCUAGUAAACUCCAUAGAUGGAUCUUGGUGAUGCGUAGAAAAUUUUAAAAUUCUGCUACGUUUCCCAACAGUGGCAUCAUGAGCAGGCCUAUGCGUAGUUACUAUGCACGAGUAGAACACAAAGCAGUUGUGGGCGUAGAUGUUGUCAAUUUUUCUUGCCACUACUAGUCUUAUCUUGUUUCGGCGGUAUUGUGGGAUGAAGCGGCCCGGACCGACCUUACACGUACGCUUACGUGAGACAGGUUCCACCGACUGACAUGCACUAGUUGCAUAAGGUGGCUAGCGGGUGUCUGUCUCUCCCACUUUAGUCGGAACGGAUUCGAUGAAAAGGGUCCUUAUGAAGGGUAAAUAGAAAUUGGCAUAUCACGUUGUGGUUUUACGUAGGUAAGAAACGUUCUUGCUAGAAACCUAUAGAAGCCACGUAAAAACUUGCAACAACAAUUAGAGGACGUCUAACUUGUUUUUGCAGCAUAUGCUUAGUGAUGUGAUAUGGCCAGAAGAUGUGAUGAAUGAUAUAUGUGAUGUAUGAAAUUGAUCAUUUUCUUGUAAUAGGAAUCACGACUUGCAUGUCGAUGAGUAUGACAACCGGCAGGAGCCAUAGGAGUUGUCUUUAUUUUUUGUAUGACCUGCGUGUCAUUGAAUAACGCCAUGUAAAUUACUUUACUUUAUUGCUAAACGCGUUAGCCAUAGAAGUAGAAGUAAUCGUUGGCGUGACGACUUCAUGAAGACACGAUGAUGGAGAUCAUGAUUAUGGAGAUCAUGGUGUCAUGCCGGUGACGAAGAUGAUCAUGGCGCCCCGAAGAUGGAGAUCAAAGGAGCAAAAUGAUAUUGGCCAUAUCAUGUCACUAUUUGAUUACAUGUGAUGUUUAUCAUAUUUUGCAUCUUAUUUGCUUAGAACGACGGUAGUAAGUAAGAUGAUCCCUUAUAAUGAUUUCAAGAAAGUGUUCCCCCUAACUGUGCACCGUUGCGAAGGUUCGUUGUUUCGAAGCACCACGUGAUGAUCGGGUGUGAUAGAUUCUAACGUUCGCAUACAACGGGUGUUGACGAGCCUAGCAUGUACAGACAUGGCCUCGGAACACACGCAAUACACUUAGGUUGACUUGACGAGCCUAGCAUGUACAGACAUGGCCUCGGAACACGGAAGACCGAAAGGUCGAGCAUGAGUCGUAUAGAAGAUACGAUCAACAUGGAGAUGUUCACCGAUCUUGACUAGUCCGUCUCACGUGAUGAUCGGACACGGCCUAGUUAACUCGGAUCAUGUUUCACUUAGAUGACUGGAGGGAUGUCUAUCUGAGUGGGAGUUCAUUGAAUAAUUUGAUUAGAUGAACUUAAUUAUCACGAACUUAGUCUAAAAUCUUUAAAAUAUGUCUUGUAUAUCAAAUGGCCCACGUUGCCCUCAACUUCAACGCGUUCCUAGAGAAAACCAAGCUGAAAGAUGAUGGCAGCAACUAUACGGACUGGGUCCGGAACCUGAGGAUCAUCCUCAUAGCUGCCAAGAAAGAUUAUGUCCUAGAAGCACCGCUAGGUGACGCACCCAUCCCAGAGAACCAAGACGUUAUGAACGCUUGGCAAUCACGUGCUGAUGAUUACUCCCUCGUUCAGUGUGGCAUGCUUUACAGCUUAGAACCGGGGCUCCAAAAGCGUUUUGAGAAACAUGGAGCAUAUGAGAUGUUCGAAGAGCUGAAAAUGGUUUUCCAAGCUCAUGCCCGGGUCGAGAGAUAUGAAGUCUCCGACAAGUUGUUCAGUUGUAAAAUGGAGGAAAAUAGUUCUGUCAGUGAGCACAUACUCAGAAUGUCUGGGUUACACAACCGCUUGUCUCAGCUGGGUUAAUCUCUCGGAUGACGCGGUCAUUGACAGAAUCCUUCAGUCGCUUCCACCAAGCUACAAGAGCUUUGUGAUGAACUUCAAUAUGCAGGGGAUGGAAAAGACCAUUCCUGAGGUAUAUUCAAUGCUGAAAUCAGCGGAGGUGGAGAUCAAAAAGGAACAUCAAGUGUUGAUGGUGAAUAAAACCACUAAGUUCAAGAAAGGCAAGGGUAAGAAGAACUUCAAGAAAGACGGCAAGGGAGUUGCCGCGCCUGGUAAGCCAGUUGCCGGGAAGAAGCCAAGGAAUGGACCCAAGCCUGAGACUGAGUGCUUUUAUUGCAAGGGAAGUGGUCACUGGAAGCGGAACUGCCCCAAAUACUUAGCGGACAAGAAGGCCGGCAACACCAAAGGUAUAUGUGAUAUACAUGUAAUUGAUGUGUACCUUACCAGUACUCGUAGUAGCUCCUGGGUAUUUGAUACCGGUGCGGUUGCUCAUAUUUGUAACUCAAAACAGGAGCUGCGGAAUAAGCGGAGACUGGCGAAGGACGAGGUGACGAUGCGCGUCGGGAAUGGUUCCAAGGUCGAUGUGAUCGCCGUCGGCAUGCUACCUCUGCAUUUACCUACGGGAUUAGUUUUAAACCUCAAUAAUUGUUAUUUAGUGCCAGCUUUGAGCCUGAACAUUGUAUCUGGAUCUCGUUUAAUUCGAGAUGGCUACUCAUUUAAAUCCGAGAAUAAUUGGUUGUUCUAUUUAUAUGAGAGAUAUGUUUUAUGGUCAUGCCCCGUCAAUGGUUUAUUCUUGAUGAAUCUCGAACGUGAUGUUACACAUAUUCAUAGUGUGAAUACCAAAAGAUGUAAAGUUGAUAACGAUAGUCCCACAUACUUGUGGCACUGCCGCCUUGGUCACAUUGGUGUCAAACGCAUGAAGAAGCUCCAUGCAGAUGGACUUUUGGAGUCUCUUGAUUACGAAUCAUUUGACACGUGCGAACCAUGCCUCAUGGGUAAGAUGACCAAGACUCCGUUCUCCGGAACAAUGGAGCGAGCAACCAACUUAUUGGAAAUCAUACAUACUGAUGUGUGCGGUCCAAUGAGUGUUGAGGCUCGCGGUGGCUAUCGUUAUGUUCUCACUCUCACUGAUGAUUUAAGUAGAUAUGGGUAUGUCUACCUAAUGAAACACAAGUCUGGAACCUUUGAAAAGUUCAAGGAAUUUCAGAGUGAGGUUGAGAAUCAACGUGACAGGAAAAUAAAGUUCCUGCGAUCAGAUCGUGGAGGGGAAUAUUUAAGUCACGAAUUUGGCACACACUUAAGGAAAUGUGGAAUCGUUUCACAACUGACGCCGCCUGGAACACCUCAGUGUGAGGUUGAGAAUCAACGUGACAGGAAAAUAAAGUUCCUGCGAUCAGAUCGUGGAGGGGAAUAUUUAAGUCACGAAUUUGGCACACACUUAAGGAAAUGUGGAAUCGUUUCACAACUGACGCCGCCUGGAACACCUCAGCGAAAUGGUGUGUCCAAACGUCGUAAUCGCACUCUAUUGGAUAUGGUGCGAUCUAUGAUGUCUCUUACUGAUCUACCGCUCCCAUUUUGGGGCUAUGCUUUAGAGACUGCCGCAUUCACUUUAAAUAGGGCUCCGUCGAAAUCCGUUGAGACGACACCGCAUGAAUUAUGGUUUGGGAAGAAACCUAAGCUGUCGUUUCUAAAAGUUUGGGGAUGUGACGCUUAUGUCAAGAAACUUCAACCUGAAAAGCUCAUACCCAAGUCGGAAAAAUGCGUCUUCAUAGGAUACCCUAAGGAAACCAUUGGGUAUACCUUCUACCUCAGAUCCGAAGGCAAGAUCUUUGUUGCCAAGAACGGGUCCUUUCUGGAGAAAGAGUUUCUCUCGAAAGAAUUGAGUGGGAGGAAAGUGGAACUUGAUGAGGUGAUAGUCACCCCUUCCGAACCGGAAAGUAGCGCAGCGCGGGAAGAUGUUCCUGUGGUGCCUGCACCGACUAGGGAGGAAGUUAAUGAUGAUGAUCAUGAAGCUUCGGAUCAAGUUACUGCUGAACUUCGUAGGUCCACAAGGACACGUUCCGCACCAGAGUGGUACGGCAACCCUGUCCUGGAAAUCAUGUUGUUAGACAACGGUGAACCUUCGAACUAUGAAGAAGCGAUGGCGGGCCCAGAUUCCAACAAAUGGCUUGAAGCCGUGCAAUCCGAGAUAGGAUCCAUGUAUGAAAACGAAGCAUGGACUUUGACUGACUUGCCCGAUGAUCGACGAGCCAUAGAAAAUAAAUGGAUCUUUAAGAAGAAGACAGACGCGGAUGGUAAUGUGACCAUCUAUGAGGCUCGACUUGUUGCUAAGGGUUAUCGACAAGUUCAAGGGGUUGACUACGAUGAGACUUUCUCACCCGUAGCGAAGCUGAAGUCCGUCCGAAUUAUGUUAGCAAUUGCCGCAUUCUAUGAUUAUGAGAUAUGGCAAAUGGACGUCAAAACGGCAUUCCUUAACGGCUUUCUUAAGGAAGAAUUGUAUAUGAUGCAGCCGGAAGGUUUUGUCGAUCCUAAGAAUGCUAACAAGGUAUGCAAGCUCCAGCGCUCCAUCUAUGGGCUGGUGCAAGCAUCUCGGAGUUGGAACAUUCGAUUUGAUGAGAUGAUCAAAGCGUUUGGGUUUACACAGACUUAUGGAGAAGCCUGUGUUUACAAGAAAGUGAGUGGGAGCUCUGUAGCAUUUCUCAUAUUAUAUGUGGAUGACAUACUAUUGAUGGGAAAUGAUAUAGAAUUCUUGGAAAGUAUAAAGGCCUACUUGAAUAAGUGUUUUUCAAUGAAGGACCUUGGAGAAGCUGCUUAUAUAUUAGGCAUCAAGAUCUAUAGAGAUAGAUCAAGACGCCUCAUUGGUCUUUCACAGAGUAAGUACCUUGCCAAGAUAUUGAAGAAGUUCAAUAUGGAUCAGUCCAAGAAGGGGUUCUUGCCUGUAUUGCAAGGUGUGCAAUUGAGCACGGCUCAAUGCCCGACCACGGCAGAAGAUAGAGAAAAGAUGAGUGUCAUCCCCUAUGCCUCGGCCAUAGGGUCUAUUAUGUAUGCCAUGCUGUGUACCAGACCUGAUGUAAACCUUGCCGUAAGUUUGGUAGGAAGGUACCAAAGUAAUCCCGGCAUGGAACAUUGGACAACGGUCAAGAAUAUCCUGAAGUACCUGAAAAUGACUAAGGAUAUGUUUCUCGUAUAUGGAGGUGACGAAGAGCUCGUCGUAAAGGGUUACGUCGACGCUAGCUUCGACACAGAUCUGGAUGACUCUAAGUCACAAACCGGAUACGUGUAUAUUUUGAAUGGAGGGGCAGUAAGCUGGUGCAGUUGCAAGCAAAGCGUCGUGGCGGGAUCUACAUGUGAAGCGGAGUACAUGGCGGCCUCAGAGGCAGCACAGGAAGCAAUCUGGAUAAAGGAGUUCAUUACCGACCUAGGGGUGAUUCCCAAUGCGUCGGGCCCGAUGACUCUCUUCUGUGACAACACUGGAGCUAUUGCCCUUACCAAGGAGCCCAGGUUUCACAGGAAAACCAGGCAUAUCAAGCGUCGCUUCAACUCCAUUCGUGAAAGUAUUCAAAAUGGAGACAUAGAUAUUUGUAAAGUACAUACGGACCUGAAUGUAGCAGAUCCGUUAACUAAACCUCUCCCUAGAGCAAAACAUGAUCAACACCAGAACUCUAUGGGUGUUCGAUUCAUCACAAUGUAACUAGAUUAUUGACUCUGGUGCAAGUGGGAGACUAUUGGAAAUAUGCCCUAGAGGCAAUAAUAAAAUGGUUAUUAUUAUAUUUCCUUGUUCAUGAUAAUUGUCUAUUGUUCAUGCUAUAAUUGUGUUAUCCGGAAAUCGUAAUACAUGUGUGAAUACAUAGACCACGACGUGUCCCUAGUAAGCCUCUAGUUGACUAGCUCGUUGAUCAACAGAUAGUCAUGGUUUCCUGACUAUGGACAUUGGAUGUCAUUGAUAACGGGAUCACAUCAUUAGGAGAAUGAUGUGAUGGACAAGACCCAAUCCUAAGCAUAGCAUAAAGAUCGUGUAGUUCGUUUGCUAGAGCUUUUCCAAUGUCAAGUAUCUUUUCCUUAGACCAUGAGAUUGUGUAACUCCCGGAUGCCGUAAGAGUGCUUUGGGUGUACCAAACGUCACAACGUAACUGGGUGACUAUAAAGGUGCACUACGGGUACCUUCGAAAGUGUCUGUUGGGUUGGCACGGAUCGAGACAGGGAUUUGUCACUCCGUAUGACGGAGAGGUAUCUCUGGGCCCACUCGGUAAUGCAUCAUCAUAAUGAGCUCAAUGUGACUAAGGAGUUAGCCACGGGAUCAUGCAUUACGGUACGAGUAAAGUGACUUGCCGGUAACGAGAUUGAACAAGGUAUUGGGAUACCGACGAUCUAAUCUCGGGCAAGUAACGUACCGAUUGACAAAGGGAAUUGUAUACGGGAUUGAUUGAAUCCUUGACAUCGUGGUUCAUCCGAUGAGAUCAUCGUGGAACAUGUAGGAGCCAACAUGGGAAUCCAGAUCCCGCUGUUGGUUAUUGACCGGAGAGGCGUCUCGGUCAUGUCUGCAUGUCUCCCGAACCCGUAGGGUCUACACACUUAAGGUUCGAUGAUGCUAGGGUUGUAGAGAUAUUAGUAUGUGGAAACCCGAAAGUCCCGGAUGAGAUCCCGGACGUCACGAGGAGUUCCAGAAUGGUCCGGAGGUGAAGAAUUAUAUAUAGGAAGUCCAGUUUCGGCCACCGGGAAAGUUUCAGGGGUUAUCGGUAUUGUACCGGGACCACCAGAAGGGUCCCGGGGGUCCACCGGGUGGGGCCACCUGUCCCGGAGGGCCCCAUGGGCUGAAGUGGGAGGGGAACCAGCCCCUAGUGGGCUGGGGCGCCCCCCUUGGGCCUCCCCCUGCGCCUAGGGUUGGAAACCCUAGGGGUGGGGGCGCCCCACUUGGCUUGGGGGGCAAGCCACCCCCGUUGGCCGCCGCCCCCCCCCCUCAGAUGGGAUCUACAGGGGGCCGGCGCCCCCCAGGGCCCCUAUAAAUAGUGGGGGGAGGGAGGGCAGCAGCACCACAGCCCUUGGCGCCUCCCUCCCCCCUGCAACACCUCUCCCUCCCGCUUGCGCUUGGCGAAGCCCUGCCGGGAUCCCCGCUACUUCCACCACCACGCCGUCGUGCUGCUGGAUCUCCAUCAACCUCUCCUUCCCCCUUGCUGGAUCAAGAAGGAGGAGACGUUGCUGCUCCGUACGUGUGUUGAACGCGGAGGUGCCGUCCGUUCGGCGCUCGGUCAUCGGUGAUUUGGAUCACGACGAGUACGACUCCGUCAACCCCGUUCACUUGAACGCUUCCGCUCGCGAUCUACAAGGGUAUGUAGAUGCACUCCUUUCCCCUCGUUGCUAGUAAACUCCAUAGAUGGAUCUUGGUGAUGCGUAGAAAAUUUUAAAAUUCUGCUACGUUUCCCAACAAUUUGUUCACCCACCAUAAUACUUAUGCUAUCUUGAGAGAAGCCACUAGUGAAACCUAUGGCCCCCGGGUCUAUCUUUUAUAAUAUAAGCUUUCAAUCUACUUUUAUUUGCAUCUUUUACAUUUCCAGUCUAUAUCAUAAAAAUACCAAAAAUAUUUAUCUUAUCAUAUUAUCUCUAUCAGAUCUCACUUUUGCAAGUGGCCGUGAAGGGAUUGACAACCCCUUUAUUGCGUUGGUUGUGAGUUCUUGUUUGUUUGUGUAGGUGCGUGGGACUUUUGAGGAGCCUCCUACUGGAUUGAUACCUUGGUUCUCAAAAACUGAGGGAAAUACUUACGCUACUUUGCUGCAUCACCCUUUCCUCUUCAAGGAAAACCAACGCAAGCUCAAGACGUAGCACAAGGGUCUUGCCGGGGUCUCGUGGGCGUCCCCGACAAGAGUCUUGCCGGGGGUCUUCGUCUUCUAGUUCUUAUCUAGUCUUACAGGACUUUGGUCUUCACAAAGAUCUGCAUGCCACCACGCAGGCGCCCCCGAGCCUUGGUCCUGACGUUCUCAAUGGUGUCAGAACUCUCAGGCUCAAGGGUGGCGGUCUUGCUGGUGUUGGGCAAUUUGCCCCAGCAAGGCUUUUGCCGGGGCCGCAUAGGCCGCCCCAGCAAGGCUCUUGCCGGGGGAAGCCCAUCUUGCCCCUUUGCUCUUCGCGCCUCUAGCUUGAGCGCUGCUCUGGUAGUUUUGUAUCUUUGCUUCUUCUGCCUCGCCAAGCCCGGCCGCAGGUGCGGCUACGACUGCCUAUGCACAAGUAAAGGGGUACAGAAGGCCCCUACUUUUGUACACCGACACAGGCCCCCCAAUCUUGCCUCGGUUGGGAGAUGCAAAAUCAAGUGCUACAUUUCAUUAAAGAAGCCCGGCGGAAAGAUCUUCUCUAACUUGUAGAUCAACUCCGACGCCAACUCUUCCAUUUCUUCUAGCAGGCCAGGCGAUAGUUCUUCCGCACAAAGAACACGGAAGAAAUAGCUCAGCUCUGCCAGUACUAGCCAUUCAUCCUCAGGGAUGAAUCCAUGCAACAUCACCGGCAUUACCCACUCAAUCCAUAUGUGCCAAUCAUGACUCUUGAGACCAAAUAUCUUCAAUUUAUCAAGACUCGCUCCCCUCUUUAGAUUCGCUGCAUACCCAUCAGGGAACAUCAACUGCUGUUGCACCCACAAGAUAAUUUCCCUCAUAGCUGGCCUUCCAAGAUUAAACCAUGCCUUUGGCUUCGUCCAGUUCUGCUUUCCUUUCGGUUCUUUCAUGUUUUGUAACGGACUAUCACAUAGCGCCUCCAGAUUGACUCUAGCCUUAGUAUUAUCCUUUGACUUCCCAUCUAUGCCGAAACAAUGUACCAAAAAGUGCCUCAGCGAUAUUCUUCUCAGUGUGCAUCACGUCGAUGUUGUGUGGGCAAAGGAGGUCUUUGAAGUAAGGCAGAUCCCACAAGUAUGUCUUGUGAGUCCAGGCGUGUUUCAAAUUAUACCCCUUGAAAUACCCUGGACGCUCUGGAUCUGGCUCGAGAGCGUUUAACUGAUCCAGGGUCUCUUGGCCUGUCAACGGAGGUGGUGCAGGGUUUUUGACAACUCUACCUCUGAUGAAGUUCUUGUUGUCUUUCCUGAACUUAUGGCGAGGAUCCAGGAACUGCCUAUGCAUGUCGAAGCAAGAAAACUUGUGACCGGCCUAAAGCCAACGAAACUCAAGAGCUCCCUUGCAUGUGGGGCACGGGAACCUUCCAUGCACACACCAACCAACGAAUAGCGCAUACGCUGGCAAGUCAUGCGUCGAGUACAUGUACCAGACACGCAUUAUGAAGUUCCGUUUGCUAAAGGCGUCGUAUGUCUUGAACCCAUUAUCCCAGGCUUCUUGCAAUUCGUCCUUCAGCGGCUGCAUGUACACAUUCAUAUUCUUCCCCGGAUGGUUGGGCCCUGUAAUUAUCAAUGUCAGGAAAAUGUUCUUUCUUUGCAUAAUCUGUCCGGGGGGAGAUUGAGUGGAAAGACAAAUACGGGCCAACAACUGUAUUGGGCUACCGUCAGACCAAACACACUGAACCCAUCCGUGCUGAUGCCGACUCGAGGAUGCCUCGGAUCUGCCGCUUUGUCAUCAUGUAAUGCAUCGAAGCUCUUCCAUGCUUGACCGUCCCAUGUGUGCACCAUCAUCAGCUUCCCAUCUGCAUGUAGUUGGGUUCUUUUGCCCGUUUUGUGCCAUUUCAUCUAUCUGGCCGUCUCUUCGACCAUGAAAAGACAUUGAAGUCUUGGUACGAUUGGCAUAACCGAAGAACAUUAAUGGGGAUUUUGGUCUGCGUCUUCUCACCCAUACCAUUGUCUACUACAACAUACUUGGAUGACUUGCAAAUGGGACAAUAGUUCAAGUCCGCAUACUGAAGCCUAAAUAAGGCACAUCCUUUCUCACAGGCAUGUAUCUUCUCAUAGGGCAUCUUAAGAGCAUGGAGGAUUUUGUCUUACUGGUACAGGUUUGCAGGUAGUGCAUGGCCUUUGGGUAGAAAACAUCCAAAUAUUGUCAUCAUUGUGUCAUAGCAUUCUCUGCCCAAGUUGAAUUGAGCCUUCAGAGCCAUUAUUUGUGAUAUGGCAUCCAGCUGACAAAACUCGGUGUGCUUGUGAAGAGGACGUUUUGAAGACUCCAACAUUUCAUUGAAGGCCUUUGCAGAUUCCUCCAUCUCAUCGUCCGAGUCCUGAGCAUCAUCAAAGUCUUGCACCAUGUCUUGCAUCCCGGUACCAUGCUCGUCAGUGCGACGACGAAGCACCUCAGCUCUGGCAUGUUGGGCAGACUCGCCAUGAAAUGUCCACACUGUAUAAUCUGGCGUAAAACCCCACUUCUGCAGGUGUUUUCCCAUUUCAUCCUCUGUCCUCUUGUGCCAAUUGUUGCACCCGGCACAGCGGCACCAUGUUGUCCUCUGGCCAUUUGCAAAUGCGGCUCUCAGAAACCCCUUGGUUUUUGUUAACCAUUCAAUGAUCAUGUCUUUCUGACUAGUGUGACCGGUGUCCAUCCACGCACGAUCAGUCAUCUUGCCUAGCUACUGGACACAUAAGAAAUAUAUAUAUAUAUAUAUAUAUAUAUAUAUAUAUAUAUAUAUAAAUCAACAUGUAUAUAUUCAUCAGUUAAUGGAGUUUGUCACUUUUAUUAUGUCCAUGCAACCUAGACGCUAAUAGGUAAAAGAUAGGUCCUAAUCCCACCCGAGUAUGUGUAGAUUGUGUUUGUUUUCCCAUGCUCUACUCUGGAUCCGACGCAAAAUUUAGGAAGCACCUCCCCGCUGUUCUCCUGAUACACGUCUCGGCAAUAAGCAGAGAGGAUGUGUACCCAGAGAACAACAAGGAGGCACUAACGAAAUUCUGCAUCGGAUCCGGAGCAGAGCAUAUGGGAAAACGAACCCAAUCUACACAUACUCGGGCUGUCCAUGGAUAAAGUGGGACAAUUCGAAAGAAUCACGGUUAUAAUAUGCAAAUGCAUGCAUAUUUAUAGAUGUAACCCUUUCGAACGGGAGACGCAUAGUGGUCACGCAUACUGAUGAUUGAAGACCUAUAGCUAGCAAGUUUCAUCGGCACAAAGACCGGAAUAGAGCAAAUCAAGGGGGGAGGAGAUGCCAUUUGUGCUAAUCCACAAACGCAGGGGCGGAGCUCGUCGAACACUAGACCCUCGCAGCGACGAAAAAACUGCACAUUUAAAUCGAAAGAUGAGUUUCAUAGCAAUAUUGUUUUUUCCGUCAACCUAACUAAAUAUUUACAACAGGGCGAGCGGGUUAGGGGUUCCUCGGCGUCGAUAGAACCCUAAAUAGCAAGUAUCAUCGGUGCAAGAUACAUGAGGCGCUCGGUGUUGAACACUAGAUCCACGUCCCACAAGUGACGCUGGCGCCCGGCGUCCUGCAACAAUAGUUCUGGUGGCCGAUGACGGUCGAACACCUUGGCAAAUUUGUCUGGCAGCCUCUGCGAUGAGGAUUAAUGCCAAGUAUUGAAAUUUCAAACAACCAAACCGACUUGAGUCAGUUUGGGUGUUUCAAGUUUCAACACUUAGCUUUCAAUCGUCAUCUCAGAGGCUGCCAGACAAAUUCGCAAUGGUAUUCGACCGCCAUCGACGCCGAGAACUGUUGAUGCGGGAUGCAGGACCCCUGUGUCACUUGUGGGACGUGGAUGUAGUAUUCGACACUGACGACCACAUGUAUCUCGCACUGACGAUACCUGCUAUUUAGGGUACCAUCGACACCGAGGAACCCCCUAACCCACUCGUCCCCGGGUAAACUAAAUUAGCAUGCAUUCAAUAAUAAAAACUACAUCAUCUCUUGCAUCCGUACAUCGUAGAAUAUUAUCACUAAUACAACUCAAAUAGUAUCAUACAUAUAGCAUCGCCAAUACAGCUAGAACCGUAGCGAACGAUGGGUAUCGGCGCGGACGAUGGAUACCCAAAGAGAAGGAACCAUCACAGGAUCAUAGCUCCAGUGAGAUCCCUGAAGAACCUGCCAGGUAUUGUCGAACCUGCCCUCCAACGCAACCAUGUAGCGACGGACGUGCUCGUCCUCCUCGCUGACACGGUGACGUACCACCUCCGCGGUGUCUGAAAGCCUCGGCACCGUCACUGGCCCACGCGACCUCCACCAAACAAGGUUCGGGUCAACAACGGGGUGGCUGCUCACCAAGCUGCGCCCCCGGAAGGUAGAACCCCCAGUACCAGCCCGGCGGAGCCCAGUCUCGGACAUGGCCCCUCUGAUCAAGCAGGCCUCCUCCGCCGAGUCGACGACGAGGAUGCGGCAUAGGCAUCGUCGACGUCGAUGCGGGAAUAAAUGCUUGAACUAAAAAAAUAACAACAUAUUUCACAUAUUCAAAAUAAACCAGAAACUUAACCUAAACUAAACUAAACCUAACUAACUAAACUAAACUAAACCUAAACUAAACCAGAAACUUAACCUAACCUAAACUAAACUAAAUCUAAAGUAAACUAACUAAACUAAACAAAACCUAAACUAAAUUAUACUAAACCUAAUUAAACUAAAUCUAAAAAAACAGAAAAAAGAAGAAAAGGUCUCACCUUGGAGCNNNNNNNNNNNNNNNNNNNNNNNNNNNNNNNNNNNNNNNNNNNNNNNNNNNNNNNNNNNNNNNNNNNNNNNNNNNNNNNNNNNNNNNNNNNNNNNNNNNNNNNNNNNNNNNNNNNNNNNNNNNNNNNNNNNNNNNNNNNNNNNNNNNNNNNNNNNNNNNNNNNNNNNNNNNNNNNNNNNNNNNNNNNNNNNNNNNNNNNNNNNNNNNNNNNNNNNNNNNNNNNNNNNNNNNNNNNNNNNNNNNNNNNNNNNNNNNNNNNNNNNNNNNNNNNNNNNNNNNNNNNNNNNNNNNNNNNNNNNNNNNNNNNNNNNNNNNNNNNNNNNNNNNNNNNNNNNNNNNNNNNNNNNNNNNNNNNNNNNNNNNNNNNNNNNNNNNNNNNNNNNNNNNNNNNNNNNNNNNNNNNNNNNNNNNNNNNNNNNNNNNNNNNNNNNNNNNNNNNNNNNNNNNNNNNNNNNNNNNNNNNGGCGAGGCCGGCCGGAGCGGCACCGUGGGGCGGAGUGGCCCGGUGCGGCAACGUGGGCCGGGGCGGCAACGGGGGCCAGGGCGGUGAGGCGAGGCGUGGCGGGGUGGCGGCGCGGGGUUGGGAUGAGGGAAGCAAGGGAGAGAGAGGGGUAGGGCGAGGGCUUUUUGUUAGAUAGGGCAGAACUCUUUGCCGUCCGCUAGCAGACGGCAAGGAGCCUAGCUAACGGACGUUCUGAGCCGAUUUCAGCAUCGCGAAGAGCUCGGGAAUCAUUUUUGUUAUCCCUUGCAUAUUAUAGUUCAUCACGAAGUUCUAGUAGCUUGGUGAUAGUGACUAGAGAACUUUGUCAAUCACUAUCUUAUCUAGAAGAUUAAUUUCCACUUGAUUCAAGCGAUUGUAGUACCUAGACAUUCUGAGCACAUGCUCAAUGGUUGAGCUAUUCUCCUCCAUAUUGUAGGCAAAGUACUUGUCAGAGGUCUCAUACCUCUCGACACGGGCAUGAGUCUGAAAUACCAAUUUAAGCUCUUGGAACAUCUCAUAUGCUCCGUGGCGUUCAAAACAUUUUUGAAGUCCCGGUUCUAAGUCGUAAAGCAUGUCGCACUAAACUAUUAAGUAGUCAUCAUAUCGAGCUUGUCAAACAUUCAUAAUGUCUGCAUCUGCUCUUGCAAUAGGUCUAUCACCUAGCAGUGCAUCAAGGACAUAAUUCUUCUGUGCAGCAAUAAGGAUAAUCCUCAGAUCACGGACCCAGUCCCCAUCAUUGCUACUAUCAUCUUUCAACUUAUUUUUUCUCUAGGAUCAUAUCAAAAAAUAAGGGAGCUAUAUCGCGAGCUAUUGAUCUACAGUAUAGAUAUGCAAAACUAGAAGACUAGGUUCAUGAUAAAUUAAGUUCAAUUAAUCAAAUUACUAAUGAACUCCCACUUAAAUCAACAUCCCUCAAGUUGUCUAAGUGAUACAUGAUCUAAAUCAACUAACGCAUGUCUGAUCAUCACAUGAGAUGGGGUAGUCAUCUGUCACAUCCCUAGUUCUGGUUUGCUCUAGGCUAGCUAGUCAUGUGUGCAUCAUGUUUAAGUUUCAAAUGAAUUUGAAAUGGGGAUUGCCUAAACCCUAGCAUUAAAGGAAUUCACUAGGUUCAACUAAAAUAUUCCCAGUGACUCCAAAUGGCUUUCAAAAAUGUUCAUUAUUUCUGGGAAAUGCUGGACGCAAUAACCAGACGUGUUGCACAUUUUUCCAUGACAUAUUUGGGCUCUGAAUUAAAUCAUAUAGUAUUUGCAUUUGGGCAUUUAAAUGCUAUUAAAUAUUUUAAAUGCUCAAAUAAUCAUGAACUAAAAUGUUUGCUGUUGGUUAUAUUCCAAAAAGUGGCAUUGAGCAGUUUGAUGAUUUUUGGAUCUGUCUAAGUAUUUUUAAUAAAGCCCUAAAGACUACAGAACAAUAGAAAACAGAAACUAAAUUAGGAAAGAGAGAGAGAGAGAAGUACCUGGCCACUUACCUGGCAUAGCCCACCCGCCAGCCCACCAGAUAGCCCAACACUGUGCAGCCCAACCCAGCUGGCCGACGCCAGUCGUCGUCUCCACCGCGCCAGAAGGACGCCGAGCAUGUGCUCGCCGCGCGCGCCCACGCGCUGAGCCACCUCCUGCUUCCGCCGCUUCCGGACGCCUCCACGAGUGCCACGGCACUUCCCCGACCCCCCUCUCACUUCUCCCUCGCUCUCUGGACCCCUCCUCCUCCUCCGCUCUCCCUUCCUCUCGUCACCGAACGCACCUGAGAGCGCCGCUCGCCGGUGCCAUGACCACCGUGCUCCCCUCAACUCCCCACCUCGUCUGCAAGCUCCGCCAUCGUCUGCUGCUUCGCCCCACCCUGGCCCCGAGCGCUGGGACGGCCUGCAUCGCCGGCUGCUCCAUCUUCUUCCUCCUCGGUCGCCGAAGGCCGCGCCCGUCGAUUCGCCGCCGUCUCCUCGUCCCCGAGCUCGCCGACUUGCUCGUCCGACUCGCCGUGAGCCACUGACCCGAAACCCCCUCCUCUGCGCUCCAUUUGCACAUUGUAGCCGUUGCUCCGCCGGAGACCGAACCCCACCGUCGCCCGCGCUCGUCGCCGGUGCUGCUCCGGUGACCAUUUGGUCCCGGGCAUGCGUCCAUCGUACUCACCGCACCACGUAGACGCCGUAGGUGCUAAACACACAUCACCACGACCACCGCAACCGCGUCCCCGCUCUCUGCCGACUCCGGCCGCCGCAAACCUCGUCGCCGGCGCUGCUCCCGGCCACCCCAGCGCCCGCAACCGCCACCGUUGGAUGCGCAACUCCGCCCUCAUCCCGUAGCUGUGCUCCGCGCGCCAAACGACGCCCCGUAGGGCAAACCCGCGGCUCGCCGCCGCGUCUGGCCUCGCCGGCGGCUAAACGCCGGUGAGUUGACCUUGUUUGACCAGGCUGACCCCCUCCCCUGAGUCAAUGACAAGUGGGGCCCGCCUGAUAAUUAACCUGGGUUUACUUUUAAUUAACUCUAAAUUGGUUAGUUAAUUAACAGUGACACUGACGUCCGGACCCCACACGUCAGGUUUGACCUGGACCGGGUCAGUUGACCACUGACGUCACCCUGACGCACGCUGACGUAGUAAUAGAUUUUCUGGACUUAUUCUUAUACAGGAAAUUCCAGAAAAUCCUAUAAACUUCUAAAAAUCAUAGAAAAUCAACCGUAACUCCAAAUGAAAUAAUUUAUAUAUGAAAAAUGAUCAGAAAAAUCCAAUCUAUCCAUCUGUACCAUCUCCAUGCAUGUUAGAACAACUUAUGACUACUGUUUAGGACAAUUCAAUUAAAUGGCAUUUAAGAAAUCACAUAUGGAGUUUGAAUUUGAAUCUUUGAUUCAAGCCAACUCCAUUUAACUUGCUGUUAGUUGCAUUAGCUCAAAACACAUUCAUAUUGCCAUGUCAUAGCAUGCAUCAUAUUGUGCAUUGCAUUGAUCGUGUUUCUUCUUUGUUUGCCGGUAUUGUCCCCUCUCGGUAGACGUUGCUUCGACGAUGCGAUCGAUGACACCGAUGAAGAGCUAUGCUAUCUUCAGAAGUGCCAGGCAAGCAAAACCCCCUUGUUCAUUCCGAUACAAUCCCAUUCUCUCGCUCCUGCUCUCUUCUACUGCAUUAGGACAAUCGAUUCAACUGUUACAUGCCGCGGUAGUUGAACCCCUUUUCCUCUGCAUGACCUGUCAUUGCCACAGUAAAUAGAUGAAACCCACUAGCAUGAGUAGGAGUUGUUUGAGCCCUGAUGUGCCUACUCAUUCAUGCUUGUUUGUCAUGCCUGCUACUGCUUAGAGUUGAGUCGGGUCUGAUUCGUCGGGGACGAAUUGGAAUGGUGAUGAACAUGUCCUACUGUGUGUGAGCUAAGUGUGUGAACACGAUUUGGUAAAGGUAGCGGUGAGAGGCCAUGUAGGAGUACAUGGUGGGUUGUCUCAUUGAAACCGUCCUCAGGAACUGAGUUCUGUGUUUGUGAUCCAUGAACAGUUACUACCACACAUUGGGCUCCGGGCGCUCCAAGCUCUCUCGACUUAUUAAUCAACCUGAUCUCUGUCCAGGAGUUGCAACUAGUUUCUGGUGUUUGUAGGUAGUGUUAGUAGUCUACCAAGUGGCACCCGGUACAGGUGGGCUUGGGACAGACUAGGCACACGUGGCCUGGUGUACCGAGUGGCACCCGGAUGGUGGGCUCGGGAACCCUGCACACAUCGUUUGGGGCCGUGAGCGACACCCCGGCCGGAUCUCCUUGCGGAUGGAACCCGAAUAGGCGAUAAACCUGGACUAGAGACUUGUGUGGUUAGUCAGGUCGUGGCCGACUUCCUCGCCAGGUUUCCGCUUGAAGGUUGCCGAGGUACACGACGUGUACAUGGUGGUAAGUGGCGAGAGCGUGUGUGACGAAGUACACCCCUGCAGGGUUAAUAUGAUCUAUUCGAAUAGCCGUGUCCGCGGAAAAGGACUUCUGGGUUGCCUAUAACAGUUCAUAGACAAGUGAAAGUGGAUACUCUAAAAUGCGCAAGAUAAGCGUGAGUGCUAUGGAUGGCGUUCUCGUAGGGAGACGGGAGCGGAUCCAUAGUGGUGUAUUGGUGUGGUGAAUUUGUGGACUCGUGUGCGCCACCUCAAAAGAGUUACUUGCAGUCAUAGUUUAGGAUAGCCACCGAGUCAAAGCUGGCUUGCUGCAGUUAAACUCCACCACCCCCUUUGUUGAUACCGAUGCAUAUGUAGAUAGUUCUGAUGUAAGUCUUGCUGGGUACAUUUGUACUCACGUUUGCUUAUUUUAUGUUUUGCAGAGAGACGUCAGUCUCGCUAGUAGUCCCGUGUGGACUUCGACGUUUAGCUUGUUACCUCAGCUACGAUCUUGUGCCCUCGGCAGGAUCUAGUAAAUAGUCAGGCUUCUCAGCCAUUUUCCAUUUGUAGAUGUCUGUACUCAGACAUGUUAAGCUUCCGCAUGUGCUUUGACUUGUAUGCUCUGAAUGUUGGGUCAUGAGACCCAUGUUUGUAAUAUCUGGCUCUUCAGAGCCUAAUGAAUAAAUACUCUGAGUCGUAGAGCCUUGUUGUGAUGCCAUGUUGUAUUUGCACAUAUCGAGCAUAUUGUGUGUAUGAUUGAAAUGCUCUGUAUGUGUGGGAUCCGACAAUCUAGUUGUCUAUCCUUAGCAGCCUCUCUUAUGGGGAAAUGUAGUCUAGUGCCUCCUUGAGCCAUAGUAGUCCGCUACAGCCCGGAUCACCGGAGUCCUGCUAGCCCAGCACUACUGCUCUGGACACUUGACUGGCCGGCAUGUGUUUCAUAUCGUUCCUGUGUCUGUCCCUUCGGGGGAAAUGUCACGCGGAGACAUCCGGAGUCCUGCCUAGCCUGCUACAGCCCGGGUUCCCGGAGUCCUGUUAGCCCAGUGCUACAGCCCGGAUUCGCACGCUGCUGACCGACACGUUCGAUGUUGAUUCAUGUAUGCCUGUCCUCAUACGUUAGUGCCGCUUUGGGUUCACGACUAGCCAUGUCGGCCCGGGUUCUCUGUCAUAUGGAUGCUAGCGACAUUGUCAUAUACACGAGCCAAAAGGCGCAAACGGUCCCGGGCCAUGGUAAGGCGACACCCGUGGGAGUACCGUGCGUGAGGCCGCAAAGUGAUAUGAGGUGUUACAGGCUAGAUCGGUGUGACUUGGAAUCGGGGUCCCGACAUCAUCAAUGGUGAACAUCUCUAUGUUGAUCAUAUCUACUAUAUGACUCACGUUUGACCUUUCGGUCUCUAGUGUUCCGAGACCAUGUCUGUACAUGCUAGGCUCGUCAAGUUACAUGUACAAAACUAUCUUACACCCGUUGUAUGUGAAUGUAGAGUCUAUCACACCCGAUCAUCGCGUGGUGUCUCGAAACGACGAACUUUCGCAACGGUGCAUACUCGGGGAGAAAACUUAUAUCUUGAAAUUUAGUGAAGGGAUCAUCUUAUAAUGCUACUGUUGUUCUAAGAAAAAUAAGAUGCAUAAAAGAUAAACAUCACAUCCAAUCAAAAUAUGUGACAUGAUAUGGCCAUCAUCAUCUCGUGCUUUUGAUCUCCAUCUCCAAAGCAUCGUCAUGAUAUCAAUCGUCACCGUCUCGACACGUUGAUCUCCAUCGUUGCAUCGUGGUCGUCUCGCCAACUAUUGCUAAUGCAUAGCGAUAAAGUAAAGCAAUUACAUGGCGUUUGCAACUUAUACAAUAAAGAGACAACCAUAAGGCUCCUGCCGGUUGCCGAUAAAUUACAAAACAUGAUCAUAUCAUACAAUAACGUAUAUCAUAUCAUGUCUUAACCAUAUCACAUCACAACAUACCCUGGAAAAACAAGUUAGACGUCCUCUACUUUGUUGUUGCAAGUUUUACGUGUCUGCUACGGGCUUCUAGCAAGAAUCGUUCUUACCUACGCAAAAACAACCACAAAGGUGAUUUAUCAAGUUUGUUUUCUAAUCUACUUCAAGGACCAGCCGUAGUCAAAUUCGAUUCAACUAAAGUAGGAGAAACAGACACCCGCCAGCCACCUUUAUGCAAAACAAGUUGCAUGUCAGUCGGUGGAACCGGUCUCAUGUGCGUGGACAUGUAAGGUUGGUCCGGGCCGCUUCAUCCCACAAUACCGCCGAAUCAAAAUAUGACGUUGGUGGUAAGCAGUAUGACUAUCACCGCCCACAACUCUUUGUGUUCUACUCAUGCAUAUCAUCUACACAUAGACCUGGCUCUCAUACCACUGUUGGGAAUCGUUGCAUGGAAAACAAAAAAAAUUCUACGCACUAGCAAUGAUCUAUCCAUGGAGAUGCAUAGCAACGAAGGUAAGAGUAUGUAUACGUACCCUCGUAGACCGUCAGCGGAAGCGUUUCACAACGCGGUUGAUGUAGUCGAACUUUCUUUGCGAUCCAACCGAUCGAGUACCGAACGUACGACACCUCCGUGUCCAGCACACAUUCAACUCGGUGACGUCCACGCCUUCUUGAUCCAGCAAGACGGCGAGGUAGUGGAUAAGUUUCGACAGCACGACGGUGUGGUGACGGUUAUGGUGAAGUGAUCUCUGCAGGGCUUCGCCUAAGCACUACGAAAAUAUGACCGGGGGUGUAAACGGUGGAGGGGGGCGCCACACACGGCUAGGCAAUUGUCUGUUGUGUGCUAGGCGCCCCCUCCCACAUAUAUAUAGGUGGGAGGGAGGGAGGAGCAGCCAAAGAAGGCGCCCAAGUAGGAGGAAUCCUACUUGGGGUCUCUCCCAAGCCACACCCCCUUUCCUUAUUUGGAGCGCGAGGAAAGGCAGGGGAGGGUGGCGCCCCCCUUUCCUUUCUCCCAUGAGAGGGAAAUGCAGGAGGGGCUAGCUCUCCCCCUUUUCCUUCCCUAGGCCUGGCCAACCAAGGGAGGAGGCGCACCAGCCCCCUUGUGGGCUGGUCUGUCCCAUCCUUUGGCCCAUAAGGCCCAUAACUUGCCGGGGGGGUGCCCGGAACCCGUUUCGGUGACCCGAUUCAUUCCUGGUACGUCCCGAAACACUUCAGGUGUCAAAGUACGAUCGUCCUAUAUAUCAAUCUUUACCUCUCGACCAUUUCGAGACUCCUCGUCAUGUCCGUGAUCUCAUCCGGGACUCCGAACAACAUUCGGUCACCAAAACAUAUAACACUAUAUCAUACACGAACGUUAAGCGUGCGGACCCUACAGGUUCGAGAACUAUGUAGACAUGACCGAGACACCUCUCCGGUCAAUAACUAAUAGCGGAACCUGGAUGCCCAUAUUGGCUCCUACAUAUUCUACGAAGAUCUUUAUCGGUCGAACGGUUAUGACAACAUACGUAAUUCCCUUUGUCCAUCGGUAUGUUACUUGCCCGAGAUUCGAUCGUCGGUAUCUCUAUACCUAGUUCAAUAUCGUUACCGGCAAGUCUCUUUACUCGUUCCGUAAUACAUUGAAGGAAAUAUACCCUAGAGGCAAUAAUAAAGUAUUAUUUAUUUCCUUAUAUCAUGACAAAUGUUUAUUAUUCAUGCUAGAAUUGUAUUAACCGGAAACAUAAUACAUGUGUGAAUACAUAGACAAACAGAGUGUCACUAGUAUGCCUCUACUUGACUAGCUCGUUAAUCAAAGAUGGUUAUGUUUCCUAGCCAUAGACAUGAGUUGUCAUUUGAUUAACGGGGUCACCUCAUUAGGAGAAUGACGUGAUUGACUUGACCCAUUCCGUUAGCUUAGCACUCGAUGUUUAGUAUGUUGCUAUUGCUUUCUUCAUGACUUAUACAUGUUCUUAUGACUAUGAGAUUAUGCAACUCCCGUUUACCGGAGGAACACUUUGUGUGCUACCAAACGUGACAACGUAACUGGGUGAUUAUAAAGGUGCUCUACAGGUGUCUCCAAAGGUACUUGUUGGGUUGGCGUAUUUCGAGAUUAGGAUUUGUCACUCCGAGUGUCGGAGAGGUAUCUCUGGGCCCACUCAGUAAUGCACAUCACUAUAAGCCUUGCAAGCAUUGUAACUAAUGAGUUAGUUGCGGGAUGAUGUAUUACGGAACGAGUAAAGAGACUUGCCGGUAACGAGAUUGAACUAGGUAUCGAGAUACCGACGAUCGAAUCUCGGGCAAGUAACAUACCGAUGACAAAGGGAACAACGUAUGUUGUUAUGCGGUCUGACCGAUAAAGAUCUUCGUAGAAUAUGUGGGAACCAAUAUGAGCAUCCACGUUCCGCUAUUAGUUAUUGACUGGAGAGGUGUCUCGGUCAUGUCUACAUAGUUCUCGAACCCGUAGGGUCCGCACGCUUAACGUUACGAUGACAGUUUUAUUAUGAGUUUAUGUAUGUCGAUGUACCGAAGGAGUUCGGAGUCCCGGAUGAGAUCGGGGACAUGACGAGGAGUCUCGAAAUGUCCGAGACGUAAAGAUCGAUAUAUUGGACGACUAUAUUCGGACUUCGGAAAGGUUCCGAGUGAUUCGGGUAUUUUUCGGAGUACCGGAGAGUUACGGGAAUUCGUAUUGGGCCUUAAUGGGCCAUACGGGAAAGGAGAGAAAGGCCCCAAAGGGAGGCCGCACCCCUCCCCAUGGACUAGUCCGAAUUGGACUAGGGAGGGGGGGGGCCCCUUCCUUCUUUCUCCUUCUCCCUUCCCUUUUCCUACUCCAACAAGGAAAGGAGGAGUCCUACUCCCGGUGGGAGUAGGACUCCCCCCUUGGCACGCCUCCUCCUAGGCCGGCCGCCUCCCCCCCUUGCUCCUUUAUAUACGGGGGCAGGGGGCACCUCUAGACACACACAAUUGAUCAACGAUCUUUUAGCCGCGUGCGGUGCCCCUCCACCAUAUUACACCUCGAUAAUAUCGUGGCGGAGCUUAGGCGAAGCCCUGCGUCGGUAGAACAUCAUCAUGGUCACCACGCCAUCGUGCUGACGAAACUCUCCCUCAACACUCGGCUGGAUCGGAGUUCGAGGGACGUCAUCGAGCUGAACGUGUGCUGAACUCUGAGGUGCCGUGCGUUCGGUACUUGAUCGGUCGGAUCGUGAAGACGUACGACUACAUCAACCGCGUUGUGUUAACGCUUCCGCUAUCGGUCUACGAGGGUACGUGGACAACACUCUCCCCUCUCGUUGCUAUGCAUCACCAUGAUCUUGCGUGUUUGUAGGAAUUUUUUUGAAAUUACUACGUUCCCCAACAGUGGCAUCCGAGCCUGGUUUUAUGCGUUGAUACUAUGCACGAGUAGAACACAAGUGAGUUGUGGGCGAUAUAAGUCAUACUGCUUACCAGCAUGUCAUACUUUGGUUCGGCGGUAUUGUGAGAUGAAGCGGCCCGGACCGACAUUACGCGUACGCUUACACGAGACUGGUUUCACCGUUGCGAGCACUCGUUGCUUAAAGGUGACUGGCGGGUGUCUGUCCCUCUCACUUUAGUUGAACCGAGUGUGGCUACGCCCGGUCCUUGCGAAGGUUAAAACAACACCAACUUGACAAACUAUCGUUGUGGUUUUGAUGCGUAGGUAAGAACGGUUCUUGCUAAGCCCGUAGCAGCCACGUAAAACUUGCAACAACAAAAUAGAGGACGUCUAACUUGUUUUUGCAGGGCAUGUUGUGAUGUGAUAUGGUCAAGACAUGGUGCUAUAUUUUAUUGUAUGAGAUGAUCAUGUUUUGUAACCGAGUUAUCGGCAACUGGCAGGAGCCAUAUGGUUGUCGCUUUAUUGUAUGCAAUGCAAUCGCCAUGUAAUUGUUUUACUUUAUCACUAAGCGGUAGCGAUAGUCGUAAAAGCAAUAAGUUGGCGAGACGACAACGAUACUACGAUAGAGAUCAAGGUGCCGCGCCGGUGACGAUGGUGAUCAUGACGGUGCUUCGGAGAUGGAGAUCACAAGCACAAGAUGAUGAUGGCCAUAUCAUAUCACUUAUAUUGAUUGCAUGUGAUGUUAAUCUUUUAUGCAUCUUAUCUUUCUUUGAUUGACGGUAGCAUUAUAAGAUCAUCUCUCACUAAAAUUUCAAGAUAAAAGUGUUCUCCCUGAGUAUGCACCGUUGCGAAAGUUCUUCGUGCUGAGACACCACGUGAUGAUCGGGUGUGAUAGGCUCUACGUUCAAAUACAACGGGUGCAAAACAGUUGCACACGCGGAAUACUCAGGUUAAACUUGACGAGCCUAGCAUAUGCAGAUAUGGCCUCGGAACACGGAGACCGAAAGGUCGAGCGUGAAUCAUAUAGUAGAUAUGAUCAACAUAGUGAUGUUCACCAUUGAAACUACUCCAUCUCACGUGAUGAUCGGACAUGGUUUAGUUGAUACGGAUCACGUGAUCACUUAGAGGAUUAGAGGGAUGUCUAUCUAAGUGGGAGUUCUUAAGUAAUAUGAUUGAACUUGAAUUUAUCAUGAACUUAGUACCUGAUAGUAUUUUGCAAAUUAUGUUGUAGAUCAAUAGCUCGCGUUGUUGCUUCCCUGUAUUUUUGAUAUGUUCCUAGAGAAAAAUUAUGUUGAAAGAUGUUAGUAGCAAAGAUGCGGAUUGGAUCCGUGAUCUGAGGAUUAUCCUCAUUGCUGCACAGAAGAAUUAUGUCCUUGAUGUACCGCUAGGUGACAGACCUAUUGCAGGAGCAGAUGCAGAUGUUAUGAACGUUUGGCUAGCUCAAUAUGAUGACUACUUGAUAGUUUAGUGCACCAUGCUUAACGGCUUAGAAUCGGGACUUCAAAGACGUUUUGAACGUCAUGGACCAUAUCAGAUGUUCCAGGAGUUGAAGUUAAUAUUUCAAGCAAAUACCUGAGUUGAGAGAUAUGAAGUCUCCAACAAGUUCUAUAGCUAAAAGAUGGAGGAGAAUAGCUCAAGCAGUGAGCAUGUGCUCAGAUUGUCUGGGUACUACAAUCACUUGAAUCAAGUGGGAGUUAAUCUUCCAGAUAAAAUAGUGAUUGACAGAAUUCUCUAGUCACCAUCACCAAGUUAGUAGAACUUCGUGAUGAACUAUAGUAUGCAAGGGAUGACGAAAGUAAUUCCAGAGCUCUUCGUGAUGCUGAAAUCGACGAAGGUAGAAAUCAAGAAAAACAUCAAGUGUUGAUGGUUGACGAGACCACUAGUUUCAAGAAAAGGGCAAAGGGAAAAAGGGGAACUUCAAAAAGAACGGCAAGCAAGUUGCUACUCAAGUGAAGAAGCCCAAGUCUGUACCUAAGCCUGAGACUAAGUGCUUCUACUGGAAAGGGACUGGUCACUGGAAGCGGAACUACCCCAACUAUUUGGUGGAUAAGAAGGAUGGCAAAGUGAACAAAGGUAUAUUGGAUAUACAUGUUAUUGAUGUGUACUUUACUAGUGUUUAUAGCAACCCCUCGGCAUUUGAUACUGGUUCAGUUGCUAAGAGUAGUAACUCGAAACGGGAGUUGCAGAAUAAACAGAGACUAGUAAAAGGCGAGGUGACGAUGUGUGUUGGAAGUAGUUCCAAGAUUGAUAUGAUCAUCAUCGCACACUCCCUGUACUUUCGGGAUUACUGUUGAAACUAAAUAUGUGUUAUUUGGGGUUUGCGUUGAGCAUGAAUAUGAUUUGAUCAUGUUUGUUGCAAUACGGUUAUUCAUUUAAAUUAGAGAAUAAUUGUUGUUCUGUUUACAUGAAUAAAACCUUCUAUGGUCAUACACCCAAUAAAAUGGUUUGUUGGAUCUCGAUCGUAGUGAUACACAUAUUCAUAAUAAUGAAGCCAAAAGGUGCAAAGUUAAUAAUGAUAGUGCAACUUAUUUGUGGCACUGCCGUUUAGGUCAUAUUGGUGUAAAGCGCAUGAAGAAACUCCAUACUGAUGGGAUUUUGGAAUCACUUCAUUAUGAAUCACUUGAUGCUUGCGAACCGUGCCUCAUGGGCAAGAUGACUAAAACGCCGUUCUCUGGAACUAUGGAGAGAGCAACAGAUUUAUUGGAAAUCAUACAUACAGAUGUAUGUGGUCCGAUGAAUAUUGAGGCUCGUAGCAGGUAUCAUUAUUUUCUAACCUUCACAGAUGAUUGGAGCAGAUAUGGGUAUAUCUACUUAAUGAAACAGAAGUCUGAAACAUUUGAAAAGUUCAUAUAAUUUCAGAGUGAAGCGGAAAAUCAUCGUAACAAGAAAAUAAAGUUUCUACGAUCUGAUCGUGGAGAAGAGUAUUUGAGUUACGAGUUUGGCCUUCAGUUAAAACAAUGUGAAAUAGUUUCACUACUCACGCCACCUGGAACACCACGGUGUAAUGGUGUGUCCGAACAUCGUAACCGUACUUUAUUAGAUAUGGUGCGAUAUAUGAUGUCUCUUACCGAUCUACCACUAUCGUUUUGGGGUUAUGCAUUAGAGACAGCUGCAUUCACGUUAAAUAGGGUACCAUCUAAAUCCGUUGAGACGACAUCUUAUGAACUGUGGUUUGGCAAGAAACCAAAGUUGUCGUUUCUUAAAGUUUGGGGUUGCGAUGCUUAUGUGAAAAGGUUUCAUCCUGAUAAGCUCAAACCCAAAUCGGAGAAAUGUGUCUUCAUAGGAUACCCAAAGGAGACAGUUGGGUACACCUUCUAUCACAGAUCUGAAGGCAAGACAUUCAUUGCUAAGAAUGGAUCCUUUCUAGAGAAGGAGUUUCUCUCGAAAGAAGUGAGUGGGAGGAAAGUAGAACUUGAUGAGGUAACUGUACCUCAUCGCUUAUUGGAAAGUAGUUCAUCACAGAAAACCGGUUCCUGUGACACCUACACCAAUUAGUGAGGAAGUUAAUGAUGAUGAUCAUGAAACUUCAGAUCAAGUUGUUACUGAACCUCGUAGGUCAACCAGAGUAAGAUCCACACCAGAGUGGUACGGUAAUCCUGUUCUGGAGGUUAUGUUACUAGACCAUGACGAACCUACGAACUAUGAAGAAGCGAUGGUGAGCCCAGAUUCCGCAAAAUGGCUUGAGGCCAUGAAAUCUGAGAUGGGAUCCAUGUAUGAGAACAAAGUAUGGACUUUGGAUGACUUGCCCGAUGAUCGGCAAGCCAUAGAAAAUAAAUGGAUCUUCAAGAGGAAGACGGACGCUGAUAGUAGUGUUACUAUCUACAAAGCUAGAAUUGUCGCAAAAGGUUUUCGACAAGUUUAAGGUGUUGACUACGAUGAGAGUUUCUCACUCGUAUCUAUGCUUAAGUCUGUCUGAAUCAUGUUAGCAAUUGCCGCAUUUUAUGAAAUAUGGCAAAUGGAUAAACAAAACUGCAUUCCUUAAUGGAUUUAUUAAAGAAGAGUUGUAUAUGAUGCAACCAGGAGGUUUAGUCAAUCCUAAAAGUGCUAACAAAAUAUGCAAACUCCAGCGAUCCAUCUAUGGACUGGUGCAAGCAUCUCGGAGUUGGAAUAUACGCUUUGAUAAGUUGAUGAAAGCAUAUAGUUUUAUACAGACUUGCGGUGAAGCCUGUAUUCACAAGAAAGUGAGUGGGAGCACUACAGCAUUUCUGAUAAGUAUAUGUGAAUGACAUAUUGUUGAUCGGAAAUAAUGUAGAAUUAUUCUGCAAAGCAUAAAGGAGUGUUUGAAAGGAGUUUUUCAAAGAAAGACCUCGGUGAAGCUGCUUACAUAUUGAGCAUCAAGAUCUAUAAAGAUAGAUCAAGACGCUUGAUAAGUUUUUUCAAUGAGUACAUACCUUAACAAGAUUUUGAAGUAGUUCAAAAUGGAACAGUCAAAGAAAGAAUUUCUUGCCUGUGUUACAAGGUGUGAAAUUGAGUAAGACUCAAAGCCCGACCACGGCAGAAGAUAGAAAAAGAAUGAAAGUCAUUCCCUAUGCCUCGGCCAUAGGUUCUAUAAAGUAUGCCAUGAUGUGUACCAGAUCUAUUGUAUACCCUACACUGAUUUUGGCAAGGGAGUACAAUAGUGAUCUAGGAGUAGAUCACUAGAUAGCGGUCAAAAUUAUCCUUACUGGAAUAAGGAUAUGUUUCUCGAUUAUGGAAGUGACAAAAGGUUCGUCGUAAAGGGUUACGUCGAUGCAAGUUUUGACAUUAAUCUAGAUGACUCUAAGUCUCGGUCUAGAUACAUAUUGAAAGUGGGAGCAAUUAGCUAAGAGUAGCUCCGUGCAGAGCAUUGUAGACAUAGAAAUUUGCAAAAUACUUGCGGAUCUGAAUGUGACAGACCCGUUGACUAAAAUUAUCUCACAAUCAAAACAUGAUCACACCUUAGUACUCUUUGGGUGUUAAUCACAUAGCGAUGUGAACUAGAUUAUUGACUCUAGUAAACCCUUUGAGUGUUGGUCACAUGACAAUGUGAACUAUGGGUGUUAAUCACAUGGUGAUGUGAAUUAUUGAUGUUAAAUCACAUGGCGAUGUGAACUAGAUUAUUGACUCUAGUGCAAGUGGGAGACUGAAGGAAAUAUACCCUAGAGGCAAUAAUAAAGUAUUAUUUAUUUCCUUAUAUCAUGAUAAAUGUUUAUUAUUCAUGCUAGAAUUGUAUUAACCGGAAACAUAAUACAUGUGUGAAUACAUAGACAAACAGAGUGUCACUAGUAUGCCUCUACUUGACUAGCUCGUUAAUCAAAGAUGGUUAUGUUUCCUAGCCAUAGACAUGAGUUGUCAUUUGAUUAACGGGGUCACCUCAUUAGGAGAAUGACGUGAUUGACUUGACCCAUUCCGUUAGCUUAGCACUCGAUCGUUUAGUAUGUUGCUAUUGCUUUCUUCAUGACUUAUACAUGUUCCUAUGACUAUGAGAUUAUGCAACUCCCGUUUACCGGAGGAACACUUUGUGUGCUACCAAACGUCACAAUGUAACUGGGUGAUUAUAAAGGUGCUCUACAGGUGUCUUCAAAGGUACUUGUUGGGUUGGCGUAUUUCGAGAUUAGGAUUUGUCACUCCGAGUGUCGGAGAGGUAUCUCUGGGCCCACUCAGUAAUGCACAUCACUAUAAGCCUUGCAAGCAUUGUAACUAAUGAGUUAGUUGCGGGAUGAUGUAUUACGGAACGAGUAAAGAGACUUGCCGGUAACGAGAUUGAACUAGGUAUCGAGAUACCGACGAUCGAAUCUCGGGCAAGUAACAUACCGAUGACAAAGGGAACAACGUAUGUUGUUAUGCGGUCUGACCGAUAAAGAUCUUCGUAGAAUAUGUGGGAACCAAUAUGAGCAUCCAGGUUCCGCUAUUGGUUAUUGACUGGAGAGGUGUCUCGGUCAUGUCUACAUAGUUCUCGAACCCGUAGGGUCCGCACGCUUAACGUUACGAUGACAGUUUUAUUAUGAGUUUAUGUAUGUUGAUGUACCGAAGGAGUUCGGAGUCCCGGAUGAGAUCGGGGAUGUAACGCCCACGAUGUGGCUAUAUCUCCCACGUGUCGAGGCACGACUUAGAGGCAUAACCGCAUAGUGGUUUUGUCGCAAGAAGGGUCAUCUUCACACAAUCCCAUGUAAUGAACAAGAAUGGGAUAAAGAGUUGGCUUACAAUCGCCACUUCACACAAUACAUGAAUAUAAUUCAUACAUCAUCCAAAAUACAAACAUAUAGACCGACUACGGUCAAAAUCCAAAUGAAAAUAAGAUAACCCCAAAUGCUAGAUCCCCGAUCGUCCCAACUGGGCUCCACUACUGAUCAUCAGGAAAAGACACAUAGUAACGGCCACGUUCCUCAUCGAACUCCCACUUGAGAUCGAUCCCAUCAACUGCACAGGCAUCGUCGGCACCUGCAACUGUUUUGGUAGAAUCUGUGAGUCACGGGGACUCAGCAAUCUCACACCCGCGAGAUCAAGACUAUUUAAGCUUAAGGCAAAGGAUGGUGUAAUGAGGUGGAGCUGCAGCGGCAAAAGCAUAUAUGGUGGCUAACAUACGCAAAUGAGAGCGAGGAGAGAAGCAACGGAACGGUCGUCAUCUAGCAAUGACCAAGAAGUGAUCCUGAACUCCUACUUACGUCAUUCAUAACUCAAACCGUGUUCACUUCCCGGACUCCGCCGAGAAGAGACCAUCACGGCUACACACACAGUUGAUGUAUUUUAAUUGGGUCAAGUGACAAGUUCUCUACAACUGGACAUUAACAAACUCCCAUCUGCCUCAUAACCGCGGGCACGGCUUUCGAAAGAUAAUACCCUGCAGGGGUGUCCCAGCUUAGCCCAUCAUAAGCUCUCACGGUCAACGAAGGAUAAACCUUCUCCCGGAAAGACUCGAUCAGUCUCGGAAUCCCGGUUUACAAGACAUUUCGACAAUGGUAAAACAAGACCAGCAAAGCCACCCGAAUGUGCCGACAAAUCCCGAUAGGAGCUGCACAUAUCUUAUUCUCAGGGCACACCGGAUUGUCCAAGCUUCCGAUAGGCCAGACCAGAGUUGCCCCUGGUGGCCACCGGCGACUGACGGUUUGGACCAAUACUCAGAGGAGCACUGGCCCGGGGGUUUAAAUAAAGAUGACCCUCGGGCUCUAGAAAACCCGGGGGAAAAAGGCUUAGGUGGAAAAUGGUAAAACCAAGGUUGGGCCUUGCUGGAGGAGUUUUAUUCAAGGCGAACUGUCAAGGGGGUCCCAUAAAUCACCCGACCGCGUAAGGAACGCAAACUCAAGGAACAUAAUCCCGGUAUAUCAGUAACUAGGGCGGCAAGAGUGGAACAAAACACCAGGCAUAAGGCCGAGCCUUCCACCCUUUACCAAGUAUAUAUAUAGAUGCAUUAAUUAAAUAAGAGAUAUUGUGAUAUCCCAACAUAUCCAUGUUCCAACAUGGAACAACUUCAACUUCACCUGCAACUAGCAACGCUAUAAGAAGGGCUGAGCAAAAGCGGUAACUUAGCCAAACAACGGUUUGCUAGGAAAGGAUGGUUAGAGGCUGACAUGGAAAAAUGGGAGACAUGAUAUAGCAAGUGAUAGGUAGCGUAGCAUGGCAAUAGAGCGAACAACUAGCAAAGCAAAGAUAGAAGUGAUUUCGAGGGGUGGUCAUCUUGCCUGCAAGGUUCUCAGAGUUGUCGAAAGCUUGAUCCUCGUAAGCGUACUCAACAGGUUCCUCGUUCACGAACUCGUCUCCCGGCUCUACCCAAGACAAAAACACAAGCAACGGAACCACAAUCAAUCACGAGAAAUGCACAAGCAACAUGAUGCAAAACAUGUAUGCUAUGCAAGAUAUGAUAUGCGAUGCGUAUGCGUGCUCCGGAAGGAAAAUGAUGAACAAGGCAGUAACUUGGCAAACCAAGCAUGCCACUGGAAAGAUGAGAUGAUUUCGGUCGAAAUCGAUAUAAAGAUCACCGGAAACGGAUGCACGGUUUGCAAAUGGCAAGCAAAACAAGAAUGACACGAAUCUGCGAUAAACAGCAUGAUAGCACUUAAAAUGCAACAAGUAACAAUGCUACAGCACUCCAACAUAGAAACAAAGCAUAUGACAGUAAUCUACAUGAUAUGCUUGACAAAAGAUGAACACUGAGCUAUGGCUAGAUCACAACAUAUCAAGCUCAAACAAGCAUGGCAAAAGUGCAAAAGAUAACAGGUUCUCAGACUUGGUGAAAUUACUGGACAUGGCAGAAAACAGCAUCAGGUAGCAAUGUUCAGAGCACGAAAUCAACAUGCUACAGGAACUUAACAUGGCAAAACAAGGCAUGGAAGUGUUCUACUAAAUGCAUAUGACAAAAGUCCCUUAUUGACCAUAAGCCAAAAAGGACCAGAAGAUAUGAUGGCAAGCAUGUAAACAUAGCAAGUUUCGUUAACAGGUUUCAGACUUUGCAGAAAACAGAGCAUGGCAGAAUCAAUAAUAUGAAGGCCUCUUUGUGAGCUUGAUGCAGUCACCACAAGGGAAUGCAUGGCAAAAAAAGCAUACCUACAGCAAUAUGGCAUGUUUAUGAAGCUAACCAUGGCAAGAACAAAAGCAUAGCAUGUAUGGAUCAACUACAAUAAGCUUGGCAAAAGUGCAUAUCAUGUUAAGAAUCUGCCAGAAAUAUUUUAUAGCAAACGUAGAGCAAGAUUCAGUCAUGCUAUGGCACUCCAUAAUUGCAAACAAGGGCAGGAAUGGAUCAAUUACAACUAUAUCUACAAAACAUCCUUACUGAACAUCUCCAAAAUAUGCAUGGAUCUCUCUGUAGCAUCAAGUUUACAUGGCAACAAAAUAACAGUAGACAAAGACUUAGAGAAAUCACCAAGUCCCUGAAAUCAGAAACAUUACGGAGCCUAUUUUGCAUGCUUGUGCUAGUCACCACAGAGAUCACAAAAAUACAUGGAAUACACCCUUGGAAAUAUGGCAUGGCAUACAACGAAACACAUGUAGAGCUCAUGCCCAUAAGAUGCACAGAUUAAAUGAUACAAAAAUAACAAAUCUCCAAGUUCUGCUAAGAACCAGCAGAUAACAGCAACUAGCACUCUUGCAACAGAUAUUUGGGCAUCAAGAUGGCCUCUAAUGAACAUGGUGCAAUUGAACAAAAUGUAGAGCAUCACGAUACGAACAAUUUGACAUAUUACACGCGCGAAACGAAGCUACAUGCAAGGAGUUAUGCACUGUUGAACAUGGGCACAUGCUGGAGGUGAUAAGGACUUGGAGAAAAAAAUGGGAUCGGGAAAGUCAACGGCAGAGCUCACCAGAUCGGAUCGAGCUCGGGGCUCUGGUGGCGCUCGCCGGCGACGGGAGAACGAGGGGGACGGCGAGGAGGCAGGAGAGGAGGCGAGGCCGGAGAAGGAGGAGGCGGCGACCGCGGCGGCGGAGGAGGGCGACGCCGACGGGGCGACGGCGCCGAGGUCCGGCGGCGGCGAUGGCCAACGGCGGGGCGGUCGGUGGNNNNNNNNNNNNNNNNNNNNNNNNNNNNNNNNNNNNNNNNNNNNNNNNNNNNNNNNNNNNNNNNNNNNNNNNNNNNNNNNNNNNNNNNNNNNNNNNNNNNNNNNNNNNNNNNNNNNNNNNNNNNNNNNNNNNNNNNNNNNNNNNNNNNNNNNNNNNNNNNNNNNNNNNNNNNNNNNNNNNNNNNNNNNNNNNNNNNNNNNNNNNNNNNNNNNNNNNNNNNNNNNNNNNNNNNNNNNNNNNNNNNNNNNNNNNNNNNNNNNNNNNNNNNNNNNNNNNNNNNNNNNNNNNNNNNNNNNNNNNNNNNNNNNNNNNNNNNNNNNNNNNNNNNNNNNNNNNNNNNNNNNNNNNNNNNNNNNNNNNNNNNNNNNNNNNNNNNNNNNNNNCGGCGGGCCUGCGGGCCGGCGCGGUGGAGAUGGCGGCGGCGACACGUGGCGGCCCCCGAUCCGCUGGACGCGGCGGCGGAGAUGUCCGGCGGGCGCCGGACACGUCCGGUGGCGGCGGGGGAAGUUAGGGUUUCGGGGACUGCGAAUGUAAUUUCGGGGUACUCACAUAUAAAUAGGUAGAGGGAGCUAGGAGGCUCCAAAUGAGGUGCGGUUUUCACCCACACGAUCGUGAUCGAACGACCUACAGCAUGGAAGAGAGUUUGGUGGGUUUUGGGCUGGUUUUGAGAGGGGUUUUGCUGCAACACACAAAUGGACUUUGCGGAUGCCCGGUUAACCGUUGGAGUACCAAACGAUCUCCAAAUGGAACGAAACUUGACCGGUGGUAUACCAAGGCCACUUGACAAGCCUCGGUCCAUUCCGAGAACGUUUGACACCCGCUCGCGAAAGAAAACAAGAGGGGUGCACCGGAGGAGAUAGGAGCGCCGGACUGCAAAACGGACAACGGGGAAAAUGCUCGGAUGCAUGAGACGAACACGUAUGCAAAUGCAAUGCACAUGAUGACAUGAUAUGAAAUGCAUGACAUGAAAAAAAAUACAAAACGACAAAUAAAACCCGACCACGGAGGGAAUAUCAUAGCACAUAGCCGAAAAUGGCAAGAGUCGGAGUUACAAAUAUGGAAAGUUACAUCCGGGGUGUUACAGGGGACAUGACGAGGAGUCUCGAAAUGGCCGAGACGUAAAGAUCGAUAUAUUGGACGACUAUAUUCGGACUUCCAAAAGGUUCCGAGUGAUUCGGGUAUUUUUCGGAGUACUGGAGAGUUACGGGAAUUCGUAUUGGGCCUUAAUGGGCCAUACGGGAAAGGAGAGAAAGGCCCCAAAGGGAGGCCGCACCCCUCCCCAUGGACUAGUCCAAAUUGGACUAGGGAGGGGGGGCGCCCCCUUCCUUCUUUCUCCUUCUCCCUUCCCUUUUCCUACUCCAACAAGGAAAGGAGGAGUCCUACUCCCGGUGGGAGUAGGACUCCCCCUUGGCGCGCCUCCUCCUAGGCCGGCCGCCUCCCCCCCUUGCUCCUUUAUAUACGGGGGCAGGGGGGCACCUCUAGACACACACAAUUGAUCAAUGAUCUUUUAGCCGUGUGCGGUGCCCCCUCCACCAUAUUACACCUCGAUAAUAUCGUGGCGGAGCUUAGGCGAAGCCCUGCGUCGGUAGAACAUCAUCAUGGUCACCACGCCGUCGUGCUGACGAAACUCUCCCUCAACACUCGGCUGGAUCGGAGUUCGAGGGACGUCAUCGAGCUGAACGUGUGCUGAACUCGGAGGUGCCGUGCGUUCGGUACUUGAUCGGUCGGAUCGUGAAGACGUACGACUACAUCAACCGCGUUGUGUUAACGCUUCCGCUACGGUCUACGAGGGUACGUGGACACUCUCCCCUCUCGUUGCUAUGCAUCACCAUGAUCUUGCGUGUUCGUAGGAAUUUUUUUGAAAUUACUACGUUCCCCAACAUACAUCACCUUGUAACUAACUCCUUAGUCAUUUUCUUGCAAGCUUAUGAUGUGUAUUACCGAGAGGACCCAGAGAUACCUCCCCGAAACUCGGAGUGACAAAUUCUAAUCUUGAUCUAUGCCAACUCAACAAAUACCUUUGGAGAUACCCGUAGAGCAUAUUUAUGAUCACUCAGUUACGUUGUGACGUUUGAUAGCACACAAGGUAUUCCUCCGGUAUUCGGGGGUUGCAUAAUCUCAUAGUGGAAGGAAUAUGUAUUUGACAUGAAGAAAGCAAUAUCAAUAAACUGAAUGAUCAUUAUGCUAAGCUAACGGAUGGGUCUUGUCCAUCACAUCAUUCUCCUAAUGAUGUGAUCCUGUUAUCAAAUGACAACACAUGUCUAUGGUUAGGAAACCUUAACCAUCUUUGAUCAACGAGCUAGUCUAGUAGAGGCUUACUAGGGACACGAUAUUUGUUUAUGUAUUCACACAUGUAUUUAAGUUUCUGAUCAAUACAAUUCUAGCAUGAAUAAUAAACCUUUAUCAUGAAUAAGGAAAUAUAAAAUAACAACUUUAUUAUUGCCUCUAGGGCAUAUUUCCUUCAUUAUGGUUUACCGAACCUACAGGGUCACAUGCUUAAGGUAAUCAUGAUCUGCUGAGUGUUAGUAGGACGAGAGUAUCAAGGAUUUAUUUGUGAAAUAGUUUCGUUAAUAUUCAUAAUAGUUGCGAGAGGAUCCGAAAGCAUUUCAGGAUCAUCGGAAGGGUUUCAAAGAGUAUUGGGUAAUACCGGGUAAUACCAAUAAUUUAAUAUAUAGGUGGAAAUUUUUUUGGGGCUCUUAAAUUAUACAUAAUAUGCUCUAGUAAUUUUUAGAGGGCUUUUAUAUCUAAUUUAAUAUCAACGAGCCUAAAAAGGCCAAACGGUGGAAGGCAACUUGGGUCACCAAGGCCCAAGUGGGGAGGCGCCCCCCUUUCCCCUUUAGGGGAGGCCGAAUUGGGGAAGGGGAGGGACUCCCCUUCCUUCCUUGGCCGUCGCAAGGGGAGGGGAGUCCUUCCCCUCCUCUUGGAUGCCCCUCUCCCCUAUAACCUAUAUAUAGUGGAGGUCUUGGCCCCUUUUCUACACACAAGUUUUAUGUGCCUCCUAUAGCCCAAUACUACUAGUUCUAAUUGAGAUAAUUAGAGCUAAUUCUAGUUCCUCUAAUCCUCAUAAUUAGAAGCCCAGUGUGGCUCUAUUCUCCUCCUCUAAUUCUCUGGCGGUGUUUAGUUCUGGACGGCCUGCGCUGCUGGAUCGUGAAGACCGUACGCUUGCAAACUGUAGAGAGUCCAUGCAUUCAGUCUUCAGUUUGGGAUCGUUCAAGGGCGGUUCGUAGGACCGUUCAUCAAUGGUUCGAGAGACUCCAAGUACGAUUAACACCGACUCUUCUACUUCGACUACAUACUCAGAGUUGGUAACGAUCAUGAUCCAAUCCUCUAAUGCACCUUCAUAUUGUUCCCGGGUGUUUGUAGGGCGAUUUUUUUUCUACUAUGUUUCCCAACACUUUGAUCUCCACCUGUACAACUCCAAGACAAAGACAUGGGGUGCCGAGCUGAUCCAUCUUGAUUCGCCGCAGGAUUUCGAGUUCCACUCUCCGAACAAAGGGAUCACCAUUAGAGGGGAGCUCGGUUCAGUGGGUUGGGUUGACCUCAGGUGGGGCAUUGUCAUCUAUGCCCUUCUCCUCCUUGACAUCCACCAGAGCCUUCGCUACAUCCUACUGCCUUCACCACUGUCGCCCGGUCCACUCAAGCGUUAUCCGUUGUAUGUUCGGAACAUCAUUGUCCUGCAGUGUUACAUCAAGUAUUUCCACGAUAACGACAGACCUGGCUCAAACAAUGGAAGCUCCCCGAUCUGCCAAGGUUGGAUUGCCGCAACAAAAAAGUUUUUCAAGCAUUAUUGGUUCUACUUCUAGUAGCAACUGGGAGGAGGACCGCACGAUCAGAUGCUCUGAUGAUGUACCAUUGGAUAGCCCCGUGUAUGCCCGAAUGCUAGUACCUAAUCUGCAGGAGGGUGAUGAUACCAAGCCAAACCUCAAGAGAAUUUGUUUAGUCUAUCCUGCUCCUAGCUUGCAUGACGGUUGACGGUGAUGUUGUUUACGUCAUGCACCUCAUGCACACACGUGAUCCCCGUGAGGACAAGUGAUAUAGACCAAACCACGAUGGUGAGAUCCGAUCUGUUAAUGCGGCCCGACCUUUCACGACACUCCAUCUUCAGCAGCAGUACCUCUCGCCCGCGCAUGCGAUGUACACAAAAUAGAGGGGUUUGAACCUUGCGGCUCAGCACGAAAAAACCAAUCUCAACGAUGGUACUCACGCGCAAAAACAAUUUCAUAAAGAAAUCGCAACACAGAGGUUUUCUAAAGAUCCAUCUAAAACUUAUACGGGUGUCUAUCCUUCAAAACACAUCGUGUCUCUUUUAUAAAAAUAACCUCCUUUUUACAUGGACGCACUUGGCUUUAUAUAUAGCCUGCAAAACAUCUACGGAACAUGGUCUCAAAGAAAAAUAAGCAACCGACUAACAAGUUACGUAAGGACAAACUAGCACACGUAAUAAAACUCUUCUCCAAUUAGAGGGUGCUUGGAUUCAAGGGACUUAUUUUAGUCUAACUAAAAAUAGUCUCUUUAAGAGGCUAAAGUUCCAAGCAGCCCUGACUAAAGAGGGGUUAAAACUAGUCUUGAGACUAAAUUUUUUUAGUCAGGGGUACCCCUACUAAAAUGUGGAUUAGUCCUCUCUCUUCUCAUUUAACUCCUCUCCUUUAACACAGACGAGUUUUGGAUUGGAGGGUUUGAAGGAUAAUAAAUGCUCAUUAACUUGAUUUUAGUUUCUUUAGUAUUUGGAUCCAAACAUGGGUGAGGCUAGCAAGUUUUAGUCCCGCUAUUUUUAGUCAUGGGACUAAAACGUAUCCAAGCACCCUCUUAAACUACCUUUUAAAUCUUGAUGGAUCCUAAACUUACAACUAAAUAAUAUUGGAGGUGGACCCCAGCCCGUGUCCUUUAAUGACAAGAAAUCACGUACGAGUCUCCAACUCUCGACACAUUGAGAAACUUCCUUCUUACGUGGAGGUGGCAAAAACAGAAAUAAAUCCCUGUCAUUUAUAUUGUUGGGCGAACCAAAUAAAUGACACCCCGCAUGCUCCCUUCCAUUAACGUAGGUUUCCAUCUCUCUAUAAAUGGACACUGAAUUUUCCUUGCCAAAACGAGCCUGAUUAAUCUUGCAUGCAUAUCUCUGAGUUAAUACAUUACCUUGCAUGCAAGUAUUCCCCUUUCCCUUUGAAUCAUGCACGUCCCUUCCUUCUCAUUGGCACAAAGCAAAGCAACGUCUUGUUUUACUGUAACUGAAAGUAAUUCAUCGUCGCUUGGCACAUAGAUAUCCUUAACCUUUAAUCCACUGACAUGCGGCAUUAUUUUGCGAUCAUCAACAAUACUAAGAUUAGUCUUGGCCGUAUCAACAAGGCAUGUGUGAUUGCUCUUGAUACGAGGAACAAGAGUACAAGACUAUAAAAGGCGUGGCUAAUUUUGCCUCUGGAAACCCCUCGGUCAUUGUUUCACCUACCUUGAGAGUGUGAUCUUCAAGCAUCUGGAUAUUUAAAUUCCAUGGUUUCUGUUUGAGGAGAUAUAUAAAAAGGCUUGAUUUAAAAAAUGCGGGCAAGUGGCCAUCACGGACCAUGUGGGCAAGAGGCCGGACAGACAAGACCCUCCGCAUUUGAAGUAGUGCCCCUAUGAGACACCUAAUGAAGGCAACACCCUCCCCCGUUUGGCCGCAUGCCAAUUGGGUCCACCUGACGCAUGCAAAUGCUGACAGCCAAACCCGUCUCAACCGUCGCGUGCGAAGCAGCGCGUGAGAGAGUGCACACAAGCGCGAUCGGAAACACCGCAGGAGGGUGGCCCUGGCCGCACCCGCGGGCCACGUGUUAUGGACCUCGAGGAAAAUUGUCCAAGUGUGAGGCAGCCUUUGAGAUCGAAACACGCGAAACGCACCAAGCAGCCAAUCGUGCGAGGCCCAGGAGCAACAAACGGCGUGGUUGGCACUCUCGCGUCGCGAGGCCCCUAGGAGGCGGGUACUUCAACAUCAUUUAUAGGACUAAUGUAUAUGCUAGUAACCUCACCAUUAGAAUAAUAGGUUACCACACUACACUUCAGGCAACACAUAACCAAACAACGACACAUUGCAUAUGAGGAGCACAUACCCACAACCAAAUGUCGUGCUUGCGUUUGUGCUGCCAUGUAGUGUGGGGAUUUGUGGGCAAUCAAACAAAGUGUAGAACCUGGUUUAGAGCAUGUAUGUAGGAGGUCCGAAAUUGAUCCAGGGAACAAAACCAAUUACACCCAACAUUGUUUUUAGGGACAUUUACAUUUGUGCCCCUAACUCAAACCCACUGCACAGAUUACCCCUAAUUUCAAAGCAUUCUCAAUUUUGCCCCUGUGCCGUUAUGUGCCCUUACAGAAAUGCCCUCCGUGCCAUAUCCGCCCGGUCAAAGUCCUUUGACCAUCAAUGGGGCGUUUCCUGGACAUAUUUGCCCCUCUAUUCACUUGUCACUUACAUGUGGGUCCUACCCUAGGAAAAAGAGAAUUUUUUUUGUCUUAUUCACUCUCACUCACUUAUAACAUAAAAAACUCUCCCUCUCUCAUAACCUCUCUCUCCUUGACAUGUGUGCCAAGGACCCACUUGCAGUGUCCACACCAGUCCACGCGCUCCAAAGCAAGGCAAGGCUCGCCAGGUGGCCGUCGCCGAUGAGGGGCGGCGCGCCUACAUGUGAAGACCAAGGGGACGGGUUCGGGGUGGUUUGUCGAAGGAUUUGCAGGUGGUGGUCGAGGCGGGUGGCGGCGGACUGCGACGCCAUGCAUGGGGAGCGCAUGAGACAUUCCGCGGAGGACGUCGAUGCUAGCUGUCUCGGUCGAAGGCUAGAUCGAGACCAAAGAGCAUGGCCAUGUGCCCCUCUGGCCGCCUCAAUUGGGCCUGGGGCCGCCUGUAGACGACGGACGGGACUCUGAUCUCCGCCAUGGAUGUGCUUUUGAGCUCCUAAAUUCGUCCGCCCCGAGCCACCGUUGACCUCCUCGACCUCAAUGCCUCGUCGCUGAAAUCUUGUGGACCUACUCCCCUCUUCCACUGCUCGACCCCGUUCCCGGAGCGCCCUGCCCGAAGCUGGCCGCCAUGAUUGACCUCGGCUGGCUCGGUCGUCUGCGCGUGCCCACCUACCUACGAGUGAUGUGCCCGUGAAGAUGAAUUGGUGUGCAAGGAGUGCCUCACACAGCUAUACUGCCCGCCUCACACUCUCCUCCCGCGACCGUCUAUAGUCACGUACGGCGAGCCGUCGGCGAGCGCAGCCGGCCGGACAUGCGUUUGGGGACGUGUGGACCGUUGUUGACCCUCGCAGUGGGUCCCAUGGUCCACAUGUCAGAGAGAGAGUGUGUUUUAUUUUUAUUUUUUAUGCUUGUUGGGGUCCAUCUAUAAGUUAGAGAGAGGGGAUGAGAUAGUGAGUUUUUUUAACUUUGGGCAGGUCCAUGUGUAAGUUAUAUAUGCAUCGAAGGGCAAAUAUGUCUAGAAAACGUCCUAUUGAUGGUCAAAGGCCUUUGACCAGACGGAAAUGGCACAGAAGGACAUUUUUAUAAAGGCACCUAACGGGAGAGGGAAAAAUUUGAACACGCUUCAAAAUUAUGGGUAAAUCUUAGUAGUGGGUUCGAGUUAAGGGCUGAAAUAUAAAUGACCCUUGUUUUUUAUAAUAGCAGAGAUAAAUGGUGUUUCCUAUUUGACUAACAUGCCUCAAAUAGUCGCCUAUUGGCACAUGAGCGACCGAGUUGGGCCGACCAAUUUAACGCUAGAUAAAUUGAAUGUUAGUUCCGAUUUUGGAAACCUUCUACAAGGUCCCUGGAUCGGUGUGUGUCCCUUUUUUGUUUCUUUUUUAUUUUCUAUGUUUUCAAAAAAGUUACCUUUUUUUAAAAAAAUGUUUGGAAUUUUUAGAAAAUGCUUUUAGAUUAAAAAAGCAUUUUUGGGUGUGUUUUCAAAUAUUAUUUGGAAUUUACGAAAUCCGCAUUUUCAUAAUUUGUUCACAGUAAAAAAGCAUUUAAAAAAUUGUUUUUAAAUGAUUCCAUUUUUUAGAAAACUGUAACUUCAUUUUUCAGAAAUUUGAAAAGUUGUUCGCAUUUUCAGUAAAUAUUUUCUUUUACAAUAAAAUAUAUUCAUAUUUCGAGAAAAGUUAGAUUCGUUUAAAAAAGGUUGCUACAAUUGACCUUUUUUAGAGAAUGCAACAAUGAGCUUUUUGUUUUUGAGAAUGAUGCAACAAUGAGCUGAUUGCUACAGUACCGAGCGCUACAGAGUCGGGCCGGCCCAGUCGUUGCCUCCUCUGUGCGUCGGAGUCCCCGAGAUAAAUAUCGACUCGUUCAGUGUGUGCCAGCGAGCCCAUCCAUAGAUUCAUCUCUCCUCCCUGCGUUAGGGUUCCACUCCCGUUCCUCCUCCGGCCGCCACCUCCGCAUCGACCUCCUCGGUUGCCAUGGUGAUGGAUGACAACCAACUCCGGGUGCUCCAGAUCCCUCCGCCUAUCCACCCCGACGAUCCGGAUUCUCCUCUCCCGGAGACCAUCCUCAUCGACUCGUUCGGCUACCUCAGCGACCGCACCAACGCCACCACCGCCAGGGGCCGCAGGAGCAGGACCAAGAAGAAGGGCAAGCGCAUCCUGGUCACCUUCUGGCCGGUUGCCCCGCCGCGCGUCUCCUGCUUCACCGUCCACUGCCCAGAUCUGAAGCCCGAUGUAUUCGCUGACAUCCCCAAGAUCUCCUAUACGGAGGACGACCUCGUCCUGCUCAGCAUCACCAUCUGCCCCGAGCGCCAGCACGUGUACGGCCAGAACAUCCGCUACUUCGUCUACCAGGCCGGCACCAAGAAGACGCCGCCGUCGGUCAAGCUCGUCCACUGUCCCGCCUACUUCAGGAUCUACGACCAAGAGGUUGCCUUACUGCACUGCCACCACCAAGAGAUGUUCUUCAUCGCCGUGCUCCGCUGGGCCUUCAUUGAUCGGGAUUACACCGACGGGCACUUUAAUCUCCACCUGUACAACUCCAAGACAAAGGCAUGGAACAUCAAGUUGAUGCUUCUUGAUUCGCCCAAGGAUUUUGAGUUCCGCUCUUUCAACAAGGGGAUCACCAUUGGAGGGGAGCUUGGUUCAGUGGGUUGGGUCGACCUUAGGCGGGGCAUUAUCAUCUGUGACCUUCUCCUUGACAACCACAGUCUUCGCUACAUCCCACUACCUUCGCCGCUGUUGCCCGAUCCAGUCAGGGGUUAUAUGUUGUUUGUUCGGAACAUCACUGUUCUCCAAGGUUACAUCAAGUAUUUUGAGAUGCACAGUAACGUCAGACCGGGCUCAGACACUGGAAGCUCCCUGAUAUGUGAAGGUUGGAUGGCUGCAACAAAAAAAAUAAAAAUUUCAAGCAUUGGCUCUACUUCUGGUAGAAGCAACUGGGAGGAGGACUGUACUAUCAGAUGCUCAGAUGAUGUACCAUUGGAUAGCCCUGUGUAUGCCCAAAUGCUACCUAAUCCGCAGGAGGGAGAUGAUGCCAAGCCAAGCCUGAAGAAAAUUCGUGUAGGCUAUCCUGCUCUUAGCUUGCAUGACGGUGAUGUUGUUUACCUUAUGCACAUGCCUGAUCCCCGUGGGGAUAAGGCCUGUGUGAUUGCUCUUGAUAUGAGGAACAAGGCUGUAAAAGGCGUGGCUAAUUUUGGCGGCUCUGGAAGACCCCUGGGUCCUUCUUACACCUACCUUCCGAGUGGGAUCUCCAAGCAUCUGGGCAUUUUCUCAUCAACCAGGUAAUUUCGUUAAGAGCUUUCAUAUCCUUUCGUAGCAAAAUGAUUUACAAACUGAAGUAUCAAAGGUAAACCAACUUGUACUGGCAGCAGAGAGUACUUUGGGUACUUUUACUGAGUGGAUGUGGAUUUGUUACAUCAAUGUUUUUAUUAUGUUGUGCAAGUUAAUAUCACAAAAGAAUGGGUUCCAUCCAUUACAAUUCUGGUCAUUAUUUAUUAUUUCAUUUGAUCAUGUGCAGCUACCAGCUAGUAUUCUUUAGAUCUACCUGAUUUGUUGUUUCAAAAUAACUACUGUAUUUGUUUGAGGACGGUGAACAUUGUGCCUGCAUUUAUCUCGCUAGCAUUUACGUUUCUGUCCAUAAAUUCAGCACUUACUGCUCCCCUGUCACCGCAUUUAAAUUCCGUGGUUUCUGUUUGAUUAGAUGUAUAAAAAAGGCUUCAUUCAACAGACAAAAUAACAAAAGUAAAGACAGUGUCCAGCUUAACUUCACCGCAUUGUUCCCUAACCAAAGUUUCUGCUUGCUUAUGGUGUGUUGCACAUGAAUGAUUUCAUGAGUGCGCCAUGUGCUGUAUCUUGCACGCCAUGUAGUGUAACUAACCCCUAUUGAAAAUAAUUCCACAGCCAUUGUUCAAACGGUGCAAAUGUGCACCAAGGAAAUAAAAUAAUCCUAUAGUUGGCUUAUUUGAGGGGAAAAUAUUGCACACCAUUGGUAGGUUAUCUCAUACCCAGGAUUCAGCUUUCAUGCAUUGCGUCUUUCGUGCCAUACUAUUUCCUGGGCCAUUGUCAAAACGAUAAGAUGCACUAUCUGCACGAAUUAAGCAAUGUUUUCUUUUGUUGUGUGCAGCUGUUUGGUAGAUAAUCUUGCUUUUGUAUUAAAUGUUUAUUUCUUUUGUGGGAACCGAAAAGUUUCCAUCGCACACAAAAUAAGCAAAGUGUAAGCCUAACCCAGCUGUUUUUCACCGGACAAAAUGGGCAAUUCCUAUGGUUGGCUUAUUUGAGGGGAAAUGUUGCAGUGGCUCCAUGGCUCCUGUAAAAAUGGCAAUACAUUUAGGUCCCUGUACCUCAUAUUAGUUGUAAUUCUAGUUUUGUUCAAAGGCAAACCUUUCUUUCUAUCUGUAACUACCGAUUUCUAGAAAUGCGCAUAGUUUAGUCUUUAGUGUAACUCCAUUUUUCACCCCCUAGUUUAACAAUUGGCCCAUUUAGCAGAAAUUCUUCCCACUUGCCCCAUUUAGUAAAAGUUGUGCCAGCUUUCACCUCCUUUUAAACAUUACCCAUUCUGUAAGGUGGGCCGAGUCAUCAGGUCUACGUGGCUUGCCAUAUCAGAAGCAUAUUUAAUCUCCGACUACCUUCUCAGGUCCUCGUCCGCACCGUUGUGCGGCAACUGUUGCAGCCACAAUGUUCCCACCAUUUGCUAGCCAGACACAGCUAAAUGCCAGAGCUAGCUAGCGCAUAAUAGUGCACUAGUAGUAGUACACUUGUAUCAUCUUCAGCAAACUACUCCCUAUUCCCAAGAAAUUGCACGUAUAGGGAGAGUUGAGGCAAAAAACCUGCUUCAGCAGUCUCCCUAAACCCAAAAAAUUAUCUCCUCAAAUAGUGGAGAGUUGCAACCCUCCCCAUAAAUUUUCAAUGCUUGCCAUGUCAGUGCGCCGCCUCCAUUGACCGCCGCGCCACUGGACCACUGCCGCCUGCUGGAACACCACCGCUGCCGCCGGACUUCUGUGCUGCCGUUGCUGGACAUCCGCGCCGCCGCCACCUGCCACCGCAGCCUUGACGAAAAGAUGCAAAUGAGAGAGAGGAAAAAAAAUGACCCACUGGCAGGCGUGGCCCAUUUGUUAGGGAGAGUUGUAUUGGGACAAAAUCGGCAAUCACUAUGGUUGGCUUAUUUGAGGGGAAAUAUUGCAGUGGAUCCGUGGCCCCUGUAAAAAUUGCAGUACAUUUAGGGUCUCCCUCUUCUUCAUAUUAGUUGUCAUUCUAGUUUUGUCCAAAGUCAAACCUUUCUUUCUAUCUUUAAUAACUACCGGUUUCUAGAAAUGCGUAUAGUUUAGUGUGAACUCCAUUUUUCAACCCCUAGUUUAACAAUUGGCCCAUUUAGCAGAAAUUCUUCGCACUUAUCCCAUUCAGUAAAAGUUGUGUCAGCUUUCACCCCCUUUUAAACUUGACCCAUUCUGUAAGGUUGCACCGAGUUAUCAGCUCUACGUGGCUUGCAAUAUCAUAAACAUAUUUUGCCCUGGCAUAUUUAAUAUCCGACUACCUUCUCAGGUCCUCAUCUGCACCUUUGUGUGGCAACUGUUGCUGCCACAAUGUUCUCACCUUCUGCUAGCCAGACAGAAUUAAACACGAGAGCUAGCCAGAGCAUAAUAGGGCACUAGUAGUAGUAGUCCACUUAAGUAGAGUAUUUUGGUUGUAUUUUUCGUAAUUAUUGUUUUUGUUCUAGUACUAGUACGUAGCAUAAAAUUUCUGUGUGCCAUGCAUGUACAGGACAACCAUGCAUGCGCUAGCUUCUCUCUUCAGGUUUCAGCCAAGCGAUCGAUGAAGCAAGGACAGUAGCUACAACAAAGAUCGUAGUAGAAGCAGCUAGGAUUGUUGAAGUCGCGCAUGGCCAUGUAGACCUGAUGAACGAGUCCUACCAAAUAGAACUGAAUAAACUGGCAAAUGUUUCACUAAAUGGGAAAUGUUAACUGGUGAAUGCGUUCAGUACUGUCCCUAUAUUUGUACCAUUCGUCAGAUAUUAGAGUUAGACUAAAUAGGGUGAACAGGAGGAAUUCCUAUUAAAUGGGGUAAUUGCUGUCACAAAUGUUAGACUAUGGAUAAAAAGUGAAAUUCACUCUAUAGUUCAAGAUUAUAAGAGUUAUAUUUUUAGAUUCACCAUGACAAUUAUGCUCAGUCAUUAUACUGUACAAAUUUCUAGGAAUUGAUGGCUAAAGAUAGAAAUGUUUGACUUGGGACAAAUCUAGAAUUUGAAACACAGGGAGUUGCAUGGAAUGGAAGAGAACUUGCAAGUUCCUGAAACUGGGUGUUGUAUGACAAGAAUACUCAAUACAGUCAGAAAGAGAUAGUGUGAACAAAAUUGCUAAUGUUAGUACUCCUUUGAUGAAGAGCAGAGUGGUUGUUGGAAUUUUAAUUUAAUUGGAUAAUAAUUUGUUUAUGGGUCUUCUGCUUUUUAUAGUCAAUGUUUAGAUGAUUUAACCUCUGCAAGUAGAUAUUUCAUAUCAUCUAACAGAAUUUUUUUACUCUCGUUUAUACAGGCAAAUAUCGAAUGCUGCUGAAACAAGUAGGGAUGGCAAGUAAGAAGCUUGUUACCGAAAUUUGAGUGCAGGCUGGAAAGAAGUUUGAGUUCAAAUUGUUCGAAGGCAUGGUCAAAGCCCCGGUACAAAAAAAGCUUAAGAAGUCUUUCCUACCUCAUCUGUGAUGCGUAUGAUGUGUUGCAUUGCCAAUGAACUUGUAUUACUAAAAAUCUUAUGCAUUGUAUCGACUAUAUUUGUUGGCCGUGUGUGUCCACUAUGUUCUAUGCUAGCCAUGUGAGGUCUAUAUAUAUAGACUUGCUAAACUAAGCCUAAACCCAAUCUUUUUUAUCAUUAAUUUCCUAGUGGUAACUGGAUGUAGUUGAUAACUAAUUUUAGUGAAGCCUUUACGUCCGGCGGUGCGUGCGCUGGUUUAUCUGGCUCCAUGGUCG